rnacentral:lncRNA from 1 species
CAAUCUGGUUUGCAAACAUCAACUGUUAUGCAGCCUUCAAUGAUGCAAACCGUCUCUGGUCUUCAACAGAACCAACCAUCUUCUGUUCAACAGUCAACACAACCAAUGCUCCAGCAACAUCCACAAUCAGUCCUCAGGCAGCAGCAACAACCUCAACAAUCUGCUGGUAUUCAUCAGCAGCAAACACCAAUGAUGCAGCAGCCACUAUUGCCUCCACAACAGCAGCUAAUGGGGCAACAAUCAAAUACCACUAACAUGUCGCAAAAUCAGUUAACUGGACAGCAAAACAUUGUUGGGGACUUGCAGCAGCAGCUAGGGCAGCAGAAUAACCUUCAAAAUCUGCAGCAGCAGCAGUUAAUGGCUCAACAAAAUAACCUCUCAAGCAUGCAUCAGCAACAGUUGGGCCCUCAAAGUAAUGUCACUGGUUUACAGCAACAGCAGUUGCUUGGAGCUCAGCCUGGUAACUCAAGCAUGCAAUCUAAUCAGCACUCUCUACACAUGCUGCAACAGCCCAAGGUUACGCUGCAGCAGCAAGCACAACAAAGUGGAAGUGCUUUGUUGCCGAAUCAAGGGCAGCAGUCACACUCACAGCUGCCACAGCAGCAAUUGACGGCACAGAUUCAAUCACAGCCUGGACAGCUGCAACAGCAAUCAAAUCCAUUACAACAUGAUCUGCAGCAAAGGCUUCAAGCAUCAGGCUCCUUGCUUCAACAGUCAAAUGUGAUUGAUCAGCAAAAGCAGUUGUAUCAACCUCAAAGAGCCCUUCCAGAAACGUCCUCAAGUGAGUUUUUCUCAUCAUUGCAGCUUUCUAACCUUGCUCCAACUUUAAUUUUGCAGCUUUGUGCUUUCAUGUUAGAUUAUAACAUAUUUAUUUAAAUUUCUUGAAAAUACAAUAAUGGUUCAAGUCAGCAAUGCUCUUUCUGGUAGCUUUAUGAGCUACGGCUGCCACUUAUGGCAUCAGAAAUGCCACUGCUAUUGGAACCAUUGUAAUCACACAUACAUUUGUUAUGACAUCAUGCCAUCCAGAGCAUUGCACCAACUGUUCACCUCUCAUAAUGGUUCAAGUCAGCAAUGCUCUUUUGGUAGCUUUAUGUGCUACUGAUGCCAUUGCUAUUGAAACCAUUGCAAUCAUACUCAUUUGUUACCACAUCAUGCCCUCCAGCUCAUCGCACCAACUGUUCACCUCUCAUUUUGAAUUUAACGGACGUGAGUUUUAAAAAUAUAUGUAUAACUGGACAAUGCAUUUGACGCUAGGGUAACUAAUCAUCAGCCAAUUGAUUUUUAUGGGAAGAAAGAAACUAGCAAGUGGAUUAACUCUGAGGCACUUAAGGUUUGGUGUGCUGAUAAAUCAUCACCUUGCUGGAAAAAUCUCAUGAUCACCUCCUCGAUGCUAAUUCUGUAAGGCAUGUGAAGUGUUUCUCUGUCUGUUUGAAUGAUUACAUAACGUUAAGAUGGAGUUCCGAGUACUCCCAAGUCCAGAAAGGACUUGUAUUCCUAUGUAGGAAAAUACUAAUGGUCCUAUCUAGGAUAGAGAAAACCUAAUAAAGCUCCUUAUUCUUUAGGAACAAUCAAAUACUAAAUAGAAAUAAAACCAAGACCUACAGCAUUGCAUUCCAUAAUUUUCAGCAAGUGUGAAAAUUACAGAAAGACCCUUGUGUGCGGAAAUCAUUAAAAAAAUACAUGAAUUCUAAUCUUUUUUUUGCCUGCAUCAAAAUUUUUGUAGCAUCCCUAGAUUCUACAGCAGAGAGUGGACAUGCAAAUGGUGCUGAUUGGCAAGAGGAGAUCUACCAAAAGGUAAUUUCUGUGGUUUACUGUUCAUUAGAUGAAGUUCAUGCAUGUCAUAGUCUUGCAAGAUUUCAAUGGAAAAGGUCUCCUGGAAUUUUGUACAAGGGAGUUUUAUUCAGCUAUGGUUGCGAUUAGUUAGGAAGCAUUGUAAGUUCCAUGAUUGCAGCAACUAACAAACGAUAAAUUACUGAUAAGAUGAUUAAAGGUAAAAUAUUCAGAUUUCUAGGUCAAGAGGGUUUUUUUCUUGGUACUGACACAACAAUUUUUUCUAUUGCAAAUCUCUCCCUUUCGAUUUUUUCCCAGUAUUUCCAUACAUUUAUUGUGUGGUGAGUUAUUAUUUUAUUAUUUCCAACAAGUCCAAUUGACAAUACUUCUUACUGUAAUAGACAGACUUGAAAACAAGAGUGAACUGUUUCUGAAUAGUCAUCGUUAUAUUUGGUUAAGUGAACAGUUAUUUUCAGGAUUACAAGCAAAUCUGUUCUGAAACAUGUGACCAUGGAAGAAAGGAAAAUAAGUGGACCUAAUCCAUUGAAUCAUGACCAUGUCCAGUAUUGUUGAAUUUUUUAGAAAAUGAGGUUGAAAUUCUGAAUCGUUUAAUGGCUGUAGUUGCAAUUCAUAACUGCAUAUUUGAUGAAGUCAAUUUUUUUGUGCCUGGGAGGGUACUAAAACAGGAAUAGGAGUGGUUGUUGAUAAUUAGGAUUUAAGGGUUAUAAAUCCAAAGUUAUAAAGCUAAGAAGUGUUUACCAAAGUCGUGACAUCCAUUGACUUGAGUUAGAACAAUAGAAAACAAUGGUGAUUGUAGUUUGCCGUGAGACAAAGUAACUGAACUUGACCAACCCCUGAAUCUUGUCUGAAGUGGUAACUACACAAUCCUUUGCAUCUUUGCAUGCAAUCAAUAACGAUAUUCUCUUUUGAGUUUUCAGCAUUGAUUCCACUCUGCUAUUUUUAUCUCAAACAAUAUAUGCUGUCCUCUGCCAUUUUAUUUAUUUAUUUAUUAUCAAUUCUCUCAAGUUCGCUUAUGUUUCUUUCUGACUCUGGCACGUGAAGAAAUCAAGCAUAUGAUUGAUAAUGUCUUGCUGUUUAUAUGUACUUCCUAGAUCAAAGUUAUGAAGGAAACGUAUUUGCCUGAAAUAAAUGAAAUGUACCAGAGAAUUGCUACCAAGUUACAGCAGGUAAAUUGUCUCUGUAAUUUUUUCCGAUUUAUUUGCCCACGCAUGAUUCAUAAACCCCCACAGUUGAGCUUUUGUAUUAAUUUGUUUUCCCCAUCAGCAUUGCUUGUCACUGUAUCAUCUGCACUAAUUACCUCCCCCAACCCAACCACCCCACAACCAUGCAUUGACACAGAAGAAUUGGAAUAGAAACAUUUUUUUCACUAAUGUUUUACUAGUUUUGCUAGAAAGGGUCAAUGCAAUUUUUAAUUCUCGUGUAUGUUAACUUUGCUUUCCAGCAUGACCCUCUUCCACAACAACCAAAGUCAGAACAGCUUGAAAAGCUGAAGGUAUUGAAGGUCAUGUUGGAGCGCUUGAUAACAUUCUUACAGGUCUCUAAAAACAACAUCACGCCUAAUUUCAAGGAGAAAUUGGGUUUCUAUGAGAAGCAGAUUGUAGGUUUUCUAAACCCAAGCAGAUACAGGAAGCCUAUUCCUAAUCUACAGCAAGGACAACCUCCCCAACCUCGUAUUCAACCUAUGCAGCAACCCCAAUCUCAAGUUCCUCAAUUGCAGUCCCAUGAAAAUCAACUGAUUCCCCAGUUGCAAUCAAUGAAUACGCAAGGUUCUGUACCACAGAUGCAGCAGAACAAUAUGUCAAGCUUGCUGCAUAAUUCCCUUUCAACUUUAUCUGGGGAUUCGACGUCACAAUCAAACAUGAUGAAUCCAAUACAACCAGGCUCCAAUUUAGAUUCUGGACAAGGAAAUGCACUGAGCUCAUUGCAGCAGACACCUGUAGGAUCUGUACAAAAGAAUCUCGUGAGCAUUUCCCAACCAACCAAAGUUAACACAUUGUCAACACAAAGUGGGGCGAGUAUGCUGCAGCCAAAUAUUCCCCUUCAGUCGAAUUCCAAUAUGAUUCAACACCAGCAUCUAAAACAGCAGCAGCAGCAGCAUGAACAACAGAUGCUACAAACACAACAGCUUAAACGAUUGCAGCAACACCAGAAUUUAAUGCAGAAUCAACAGAUGCAGCAGCAGCAAUUACACCAGCAAGCUCCGUCUCCUAUGCCAGGAGAUUCUGACAAACCAGUUUCUGGUAUUUCCUCACUCUUAAAUACUGGAAAUAUUGUACACCAACCAUCUGUUGCACAAGCACCGGCUCCAUCCCUUGCAAUUGGCACUCCUGGGAUAUCUGCAUCACCUUUGCUUGCAGAGUUUACCAGUCCUGAUGGUGCUCAUGGCGGUGCUUUGACAACUGUUUCUGGCAAGUCAAAUGUUACAGAGCAAUCACUUGAGUGCUUGAUUAAAGCGGUUAGUGAUGCUCUCCUUUUGGUUUUACUCCACCCCACCCUUAUUUUGGAGGUUUCUGAAAAAGAAAGAAACUUCUUUGUGAAUGAGAUGGUGAUGCUGUAAUUUUUUUUCCCAGGUGAAAUCUCUGUCUCCCAAAGCACUUAGUGCAUCUGUCGGUGACAUUGGCUCCGUUGUCAGUAUGAUUGACAGAAUUGCUGGUUCUGCAGCUGGUAAUGGAUCUAGAGCUGCAGCUGGUGAGGAUUUGGUAGCAAUGACAGGAUGUCAUCUUCUUUCGUUUUUGUCUUUUUUAUUUUUCACGUGUUUCUCACAACAUGGGAACUCGAGGGAAUAAAAAGUGCUGGGAAGUAAUUUUUGUUGGAACGUCUUGUGUAACAUCUUCUUUCGAUGAUGACCUCUUGGAUGUUUUGGUGAUAUCUCUACAUCCAAAAUCAUAUAGACCGCUACUGCUGGCACUUGCAGUAGCCAAUGAGCACUGAUAUAUAUUGCAGAGUGAGAUAAGGUUAACUCGUUGCAUUUUCAUAAAUAAAAGGGAUUUCUCUUCUUUUCUUUGUCAAUUACAGUGCAUGUGUAAAAGUUUUCUUACUCAGAGUAAAUGCUAUUGUAAUGUUUUCACAGAGACUCCCCUGUUUUGCAACUAAUUCACUUCUGAAUAUAUCUGGGAAACAGAAAGGCAAUCAACAAAGAGUAAGGCAUCUUCUGAAGAAACAAAGAAAUUUAAUACCCUAAACUAAGCAGCAGGUAGAAGGCAAAAACUGAGCACAAAUUUUCAGGAAGGGACAAAAAAAAUAAAAAAGAAAGCAGAGAAAAAUACAGACUCAAAUUCAACAACACCCAUUUUCUUUCCAUUGGAACACUUUAAAUAGUUUAUUAAAUAAAGCAUAUAAAAAAAUCAACUUAAUGAUCAAUUCUCUAUAAUUUCGGCAUUACUAAAAACAUCCAAACUAAUAAACUAUUAGUUAUUAUAGUCAUUUUAAUAAACAUUUUAGUUAUGAAUUCACCAAACAUUUUGAACAAUUCAUAUUGAUGAAUUAACAUGUCAAUUUUAGAUUUUUUGACUUACUAGUUCCUUCAUGAAUUACUUCUAAAGCAUGCUAUAUAUCUCUAAGCAUUUUUAUAGAAUAUAAUUCUAUCAAAUUCACUUUUACCCAAUGUAUAAUAUAAAAUAUUCAUGGCUUUAACAUCCAUAAAAAAUAAUUUUUUAUCAUUUUAUGUAUAUUCACUUCUAGUUUUAGAAAUCUCAAUACCAUUUUCAAUUUUGAUAGGUUUAGGAGAUCUAUUUUGUACGGAUAGCCACAAAUUAAAAUCAAUAGAUUGACAAUAAACUAUCAUACAACAAUUUAUUACUUGCUCUUUGGUGAUAGGAAUGUGAUUGUAAUAUUAUUUUUCAAGCUUACUCAAUCUCUUAUUCUUGAUAGCAUAACCAAUAAUAAAUGGCGAGCCAAAAUUUAUAUGUUACUCUCUGUAAGAAUUUUGACUGCAUAAAUGUAAAAGAAAAUAGUUUUAAAAAGACUAAAAGUUUUCUUCAUUAUAAAAACCAUGUCAGAAUUGUCUCUUUUUAUAGGCAAUUCUGACACUUAAUUUUAAAAUAACUUUUAAGACAAAAGGUUACAAUUUUCUAGUUUAAAACUACACAAUUAUAUUUCAAGUAGAGUUUUAACAAACACAACUUUUCAUUCACACCUUAACAAUCCCUCCACAUGAUAAAAAUUGUUUGAUCAUAAUAAAAUACAAAGUAGACAUGAAAAUAAAGAGUAGGAGCGAAAAGUCAUUGCAUCGAGCAAGAUAACUUUUGGCCUUGAACCUUUCAUAGUUAAAACUAUUGGAUUCACUCGGCUAAUCAGCAAACAUGAUAUUUUGAGUUGUUUAGCCUUUUGUGAGAAACCAGAUAAUAUAGAUUACACAUUUCAUUUUCUUACAAUUUUGGUUCUCACGGUUGUGUUCAUUUUGGCCUCGAAUACGUCUUGAUUUCAAAGAGCUUUAAAGAAUUUGCAUUUUCAAUCCUGAUAGAAGUGGCCUUAUUUCACACUCACAUAUGUGAUUCUUAUUAAGAGUAUCAUGUAAUACCUCACUUGAAUUUCUCAAGCUAUAAAAGUCAUUAAAAGCUUAGCUUAUCCUAUUUUCAUUGCAGAUAGCACUUUAUAUCAUAUGAAUGGGUAAGAGGGCUAUUAUUAAAUGACAUGUGAUUUGGUUGCUUCUUUGAAUCUAGAUCCUGGGAUCUCCAGUAAACUAGGUUGGGUCGCUAUCAUGACAAUUCAUUGAACUGUGUCUUAAUCUCAUUCCCCUCGAUGAUUAUUGACUUGCUCUAUUGUUAAGCAUUUUAUUAGUAAAUUAAUGAUAUUAUCAUUUAACUUUACAUGGUUAAUAAAGAUAAUCUCAUUUUAGAUCAACUAUCUUACAAUAUUAACAAUUGUGUCAAUACUUUAUGUGUGUGUGUGUGUGUAAGCAUGGUUAUAUUUCAUAUCAGCAUCAUAAUAAUAGCAAAUGUGAAGUAUGUAUUCAAGCAAAGAUGACAAAGAAGCCUUUUCCUAAAGUAGAAAGGAAUUCUCAAUUACUUGAGUUGAUCCAUUCUGAUAUAUGUGAAAUAAAUGGUAUGUUAACAAGGGGUGGGAAAAGAUAUUUCAUAACUUUCAUUGAUGAUUAUUCUCGUUUUACCUGUGUUUCCUUAUUAAAAACUAAAGAUGAAGCCUUUGGAAAAUUCAAAGAAUUCAAGAAAAUGGUAGAAAAUCAAAAGGAAAGGCAAAUUAAAGUUCUUAGAAGUGAUAGAGGUGGAUAAUAUUUUUCUAAGGAGUUUUCUACAUUUUGUGAGGAAAACAAAAUAAUCCAUCAAAUGACAGCACCUUAUACACAACAUAAUGGACUUGCUGAAAGGAAAAAUAGGACCUUAAUGAAUAUGGUCAAUGCCAUGCUUUUGAAUGAUAAAUUACCAAAUAAUUUAUGGGGUGCAGUCUUACUUACUACAUGUCACAUUCAUAAUAGAGUACUAUUUAAAAAAUCAAAUGUUUCUCCCUAUGAAGCAUGGAACGGUAGAAAAUCAAAUCUGAAUGAUUUUAAUGUGUGGGGGUGUGUAGCUUUUUGUAAAAGUUCUGAUCCUCAAAGAACAAAAUUAGGACCCAGAGGUCUUAAGAGUGUUUUUGUUAGUUAUGCACAAAAUUCAAAGGCUUAUAGACUUUUGGAUUUAGAAACUAAUGUGAUUAUUGAAUCUAUACAUGUUGAAUUUAUCAAAAAUAAAUUCAUAAGUGAUUCAAAUGUGUAAGAACCAAAUCUAAAAGUAAUGACUCCUAGCUCAACAUUAAGUGAAAAAUAUAAAAACCUAGAAGUAAUAGGUUCAACUGAACCUAGAAGAAGUCAAAGAGUUAGAAAGGAAAAACACAUAUAUACAGAUUUUAUUUCUACUUAUUCAAUUGUAUUUUUAGUGGAAGGUGAUAGAAAUACAAUAUUAAAAAAGACACCUAUGAUCUUAAAUAUGGAAGAUGAUCCAAAGACAUUUGGUCAAGCUAUGUCUUCUAGGGAUGUUGCUUUUUGGAAAGAAGCGGUAAAUGAUGAAAUGGAUUCAAUAUUGUCUAACAAUACUUGGGUCCUAGUAGAUUUACCUCCAGGUUCUAAGCUAAUAGGAUGUAAGUGGGUGUUUAGAAGAAAAUACAAUACCGAUGGUUCUAUACAAACCUUCAAGGCAAGAUUGGUUGCCAAAGGUUUUACUCAAAAGGAGGGUGUUGAUUAUUUUGACACUUAUUCUCUGGUGGCAAGAAUUACAUCAAUUAGAGUUUUAUUUGCAUUAGCAUCAAUUUAUAAAUUGUAUGUUCAUCAAAUGGAUGUAAAGACGGCUUUCCUAAAUGGAGAUUUAAAGGAGGAAGUGUAUAUGGAGCAACCUGAGGGUUUUAUACUUCCUGGAAAUGAAGAAAAAGUCUGUAAAUUGAUAAAGUCUUUAUAUGGUUUAAAACAAGCUCCGAAACAAUGGCAUGAAAAGUUUGACAAAGCAAUUUUGUUGAAUGGUUUUCAUCACAAUGGUGCUGAUAAGUGUAUGUAUUCCAAAUUUACAAAAUAUUUUGGUGUGAUUAUUUAUCUCUAUGUAGAUGACAUGUUAAUAUUUAGCACCAAUAUGAUUGGAAUUGUUGGAACCAAAAAGUAUCUCACUUAUAUCUUUAAAAUGAAAGAUCUUGGUGAAGUAGAUACAAUUUUAGGUAUCAAAGUUAAGAAACAUGGUAGUGACUAUGCACUUAAUCAGUCAGAUUAUAUUCAGAAAAUGCUCGAUAAGUUUAAGCAUCUCAAUAUAAAGAAGGCUAAUACCCCAUUUGACUAUAGUAUGAAGUUAAAUGAUUAUUAUGAUAAAGCUGUAUCACAACUAGAAUAUGCUAGUGCCAUUAGAAGUCUUAUGUAUGAUAUUCAUUGUACAAGACCAUAUAUAGCUUUUGCUAUAUGCAAGUUAUCAAGAUAUAUAAGCAAGCCGAAUACAGAUCAUUAGAAGGCUAUUGCAAGAGUCUUUGGUUACCUAAAAAGAACAAUCAAUUGAGGUCUAUUUUAUUCUGAUUUUCCAGCUGUGAUGGAAGGAUAUAGUGAUGCAAGUUGGAUGACUAGUUCAAAUGAUAAUAAGUCCACAUCAUGAUGGAUUUUCUCACUUGGAGGAGGUGCAAUAUCUUGGGCAUCUAAGAAACAAACAUGCAUCUCUCAUUCUACCAUGGAAUCAUAAUUUAUUGUUAUGGCUGCUGCAAGUAAAGAAGUAGAAUGACUAAGAAAUAUGUUGUUUGAUAUUAAGUUGUGGCCACAACCUAUGUCAGCUAUUUCUUUAUACUGCGAUAGUGAAGCAACUAUGUCUCGAGCUUAUAGUAACAUUUACAAUGGUAAGUCAAGACAUAUAAGCAUUUGACAUGGAUAUAUUCGAGAGUUGAUUACAAAUGGUGUAAUCACCAUUGUCUAUGUGAAAUCUAUGAAUAAUUUAGCGGAUCCGCUCAUAAAAGGACUAUCUAAAGACAUGGUACGAAAAAUAACUAAUGGAAUGGGGUUGAAACCUGUUUUUAAAGAUACCAGUAAUAGGAACCCAACUUCGGAUCAACAAGAAGCUUAUCUCUUAGUUUAAUGGGUAAUAAUAAGUUACUGUUUUGUAUAUGUUAGACACUGAUAAUUAAUUUGAGUCCCUAUUCUGAUAGUAUUCAGUGUAUUCUAUUACAUAAAGGAGGAUGAGCAUAGGCUCUUCAUGGAAUUUGAAGUUCGUGUCUAAUGUAAUAGAGACAUGUAUAAUUCCACCUAUAUGAAUAUAAAAGUGAUGCCGCUUUUGACAAGAGUUAGGGUUUUUUCUUGUAAAUAUUCAUAAAAAAAAUUAAAAUUAAGAUUUUAGCACAUGACCAUAAUAGUGCUAAACAGUUGUAAACCUCUUUAAGAGUUUGGAUAGUAUUAUGUGUGUAGUAUCUUUUAUUCUACAACAAAAGUUUUGGUUUAAUCUGCGGACACCAAUAACUUUAGUAGGAUUCAAGUUCUAACACUAAUUGAAGUUUUAAAAUGCAAAAUACCUUCUUGUAAGCAUAAUUCUAUAAAGUGAAAAGACCUUCAUUACAAACUAGUGGGGGAUUGUUGGUGUAGUUUGUAAAUGAAUAAAGAAAAGAUGUUUAUCUCACAUUGGAAAGAAACACUCCCUCCUAAUGUUUCUAUGUGUGGGUUUCUAUUGUGUAGUAAAUUAAGCCAUGGUGGACAAACUCUCCUAUUUGGCUUUCUAAUGUUAUUAUAUGGAUAUUUAUAAUAUCAAAAAAUAGCAUUUGGAACUUGAAACUUGGAUCUUAAUAUGAACAGUCAUAUUGUUUCAUCAAUAGUCAUAUUGUUUGAUGAACAGUCAUAUUGUUUCAUCAAUAGUCAUAUUGUUUGAUGAACAAUCAUACUGUUUCAUCGUUAUGUUUUAAGUCUAUAAAAGCAUGUUACUAUACAGAAAAGAGGCACAACAAAAAACAUACAUUCUUUUCUUGGUCUUAUCUUCUCAUUCUUUUAGAGGUUUAGAGGGCUUAGUUGUAUCCUGGAGGUAUUGUCUCUAUGUGGGACAAAUAAACACCUUAAAAAUAGUGUUUUCACGCCUCUAAGCCAACUCCAUAUUUGUUUCCAUCCUAAACAUUCAUAUCAAGAAACAUUGCGCCACGCCUGCUAAACGUCCACGAAAGAGUCGCCGACCGUUAUUCCCGCAUUAAAGUCCAUGCAUGGUCGCCUCAUUAUCUGGAGACGACCGCAUGGCAUUCUCUGGCUAUAAAAACCAGAGAAAGGCCAUGACAAAGAGGAGGGGGGGACAAAACAAAAGACAGGAGAAAAGAGGCAGGAGAGAGAGAGAGAGAGACCGAGAGAGAGGGGGCCGAAAACACAAACCAGAGAAAAAAAACCGGAGGAGUAACCCAGGGAAGAACACAGAAAAAACCAGGGGAACACUGGAGAACAAAUGAGACAGAAAUAGAGAGAAAUUGCUAGCCAACGCAUGAGCACCAACUAGCCUCGUCUCCGGUUGCACCACCCCCUGAAUAGACGGACGCGAAGGAGAACAGGGGAGUAAACGAAGAGAGGACAUAACACCGGGAAACCGAAAACUGAUAGAAAACCAGAAGAAAAGGAAGAACCACAGAGAGACGAACAACACAGGAGCUGAGAACGAACGAAAAAAAGAGAGAGAGAAGACAGAGAGAAAAAGCAGAGGCGUAAGGUGAAACAGAGAAGAACGACCAGAAAUAAACCAAAAGAAAACAGAAGUGAAGGGGAAGUUUUGGCCAGCCACCACACCUUCUUCGUCAUCCAGACCAGGUAAGUUCUCUCUUCUUCGUAAUUAUAAUUACAUAGGUAUUGUACAUAUGCAAAUUUAAUUCACUACUAUAAUUCACCGGUUUGUGCAUGCACGCGUGAAUCAGUUCACACAUGCCUGUUGUCCAGCUGGGUCACUGGCUUGGGUCAGUGACCAGGCUGGGCUGCUGGGUUUAGCCCAGCCUGACCGAGCUGAGCUGGAUCUAGCCCCCAAAAAAAAUUUAAAAAGGAAAAUAUAAAAAAAAACUAGGCAUGGGCCUCGGGCCUAGGUGGCCUAAUCCCCUUUAUUUAAGUCCCUUUUAUUUUGAUAUUCAACCAAAAUGACCAACUUUUCCCUCAUAUUGUUUUUAGGGUAUUUCACUGUAUAUUUGAUCUGUAGAUUUUUACUGCGAAAUUCGGUGUACGAUACUUUUUUUUUAAAAAAAUAUGCAUGCAUAUAUUUAAAUUCAUUUUAUUGGUUUAUUCACCAACGCUAGAGUCAGGAAUACAAUUUAUUUUGUUUUUGCUACGUAAUAUUUAUCAAUGCCAGAGUUGGAAGUAUCUGUAGUCGAAUAUUCACUGACGCUAGAGUCAGGAAUAUUACAAGCAAACCAUCAUAGCAUAAAUCAACAAACUCUUAAUAAUUUAAGACAAAACCAACAAUGCAGCUUAUCUCAGGUAGGGUGUGCUAGGGGUGUUAAUAUCUUCCCUACCCAUAACCAGUCUUGUACCAUAAAAUCUCUAUUGACUAGUUAGGGUUUCUAAUGACCAUAAUACUAGGUGGCGUCUCCUUAAACCAAACCUUUUUCCCAUAAAAGAACAAGAUGCCAGAAAUCUGUUCUUUUCAAGAAUUUUUAAGGUCAUCGCGAUGUCGGGUGCGACAAUACCCAAAACAAUUGCCUUGCUAAUGGGGAUAAAGUUGUCUUUCUUAAGGGAUCUAAAAGUUAUUUGUAUAUUGAUUGGGGAUAAUUUAGUAGGUUCACUCCUUUUUUCAUAUUAAAACUACAUCAUUGCCCUUGCAAUAAAAAAACAAGUGGCCUUUUGUUUUGGGUCUAUUUUGUCUUUUCUAUUUUAUUUGCACAAUAAAAUGACAUCAAUACCCUCGAGAGUUCAAAAAUAUUGACACUUGACGAGAGGUAUUUUUUAGUCUUUUUCAUGUUUUGUGUACUGUAAAAUGACAAAGUUAACCUUAGAAUAAAAUAAAUCUAAAGCUAGUGUGGGAUAACAUUUUCAUCUUUGCAAUAUAGCUUUUUGUAAUAUUUAGAUGCUUUUAGGGGCUAUUUAGUAAUUUAAAGUAUUGAAAUAUUAAUAAAUCAAUAAAAAAGCUGACAUAUGCGUAGCACGUGUCAGCGCGUGAUAAUCCACCACGUCAUUCAGGAGACUAAUAAACUAACCUAAACUCGUUCUUGCCCAACAGCGAGCCACAAACAAUACUCUUUUGAAUAUUAGAAGCAUGAACCACAUUGUUCAUAAUCGACUCUUUCAUAAAUGUCAUCCUUAACAUCACCUUUUUCUGGCCUAGGAUUUUGCACACUAAGAGCCUAUUUGACGUUGCAGUUGAAUCGUUGUUUUUCCAUUUUGAAAAAAAUUAUUCUUGCUUCAAUUGUUUUUGCGUUCUUGGAUUGUUAUGAUGUGUUAAUGUUAAAAAUGAAUUAAAAAAUAUAUUUUGAUACAUUUCCAAGUAAAAAACACUUUACAACGCAACCGCUACCACACUUUUAAACAAUCACUAAGAAGUUAUCCAGGAAUAAUUGUUCUCCAUUUGCAGUUGUUGCAUACUCAAAAAAAUAUUAUGUCAAAACAUACAUGACAGGUGGCUCCAAUAUCAAUCCACCACUUUUUAAGAUUGUGCACCAGGUUUGCUUCUGACAUAACUACAACAAGCUUUGCAGCUUUCUCAUCAACAUUCUCAAUGAUUUUGUUUUGUGCAUUUUUUCCUUACAGAUAUGCCUUUGCUUUUUACAAACAAAACAAGUUUCUUUGAACUUCUUUUUGCCGACACUAUUACCAUUAGAACUCUUGAGAGAACUUGCUUCAUAUUUAAGUUCACCAGGUUAAGAAUGUUUAGGAAUCGGGUUUGCCAUCGAGACCGCAAAGAUUACCAGGUUAAAUUAUUUUGGUUUUUUCCCCGCAUGAUAGAAUGUUUAGGAAUCGGGUUUGCCAUCGAGACCGCAAAGAUUACCAGGUUAAGAAGUACAUUGAAAUUAUUAACAAUAGAUUUAUCCAUUUAUUAUCUCAAUAACAAGAUUAACUUUAUAAUUAUAUAUCACACUUAUAUAAUCUGAAAUAAUAUUAAUUAAAAUGAAUCCCAAAAAUUUAACACACUAAUUCUGCAAAAAACAAAUUUAAUAAACAAUUUAACUUUGCAACUAUGUAUUUAUUUAUUUGUUUUUCUAUGAGACUCAAUUUUUUUUUUAAUAAUCAUCAAGAGUAUAUUGAAAAGGCCAUAAAGCCAAUAGACAGUGAAAUUUUUAACAGAAACUCAAUGUAAUUUUCAACAAAAACUAUAACAAUACAAAUAAUUACAAAUAUUUUUCUUUCAACAUCAACAUAAGAAAACAAUAUGCACUCUUCUAAAGUUAUGAUAAAAAAAAUCUGAUUGAUACUUAUGUUGUUUUAUGAUUAAAGUAACAAUAGCAUCUAAAGAGAAUGAAUUAGGUGUUGCACUAAUUAUGUCAAAAUAAUGCAAGUAAACACACUAAACACAUAUAACACAAAAACCAACAAUAUAAUUCAAGUGCUUAAAGUAAAUAUAUAAGAAAAAAGAGAUUGCAAACUCGAUUUUUAACGUGAUUCGGUAAGCUUACAUCCACAUCUCAAGUACUAAUCAUACUUAAGUAUUGUACUUUUUUACUAAUCCAAGUGAAAGAUACAUUGCCCUUGAUGAAUUCACACCAAGAAAUUACACCACUUGAUGAAUUUUUCUCUUUAAGAUUUUUCUCCUAGAAUUCCGGUUAAAUAGAAUUGCACUUAAUAUAUAUUAUUUCACCAUAAUUAUUAUCCAGAUAUGCAACUUUUUUUCUUUCCGAUCAUCUGUUUUCUUUUUUUCAUAUCAAUACAACAACAAAGGAAAAUACCAUGCAAUAUAAAAUGUAUUUCCCUGUAGAAUCAAUGCAACAAGUUUACAGACAACAGACGACAAGGAAUUUAACAUAGUCAUGGAAUUUAACUGAAGAUAUAUACACUUUACUUUCUCUAUUAAAAUUAAACUAUUUUUUUUAAUCUAUGUCAAUAUAUAAUCAAUUUGGUCUUGAAGAUAUAUAAAUAUACACAGAACAAAUAUGUUAGAAAAUAAAUUGUUUAAGAUUGUUAGAGCACCUUAAAUAGUUCAUAAAAUUAUUCUUCCCUUUUACUAUAAUGAUGAAGUACAAGGGUUGUUGAUGAUGACCUCUUGGAUGGCUACAUGAAGCUUGUUCCGUUUUAAAUUUCAAGGUUAAUCUAUUGCUAUGAGCAUACGUGUCUCAAUUUAAAACUCGAGUUGCAACUGAACUUAAAUGAAUGGUGUUGGAUUUGGGCCUUCUAUUUGUUUUAACUUCUACAGGGUUGAAAUGAUAGUGAUCUUAAAGUAGAAAAGCAGCAGACAAAAAUCAAUUAACCACAAUGGUGCAUGGUUUCCUAGUUUCUCAGCAUAAAGUUGAAUGUUUUGUUGACCUUUCUACAUCAAAAAUCAUAUAGACAGCUACUGCUGGCACUUGCAGUGGCCAAUGCAUACUGUAGAGUAUAUAUUGCAGUGUGAGAUAAGGUUAACUCGUUGCAUUUUCAUAUAUUGAAAGGAUUUCUCUUCUUUUCUUUGUCAAUUACAGCACAUGCAUAGAAGUGUUCUUCCUCAGAGUAAAUGCUAUAGUAAUGUUUUCACGGACUCCCCUGGUUUGCAACUGAUUCACUUAUAUAUCUUGGAACAUAGCCAUAAAUGAAAGGUUCUUCUAGUUCAAGAAAAUUAACCAUGAAGCUCGUAACUAGAAUUUUUAGACAGAAGGGUGGCCAAGCGAACUCCUAUACUCCGUACGUCUGGAAUAAUACAGGGAAAGGGUGUUUAUGUAUUUUGAUGUCUUAUAUUACUUGACCAACUCUUGCUUAUCUCAUUAUUUGUUUUAAUUUUUUGCUAAUAAUUCCACACAUUUCUGAUAUGGUGUGGUUUUUGAGUUCAGGGUUCUUGCUCAUUGCUGCUAACUUCUCUAUACUUGCCUGGUCAUUAAAAAUGAAACGUAAUGAUUUGCAUAUGCUGAAUGGAGACAUUAAAGAGGCAUCUUCUGUUUUCUGGUCAGGAGGGAUUACAAGAACUCAAGAAAUUUUCCAUAUGUUUUGAGGAAAAGAUUUAUACUACCACUACCAAUCAGGUAUUUGCCUAAUGUGAGGUUUAAUAAUUACGAUAUUAUCUAGACAUUAAUAUACACACGCAUUUAUGCUUGUACAAAUGUGUGUGUAGUGUGCCUACACUUCCUCACCGUUCAUUCUGUAUGCAAGGCUGAUUGGGAGUUCACAUUAUUUUGUUAAUUCUCUUGACAAGUGUUUUAUUUAGAGUGACCAAGUUCAAGUACAAGGGAAGAGUGCAAAAAGCAAAUAGCGAAUCAAUACAUAAAUAAUUAAAUAAAAAGAGAGGAAACAAAAGUAUAUCAUAGAGAAGAUGAAAUGAUAGAGCAUAUAUCCAUUUUCCUCCUCUUGUAACAUGGAUUGCUCUGAGAUCUGAUGUUUUGUUAUUAAUAUCUGAUUUCAGUCUGAUUAUAUAUCUACGAAAAAUAUCUCUGGAGAUGCUUUCGAUGGAGAUCAGGUCUCAAAAUGCCAUGCCCACUGUCCCCAUGGAUCCAGCAGGUAAUAAUGCACCCGAGCAUUGAAUUUCUAAACAUCUUACCUUUUGUUUUUCUUCUCACAUUGUUAUCAAACUCUUUUACAUUUUAUUGCUGUAUAUUGCUAUGUAUAUCGCCUUGCUAGAAAAAUCUCAUGAUCACCUCCACGAUGCUAAUUCUAUAAUGCAUGUGAAGUGUUUCAUCCUUAACUUGUUAAGAACAAGGACUAUGAUGCAUUGCUAUUUUAUAUUUUAUGAUUGAGAUGGUAGAUUUUAAAGAUUUUCCUGUUUAGGAGAUAAAAGUAAGAUGUCACUUUUUUGCUUUUCUUCCGAGAGAGUAUUUGAUCCUUUUUUCGUAUAAAAUAAUGCUGGCAUGCAUUGAAUUUCCAAACAGCUUAGCUUUUGUUUUGUUUGUCGCAUUGUUAUCAAACUCUUUUACAUUUUAUUGCGGUAUAUUGCUAUGUGUAGGGCAUGCUUUAAUCAAAAAGUUGAGUAAUUGAUGAAUGCUAGGCAUGAAAAUGACAUAUUAUUUUUGUUUUCUGUCUCCUCCUUUUCUUUCCCCCACCUCAAAAAUUGUCAUGUUAUUUUUGUUUUCAGCCGCCUCUUCUUCCCCAAACCUUUAAAAUUGUUUAUAUUUGCUUUGGAAGCAUGACAAACUUCAUUGCCUCUCAGCUUAAGGAGAUUGCAGCAGGUCUCGAAGCUUCUGGGCAUUAGUUUAUCUGGGUAGUUAGAAGAAACAAAAAGAGUCAAGAAGACAAGGAAGAUUGUUUACCUAAAGGAUUUGAGGAAAGAAUGGAAGGCAAAGGGCUAUUAUCAGAGGAUGGACACUCCAAGUUUUGAUUCUUGGUCAUGAAGCAAUAGGUGCAUUUGUGACUCAUUGAGGAUGGAACUCAACUCUUGAAGGCAUAAGGCAAAUAUUUGCUGAGCAAUUCUAUAAUGAGAAGUUGGUGACUGAUGUUUUAAAAAAUGGAGUUAAGGAAUGGCUUAGAGUGCAGAGAUCAUGUUAAAAGUGAAGCUGUAGAGAAGGCAAUCACUCAAAUUAUGAUGGGUGAAGAAGCAGAGGAAAUGAGAGAGAAGAAAGCUGAACAAGGGAACGCAGUAGAUGAAGAAUAUGAGUUUACUGCAUUUACUGUCAAGAAUACAAACGUGAGCACUAAAAACUAAUUUGUACAGGAUACUCUUUAUAUAUAGAGUAGUAAUUAACUUCAUCACUUAUUUCUUUCUAUGAAUACAAUAUUCCUUAUUUAUAUAUAUUGAUUUGUUUCUUAUAUGAGGUAGCUGUAGUUUCCUUCUAUGAAAGAUCUGCCAUGGCUGUAGUUUCCUUCUUUGAGAAGUAGCCGUUGGUUGAGGUAGCUGUUGAUUCCUGUGAUUUCCAUGUAUGGUUAAUUACCAUUCUGAAUAGUAGCCGUUGGAGGUGUUAAUUCAGAAUGGUUGCUGACGAGAGUGAGGAUCCUGUGGUGGUGCUGCUGCUGUCUCCUGCUGCUGCUGCAGAGGUGUGUUGUUGCUGUUAAUACCCUCCCUCAAACGUUGCCGAGGUUGGAGGCAAAGUUUGCGCUGAAAACGAAGAAGAGUAGCUUUGGACACCGGCUUAGUAAACAGAUCAGCAAUCUGAUGUGUAGUGGGAAUAUGAUGUGUAAUAAGUUUCCCAAGAGCUACGCGUUCGCGUAUAAAAUGAUAAUCAAGUUCAAUAUGCUUGCUGCGAGCAUGGAAAAUAGGAUUGACCGUCAUAUGGAGCGCACUGAGAUUAUCACAAUAGAGCACUGGUGGAGAUAGCAAGGGAAUGUGUAAAUCAUGAAGGAUGUAGGUCAACCAGGUAAGUUCUGCAGCCGUGUUGGCCAUAGCACGAUAUUCAGCUUCAGUGCUAGAGCGUGAAAUAGUAUGUUGUUUCUUGGCACACCAGGAGAUGAGAUUACAGCCAAGGAAGACACAGUAGCCAGUGGUAGAACGUCGUGUAGUAAGACAGCCAGCCCAAUCAGCAUCUGAAAAAGCAGAGAAAUUAAGAUUAGUAUUAGAAGUGAAGUGCAGACCAUUAUUAAUAGUACCUUGACAUAUCGUAAGAUACGGCGGACCAUUUUUAAGUUGACAGUUGUAGGAGCAUGCAUGAAUUGAGAGACAUAAUUAACACUAAAAGAGAGAUCUGGUCGAGUAAGGGUGAGAUACUGGAGGGAGCCAACAAGCCCCCGGAAGAAACUGACAUCCGCUAAAGGAGGAGCAUUGGAGGAGGCUUUAGUUCGUGCUUCAAGUGGUGUAGUCAUGGGUUUACAGUCAACCAUUUCAGCACGUUCUAGAAUUGUAAAGGCAUAAUGUGAUUGUGAUAAAUGAAGUCCAUUUGGCGUGGGCGAAAUUUCGAUGCCAAGAAAAUGAUGAGUAGGGCCUAAGUCCUUCAUGGCAAAUUCUUGACUGAGUAGAGUAAUGAAAUCUGCAACAAGUGUAUCUAUAGUUCCUGUAAGAAGUAUAUCAUCAACAUAAAGUAGGAGAAUAAGAGAACCAUGAUCAGAAUGAAAAGUAAAUAGAGAAGGAUCUGCCAAGCUGCAUAGGAAACCGUAUUUGAGGAGAAAGGAACUAAAACGAUCAAACCAAGCACGAGGUGCUUGUUUAAGGCCAUAGAGGGCACGUUGGAGCUUGCAGACAUGCUGUGGACGUUGAGGAUCUGAGAGUCCUGGUGGCUGUUCCAUGUAGAGAUUUUCAGAAAUCAAACCAUGUAGAAACACAUUUUUCACAUCAAGCUGCCGUAGGGGCCAAUGAUGAACAAGAGCUAUAGUGAUAAUUAGCCGAAUGGUGCCAGGCUUUACAACGGGAGAGAAUGUUUCAGUGUAGUCUAGGCCAUCAAUCUGGUGGUAUCCUUUGGCAACAACACGGGCUUUGAGACGCUCCAAGCUGCCAUCAGAUUUGAGUUUGGUUUUAAACACCCAUUUGGAACCUAUGAUAUGCAUAUCGGUGGUACGAGGUACCAAUUUCCAUGUCUGAUUUUGGUGUAAGGAUGUAAGUUCAUCCUCCAUUGCUGCUUUCCAUCCUGGAUGAGCUAGUGCAGCUCACACAGAUCGCGGUUCAUGCGGUAUUCCAGCAGAGAUGACAGAUGUUAAUGCAUACUUGGGAUUUGGUUUUAUGAUGCCAUGCUGGGACCGAGUGGUCAUGGUGCGAAGAGCUGAAGUAGAGGAAUUGGGAACAAACUCAUCUGCGGAGGCAUCACUACAAGGAGGUUGUGCAGCUUGGUGUAGCGCACGUUGUGAACGAGUAACCAUAGAGUGAGGAGCUGAAUUUGGGUGGUCUUGCUGCUGCAGAGUAGUUAAGUUCUCAGAGAGUGGUUGCUGGGAAAUAUCAGGGCAGAGAUUGUGGGCAAUCUCCUGCUGAGUGGGAGCUGCCACCUGCUGAAUAUCAUUCUCCGAACUAUGGUGUUGUAGUGAGGAAGAGGGUUCUAUAGAUGGAUCAGUGGGAGAACCAGAAUUAGAGAGAUCUGAUACGUGCAUGAAGAUACAUGCAAACCGCAACAAACCAGAAGGUGGCAGUAGCGCACGUGGUACGUGGAAGACACUUGGACGUGGAUCAUGCUUGGUCGCCAGAUUGUUAGUGGGGUUUGUUAUGGAAUUAGUCAUUCUCCAGUUAUUUUUAGUAUUAACAGUUAAUAAGGAUUCCUCGGAGGAUCCCUUGUUUGUUUCCCAUUUUCUAGAUAGUUUCCCAAAUUCUAGCAUUGUUUGUUAUUCAAUUCAUGUAUAAAAGGGCCUGGUGGCAUCCAAUAAAGGUAUCGAAAAUUAUCCAAUACUGUCUCCUCUCUUACUUCUCUGCUUCUCUUCUCACUCCCUAAAUUCAACCUAUCAGUGGUAUCAGAGCCAGGUUACACAGUUGUCAUGGAUACUCGCGGAAAAAGUAAUGCUGAAUUCCGGACUGAGGUCAAUGACGCCUUAGCUAGGCAUGAGUCUAGCUUUGAUCAGGUGAAUGCUGCCCUUCAAGCAGUAUUAACCGAACUACAAGCCAUCCGCACCCAAAAACACCCAAACACUAACCCUCCCGAAAUCAAUCCCUUUGCAUCAGAAUCAUCAUCCCAGUUACAUAGUUCUCGCAACCCAAACACCACUGGUCAAACACACUCCCACCUCAAACUCUCAUUCCCUCGUUUUGAUGGCAGUGAGCCCACAGGUUGGGUGUACAAAGCCGAACAGUACUUCGAAUUUCAGGACAUUGACUCGGCCCAGCAGGUCCAAUUGGCCUCCUUCCAUCUAGAUGGAAUUGCUCUCCAAUGGCACCGAUGGCUGACCAAGUUUCGGGGACCCCUUCUGUGGAACGAGUUCGUGCAAGCCCUUUUGCAACGAUUCGGACCCACAGACUACGAAGACCCAUCGGAAUCGCUCACUCGUCUCAGACAAACUACCUCUGUAGCAGCUUACCAAGAGGCUUUUGAGAGGCUCUCCCAUCAAGUUGAUGGACUACCGGAAGGUUUUUUAAUAGGAUGUUUUGUUGCAGGGCUGCGAGAUGAAAUUCGUAUUGAUGUCAAGAUUAAACAUCCCCACACACUGGCAGAAGCAAUUGGAGUUGCCCGACUGAUUGAGGAGCGCAAUCUACUGCAAAGGAAGACCCAUCUUCCAAUUCGGUCUUCUUCCAUGAAUUUACCCUCCAGGGCACCAGCAAAUUCAGUAGCUGGAGUGUUGGGACCACCCCCAUCACAAAGACCAAACCUAUCACCAACAUCAUUCCGGAGGAUCACCACUCAAGAAGCUCGGGAACGAAGGGAAAAAGGGGCUGUGUUUCUAUUGCGAUGAGAAAUUCAAGCCAGGCCAUCGCUGUGAACAACCACAAUUGUUUAUGAUCGAAGACAGCUCCAACACCAGCCUUGAUGAAGAAAUAACAGAUACUGAGGACAUCAUCAAUUCAGAGGACAUGCCCGAAAUCUCAUUCCAUGCUAUCGCAGGUGCUGAACACCCUCAAACCUUACGGGUGUUGGGUCAAUUGGGCAACAAAAAGGUGACCGUGCUCAUUGACGGAGGCAGCACGCAUAACUUCAUUGAUCAGGUGGUGGUAACCAAAUUUGGGAUACCCAUUAAUCGCAGCCAGCGAUUUCAGGUAAUGGUGGCUAAUAGAGAGAAAAUCACUUGUACUGGGCAAUGUCAGAGCCUCACAUUAAUCAUUCAGGGCAUAGCCAUCACUGCCAAUUACUGUGUUCUACCGGUCAUGGCUUGUCAAGUGGUACUGGGUGUGCAGUGGCUUGAGACACUGGGUCCGAUUGAAAUGGAUUUCAAAAAGCUCACUAUGAGCUACAAAACGCAUGGAGAGAAACACACCUUUUACGGGUUGAAGCACACGGGUCAUGCUGCCUUCACAGAGAAGGAGUUUCAUGGGUUACAAGGGAAUGGAUUCUUCCUUCAAAUCAUUCCCUCACAUCCCAUCAUUGACAGUAGCAGCCAUCCACCGGAGCUUAAGGCCCUUCUAUCCGAAUUCUCGCAGGUGUUUGAGGAGCCCACGGGUCUGGCUCCCCAGAGAGCCAAAGACCACCACAUACCUCUACAACCCAAUUCUGGCCCAGUAAGUGUGAGACCCUACCGCUACCCGUAUUACCAGAAAACCGAGAUAGAAAAAAUGGUGCAAGACUUGUUGAAGUCUGAAUUGAUACGCCCCAGUAAUAGCCCAUUCUCCUCUCCUGUUUUGCUAGUCAAAAAGGCGGAUGGGGCUUGGCGUUUUUGUGUGGAUUAUCGCGCUUUGAAUGAAAUCACCAUCAAAGACAAAUAUCCAAUUCCCGUAAUUGAUGAGCUCCUAGAUGAGCUGCAUGGGUCUCGUUACUAUUCCAAAUUGGACCUACGAUCCGGCUAUCACCAAAUCCGGGUACGAGACGACGACAUACCUAAAACAGCAUUCAGAACUCAUGAAGGCCAUUACGAGUUCGUUGUCAUGCCAUUUGGUCUAACCAAUGCUCCUGCAACCUUCCAAAGUCUUAUGAAUGAUCUUUUUCGUCCCCACCUCAGGAAGUUUAUUUUGGUUUUUUUUGACGAUAUUCUGGUUUAUUCCAAAUCGUGGGAAGACCAUUUAACCCAUUUGCACACUGUUUUGAAGAUUCUAGCAGAUAAUACACUCUUUGCAAAGGAGUCCAAGUGCAGAUUCGGGGUUACAUAGGUUGACUACCUAGGCCAUGCUAUUUCAAACCAAGGAGUAUCGGUGGAUCCUACCAAAAUUCAAGCAGUGGUUGAGUGGCCUACCCCUACGACAGCCAAGGGGGUCCGCGGAUUCUUGGGCCUGGCCGGCUAUUACAGAAAGUUCAUCCGCCAUUUUGGAGGAAUAGCCGCACCACUUACCCGAUUGCUGACCAAGGAUGGGUUUCAGUGGAGUGCAGAAGCUGAUUUGGCUUUUCAACGUCUGAAGGAAGCCUUAACCCAGUCCCCGGUCUUACGCAUGCCAGAUUUCUCUCAACGAUUUGUGGUCGAGUGUGAUGCCAGUGGGAUCGGAAUUGGUGCAAUACUUUCCCAACAGAAUCAACCCGUGGCAUACUUUAGUGAAGCACUAAAAGGGUCUUCUUUGACACUAUCCACUUAUGAGAAAGAAAUGUUGGCCAUCGUCAAGGCAAUUCGUAAGUGGCGACCAUAUCUGCUUGGUAAACCAUUCACAGUUCGCACGGACCAGAGGAGUCUCAAAUAUCUCCUGGAGCAGAGGAUUACUACCCCAGCACAGACACGUUGGCUUCCUAAAAUUCUCGGCUAUGACUAUGUAAUCGAGUACAAGAAAGGGAGCGAGAACCAAGGGGCAGACUCACUGUCCAGAGUAGUGGAAUUUCAGUUUUUGUCCAUCUCGUUCCCAAAGGCAGAGUGGUGGCCAACUCUGCAACAGGAGGUGCAACAGGAUCCAUUUUAUGCCAACUUCAAAUCAACGGACCCCUUCAUGGUUCAAAGAGACGGAGUGUGGUUCAAGAAGGGUAAGGUGUUUUUAAGCCCGAAUUCUACUCUUAUCCCUCUACUUUUGGCAGACUGUCAUGCCACGCCGAUUGGUGGACACUUUGGGUUCCAUAAAACACUCGCACGCAUUAAGCAAGACUUUACCUGGCCCAGAGUUCACGUCACAGUGAAGGAAUUCUUGCAGCAAUGUACCACAUGUCAACGCUUCAAAAAAGAUUGCAUGAAGCCAGCUGGGCUGCUGCAACCCCUACCUGUGCCUUCCAAAGUUUGGACUGAUAUCUUCAUGGACUUCAUCAAAGGAUUGCCUUCCUCCCAAGGGUAUACUUGUGUAAUGGUGGUAGUGGAUCGCCUGUCCAAAUAUGCCCAUCUCAUUUCGUUGAAGCAUCCCUACACAGCAAUCACGGUGGCCAAAGCCUUCAUCUCCUGCGUCGUCCGCCUGCAUGGUAUUCCAGCCUCUAUUGUGAGCGAUCGUGACAAGGUGUUUAUUAGCUCCUUCUGGCGCACCCUCUUUCAGUCCCAAGGCACUCAGCUGUGCAUGAGCUCAGCUUACCAUCCUCAGUCGGAUGGUCAGACUGAAGUUGUCAACCGCAUCCUCGAACAGUAUUUGCGGUGCUUUGCAGGUGACCAGCCACGUAAAUGGUUCGACUGGAUUCCAUGGGCAGAGUUCAGCUACAAUACCUCGCUCCACUCUGCCACUAAGAUGACGCCAUUUGAGGUGGUUUAUGGUGUUCCCCCUCCUAGUUUACUCACCUAUGUUCCCGGUACCUCAAAUGUUCAAGCCGUGGAUGAGCAUCUGCGCGAUAGAGACUGUCUCCUUCGUGAGCUGAGGAGGAAUCUGUUGAUUGCCCAGAACAGGAUGAAGAGCCAAGCUGAUCAACAUCGCAGGGAUGUCUCCUUUGACGUUGGAGAUUAUGUGUAUUUAAAGCUCCAACCUUACCGUCAAUCCUCAGUGGCAUUUCGUAGCUCAAUGAAGUUAGCCCCACGGUUCUUUGGGCCUUACCAGGUCCUAGCUAAAGUCGGAACAGUUUCCUACAAAUUAGCACUGCCACAGGAUUCCCAAAUCCAUAACGUGUUUCAUGUUAGCUUGCUACGGAAAUACUUUGGGCCCCUCCCUCCUACAUCAACAGUGGUGAGCCUUCCUCCUAUUUCAGAAUCAGCCAAUAUUCUUCCACAACCUGAGGCUGUCCUGGACCGACGAGUAGUUAACAAUGGGAAAUAUCAUCCAAAACAUGAAAUUUUGGUCAAAUGGGAUGGUGCACCAGUGGAAGAUGCUACUUGGGAGAAUGAAAGGCGUUUUAUCAAGACCUAUCCCACCUUCAUCCUUGCGGACAAGGAUUCUUAAGGGGGAAGGAUUGAUACGUGCAUGAAGAUACAUGCAAACCGCAACAAACCAGAAGGUGGCAGUAGCGCACGUGGUACGUGGAAGACACUUGGACGUGGAUCAUGCUUGGUCGCCAGAUUGUUAGUGGGGUUUGUUAUGGAAUUAGUCAUUCUCCAGUUAUUUUUAGUAUUAACAGUUAAUAAGGAUUCCUCGGAGGAUCCCUUGUUUGUUUCCCAUUUUCUAGAUAGUUUCCCAAAUUCUAGCAUUGUUUGUUAUUCAAUUCAUGUAUAAAAGGGCCUGGUGGCAUCCAAUAAAGGUAUCGAAAAUUAUCCAAUACUGUCUCCUCUCUUACUUCUCUGCUUCUCUUCUCACUCCCUAAAUUCAACCUAUCAAGAUCAUGAAGGGAUUGUACAGCCGCAGAGUUAGUGAUAUCAGGUGAAGAAGUGUGCACUGUCUCCUGCUGGAAUGUCUCCGGCUGAGUAAUUGAAGUGUCAGACUGCUGCUGAAGCUGUUGGCGGGCUGGAGUACUGUCACCAUGGAGUUGCAGAGCAACAUCAGCGGGAGAAAUAUCUGUAAAGCACACUGUCUCCUGCUGGAAUGUCUCCGGCUGAGUAAUUGAAGUGUCAUACUGCUGCUGAAGCUGUUGGCGGGCUGGAGUACUGUCACCAUGGAGUUGCAGAGCAACAUCAGCUGGAGAAAUAUCUGUAAAGCACGCUGGUGUAUCUGAGGUCAUAGUAGGAAGCAGGGGUAUGGGCAGUGAGCUGCUGCAUGGUGGCGUUGCUGGUGUUUCAGAGAUAUCUGUAGGAGAGCGUGAAGCAAGGAUAGUUAGCCAAGAAUCAAAUAUGCUAAGGACAUGAUUAGAAUGAUCAAUAUUUGUGGUGAUAUUAUUUUGUUUAUACGGAAGGAUAGAUUCACUAAAAACCACAUGUCGUGAGACAAAAAAAUUUUUGCUUGUUGGAUGAAAGCAUUUAUAUCCCUUAUGUUGAUCACUAUAUCCUACAAAAAUACAUGGAACACUUUUUGGAUCAAAUUUAUUUCGUCUUGUAUCCCAAGUGUAAGGGAAACAUCGGGAGCCAAAAAUACGAAGAGAUGAAUAAAUAGGGUGGUUACCAUGUAAGCGGAAGUAUGGAGUGUCAUAGUUAAGAGCAGAAGAGGGCAGUCUAUUAAUGAGAUAAACAGCAGUUGUGAAGGCUUCAACCCAUAAAAAUAAAGGAGUACCACUAUGGAAUAACAUUGUCAUACCUAGUUCUCUUAUAAUUCUGUGUCGCCUUUCAACCAUACCUGUUUGUUCAGGAGUGUAAGGACAAGAUACCUGGUGAACAAUUCCUGUGGAGCGAAAAUGACUUGAUAAUUUUGAGUUAAUAAAUUCUCCUCCUCCAUCUGAGUGAAAGACUUUGAUCUGUUUAUUGAAUUGCCUACUAACAUACUUUUCAAAUGCUAUAAACACUGUUAGAAAAUCAAAUUUGUUAUGAAGAGGAAUUAUCCAUGUAUAUUUAGAGAAAUCAUCUACUAGGCAAGCAUAAUAUUUGAAUUUUCCAAUAGAUAAAACAGGGGCAGGUCCCCAUAAAUCACAAUGUAUUUUUUCAAAAACAUCAGUACUUGAAUGUUCAGAAUGCGAAAAAGGUAAGUUGCUAAGUUUUCCUAAUUGACAACUAUCACAAAGGUGCUCAGUCUUCAUAGCUCCUGUGACGUCAAUCAAUCCUGUAUUUUUUAAUAGCUGCACUGCAGAAGCUUGAGGAUGUCCUAGGCGUUGAUGCCAAACUGCUGCUGAUCCAGUUUUAAAACGAUAAGAAAAAUGUAAUUCUGGCGAGUUGUGCAAGACAUAAAGAUCACCCUUACGUCUACCUGUGAUCAGAGGUUGUCCUGUUUUCCGUUCCUUAACACAAAAAUCAACGUCAGAAAACUCACAGUUCACAGGAAAUUGUUUGGUAAGCUGACUUACUGAAAGUAAAUUUUUAGUUAAUUCAGGAACAAGAAGAACAUCAUUAAUAUGUAAUUUAGUAUUGUUUUGUUUAAUAAAUGAAUCUCCAAUACCAAUAAUCGGUAGAGACGAUCCAUUUCCAAUAACCACAGAAUCAGUUCCAAAAUACUUACGAACAUCAGUUAACAUACCUGGCUUACUUGUCAUGUGAUUCGAUGCACCAGUGUCUGAUGUCCAUUCCGUGUCAACCACGGUGCUUCCCAAAUAGCGGUUGCUCUUUUGCAAUAUUAGAAGCAUGAACCACAAACAAUACUCUUUUGAAUAUUAGAAGCAUGAACCACAUUGUUCAUAAUCGACUCUUUCAUAAAUGUCAUCCUUAACAUCACCUUUUUCUAGCCUAGGAUUUUGCACACUAAGAGCCUAUUUGACGUUGCAGUUGAAUCGUUGUUUUUCCAUUUUGAAAAAAAUUAUUCUUGCUUCAAUUGUUUUUGCGUUCUUGGAUUGUUAUGAUGUGUUAAUGUUAAAAAUGAAUUAAAAAAUAUAUUUUGAUAUAUUUCCAAGUGAAAAACACUUUACAACGCAACCGCUACCACACUUUUAAACAAUCACUAAGAAGUUAUCCAGGAAUAAUUGUUCUCCAUUUGCAGUUGUUGCAUACUCAAAAAAAUAUUAUGUCAAAACAUACAUGACAGGUGGCUCCAAUAUCAAUCCACCACUUUUUAAGAUUGUGCACCAGGUUUGCUUCUGACAUAACUACAACAAGCUUUGCAGCUUUCUCAUCAACAUUCUCAAUGAUUUUGUUUUGUGCAUUUUUUCCUUACAGAUAUGCCUUUGCUUUUUACAAACAAAACAAGUUUCUUUGAACUUCUUUUUGCCGACACUAUUACCAUUAGAACUCUUGAGAGAACUUGCUUCAUAUUUAAGUUCACCAGGUUAAGAAUGUUUAGGAAUCGGGUUUGCCAUCGAGACCGCAAAGAUUACCAGGUUAAAUUAUUUUGGUUUUUUCCCCGCAUGAUAGAAUGUUUAGGAAUCGGGUUUGCCAUCGAGACCGCAAAGAUUACCAGGUUAAGAAGUACAUUGAAAUUAUUAACAAUAGAUUUAUCCAUUUAUUAUCUCAAUAACAAGAUUAACUUUAUAAUUAUAUAUCACACUUAUAUAAUCUGAAAUAAUAUUAAUUAAAAUGAAUCCCAAAAAUUUAACACACUAAUUCUGCAAAAAACAAAUUUAAUAAACAAUUUAACUUUGCAACUAUGUAUUUAUUUAUUUGUUUUUCUAUGAGACUCAAUUUUUUUUUUAAUAAUCAUCAAGAGUAUAUUGAAAAGGCCAUAAAGCCAAUAGACAGUGAAAUUUUUAACAGAAACUCAAUGUAAUUUUCAACAAAAACUAUAACAAUACAAAUAAUUACAAAUAUUUUUCUUUCAACAUCAACAUAAGAAAACAAUAUGCACUCUUCUAAAGUUAUGAUAAAAAAAAUCUGAUUGAUACUUAUGUUGUUUUAUGAUUAAAGUAACAAUAGCAUCUAAAGAGAAUGAAUUAGGUGUUGCACUAAUUAUGUCAAAAUAAUGCAAGUAAACACACUAAACACAUAUAACACAAAAACCAACAAUAUAAUUCAAGUGCUUAAAGUAAAUAUAUAAGAAAAAAGAGAUUGCAAACUCGAUUUUUAACGUGAUUCGGUAAGCUUACAUCCACAUCUCAAGUACUAAUCAUACUUAAGUAUUGUACUUUUUUACUAAUCCAAGUGAAAGAUACAUUGCCCUUGAUGAAUUCACACCAAGAAAUUACACCACUUGAUGAAUUUUUCUCUUUAAGAUUUUUCUCCUAGAAUUCCGGUUAAAUAGAAUUGCACUUAAUAUAUAUUAUUUCACCAUAAUUAUUAUCCAGAUAUGCAACUUUUUUUCUUUCCGAUCAUCUGUUUUCUUUUUUUCAUAUCAAUACAACAACAAAGGAAAAUACCAUGCAAUAUAAAAUGUAUUUCCCUGUAGAAUCAAUGCAACAAGUUUACAGACAACAGACGACAAGGAAUUUAACAUAGUCAUGGAAUUUAACUGAAGAUAUAUACACUUUACUUUCUCUAUUAAAAUUAAACUAUUUUUUUUAAUCUAUGUCAAUAUAUAAUCAAUUUGGUCUUGAAGAUAUAUAAAUAUACACAGAACAAAUAUGUUAGAAAAUAAAUUGUUUAAGAUUGUUAGAGCACCUUAAAUAGUUCAUAAAAUUAUUCUUCCCUUUUACUAUAAUGAUGAAGUACAAGGGUUGUUGAUGAUGACCUCUUGGAUGGCUACAUGAAGCUUGUUCCGUUUUAAAUUUCAAGGUUAAUCUAUUGCUAUGAGCAUACGUGUCUCAAUUUAAAACUCGAGUUGCAACUGAACUUAAAUGAAUGGUGUUGGAUUUGGGCCUUCUAUUUGUUUUAACUUCUACAGGGUUGAAAUGAUAGUGAUCUUAAAGUAGAAAAGCAGCAGACAAAAAUCAAUUAACCAUAAUGGUGCAUGGUUUCCUAGUUUCUCAGCAUAAAGUUGAAUGUUUUGUUGACCUUUCUACAUCAAAAAUCAUAUAGACAGCUACUGCUGGCACUUGCAGUGGCCAAUGCAUACUGUAGAGUAUAUAUUGCAGUGUGAGAUAAGGUUAACUCGUUGCAUUUUCAUAUAUUGAAAGGAUUUCUCUUCUUUUCUUUGUCAAUUACAGCACAUGCAUAUAAGUGUUCUUCCUCAGAGUAAAUGCUAUAGUAAUGUUUUCACGGACUCCCCUGGUUUGCAACUGAUUCACUUAUAUAUCUUGGAACAUAGCCAUAAAUGAAAGGUUCUUCUAGUUCAAGAAAAUUAACCAUGAAGCUCGUAACUAGAAUUUUUAGACAGAAGGGUGGCCAAGCGAACUCCUAUACUCCGUACGUCUGGAAUAAUACAGGGAAAGGGUGUUUAUGUAUUUUGAUGUCUUAUAUUACUUGACCAACUCUUGCUUAUCUCAUUAUUUGUUUUAAUUUUUUGCUAAUAAUUCCACACAUUUCUGAUAUGGUGUGGUUUUUGAGUUCAGGGUUCUUGCUCAUUGCUGCUAACUUCUCUAUACUUGCCUGGUCAUUAAAAAUGAAACGUAAUGAUUUGCAUAUGCUGAAUGGAGACAUUAAAGAGGCAUCUUCUGUUUUCUGGUCAGGAGGGAUUACAAGAACUCAAGAAAUUUUCCAUAUGUUUUGAGGAAAAGAUUUAUACUACCACUACCAAUCAGGUAUUUGCCUAAUGUGAGGUUUAAUAAUUACGAUAUUAUCUAGACAUUAAUAUACACACGCAUUUAUGCUUGUACAAAUGUGUGUGUAGUGUAGUGUGCCUACACUUCCUCACCGUUCAUUCUGUAUGCAAGGCUGAUUGGGAGUUCACAUUAUUUUGUUAAUUCUCUUGACAAGUGUUUUAUUUAGAGUGACCAAGUUCAAGUACAAGGGAAGAGUGCAAAAAGCAAAUAGCGAAUCAAUACAUAAAUAAUUAAAUAAAAAGAGAGGAAACAAAAGUAUAUCAUAGAGAAGAUGAAAUGAUAGAGCAUAUAUCCAUUUUCCUCCUCUUGUAACAUGGAUUGCUCUGAGAUCUGAUGUUUUGUUAUUAAUAUCUGAUUUCAGUCUGAUUAUAUAUCUACGAAAAAUAUCUCUGGAGAUGCUUUCGAUGGAGAUCAGGUCUCAAAAUGCCAUGCCCACUGUCCCCAUGGAUCCAGCAGGUAAUAAUGCACCCGAGCAUUGAAUUUCUAAACAUCUUACCUUUUGUUUUUCUUCUCACAUUGUUAUCAAACUCUUUUACAUUUUAUUGCUGUAUAUUGCUAUGUAUAUCGCCUUGCUAGAAAAAUCUCAUGAUCACCUCCACGAUGCUAAUUCUAUAAUGCAUGUGAAGUGUUUCAUCCUUAACUUGUUAAGAACAAGGACUAUGAUGCAUUGCUAUUUUAUAUUUUAUGAUUGAGAUGGUAGAUUUUAAAGAUUUUCCUGUUUAGGAGAUAAAAGUAAGAUGUCACUUUUUUGCUUUUCUUCCGAGAGAGUAUUUGAUCCUUUUUUCGUAUAAAAUAAUGCUGGCAUGCAUUGAAUUUCCAAACAGCUUAGCUUUUGUUUUGUUUGUCGCAUUGUUAUCAAACUCUUUUACAUUUUAUUGCGGUAUAUUGCUAUGUGUAGGGCAUGCUUUAAUCAAAAAGUUGAGUAAUUGAUGAAUGCUAGGCAUGAAAAUGACAUAUUAUUUUUGUUUUCUGUCUCCUCCUUUUCUUUCCCCCACCUCAAAAAUUGUCAUGUUAUUUUUGUUUUCAGCCGCCUCUUCUUCCCCAAACCUUUAAAAUUGUUUAUAUUUGCUUUGGAAGCAUGACAAACUUCAUUGCCUCUCAGCUUAAGGAGAUUGCAGCAGGUCUCGAAGCUUCUGGGCAUUAGUUUAUCUGGGUAGUUAGAAGAAACAAAAAGAGUCAAGAAGACAAGGAAGAUUGUUUACCUAAAGGAUUUGAGGAAAGAAUGGAAGGCAAAGGGCUAUUAUCAGAGGAUGGACACUCCAAGUUUUGAUUCUUGGUCAUGAAGCAAUAGGUGCAUUUGUGACUCAUUGAGGAUGGAACUCAACUCUUGAAGGCAUAAGGCAAAUAUUUGCUGAGCAAUUCUAUAAUGAGAAGUUGGUGACUGAUGUUUUAAAAAAUGGAGUUAAGGAAUGGCUUAGAGUGCAGAGAUCAUGUUAAAAGUGAAGCUGUAGAGAAGGCAAUCACUCAAAUUAUGAUGGGUGAAGAAGCAGAGGAAAUGAGAGAGAAGAAAGCUGAACAAGGGAACGCAGUAGAUGAAGAAUAUGAGUUUACUGCAUUUACUGUCAAGAAUACAAACGUGAGCACUAAAAACUAAUUUGUACAGGAUACUCUUUAUAUAUAGAGUAGUAAUUAACUUCAUCACUUAUUUCUUUCUAUGAAUACAAUAUUCCUUAUUUAUAUAUAUUGAUUUGUUUCUUAUAUGAGGUAGCUGUAGUUUCCUUCUAUGAAAGAUCUGCCAUGGCUGUAGUUUCCUUCUUUGAGAAGUAGCCGUUGGUUGAGGUAGCUGUUGAUUCCUGUGAUUUCCAUGUAUGGUUAAUUACCAUUCUGAAUAGUAGCCGUUGGAGGUGUUAAUUCAGAAUGGUUGCUGACGAGAGUGAGGAUCCUGUGGUGGUGCUGCUGCUGUCUCCUGCUGCUGCUGCAGAGGUGUGUUGUUGCUGUUAAUAAUGAGGACUAGAGCAAAGAAGCUUUCAGUGCUUUGAUUUAAUAACUGCCAAGAAUGGAAGGCUGUUGAAGAUGGUGGAUCUUCUUGCUCCAAUUUCAAUGCUUUGAUUGAAUAACUGAGGUGGGGUAGCCCUUGAAACAGAGGCAUAGAACAUUUUGUUACUACUUAGUAGUGGUUUUGGCAAUUUAUUUUCAGAUAAGUCUUGAGAGUUGAAAGAGUAAUCACAGACGAGUCAAUGACCAAUCCAAAUCAGUUCCCUUCCUAAUGGUUCAGGAAUGACAAGUCCAGCUUAUUUAUUGAGCCCAAAUAACUUUUCAAAUAAAAAGGUUGAACUUAGAGACAGUACACUACAAAUUAAGCACCUAAUAGCUAGACAUACAAGACAAACAAUCAUCACAAACUAGGAACAAUCGUCUUCCCAGUAACAAAUUCACCUUCUCAAGUUGGAGAACUUGCGAAAACUAGCCACUACAAAAUAGUAGCAAGUAUCUAUGCAGUCUUCGAUGAAGUACGACCACCUGCGUCGCCAAUAUGGAUCGAUGUAAAGAACUACUACAAUUAUCAUCACCACAACUGUGUAACAUACACCGAAAUUGAUGUAGAAAAACUCCAUGUCUAUGAAACCAUCAUCUCCUUGUUCAUCAUAAGGCACUGGCUGUGAUGGCACUGGUUGUGAUGGCACUGGCUGUGAUGGCACUGCUUCCUCACUACAAUUGUUUCGCAAUGGAGGUCCACACAAAAAAGGAUUUCCUUCGUAACAACUUUCAUCAAAGGUCCCAAACUGAUAUUUUCUCUCGGGUGUGUUACCUGACAAGUUAUUAUGCGCCACACUAAAAACUUCCAGUGUGGUAAUAUCAGUAAGUUGUGGAGGGAUGACACCAUUCAAGUUGUUGUAAGAAAGAUCCAAACUCUCAAUCUGCUUUAGGUUUGAGAAUGUUGCAGGGAUAGAUCCAGUGAGAUUGUUGUGUGAUAAGUUUAAUGACAGUAUCUUACUUAAGUCUCCAAAUUCUGGUGGGAUUGCUCCUACGAAGUUGUUAUUGGAGAGAUCAAUACCAGACAUGUAGCUGAGAGUCUUCCCCUUGUAACGAUAAUACAUAUUUUUAGUUGUAAAUUCUAUCACUUCUUCUGUAAAGUUAAGCAGAAAACCCUUUCUCAAGUUGUACAUACUCUCCACUAGUGGUGGACCCAUUGUUUCAUAAUAAGCUUUUUCUAUGGACCUUGAUAGAACAUCAGCUCCGAGAUCUGCGAGCGUUUUCUGGGAACUUUCCUUGAAAGUAAGAUUGCCCAAACAGGAGGGUAGUGGACCAGAGAGUUGGUUUUGUGAAACAUCCAAAAUGCUUAAUUGUUCUAACAAGCAUAAUUGAACAGGGAGCUCACCAUCAAAGUGAUUAGCCCUCAGAAGAAGAACACUCAAUGAUGAAAGAUUGCCAAUCCAAUUUGGAAAGGAGCCGGUGAAGUUGUUAUCUCGAAGAUCCAUCGUAACCAGGGAAGAGUUGUUAUAAAAUCCAUAUGUUAAUGGACCGCUCAAUCUAUUUUCAGAUAGAUGCACAUGGGUUAUUUGUGGUGGACUGAAACAAGAUGGUAUAUAUCCAGACAAGUUGUUCUCAGAAAGGUCCAAAUAUUCAAGCUGGUUAAGCUUACAAAAGUCUCUUAGGAUCGGACCCUUAAAAUAGUUUUUGGACAAAUCAAUUGCGAUAAGGCCUGUAGAAUUGACUAACCACCUUGGAAGCAUGCCUGAAAAUUGAUUGUCACUCAAAUCCAAUGUUGACCACAUUUUCCACCCAUAUAAUAGAAAAUCUGAUAUCUGACCCCAAAAGUUGUUACCGUGUAGGUAGAGAUAUUCUAAGGUAGAAGAAUUGAAUACUGAGGUUGGUAAUUGCCCACCCAAAUUAUUGUUUGACAGCUUGAGAAACCAUAUUGUUGUUAGUUGUUCUAGUUUUACUAUAGACAAUUGAUUGUUGGAUAAAUCUAAAAUUUUCAAAGAGCUAAUAUUUCCUAAACAAGAAGGAAUACAACCUGUGAAUCCAUUAUUGGCCAUCCUUAAGCUCCACAUAUUUGGAAAGAUCAAACAAAUAUCUUUAGGAAUUUGACCGUUCAUGUUGUUGUUGGAAAUAUCUAAUUCGGUCAUAUUCAGAUAUGGGUGAUCUUGCAACUGUAAAGUACCGACAAAGGAGUUGUUGCUUAGAUAUAGUUGCUCCAAUCGUGUAUUGUUCUUAAGCAACCAUGAUGGAAACAUUGCGGUGAUGUUGUUGUGGGAGAGAUCAAGGACUCUUAUGUCGUAUUGGUAAUAAAGGAAGUCGGGAAUUUUUACAUUUAGUGCUUCUGUUGUUUUUGACAAUCGGAAAAAUACUAGUUGGAACUUUGGAAUCAAAUUAUCAAAGGCAGCAGGUUCUGUUACUAGCUUGUUGUUCUCACUGGAGAAGAACUUGAGGCUUGAGUGGUUCAUAAAAGGCUUCAUUGAAAUGGGAACUUCAAAGAGGUUAUUUGAUAGUGAGAGGAAUUCAAGGGAUGUGAGGUUGGUAAGAGGACCGGAGGCAAUAUUUCCAGUAAACUGGUUUUCAGAAACAUCUAAUAGUUGUAGAGAUGACAAGUUCCCCAAACAAUCUGGGAGUGAACCUCCUAAAUUAUUUCCAGAGAGAUCUAACUGCCUCAGAUUCUUUAAUUCACACCAACCUGUACAAUUUAUCUUGAAACAGUCAAAACAGUGUUGAAAGAAUCUUUUAUUGAUGAUAGUUGUUAAUUUACCUUGAGCGGGUAGGGUGCCAUGGAGGUCACAUUCAGCAACAGACAAAACUUUAAGAUCAGGCAAUGCUCCAAUGUUCUGGAGAAAGUUUAUUGGGAGAGAAGUACGAUCUAGAUACAAUUCUUCAAGGGUGCUAGAAUUGAAGAAAGUCCCUGUGAAAAAGAAAGAAGAAGAGAUAUGAUGAAAAUUGUGGUCGUACAGAAUAGCCAUUCCAUUUAAUAUUAUUAAUUAAGAUUUUAAGAAACUAAACUAUGAUUAACCUUGACUUAAAUUAGUAUCCUUGAGAGAAAGGGUCUUCCUUAAACCUAUGAUGUGUAGAAUUGAAAGCAGGCAAUCAAGUAAGUAGUGAAAUUAAGUGUUAUCUUGAUCGAGUUUUUAAACCUAUGAUAAAGAACUGAUAUUGAAUAGUGAGAUGAUUUUUGGAUAGAAACAACAAAUUGCCUGAAAAAUCCAGAGAUAUUGCCUGAUAAAUUUAAAUUUAAAGACUUUACCAUUGACGGUCGUCGAUCCUAGCAACAUAUUGCCUGAUAAAUUUAAAGACUUGAGAUAAGAAAGCCCACGCAGAUGUGAUAAAAUGCUGUCGUUGAAUAUAUUAUAGCUCAGGUCCAGGUUAUCGAGUUUCUCCAAAUGUGAUGAUAUGAUCUCAAAACCUGCAAGAGAGUUGUUUCUAUAAGCAAGUCAUAAUUACAUAAUAACUUUAAUCAAACAUGAUGAAAUACUAUCGUUGAUUAUUAAAUGAAUAUAAAGUCCUCAAUUUUCAUAGAAGGAGAUAUGAGAAGGAGAAAAGAAAAUGUUUCGAAGCUAAAUAAUUAAAAGGUUACCAUAGAAGCUACCUGAUCCUGUCAAUCCAUUGCCUGAUAGAUCCAAAGACUUGAGAGUGGAAAGCCCAGUCAUGCAUGACAAAAUGCUUUUAUCAUUAUUAAAUCGGUUAUCACUUAGGUCAAGAUUCCUCAGAUUUGAUGAUAGGACUUCGAAGCCUGGAAGAGAAUCAUCAAAGCAAGAUAAUUGACAUUAAACACCAAUCAACCUUGAUUUAUUUUAUGAUUAUAAGUGCAGAAACAUUGAACUAACCUUCAUUCUCCAAGCAACCAACCAAUCCAUUAAAUCGCAAUUCGAGACUUUGCAAUUCUUUAAAAGGCAGAAACAAAGAUGCGUUGAGAACCCAAUCGCCAAAGCUCUGAUCCCUUGCUCCACUAAGAGAGAGUUCGAUCACUCGCCUUGUAGUGUUAUCACACUCGAUCCCAUCCCACUCACAACAAUUACUACUGUCCACCCAAUGUCUCAAGGAAAAGCCAUCUGGGUCGAUCAAAGAUUGGAUCUCCAAGAGACCAAUUCUCUCUUCCUCCAAACAUCCAUAACAACGACCAUACCAUUCGCCAACCAAAGUCAAUAAUAUUGCUAGCAACAUCCAAGCCCCCAUUCUUUUCAUCAUCAUCUUAGAUAAUUCUAUGUGACAUCAAGAACGUAGAAUAUUGUUGUUUGUUAUGUGCCUUUGGGCAACCAUAGAGGUCCUAUUUAUACUACACUGUGGCCAUUUCCGUGACUUUGAGAUGUUUUCUUUAUUUAAUUUCCAUGACUUUAUCUGCAUAUCUUGUGCAGGUUCGGUGUUUUGAGAUUUGAAUAUUAUUUUAUUUCUUUUUGGAAUAUUCUUGGAUUUGAAUAUUAUUUUAUUUUAUUGUUUAGCACUUAGUCUAUUUGCAUUUAAUUAUAUUUUGGUUACUAAUUAUUCAAUUUAUAAAAAAAUAAAAUAAAAAAAUUGUUGCAGUACUUCAACAUAACAUAUAUUUGUUUUUAUGGUGGGAAAGGUAUUCUUGACUUGUUUUUAUUACAUUUCAAUAUUAAAUAUAUUUUUUUCAAUCGAGUCAAAGAUAUACAAUUUAUAUUAGAAUGAGAAGACUAAUCAAUUUCUCUAGUUUUCUCCCUAAUUAUAAAAUACAUCUAAGAUAAAAGGAAUUUAUUUCUUGAAAUUAAUGCAUUAAAAAAUAUAAAAAUAUUUUUUAAAAAUUAAAAUAGUAGUAAAAGAAAAUUUAGUUUUUGAUUGAAGUGUAAACUAGUGGUCAAUGAACAAAAAGAAACUUUAUUGAUUAUCUAAUGAGUUACUUCUCCAAAAAGAAUAUAUAUAUUAUUGAAUAUCUAAAGGAAACGAUUCAUGAAACUCCGCCUAAUAUAUAUAUAUAUAACAGAGAAAUUGUCGAUAAUAGCAAUCAUUUUCUUAUCUCUUGUAUCAUUCAUAUCUUCCACAAAUCUUAAGUAAUUGAUGAGAAAGAUCGUGAACGCGGAUGCUUGACUUGUUGUGUGGCAUUUUGAUUUUUAAACACAACCAUGCAGUGAUUUCCUGGUGAUUUCCUUAUGCAUACUGGUGGUCCUUCAGAAUCUUGGAGGACCACCACAAGCCAAUCUAAAAAAAUGCUAAAAGUAAUCUUGAGGGUUGUAACUUAACUGGUCAGGUCCUGAGUUUGUUCCCCGAAGAUCACCAGUUCGAGUCCCACAAACCUCAGAGCCACUUGAGGCUUACAUGAUCAUUAACUUCAGGGCUCGUGGGAUUAGUCGAGAUGCACGCAAGCUGACCCGAACACCCACGUUAAUAAAAAAAAAUGCUAAAAGUCAAAACACACAAGCCAUAUAAAAAUCACACGACAGCCAAUUGCCUUAUCUUGUGAAAAAAAGAUCAAAAAAAAAAAAAACAUUCUCUUAGGUAUGCAAUGACUGCCUAUCUUCUCAUGGGGAGCAAAAAUCAGUAGCCUCCCAUGGAAUCCUAAUAAACCUUUCUCUGUGCUCUUCUAAGAUAUUAAAAAUGUCAAACAUACAUCAAUAAUCAAGAUUUGGGUCCUAGAUCAGACAAGUUAGCUUAUGUUGACUGGUGUUAAUCUAAAAUUGUAUCAUUUUAAGAAGAAAAAAAACUGUGUAGUUAAAAAAAAAAAACUAGUUUUUGACUGAGUUGAUUAGGUUCUUGGUUGAUUUAUCUGGUCGAUGAGGCUUGAUUGGGUCAACUCUCACUUGGUUUUUUCUAAACCUGAAUCCGGUCAGAUUCCAGAUUAAAAUGGUAGGCUUGAAUUAAAUUUAAUAACGCUGAUUAAAACCACAUUGUAGAAAAAAAAAUUGAAUUGCAUAAAAGUAAUUAACCGAAAACUUAUAUUCCUUCUUAUUGUCAAAGAACCAUCUCAACCCUUAAGCUAUUAGGUGAGGUCCCAAGAUAUGAUUUAUAUUAUUCUUUAACACACUCCCUCAAGUGAAAGCCCUUUGGGCUUGAAACUUGCAAAUGUCUACAUUACCUUGUGCUUGAUUUUUAUCAAAUUAAUGGGGGGUGAGAUUCGAACUCGUGACCGCUUGGUCAUCAAAGCUCUGAUAUUAUAUCAAAUAAUCACCUCAACCCAAAUUAAAACUUAAACUAUUAGAUGAGAUCCCAAGUUAUGAUUUAUAUUAUUCUCUAAGAACCCAUAUCAGUUUUUUUUAAGGAAAAGUAUGAAUCAAAGGUUAACGCUAGGCAGCUCACUUUGCAUGACAAUGACGGAUAUAGAAGACUUGCUACUUUCUUUAUGGAAAUAACGUGUGGAAAAUCAUGCCUUAAUGUUGAUGGUGAUGGCAAAAACAACCAGUAUCGUUGAUAAAAUGAACCACAAAUGAUAUUAUUUCUAAAAUACUUUUUUUCAUUGUCAUGACAACAAGUCUUCUUCUUUUUCUUUCUAAAGAGUCUAUUUUUUGUAACACAACCAACAAGUAAAAUGGAUAGGAAUUUGCAGUGUGAGAUGGGUCUGUGAGACUUUUGCCAUCUGCAUUUUUUCCAUGAUAUAGGCCAGUGAGAUAGUCCAUGAAACCAUUGCCCUGUAAGCAUUUAUGAGUUCGUGAGACCAUUUCCAUCUGCACAUUGGUCCCUGAAACCGUUGCCAUCAUGCAUUUUUUCCACGAGAUGGGUUCGUGGAACAUACUUUGGUUUAAUUGGGAAUGCUGUUAUUGAUUGAAAACUUUCUAAUUAAAAUAAAUUUGAUUAUUUGAUUGGAAGAAAUCCUUAAAUGUUAUUAACACAAGAAAUCAAUUUAUUUUCUUAAGAAAAAAAUAUUGUAACCAUAUAAGUAAUUUAUUUAUUUAUUUUAAUGAAAUAUAAAAUAGUUUUAAAUAAUCUUGUGGUAUAUUUCUUGUCUUUAAGAGCUAUGAACUUAUAUCUCAAAACUUGAAAACUAAUAUAAAGAUAUUAAGUGAUCAUUGAGUGUGUGUGUAUGUAUAUAAUCCUUUUCAAAACAAAAAGGAUUUUGAUGGAGAUCAGGACAUUGCAACAAAUUAUCCACGAGAUGGGUCGGUGAUACCAUUGUCAUCAUGUAAUUUUUCCCACGAGAUGGGGUCGUACGCUUGGGGCUCUAAAAGCUAUGGUUUUUAAUUUCAUCAGGUAUAUUUUAUUUCAAUUCUAAAAAUGAAAUAAAUUAGAAGAUAUUUCAUCUUGUUUAGAAUAUUAUCUCCUUACAUGCAUGAAUUUCACCUAAAUUUUGACCAGAAUAUAUCGGUUCUAUUCCGGCCAUUCUAUUAUGUCCAAAUAAUGUUUUGUUUUGCUUUUAUAUAUAUAAAAAAUAUAAUUUAUUUUUAUGAUAUCAAUUAUACCUUUCAAUUUGACUAUUAGAUUAGACUGAAAUUUUAUAAUCUCUUAAUAUGUAUUUAUAUCACAAGUUAAAAUUUUAGAGCAAUCAGAGUUUAGAAAGACUUGUGAAAUUACUGUUGAUAUUUUCAUAAUUUUAUUUAAAUUCAUAAUUUUUUUUUGAAAUGUUAUUUUUUGUGUUUUUUUAGAUUGAUUUUUUUUAAUUUUAUAAUUUAAUAAUAAAUUUAUUAAAAAUUAAAAUUCAUAAUUUAUUUUUAUUUAUUUUAUUUAAAAUUAUUAUAUUCUCAUUACUCAUAUCACGAAAAAAACCUUUGCUUUAAUUGGGAAUGCUGUUACAAGUAAUUGGACUCCGUGGGAUGGGAGACCGUUGCCAUCAUGCAUUUUUUUUCCACAGCAUGGGUCCGUAAAGUCCUCUAUAAAAGCUUAAACCUCCUUACUAUCCUCUAUAUCAAUUGAUCAGCAUUUAUAAGAUGGGGCUGUUCCUUCUGAUGCUGAUGGUUUUAGUAAUGAUGGUUUCUUGCAAGGAUGGCUGCCUCUUGGAGUAUAUUGACUUGAGAAUUAAUUGUUUUGAUAACAGUAUUUUAUUAUUUGUGGAGUUAUUUCUAUUUUUUAAAUUAUUAUAUUUAGAUUAUAAUAGAGUGAAAGAGUUAAUAGGUUUAAGAGAUUAGGAAAAAGCUAAUAUUAAUUAUAGUUAGGGACCAAACUGGAAUUUUUGCAUAUUUUUAAGGGUCAAAUUGUAAUUUUAUUAAAUUGAUGAAGGACCAAAAUGAAAAUAUCAUAUUUAUAACUAUACUGGAAUUUUGCCCAUAUUUCUUCUUUAAUUUUGCCUAGAAUCUCGGAUUAUGCUCUAGGGACCAAUCUGUAAUUUUUUUCAAAGUUUGGGGAUUAAACUGAAAUUUUCACAAAUUGAGGUACCAAGCUGAAAUUUUUUCAUCUUCAACCUCAUACCCAGAUUUUUCACAAAUCACCUAUUGAUAUAUCAAGAUUUUUAACUAGAUGAGGGUUUAGGUCAUAGAUUGGCCUAAUACUCAGAUCAAGAUUUGGAUCAAGUUAGCUUAUUGACUAGUGUUAAUAAAAAAUUGUAUUAUUUUAAGAUUUAAUUUAAUCAAAUAGAUUCAACUCCCAUGCCAUUCCACAAUUAAUUUAUUUUAUUAUGAUUUAGUGUUAUGUUAACCAGGCAACAUUUAAUUACCAUGAUAUAAAAUACAAAAAUAGUGGGAACAUAAAAAACAUGCUUUUAUAUAUUUUUUAUUUUAAAAGUACAAAUUUUACUCUAAGACUAUUGUAAAAAGAUAUUUAUUUUAAAUUUAUUUAUAUUUUUAUAAUUCAAAAAUUAAAAAUAAAACAGAAUUAAUCCAUACUCAUCUAAAAACAAUUAACUCUAACAUCAUUAUUUUAUAACAAAACUAGCAAAGAUAAUUUAUUAAUCACUAAGUUUUCUGGUUAUAAAUACAUUAGUAAUUGUCUUCGUCUCUUUUGUAUUUCUAACUAUUAACGAAUUGAAUAUAUAUAAUAAAUACCGAGUGAAAGAAUAAAUUUAGUUGUAUAAUGUACUAAAUAUUAAAUAGGUGACUUUAGAAUCACCAAGCAGUGAAUCACACGGGAAGAUUGAAAGAAUAAUUAAAGUGAUUUUAGUAACCGACAAGUUGACCCCAAGUCAAAAGUCUUUUGUGGAAAAACAUGAAUAAAAGGUUGAGGGUAAGGUCAUUGCUAUCAAGCGUUUUUUUCUACGAGAUGGGUCCGUUACACCAUUUCCGCUCAAGCUUGAGAAGUGAUGAUAUAUGCUUUAUUUUCAACUUGUAUAAAAAAUAAAUUUUAAUGUAGUGUGUUAGUGUUAAAUAAUUAUCUUAAUCUAAUAGUUUAAGCUGUUAGAUAAGGUCUCAAGAUAUGAUUUAUAUUAUUCUCUAACACACCUCUCAAGUAAAAACCCUUUGGACUUGAAACUUGUUCAGGUUCACAUUACCUUGUGUUUAAUUUUUAUCAAAUAAAUGAAGAUGGUGAGAUUCAAACUCGUAACUGUUUGGUCAUCAAGGCUCUGGUACCAUGUUAAAGAAUCAUCCCAACCCAAUAGCUUAAGCUGUUAGGUAAGGUCCCAAGAUAUAAUUUAUAUUAUUCUCUAAUACACCUCCUACUUUGUGUUUAAUUUUUAUCAAAUAAAUAGGGAUAGUGAGAUUCGAACUCGUGACCGCUUGGUCAUCAAGGCUCUGAUACCAUGUCUAAAAACUAUCUCAACCUAAUAGCUUAAACUGUUAGGUGAGGUCUUAGGAUAUGAUUUAUAUUAUUCUCUAACAAUAUUUUCUUCACUUUCUAUAUAGUUUUACCUUACACUAAUAUUGUCAGAAAAUGAUAUAUAGUUCUUGUGUUAUCCUUCAAGAUUUCAAUUGAAAAGGAGGGUCGUAAAAAAUUUAAUUUUUAUAAACAUACCCUUAACUUAAUUUGGAUGUGGAUAAUUGUUUGCAAUAUAUUUACAUCCAAUAUAAACAAUUCAUCAAUGAUCAAGUCGGCAUUGGUUAGCUAAAAUAUUGAAAAUACUUACUCUUUUUUUUUUUUUGGCCAUGCAGUUCCUAUAUAUAUAUAUAUAUAUAUAUAUAUAUAUAUAUAUAUAUAUAUUAGUUGAAAUUUCAUGAUGUCCAUUAAUCCUUUUAAAUUAAAGUCAAGUUAUUAAUUAUAUCCUAUAAAUUUCUAGAAAAACUAAUUCUCUCAAAUUUCGUCGUCUUUUUUACUAACUAUAGAAGGCGAUUGCUACAAACUAAAAUUUCAAGAUGAAAUUGAGAAAUCUGAAGGAGCAAACUGAGAAUCUACCAAAAUCUGACCAAGUCGUUUCACUAGUGGUUUCAAUUAAAAAGCUGAGAGGCAGGCAAUUUCCCAGAAACCCUCUUGGACCCCAUAAAUGAAAUAAUGACACAUGCCGGGGAACAUAGAAAAAUGAGCCUAUAAUCGAAUGAUCAAUACCGGCGAAAGAAAUCAAAUGGAGUAUAAGGUGAAGAGUAAGCCAUCGACAGCACUUUGGAGGCUAUAAUCGAAUCAGCUGCUUCUAUAUAUGCAAUGGGUCGCAUCCCAACUUGCAGACCUGAUAUGAAAUUGUUAUGAUGUUCGUUCUGUAACUAUCAAAACUCACUUAAUUCUGUAGUUUCCAUCUCUUUUUUACUUAACAUGUGAUGUUUGAGAGUGAAGGUAACUAUUGCUUUUUAAAAUAAAAUAUAAUUUAUGUGGUAUCUGAAUACAUAGGAACAAUAUCUGUGUGCCUCAUGCAUGCUUUUCAAAAUCAAGUUUGGGGUUUUUUACACCCAAAAAUCUAUUUUUCAAUUAUGUUUUCACCAAAACAAAAGCAACUAAAAAUCACUUAAUUAAAAGAUCAAAGUGAAUCUAUUUACUUUCUCAUACAAAAAUCAGUCCAAAAAUAAAAAAUAACUUAAAACCUAAAUUUUCUGAUAUCAUAUCUACUUUUUCAUGUAAUUUUAAGGUGAACACUCGAAUAAAACUACUUUUAUCUAAUGGACUAUUGACACAAAGAUUGACUAUUUUGAGGGCCAAAAUUGAUUUUAACCGAGAUUUUAUCUUUUUACCACUAGAAUUUAGCUACUCUCUUUUCUCUUUGAAACUAAAAAAAUAAAAAUAAAAAAAUGACCUUUUGAGUCAAAAUUGAAUCUUACAAAAUUAUAGGGAUUGAAGAUCUAUCAAUUGGAAGUAAGAAAAUCCAAGCUAACUUUUCGCAUUAAUUUUGAAAAAGCCACCUAGUGCCUUUGUUUUUUUCACUUUGAUCCCUUAACUCUCAAUCAUGCCCUUCAUCAAUAAAUUGAAAGAAAUUUAUUGGCGAAAUAAAUUUAUUUCGAAGCCCUUCAUCCUUUGCAAAAUUUACAAGAACAUACCUGAAAGUCCUUGUUGAGAAUCUUGGAGAUAGAGCAAAAUAGAGUGGCAAACAUUGAUACAAUGAACUGAACUUGCAGGACAAGGUCAAAAGUCAUGGCCUUGCCAGCCUUCAAGAAAGUAAACUCCAAUGCAGGCAUUAGAAACCCAUGAAGAGCUGCACCACCAAUAUUCAUGAAGAAACCCAAAAUAUAUUUUCCUUUAGACUCCCACUUGGUCUAUCUCCGUUCAUGUGAAAUACAAGAAUAAUAGACCCAAGGGUCAUCAAAAUCACCGCGUUUAUUCAGUAAUGUGUGAAGCCACUGAGCUAAAGAAUAAAUAAUCCAAGAAAAUUCCACCAAUUACCAUUAAUGUAAGGAAUUCCUGCUUCUUUUUUAGAAGAUCUUCUGGUUGUAUUUGGUUAAUAUCUCAUGCAGAAGAGACACAAAUAUAUAAAAGACAAACAAGUUUAAUUAAAGAGAUAGAAACAUAAAAUAAAUAUGUUUAUAAGAUAAUUUUAGAGUAAAUUUCUAUAUAUAUUUUCAAAUAAAAAACACAAAGAGACAUGUUCAGUACUUGUAUCAUAAGUUUUAUUAUCAUCAAACGUUUGCCUUUCACUACUUUUGCAUGUCUAUAAAGGAAUUUGAUUUCAUUCAAAACACAAUCUAAUAAUUUUGUAGAGAUAAAGAAGACAAGCACGUCGCAAACUGAUCAAUGGCCAUUGAAGUAGACAAAACAGUACUGACUAGCACCACCAGCUUUUACUUGCAUUUGGCUUGAAAGACGAGUGGACUACAUCAAGCAAAUAACAAAAAAAAGCAUGUAAAGAACUAUGAUUAAUUUAAUAAAAAGUAUCUUGCAGUAUUAGAAGGUUUCAGUGAUAUGCCUAUUAAAACAUAUUUGUCAAGUGAUUCUUUAUCCUACAUUGGUUAUAUAUUUAUUCGACGUGGUGGUACUAUUUGUCGUGAAUCCACAAAUACUAUUCAUCAUCAUAGUGUUCAUCUACAUGCAGAUCACUAUGGAUUGAAGCAGUAAUAUUUUUAAAAAAAUUUCAAUUUGGUUCUUAAAAUUUUAUUUCACAUGAUUUUAGCUCUUUUAAACCCAAAUUAUCACUCAAUUGCAUAUUUUUUUGGGAGAGAUGGUUGAAUUAAAAAACAUAGGACUGAAGUGAAAAAACAGGUGAAAUAGAUGGUGACCUUGAAAUUUCUCUUAAAAGUUCAUUUUUAUCCCCCAUAUUUUUUUUAGCUCUUAGGUGACCGGUCCCUUUAAUUUUUAAAAAUUUAAUUUUAAUAUUAAACUUUAUUUUUUUUAUUUUUCAGACUUUUUUAUGGGAGGAGAGAGAAAGUUGUCGUUGGUGAUGAUUUCAGCCAUUGAAAUAAUCAAUUUUUGUCUCAAAUAAUUCCAUCUAAAGAGAAGAGUUUGAAUUAAGUGUUUUGUUUUACCUUGAAAAUACCUAAAAAAUAGAUCCGAGCUCAAGAAGAUUUUUGAAUUCAGGUUGAUAUCAGAUUUUAAGGUGUUUUUUUUGUGUUUUUUUUAGUCCAUUAAUUGUUUAACAAGAUUUCUAAGGUAUUUUUUAGGAGUUUUAAAUAACAAAUAGAUUAAAAAUAAGUUUUUAGAUAAAAAAAUAUAAACAUCAGUUUUCCCGCUACAACAAUGGAUGGAAUCUAGAAAUCUAGAUGACACAUUAUCUUUUUUAAAAAAAAAAAACAGUGUCUGACCCCUUAGCUUAGAAAAUAAAAGCCCUUUGAUUAGCAGGCUUGUCAAUGUCUAAUCUCAUUCUUUCUUUCUUUUUUAAUUAGUACCUUUUUUAUAUAAUUUUUUAUUUUAUGUUUUACUAAUACAUCAUCUAUUGUUUUGGCUUAUUUAGAAUUUUUUAAAAUGAAAAUAGUUUAUUUAAUUAUAUUGAUUGUAUUUAAUUUUUAAAAAGGUUGAUAUGAUUUAUCUGUAAUUUUUUAUAUAAAUAUUUAUAUAUGGAUUAAAUUUACCUUUAAAAAAUUAAUUAAUUAUUUAUUAUAAUAUUUUUAAUAUGUACAGCCUUGUAUAAUAUUUUUUUCUCUCUUAUUUUAUUUAAUAAAUCUUAUAUUCUGGACAUAUCAGUAUGGUUGGUUAGGUUUGGUUUUGGGGUGAAAAAAGAAAAAUCCAACCACAUCAAAUUAAAUGUUAUGGUUUGUUUUAAUUCAAUUCAUUUUUUUAUUAAGAAACCCAAUUUCAUUCUUGGGUUUUUUAGUUGAUUUUUGUAGAUAGACUCUGAUGUAAUAGGCAUGGUUGUUUUUGAGGUUUUUUUAGUUUUUUAUUUUAAAAAAGCAAUUGUUUGGUUUCAUUCAGUUUAAUUUUUUUUAAUCUCUUAAAUCUAAAGCCAAUUUAAGAUCUUUUAAAACUUUCUAAUCGGUUUUUUUUUUAAUUUUAUAUUGGUUUUUUUUUUCAAUUAAUUUUAUGAUAAGAAUCUCGUUAUAAGAAGUAAAAGGAAAAAAAAAAAAAAACAAUUACAUGUCGCAGCCAUGUUUUCACAUGGCCUCCGUAAAGUUCGAACAUUAACAUGGUCUCUAGACAAUAAGAACCUGUUUGUAAGUUUAGCAGAAUUAUUUUUUAAAAUAUUUUCUAGUUUAAAAUAUAUUAUAAUAAUAUCUAGUUAAUUAUUUUUAACAUCAAUAUAUUAAAACGGUCUAAAAAUACUAAAUAAUUAAUUAAGUUUUUUUAUAAAAAAAAACCGGUUCAACUACGGGGCUAAGGAUGUGUUUGGAAGUAUGGUAGUAGUAAUUUUUCAAAGUGAUUGUACUUGAAAAUGUAUCAAAAUAAUAUUUUUUAUUUUUUAAAAAUUAUUUUGACAUCAGCCCAUUAAAACAAUACUCACAAAAUUGAGCAUCAACCUAAAAAUAAACACUUAUUUGAGACAAUUAUCCCUCGAAAGCAAACAAAAAGUAAUAAUGCAGUUCAUUUCCUAACCAAUUCAAUGUUAAAUGAUAAAAUCAAAAUAUUAAAAAUAAUUAAAAGACAAAAAAAACAUAUUAUAAUGGUGGGUAAACUCGUCAAACUUGUGAAUCGGGUAAGUCGAGCUAAUAUGACAAACCUGUAAAUUGGAUCAUUGACUCCAUUGGAAUUAUAAUUUGUUUUUUAAAGCUAUUUUCUUAGUUAACUAUAUGAUAAUAAAAAUAGAUAAUUACAAAAUCAAACACCAACUUAAUACCAAAAUGUUUUUAGAUCAUGAUAACCUCAUAAAAUGUGAAACAAAACCAAUUAUGAAACUAAAUUCACAAUUAAUCCAGUAUCCAAGGAUGAAAAAAAAAACUGAUUUAAAAAAGUUAAUCUUGUCAACUAGCCAAAUAUAUCCAUGGAAUUUAUAAAGUUUAAUAACAUAAUUUUUUCUAAAAAUUAUUUUUUUAACUAUAUAAGGAAAAAAUAGACUAUAAAAAAGUCAAGUUUAAUUAUAAAAAAAAAACCCCACCAAACUUGUAAACUAGGGCAACUUAGAUUACCUAGCAAACUCACAAACCAUGUUAACCUUAUAGAAAUGUAAAAUAAAAGAAACAAAUUAUAAAGUUAAAUUCUCAACCAUCUCAAUAUUAAAAGAUAAAAUUGAUAAAAAAAAAAUUUGAGAAAAAAAUCAUAACAAAAAUUAAAAAAACAAAAACAAAAAUGAAAGAAAGCAAAACAUUAUGGAUUACUAUUGUCAUUCACAAUACAAUGUGUGUGGGUGAACAAUGAUUUUCUCACACCCUUUAAUUUUUGUUAUUUUAUAAAGUUUAAUAACAUGACUUUUCUCUAAAAGUUUUUUAAUUAUAUGAGAAAAAAAUAGACUAUUAAAAAAGUCAAGUUCGAUUUUAAAAAAAAAUACAACCCACCAAACUCGUAAACCAGGGAACCCUAGGGUACUUUGGCAAACUCAUAAACUACACUAAUCCCAUAUAAAGGAAAAAAAAACAAACAAAUUACGAAACUCAUUUCUCAACCAUCUCAAUUUUAAAAAAUAAUAUUGACAAAAAUAGAUUUUAAAAAAAAUCAUAAUAAAAUUUCAAAAAAAAAGAAAAAAAAAAGCAAGACACGGUGGAUUAUUAUUGUAAUACAUAGUGUAAUGUGUGCUGGGUAAACAAUGGUUUCCCCUACAUCCUUUAAUUUUUAUUACUUCAUAAAAUUUAAUAAUAUGGUUUUUCUCUAAAAUUAUACUAUAAAAAAGCCAAGUUCAAUUAAAAAAAAACCUCACCAAAUCCAUAAACUGGGGUACCCUGAGUUACCUCGACAAAAUCGCAAACCACAUAGAAAGAAAAAAUAAAAAGAAAAAAAAUUAAAUUUAAAUUCUCAACUAUCUCAAUAUUAAAAAUGAAAUCAAUAAAAAUAAUUUUUUUUAAAAAUCAUAUAUAAGAAAAACAAUGAAAAGGAAAACAUCAUGUGUUCAAGGGAAAAAAAAAACAAAUAAUAUGAGGAAAUAUUAUAGCAAUCUAUAAUGUUUUAUGAGAAUAAUUGCAGUGCUAUCCCCAUAUAUUUUAAUUUUUCUUAUGAUAAUAAUAAUUAUAGUCUCUCAUGUCUCACAACUUUAUUUGUUUUUCUUGAAUAAGUGCUAAUGUUCUUUGAGGGGUCCAAGCACCAUAUAUUGAAAGAAAGAACUAGUUCAAAUUGAAGCACUAUUAGUUUUAGAAGCACCAUGAAGAUUCAGGCGUGUAAAGAUAUCAAAGGCUCCUGCCACAUGUCAAAAGAUUAGAGAAUGAAAUUGUUAGAAUACUGUUAGUAACUGUUAGUAUUGUUUGUCAGUUAAGAGAAUUAGUUAGCAUUGUUUCAGUGAAAUAAAAAGAGAAUAGAUAACGUGCAUAACCUUUCUACUAUAGCAUAUAUAAACAUGUCAGAUAAGAGAACUGUAAUCAAUUAAUAAAAGAAUCAGUGCUAAAGUUCUUCUUCUUCUUCUUCUCUGUUUAACAGAAUCACUCUCUGCUUUUCUUCAUCUUUAUUCUCUGUUUUUCUUCAUCUCUAUUCCUUUUCUGUGUAAAUCUUACUGUCCUCACAAGGCCCACAUCUUGCUUAUAAUACCCAAGAUCCUAGCACCUUGUAUUUAUAAACGCUAGACACAGCUGCUGUUUCAAUGAAUAAUUCUCCACGCUAUUAUUGAUAAAUAUUGUGUGCUAUAUAUACAGCAGUGUGGAAAUUCAGUUUAGGAAAAAUAUAAAUGGUAAUGCUAAAACUAUGCUAUUACAAUAUACAGCUGCAGAAUUCAAGUUUGGAAUCGGCUCCAAAUAUAGCGUUAAUGGCAGAAUCUUUGCCAUGAUUUUCGGCUACACCUUCUCUGUUUUGAUUUGAGCAGAUUCUCUGCUAGUUUCCCUGAUAGUAUUUAAAUGAAAGAAAAAGAGAAGGGCAAAAGACUGCCAUGAGGCAACCUCAAGUAUCAUACACCUCUGUUUUUGUCCUUUUCAUUUUUCACGUGUUUCUCACAAGAAGCGAACAUAAAGUGCUGGAAGGAAUUUUUUGUUGCAGCGUGAGAUAAGUUUAACUCAUUGCAUUUUCAUAAAUUAAAGGGCUUUGUCUUCUUUUCUUUGUCAAUUACAGUGCAUGUAUAAAAGUUUUAUUGCUCAGAGUAAAUGCUAUUGUAAUGUUUUCGCAGAGACUCCCCUGCUUUGCAACCAAUUCACUUAUAUAUCUUGGAGCAUAGUCAUAGCCAUAAAUGGAAGGUUCUUCCGGUUCAAGAAAAUUAACCACGAAGCUCGUAACUAGAAUUUAGAGUGACCAAGGUCUUUUUCAAGAACAAGGGAAGUGUGCAAAAUGCAAAUAACGAAUCAAUACAUAAAUAAUUAAGUAAAAAGAGAGGACACAGAAGUAUAUCCUCAGACGAUGAAAAUACAGAAAGCCUAGCAUAUUAGAAAGAGCAUUUAUCCAUUUUCCCCCUUCUCUUGUAACAUGGACUGCUAAGAAAUCUAAUGUUUUGUUAUUGAUACGUGAGUUCAGUCUGAUUAUCUGUUGUGCAUACUGGACCGAAAGCAAACACAAAUAAAACACAAACAAGCAGAUUUACGUGGUUCCCCAAAACCGGGUACGUCCACGGAGGCAGCAGAUUGUAUAUUAUUGGAGGAAUGAUACAAACACUCAACUCAACCCAGUACAAUCCCACAAAACCCAGUGUUUCACUCUUACACUCGGUGUUUCUCUCAAAUCUGCACUCUUUCACUCUCACAGUUGCACUAUUUUCUUCUGCACACUUGCACUCACACUGCACUCUCUCGUUCCUCUCUUCUAUCUUCUAUCUUUCACACACAUUUACAGGAGAAAGGAAAGCAUAAAUAUAAUGGAUGAAAAGGAGAGGGUGGUUGAAAAGGAGAGAGUGGUUGAUGGUUGUUGAGAAAAAAUAUUGACAAUUAGCAAAUGUUGACAAUUUGCUACAAAUCUCCACCUUGGCAAGAUUUUUCCAUUCAAUCCUCGUGAACAAUCAAUGCUACCUCCAAUGCGUCAUAUGACGCUGCACCCUGAAGGUGCUCAACACCGAGAGAUGUUGACCAAGUCCAAACAAUGUUGGAACUUGAUCCCUGAGACACAUUUUGUGAGCAUGUCAGCUGGAUUAUAUGCGGUACCAAUCUUCUGUAGCAGAAUAUCCCCUUCAUCCACAAUUUCUCGAACAAAAUGAAAUCGAACAUCGAUGUGCUUGGUGCGGGAAUGAUGAACCUGAUUCUUUGCAAGACAAAUAGCACUUUGACUAUCACAAUGGACAUCCACGUGCUCUUGAACAAUUCCCAAAUCUUCAAUCAACCCAUGUAACCAAAUAGCUUCCUUGAAAGCUUCCGUUACUGCCAUGUACUCUGCCUCAGUUGUUGACAAAGCUACUGUUGAUUGUAACGUUGACCUCCAACUUACAGGCCCUUUAGCAAGUGUAAACACGUAGCCUGUUGUGGAACGACGUUUGUCUAAGUCACCAGCAUAGUCCGAGUCCACAUAACCAACUAAAUUUUGCCCAAGUCUAUCAUCCCUCUCAAACUUCAAACCAAUAUCAGUUGUGCCAUGAAUGUACCGUAGAAUCCACUUAACUGCCUGCCAGUGACCCUUUCCCGGAUCAUGCAUAUACCUGCUCACCAUACUGACAGCAUGUGAAAUAUCUGGUCUCGUACAAACCAUUGCAUACAUUAAUGCACCAACUGUAUUUGCAUAAGGAAUUUGAGCCAUAUGCUUGCGCUCUUCCUCUGUGCGUGGAGACAUUGAAGCACUUAGCUUAAAAUGAGGAGCUAAAGGUGUGCUUACAGGCUUGGUCUUACCAUCUACCCCAAAUCUCUGUAGAAUUUUCUUCAAGUAUUGGGUCUGUGUCAAACAGACUGUGCCUUUUCUUCUGUCUCUCUGAAUCUCCAUGCCAAGAAUCUUCUUAGCUUCUCCAAGGUCCUUCAUUUCAAACUCAGUGCUCAGUUGAGCUUUCAGUCUAUCAAUCUCCACCUUGCUCUUCGAUGCGAUCAACAUAUCAUCCACAUAUAAGAGCAAAUAGAUGAAAGAACCAUCAAGAAGUUUGCGAAAAUAUACACAGUGAUCAAACUGACUCCGUGUGUAUCCAUGUUCUGCCAUGAACUUAUCAAAUCGCUUAUACCACUGGCGAGGAGAUUGUUUCAAUCCGUAUAAUGACUUCUUCAGUUUACAAGCCCAAUUCUCUUUCCCAGUGACUUUGAAACCAUCUGGCUGAGACAUGUAAAUUUCCUCUUCCAAAUCUCCAUGUAGGAAGGCAGUUUUCACAUCAAGUUGGGCUAACUCCAAAUCAAACUGUGCAACCAAGGCUAACAGAAUACGGAUUGAUGAAUGCUUAACAACUGGAGAGAAUACCUCAUUAUAAUCUAUCCCCUCCUUCUGAGCAUAGCCUUUUGCUACCAAUCUCGCUUUGAAUCGGAUGUUGUCUUUUCCAGGAUUACCUUCCUUCUUGGCAUAUACCCACUUGCAACCAAUUGUCUUCUUUCCUUUAGGGAGUUGUACCAAAUCCCAAGUCUGAUUCUUAUGGAGAGAUUUCAUCUCUUCAUCCAUUGCCUCUUUCCAUUUUGCACUUUCUACACUCUGUACUGCUUCUUUGUAGGUGUAGGGGAUUCCAUCAUCAAUCACCGGAAGUGCAUAAGCCACCAUGUUACAAUACCGAGCAGGUUUCUUGAUAACCCUUUUUGGUUUACUCGUUGCAAUGGAUUCUUGUUGUGUGGUUGCUGGAGUUGUUGCAUCCUCUUCAUCUGAACUUUCAUCUGAAUCUCCUUCAGUAGAGAUUGUCUGAACAGUCUUUAUAGGGAUGACUGAAGUCUCCAACUCCACCUGUUGUGCAUCACCAGACUGUUUUUCCUUCUCCUGUGAUUUCUCUUGCUGUAACAUGCCAGACUCAUCAAAAGUGACAUCUCUACUCAAGAUCACUUUCUUUGAUUCAGAACACCAGAGUCUGUAGCCUUUUACUCCUCCACUAAAGCCCAAAAAUAUAGCUUUCUUGGCUCUAGGAUCUAGCUUGGACUCAGUAACAUGAUAAUAUGCUGAGCAACCAAAUAUACGCAUAGAGUCAUAAUCAUUUGCAGGAGAGCCUGACCAUACCUCUAAGGGGGUUCUUCCAUUUAAUGCUGCUGAAGGUAACCGGUUAACAAUAUGACGAGCAUAACUUAAUGCCUCGCCCCAGAACACUUUGCUUAGUCCCGAAUGUGAUAGCAUACAUCGGACUUUCUCCACCAAUGUGCGGUUCAUGCGUUCUGCUACUCCAUUCUGUUGUGGUGUUUUGCGAACAGUAAAAUGUCGCUUGAUCCCUUCAUUCUGACAAACUUCAAAGAAAGGAUCUGAAGUGUACUCACCACCAUUAUCUGACCGAAGAGUCUUAACCCUCCUUCCAGUUUGAGUCUCCACCAUUUUCUUCCAUUUCAGAAAGAUAUCAAGGACCUCAUCCUUGUGUUUCAUCAUGUACACCCAUACUCGUCUUGAGAAAUCAUCAAUAAAAGUAACAAACCAACGAUUACCUCCAAGAGAUUCAUUCUUUGAAGGUCCCCAUACAUCUGUGUGAACAUAAUCUAGGAUCCCUUUUGUGUUGUGUACUGCAGUGCCAAACUUGACCCUUGUCUGUUUUCCAAGAACACAAUGCUCACAGAACCCAUGCUUCCCAGUCUUGGCGCCUUUUAAUAGACCUUGCUUGACUAAUCCUUGCAAAGCCUUUUCACCAGCAUGCCCUAAGCGCAUGUGCCAAAGUCUGGAAUUAUCUGCUUCAUCAUCUUCUAUACUUUUGGAAACAGCUGCUGUACCAGUAACUGUAGAUCCAUCCAGGAAAUAUAAGUUUCUUAUCCUCGUGCCUCUUAAGACAACUAAUGCACCACGAAUUGCUUUCAGGACUCCACCAUGCAUGAUAAUCUUAUAACCACUGGAUUCUAGGACUCCAAGUGAGAAGAGAUUUUUCUUCAAGUCAGGUACAUACCGUACAUCUGUUAGUGUCUUGACUACCCCAUUAUGCAUCUUCAGAUGGAUAGUCCCAAUCCCUUUGAUCUCACAAACAUCAUCAUUACCCAUCAACACAACUCCUCCAUCGAACUCCUCGAGUCUCGAGAAUAAGUGCUUGUUAGGGCACAUGUGAUAGGAACAUGCAGAAUCAAGAAUCCAUUCACCAGAAUGGUUUUCUGGUGAUGAGACCAUGAAUGCAGAGUCUCGUUCAUCCUCAUCCCGUGCAACGUUCACAGUUGGUUCAUCUUUUUCCUUGUUGCCCUUGAUUGGACAAUCUUUCUUCCAGUGCCCUUUUUUGUGACAAAAGGCACACUCAUCUUUUGCAAGAUAUCGUCUGUUUGAUGAUUCUCCUCUGGAUUUUGAGCGAGAUCUCCCUCGCCCUCGAAAUCUUCUGGGGUUUGUUCUGCCUCUAACUGUCAAUGCUUCUGACGUUGACUCCUUGUGAACAAUCUGGUCCUUCUUUCGGUACUCAUUAUUCACCAAAGCAUUGGACACAUCAAUGAAUUUAAUCUUUUCUUUACCAUACAGUAAAGUGGUGACGAGAUGUUCAUAUGUGUCAGGCAGUGAAUUCAAUAAUAGCAGAGCUUUAUCUUCAUCAUCAAUUUCCACAUCUAAAUUCUUCAAAUCAGCUAUCAUUUUAUUGAAAUCAUUUAGAUGCUCAUUCAUAGAAGUACCUUUCUUGUGCUGAAAACGGAAGAUCCUUUUCUUCAGGUAGAGACGAUUCUCUAUACUCUUCUUCAUAAACUUGUCCUCCAGUGCUUGCCAUAAUUCCUUUGCAGAGUUUUGUUCUGAAAAGGCGUACUUCUGAUCCUUUACAAGACAAAGUCGGAUGGAACUGCAGGCCAACCGAUUUAUCCUUUCCCAGCUUUUAUCAUCCAAAUCCUCCGGUUGAUCUUCUAAAGUGAAAUCCAAAUUCAUUUGGACAAGCAUAUCCAUGACUUCACAUUUCCACAUGCCAAAAUUACCUUUCCCAUCAAACUUCUCCACCUCAAAUUUGGUAUUCGAUACCGGGAUGUAUUGUGGAGGUAUACUAGCAUUCCCCGCUGAUUUUUCUUCUGGAAUAUCAGCCAUUAGGACGUCUUUGGAUUACAAAUGGACUCCUGAAAUUGUUAAAACACGCACUUUUAUGCUCAAAAGAGCCAAAACAGUAACUUCGGUGUGCUGUUUCACAAAACGGACAUCACGGUUGCGUCCGGAAUGGUUGAAAAUGCUAGGAACCAACUUGACUCGGCCAAAAAACAGGUCAAAAAUCACUGAGUUGGCCAAAAAACCAAUCUGACCGAGUUGACUCAGGGAAGGAAUAUUCUGUCUCUGAUAAAGAAUAUUCUGUCACGGGAAUAUUCUGUUACUGGUAACGGAAUAUUCUUAUUCUGUCAAGAGAAUAUUCUGUCACUGUUAGAUGACAUGUCUGAUGACGUGGCUGAUGACAGGGCGAUGUGGACCCUCUGUUGAUGACGUGGAUGAUGACUCAGCGCCUACGUGUCGGAUGACGUGGCUGUCUUCUCAGGCGAGAAUUCCGGCAAUGACUGGUUUUUCCGGCAGAUUUCCGGCGAAACUUCGGCGAGCUCUACAGGGCUCGUUUCAACUCCGAUUUCGAUGAUCUUUAUAUCGCCGGACUCGUAUGGACGAGAGGAAUCUCCUCAGCUGGUCAAAAGCAAGAUCUGAGAACUUUGAAAAUUCUGCAACUUUGAACAGAGAGCUGAAAAACGUGUUUUUUCAGUGUUCUAGCUUCCCUAAUGCUCUGAUACCAAUUUGUUGUGCAUACUGGACCGAAAGCAAACACAAAUAAAACACAAACAAGCAGAUUUACGUGGUUCCCCAAAACCGGGUACGUCCACGGAGGCAGCAGAUUGUAUAUUAUUGGAGGAAUGAUACAAACACUCAACUCAACCCAGUACAAUCCCACAAAACCCAGUGUUUCACUCUUACACUCGGUGUUUCUCUCAAAUCUGCACUCUUUCACUCUCACAGUUGCACUAUUUUCUUCUGCACACUUGCACUCACACUGCACUCUCUCGUUCCUCUCUUCUAUCUUCUAUCUUUCACACACAUUUACAGGAGAAAGGAAAGCAUAAAUAUAAUGGAUGAAAAGGAGAGGGUGGUUGAAAAGGAGAGAGUGGUUGAUGGUUGUUGAGAAAAAAUAUUGACAAUUAGCAAAUGUUGACAAUUUGCUACAUUAUCUGCGUAAAAUAUCUCUGGAGAUGCUUUCGAUGGAGAUUAGGUCUCAAAACGCUAUGCCCACUGCCCCCAUGGAUCCAGAGCGUGAAAAUGAAGCCGAGCAUUGAAUUUCUAAACAUCAUUUCCUUUUGUUUUAUAUUUCGCAUUGUUACCAAACUCUUUUACAUUUUAUUGCUGCAUAUAUUGCUAUGUAUAUACCAUGCUUUAAUCAAAACCUAUAAUGCAGGAAUAUCUGCAGAUGGCCAUUCCCAAAGGGAAAACUAAUCUUCCCUAGAAUAUUACAAAGUGCCAUUUCUACAGUGAGAAUAGCGUUUCGUUUUGGUUGUUUUGUUGAUGAUAACUAGAUCUUAAAACUAAUCCCUGUACUUUUACAUGAUGCUAUAAACUGGUCCCUUUUAUUAGUAAAAUGUUGAGCCAGUCAAUUGAUUAUUUAAAAAUCUUGAGGGAUUAAUUUGUUUGUUUCACAAAAAAAGACACUGAUUAAAUAAAAAAAUUAUCAUCAUAUGCAUGAGUGUUUACUUGUCCAACAACAGUUUGCAAGGGGCAGAUCCUUGGAUGGAUAUUAGAGGUGAGCAAAAAAACCAAUAAACAGAUUAAACAAAGAAAACAAAAAACAAAUAACCGAAAAAACCGAACCGAAAAAAAACUGAAUUAACUGAUUAAAAAAUCACAAAAAAAUUCCGGUUCGGUUUGGUUUCGGUUUCUAAAGUCUGAAACAGAUUGAACCAAACCGGUUAAACCAUGCCAGCACUUAAAAAAAAAAAGUAUAAAUAUGAUGUUUUUUCUAACACUAAACCUAAAGUAACAUUCAGUCGCGACCCCCGCCCCCCCUUCCCUUUGCUCUCUACAUCUCUUCUCUUUGAUUUUUCUUCAUGCUCCACAAUUGUUACUUGUUAAGCUCCUGCUCCAUGCUCCUAAAGGUCCUAAACCAACGCCCCCCCCCCCCCUUCUCUGCCUCUCAUCAUCUUCUCACAACCCCUCCUUUUUUCUCCCUUUUUCUCUCUGCCUCUCAUCUCUCCCCGUAGCCCCCCCUCCUUUUCUCUCUAUCUCUCAUCUCUGCAUCUUAUCUUCUCCACUUCAAGUUUGUGGGCACUGGGCAGAUAAAAAAAAGAGAUGGCUUUUUGAUGAUUAAGAUUCUAACUCCACUUCAAGUCCAUCCCUGCAUCUUGUGGGUUUUUGCUUUUUUUUUAUUAUGCUAUAAUUUGCUUGUAGUUUGUGGGCAAAUAUGUUUUUCAAAUAUGUCUUGGUCAUGUAAAUUGGAAUAAGUUUCUGAAUAACAAAAAUGAGAUUUGCUUUUCGGUUUUAUCGGUUGUCAUAACCCAAUUUUUUACCCUUUUAUUUUAAUUUUAUGAUAAAAAGAAAAAAUGAUGAAAAAAUAUAUAUAUAUAAUAAUGAUGAAAAAAAUAAAAAUGAAAUAAAUGAAGAAUGAAUUAAAAUUUGGGUUAAUGGCAACAUGAUUGGACGCUUAAAGAUUUAAUUUUUGACUUGUCUAAUUAAUCAAAUCAAUUGUUUAAUUGGAGAAUUGAUAAGUUUUGGGACUUAAUUAAGCUUGAAAUUAAUUUAAUUAAUCCAAUCAAGGGUUUAAUUGGAGAAUUGAUAAGUUUUGAGACUUAAUUAAGCUUGAAAUUAAUUUAAUUCAUCCAAUCAAGGGUUUAAUUGGAGAAUUGAUAAGUUUUAAACUUAAUUGGACUUUGGAUUUAAUUAAAUUAAUGAAAUCAGGGACUUAAUUGAAGAAAUAGCAAAGUUUGGGGUUAAUUGGGAGUCCCAAUUGUGAAAUUAAAAUCCAAGGAUUACAUUGAAAAAGGCGCGCAAAUGCAGGGGGCCAAUUACAGUUUAAACCAGGGGUUUAAUUACAAGACUUUCAAAACUGCAUGGAUCAAAACGAAAAAUGGCCGAACGACGUCGUUUUGAAGAUGUUGUUCAUCUUCUUCUCCUUUAUGCCAGUGACCGUUUCCGCAGUAAUGGAGGGAGGAACAUUGCAGCAGUAAUCGUCGUCCGUUGGCUUCAGUUAUGAGCGCCUUAAUGGUGGCCGACUGUUAGCCUACCGCCCGUUAUCAACCCGCCAAGGCCUAUAUAAACCGAGCAGCACCGAAGAGGAGCGAGGUUAGAGGGAGAGAGAGAGAGAGAAAAGAAACCGAAAAGAAGAGAAACACAACCAAAGCACACAAUUUUUAGGUUCAUCUCCAGAACUCCCAUACCAGAACUAGGCUUCCCUCACCAGUUCUGACUUAAGAAAAACGAGAGAGAAAACCGGCCGAAAGAGAGAGAGACGGUGUUCUGAAAAACAGAGCAAAAGAAACGAAGAAAAAUAAACCAAAACAGAGACGCAGGAAAGGAAUACAACAUGAAAACCAGAAGGAGUAAGAAGAAAUUCGAAGGCAGAAGCGUCGUCCUCAGCAAUCACGAACAAAUUCCCUGCAAACGAACCAGGUAAGUCUUCUGCUCUGUUUCCCUCGCUUUGCCUUAUUUCAUUUUCGACGUCCGUGUUUAAUUCAAUAACAGGGCCAUGUACGCGUGAUUUAGAUCACGCGUGCCUAGUGUGGCCCAGCCAGGUCACUGGCUUGGGCCAGUGACCGGGCUGGGCUGGCUGGGUCUAGCCCAGCCCAUGUGGGCUGAGCUGGGCACAGCCCCAAAAACAUAAAAAAUAGAAAAAUAGAAAAAUAGAAAAAAAAUAAUAAUAAUAAAAAAAUAAAAAAGUAAAAAAGGUAGAAAAAAUAAAAAAUGUGUAUGCAUAAAUAAAAAUAAUAUGAAUUUAUUGGUGUAUUCAUUGACGCCAGAGUCAGGAAUAAAAAUACCGGUUUAAAUUUAUAUUAUUUUUAUUCAUUGUAUUUUAUUUUAUUUAGCUAGAAAAUAAAAAAAUAUGUGCAUGUGUAAAAAAUAAUUUUUUUUAUGUGAAUAUUCACUUGCGCCAGAGUCAGGAAUAUUAUAAGAAAAUUAUCAUAGCAUAAACUAAUAAAUAUUUAGCAAUUUAAGACAAAACUAGCAAUGCAGUCUGCCUCAGGCAGAACGUUUAAGGGGUGAUAAUAUCUUCCCUUUUACGUAAUCAAUCCCGAGCCAUAGAAUCUCUGAUGACCAGUUAGGGUUCCUAGUGACCGUAAUACUAGGUGGCGACUCCUUAUACAAGACCUUUUCCCCUAAAAGAACAAGAUGCCAGAAAUCUGUUCUUUUUUCACAAUCUAGAAUUAUUUGUGGGCCGCCGUGAUGUCGGGUGCGACAUCGGUUUUUGAACAACAAAAGUCGAACCGAACCGAACCGAAACCAAUAAAUUUGAACCGGUUUCGGUUCGGUUUUGAUUUUAAAUUUUAAAAUUAAUAAUGUCGGUUUGGUUAAUUUUUUCAUGUAAAAAUUGAACCGAACCGAACCGAAAAUGAUCACCCCUAGGGAAUAUGUCUUCUCUUGAAUUCUUGAACCUAUCAGGGGACAAUUUCUCUGGUCUUUUACUGCCUAGAUUCAGCAAUUCCUCAAAAUUGAGAUAUGUUUAUUUGUCUAGAAAUAAAUUGCAAGGACCAAGCGCAAUAAAAUUUUAUGAUUCCUUUGAGAUAUUAGCCUUAGAUCUUUCCCAUAAUGAUUUAACUAGUAGGAUUCCAGAAUGGAUUGACAGGUUAUCUAACUUGAGAUUUCUACUUUUGAUUUAUAACAAUCUUGAAGGUAAAAUCCCAAUUCAAUUAUGCAAGUUCGACCAAUUAACCUUGAUUGAUCUAUCUCACAAUUAUCUUUCUGGUAACAUCCUCUCUUGUAUGAUAUUUACUCAUCCUUUCCCUAUUCAAUACAAUUCUCGUGAUUUUGUGUCCUUAUCACAACAACCUUUCGAGUUUACAAUGAAGAAUGUAUCUCUUUUUAAUAGAGGCAACAUUAUCUGGAAUUUCACUGGAAUUGAUGUCUUAUGCAACAAUUUCACAGGAGAGAUUCCCCGUGAAAUUGGAAGCCUCAGCAUGAUCAAGGUAUUGAAUCAUUCCCACAACAUUCUAACUGGACCAAUUCUAUCAAUAUUUUCAAACUUAAAGGAAAUAAAGAGCUUGGAUCUUUCCUACAACAAAUUGGAUGGAAAAUCCCAUCUUGACUAUAGAAUUUUUCAGUGUGGCACACAAUAAUCUGUCUAGCAAGACUCUUGCAAGAGUUGCACAAUUUGCCAUGUUGAAGAGAAUUGCUACAAGGGCAACCCUUUUCUUUGUGGAGAACCGCUACCCAAAAUAUGUGGUGCAGCUAUGCCACCAUCACCAAUGCCAACUUCAACGAACAAUGAGGAUCAUGGUGGCUUCAAUAAUCUGUUUGAAGAGAGCUGCUACAAGGACAACCCUUUUGCAUGUGAGCUUUAAGGUUGCAUAGAUCAUGGUGUUGUUGGUGAUAGGUGCAAUUCUGUACAUAAAUUCAUAUUGGUGACAAGCUUGAUUUCACUUUAUUGAGGUGAGCAUCAAUAAUUACUAUUAUUUUCUUGUGGAGAAUCUUUCCAUUUUAUCUAAGUUUGGAUUUUCAUAGCCUUUUAUCUUGAUGGUACUAAGCCUUGGUGCAUUGUUUUGGAUUUUAGUUUCAAGAUUUAAAUAAGUUUAUAUUGAUUUUCAUAUGAGUUUUGUUUUUGUUUUUAGCUUCUAUGUGAUAUAUAAUAAUCAAGUUUUUUUUUUUUUUUAAAGGUUAUCUAAGUUUUUUUAGCUGUUUUUUUUAUGCUUUUUAGGAUUUUUUUUUUUGCUUUUUUCUUUAUUUUUUUUAAUUAAUUUUUUUCGUUUAGUUUAGUUUGUUAAUGUUAAAUUUCUUUCUAUUUAGUUAUUAGACUUUCAUGACACAUAUCUCGAGUUUCACGGGUUAACCUGGUUUCACGGGUGAACCCAGUUAAUUCCGGGUUGACCCGUCAAUUUUUUAUUAUUAUUAUUUUCAUAAAUAUUUUUUUUUAAUUUAGUUUGUUAAUGUUAAUUUUUUUUUAUUUAGUUAUCAGACUUUCAUGACACAAAUACUGGGUUUAACAGAUUAACAUGGUUUGACGAGUUAACCCGAAUUUUUUUUCUUUUUAAUUAAUUUUUUUUGUUUAGUUCAGUUUGUUAAUAUUCACUUUUUUUUAUUUAGUUACCAGACAUUCAUGACACAGAUCCCGGGUUUAACGGGUUAACUUGGUUUGACGAGUUAACAUGAAUUUUAUUUUAUUUUUUGCUUUUUUUUUCUUUUUAAUUAUUUUUUUUCGUUUUGUUUUGUUUAGUUUGUUAAUGUUAAAUUUCUUUCUAUUUAGUUUUUUUUCUUCUUAGAGGUUUUUUUUCUUUUAUUUGUUAUUUUUAAUUAAUUUUAUUUAAUUAAUUUAGUUUAUUAAUAUUAAAUUUUUUUCUAAGUAGUUCUCGACUGAUGCCUUUAGUUUUUUUUUUAUGCCUUUGACUGUGAACUGCACAGUGCAGUCCACUGUGAAAAGGCUGAUGCUUUUUUUUAAUUAAUUUUUUUUGUUUAAUUUAAAUUGUUAAUGUUAAAUUUUUUUCUAUUUAGUUAUCAAACUUUCAUUACACGGAUUCUGGGUUUGACAGGUUAACCUGGUUUGACGAGUUAGCCUAGUUAAUUCUGGGUUAACCCAUUAAUUUGUUUUUUUCUUUUUAACUAUCAAGCUUUCACGAUGCAAAUUCAAUGUAUGACGGGUUAACCUGGUUUGAAGGGUUAACCCAAUUAAUUCAUUUUUUUUUUCAUUAGUUUUUUUUUCCUGUUAGUUUUUUUUUAACUAAUUUAUUAAAUUAUCACACUUUUAUGACACAACCUUGCAGCCAGACCCAUGUCCAAUGUUAUUGGGUCUGGUAUUGCAAUCCAGACAUUUUUAUGCUAAGGGUUAACCCAAGUUUAAUGUUAUUAUUAAUAUUAUAAACAUUACUCUUAGAUCAGGCGUUGCAACCAAACCUGAGACUCUUGGGUAUAACUUUGUAAAAAAACCUAAUACUUUUAGAUCUUAACUAUUUUUAAAAUGCAAAAAAUAAUUGACCUGCGGCAUCGCGCGGGGCAUGUAACUAGUAGAUUACUAAAGGGGAUCGAUUUUGAUUAUGAUUUGGUGUGGGAAAUUCUCUGCGUGCCUACAUAGAGUGUGGCUUCUUGAAACUCCAAAAAAUAUAUAUAGGUGUUUGCCUAAACCAGUAUUGGGCAGAUAAAGAUAAGCCAGGAUUGCCGAGGAAGAGGCUGUUCAGGUAGUCCGAACAGGGAUCUAUAAUCAUUAGUUAUAUAAUCAACCCUAAUCAGAAUUUCCCAAGAAAGAAUUAACUAAAGACUUCAGUUAAUGCUGAUGAACACGAGUAAAGGAUUUGCUAAAGACAAAACCAUGUAUUUAAGAACCAUUGCUAAGCUACAGGUUCUGGAGCCACAAACCACUCACAUUUACUGGGGUUGAUCCCAAAUUGAGACAAAUCUAUUUGUCCGGUUCGGAGAACCUUCAAACAAAAAGAAGAGUUAAACCUUGUAAAAUUGACUAUAUAUCAUCAAAAGGACAAGAAACACACAGGAAACCUCAUAAUUACCUCAGAAUGCACCGACGUAAAACACACAGGAAAUCCCAACACAUCAUAAGACAACAAAAGAAAACAUAUAUUUAGCAGAAUAAAAAGGUUGUACAAUUCUUUCACAGCUUACAGUACGUAUAGAAUAAGCAUUAAUAAUUACCUUCAUCUGGAUCACCCGAACUACCUGCAACAUGUAUCAUCACAUCACGCGGGCCACCCUAAGUACAACAAACAAGGAUAUGGUCACUUGCACUAUCUAAGCAGAACACACCUCCAGCACCAAUAUUACUCAGGAUUCUUUGCAAGUCUUCCAAUUUCACUGGUUCUGAUGAAGAGUUUACAUCACUCAUUACUUCUGCACCAAGGUCUGGGACAACUGAGUUUCCAGUCCUGAGAGCGAUGAGCAAAAAUCUCAUCGGAAUAAAAGAAAAUGGCCACGUAAUAUAUACCUGGCCAUUUGUUUUUGGUAACAAAAGUGCUCCUUAACCUUUUUGAAGUUAUUUUAGAAUGAAUUACAAGCAUUAAACAUUUAUAUAUAUGGACAAACACCGAGUUUAUGCAAGUCUGUGCAAGGGCAAUAUGGGGUGAAGGAUUUGACAUGGGCUAAGGUGGGUGAGAUGUUUUUGUCAAGAAAUGAUUUUGGAAAAUUUCUUGAUAUUUCAUGAAUAAAUAAGAUAUGAGUCUUUAUCAAGGAAAGAACAUAGGCUCUCCAAGAUGAUUGACCAGAAGGAGAGAAGGGAGGCUCAUUCUGCUCCACUGACUCUUAGUCUCAAAGAACAAAAAAUUACAUAGCUCUAUAUCCUUACUCUUACUUGCUAUAUCAACUCUUAGAGUUGAAGUAUCAUCUUUGACUAUGCUUCUUUGUUAUAAUAAAUAUACCUUGAUGAGAUAUUAUCUUCAAGCAUGUCUUCAAAAACUUGGAAAGGAGUAGAAGCAUCAGGCUCUUCUUCAUCAACUACACCAAAUUGUUUGCAUUUAAGAGAUCGGGGGAGGGGGGCAGAAGAUUAGACUUUGCAUUUAAAUAUAAGCCAAGAUGAUUAGGAACAAAAUAAUGACGAGUAGCAUGGCUAACAAAGGACUCAAAACACAAAAUUGUUUACCAAAUGGACGAUUAAUAUAAUAGUUGAAAGAGCUACAUAAUUGUGAAUCAUCUUUAGCUUUUGGCUCCUGCAAACAUGUUACACAAUUUUCCAAAAUCAUGCAGCUAACAGCUGAGUCAAUGUUACACAUAAGAGAGUGAAAAACGCAGAAAGUGAACCUGACCUGCACCCAAAUGAAAAACUUUCGAUCAUCUGUAUUGAAUUUCAAGAUGUAAACUCUUCCCAAAGCUUGAUUAACCUGAAUAACCCAAGGAAUUAUGAAUCUAUGAUAUUACAAUCAAUUAUUAGAGUCAAAUAUCUUCCAUCUAAGAAAAAACUAGGAGAGAAAAGUGUACCUUCUCAAAAACAGCAUCUUCAGAAAAAAAUAAUAUGAUCCUGUCAAUCAACGCGUCAAGAAAAAGCUACCAAAGUUCUCACCUCAAAAGAAUAUUAACAAAACAAACAACAGAAAAAAAAAUAAAAACCAAAGUUGGAAGGGAGAAACAAAAUCCCCAGGCUCAAAAACAUAAUAAUAACUAGGAUACAUCUUCCACAGCAUUCAAAUUCCUAUCAAGCCACUGGAAAUGAAGCAAACCCUCAUCACCCUGGAACAAUUCAAAAAUUUCGACUUCAAACAGGAAACAAGAUGCUAGAAACACUCUAUCUAGUACUUAAGAUAAACCAAAACAAUAGAAUUAACUAAAAAUCUUUACACAGACACGAACUCUAUAUAACACAAAAAAAAAAAACCAAAAGACACCAGUUUACCCUUCCAAUGCGAACAAGUCCUUUUCGAGAAUCAGGAACAAACUUUUUUCCAACGAAAACCAUUUUACCAGCACGAAACUCCAACAUAAUUUCCUACCAACAAAACAACCACAACACCAUAACAUAACCCCACCAAGAAAAACAUACUUGUACAUCCAACAAAGCAAUUACAGGCUCUAAUUAAAAAGAAACAGAGAUUUUAAGCAAAACCCACAAUUUUAAAAGUGAUUUUAUUUACCUGCAUUGCUGAAAUAUCUACAGUUGAUGAAGAACCCAUUUUUCGCAUACUUCCUCUAAAGCUUCCUUUUUUUCAACACUGCAAAAAACAAAAAACAAAAAAAAGAAGGACAAAUCAAAUACCCAAAUCAGAAACAAUAACAGAAAAAAAAUAAAAGAAAAUCCAAAGCUGGAAGUUGUAAUCAGGAGGAGAACCAGACAAUUUCAGAUAGAAUGACAUUUUAUCAAGAAUUGAACUGGGCAUUCAGUUAAUUAAAUAGGUUGUAAUCAGGUGAGAGUAGUGUCAACAACAUGUUUAGUUUUCCUCUCGGAAGUGCCAUUCUGCACAAGUCAGUGUUUUAAAAAUAUUUUUAAAAAAAUUUUAAUUUGUUUUUUUAGUGGUUUUAAUUUAUUUUCAUGUAUUAAUAUUAAAAAUAAUUUUAAAAAAUAAAAAAUAUAUUAUUUCAAUUUAUUUUAAAAUAAAAAAAACUUAAAAAAUACUGUUAACACAGUAUUAAACAAACUCUAAUCCUAUAACCAGAUGAACAACGUUAAGAUAUUUGUUUUUUGUUUUUCUUUUUUUUGAUAAUGAGACUGUCGUAAACAAUCUUGCCUAAUGAUUGUUAAGAAAUGAAAGAGGCAAUGCAUGGCUAAACCAAUGGAAGCUAAAAAGCUAAUGUUAUCCCUAGUAAGCAAUUGUUGCCGCAAUGACAUAUGCCUCGUUAGAGAUAUAUUUGAAUUUACAUAUUAUUAUUAUCAUAUAUUUUGUAUUGUCGUUUAAAAAAUAAAUAUUUUCCUUAUAUAGAGUAGAAUGUUUUUAAUUUUAUCAUUUAAAAUUUAUAUAUUUUUUAAAAAAUUAAUACAAUAUACAGUUAAUUAAACAUCUAUAAAUUAAUAUCAUUGAGAACAUGAAAUUUAUUAAUUAAUUAAGAUGUUAUUUAGUAAAUAAAUUUAUACACUUAUACAUUAAUCAAUAAAAAAUUUUCUUUUUCAAAAACAUUGAACUCAAUACAUGCAUCGUGUAUAAUAUUAUCUAAUCAUCAAAUUAUGAAUUAUCAUAAUUCUAUAUAUUUAUUUAAAUAAAACAAGUUCAAGAAUUAAUGUAAUCAAUCUUAUUAAUUAAUAAAAUUCAUGUAUGUAUUAACAUACAAGCAAAAAAUCUAUAAAAAGAAUAUACAAGUGAGCCAAACAACAAUAUAUAUUAAAAACGAACAAGAGGUCGAAUUAAUAUCCAUUAACUAAUAGUAAAAUUAAGAAGAUGAUACCAAAGAGACACAAAAUCACAAAAAAGCAUUUAACAUUUCAGAGAAAGAAGCCUGCAACACCCAUUAAGGAAAAGAGAGAAGGGAAAGAAAUGUGGAUUAAUUCAUACAGAGGCUCACCUUGUUCCAGACCAGCGCGAGACUGUAGACGAACCAAGAGCAAAAAAUGCAGGAGAGAUAAUCAUGAGAGAAACAAAUUCAUAUAUCCACGAAUAUGUACAAUAUUUGAAACCUAUAAUGCAAGAAUAGCUGCAGAUGUACAUUAAUAUUUUUAAUUUAAAGAAUCAAUUAAUUAUUUAAAAAACUUGAGGGAUUAAUUUGUUUGUUUCACAAAAAAUAGACACUGGUUAUAUAAAAUUUUACUUAAAUUUUUAUCAUCAUAUUUUAAAAGAAACCAGUUUAUGUUUUGCGCAACACGAAAAAUCAUAUAUGCUUAAGUAACUAUUUGGCAUCUUAAACUCAAUUUAGUAAAUUAAUUUUAAUUUUUUUCUAUCCGGCUCUUUUCCUAUAUCAAAUUUAAAAUUAACCAACAUAAAAAUUAUCCUCAAAUGAUACAGUCAAUAUGAUAGGUUUACAAAAAUAUAUUAAAUUGAUUCUAAUUUCAUGGCUUAACUCUUCAAACCCACUACUCGAAUAAUAGACUCCAUCUAGUUGUAAUUAUUAUUUUGUUUUUUAAUUAUUUUUUAUUGAAUAAUAUGAUAACAAUAUCAAUUCAAAAUCAACUAAAUAUUAAAGGAUAAAAUAAAAAAAAUAAAAAAAAUUCAAUAGAAAAAAAAAGGAGAAGAAUGGUAGAGUUUAAAAACAAAUAAACAAUAUGACGUCAUUGUUAGAGCACCUGAAAUUACUGUUCCUUUUUACUAUAAUGAUGAAGUUUCCACAUAAUAUAAAACAUGCUUAUAAAUUAAUAACCGAAAUAAAAAUUAAAUUGAGACGACAAUCAAUUCUUUAACUUUAAAACGAUUUAUUAACAAUAGAAUUGAGAAGGCCCGCCACAGAUCAAGAGGACAGCUUCAAUGAAGCCAUCCCAGCCAAUGCAGGUGAUUACCCGUCGGUUGAAGUCUCAUCGCGCGCCUAGCACCAGCCAAACCGCCUCAAUCUGAACAUGCACCAGACAAAGUUCAUGAAAAGACGCCAGGGAGCCUCAGCAGCUGAGAAGAAAGUGCGGGAACACCCACCGCACGAGAAGAAACGUGAAAAGCAGAGAGGGAGCGCGGUAAAGAUUGUCAAGCCACGGGAUUCACACACAGUGCACCGAGUUUUAAUGAGCACUCUUAGUUUUUUUUUAUAUAUAUAUAUAUAAAAUUCUUUUAGUUUUAGUUUUAGUUUUAGUUUGUUAGUUAUGAACAGUGAAGCAGCACCAGAAUACAGUUCUUUUAGUUUGUUAGCGAAUCUGGAAAAGAAUAAAGUCAUCUGUCAAGCUCUGUUCACUUUGGUCCGACAUUCCUCACCUCUCCCCACCUGAGCUCUCUCUCUUUCCCUCCUCCGCUUUCAGAAACCGCCGCCGCCACCACCUCAACCAAUAAGGCUUCAAAUCUCACCCAGAUGCUUCCUUUUCUAUUAUGUUUUUGUUUUUUAAAAUUUACGUCUGCUUUUUCAUUUAUUUAAUUGAAAUUACUAUCCAGAGAGAGAAAUUCGAUUUUAAUAAGUAAAUUAAAAAGAUAUAUAAUCGAACCCGAUGAAAUCGCUGCUCGUGAACGCAACUCGAAGAAAGGCGCAAUCAGCCGACUAUACUAUGGGUGGAGCAUUUAAUAUGGUCAGGGUUAUUGUGUUGUCUAUUCAAAGAAAGAUGUGCCUGUAAAUUUGUUAAGUUGAUUCUUAUCAGUCUACUCUUUAGAGUUGAUGAUAACAUGAAAUACUCGUUGUUAAUGCUCGUUGUUUUCUUCUUCUUUUUUCCUAGAUUAAAACAUCCUAGACAAUCUCUUUGGGAUGGUUUAGUAUUUCUGGCCUCUUCAUCUUCUAUUUGUGCUAUGGUUUUUAGUCUGCUGAUAUUGUUGAUAUUCAUUGGGGAUUGAAAGGCCUCGUUUUAUGACUUUGUUUUGUCUUCUUCUUAUUUCUUUAUUCUUUUGGGGAUGCGGCAUUUUCCUCUUUCAGAGAAAUAAAUAUAUACAUAAAUAACAAGAACAGGACGGGAAGGAGAGGGGGUUUUGACAAUAAGUAUUUGCUUAGAAGGGAAUGCUUCUUUGGUUUAGAAGCACCAUGAAGAUUCAGGCCCAAAUCUUUGCUUAGAAUGCCCGAAAUAAAUAUAUCACACACUUCUUUUUUUGUUUUUUGUUUUUCAUCUUUUCAUGUGUUUCUCACAAGACGUCACUUUCUUGCUUUUCUUUCGAGAGAGUAUUUGAUCCUUUUUUUGUAUAAAAUAAUGCUGCCAUUCAUUGAAUUUCCAAACAUCUUACCUUUUGUUUUGUUUGUCGCAUUGUUAUCAAACUCUUUUCCAUUUUAUUGCGGCAUAUUGCUACGUGUAUGGCAUGCUUUAAUCAAAAAGUUGAGUAAUUGAUGAAUGUUAGGCAAGAAAAUUACAGAUUAUUUUUGUUUUCUGCCUCCUCCUUCUCUUUCCCCCACCCCGAAAAUUGUCAUAUUUUUUUUUCAGCCGCCUCUUCUUCCCCCAACCCUAAAAAUUGUUUAUAUUUGCUUUGGAAGCAUGGCAAACUUCACUGCCUCUCAGCUUAAGGAGAUUGCAGCAGGUCUCGAAGCUUCUGGGCAUCAAUUUAUCCGGGUAUUUAGAAGAAGAAAAAAAAGAGUCAAGAAGACAAGGAAGAUUGUUUACCUCAAGGAUUUGAGGAAAGAAUGGAAGGCAAAGGGCUAUUAUCAGAGGAUGGACACUCCAAGUUUUGAUUCUUGAUCAUGAAGCAAUAAGUGCAUUUGUGACUCAUUGAGGAUGGAACUCAACUCUUGAAGGCAUAAGGCCAAUAUGUGCUGAGCAAUUCUAUAAUGAAAAGUUGGUGACUGAUGUUUUAAAAAAUGGAGUUAAGGAAUGGCCUAGAGUGCAUGGAGAUCAUGUUAAAAGUGAAGCUGUAGAGAAGUCAAAUUAUGAUGGGUGAAGAAGCAGAGGAAAUGAGGAGUAGAGCAAAGAAGCUAGGAGAAACGGCCAGGAAGGCUGUUGAAGAAGGUGGAUCUUCUUGCUCUGAUUUCAAUGCUUUGAUCGAAUAACUGAGGUGGGGUCGCCAUUGAAACAAAGGCAGAAGUAAGUGUUGUCACUCGUGCAUAGAAUAUUUUGUUUCUACUUAGUAGUGGUUUUGGCAAUAUAGACAAGUCUUGAGAGUUGAAAGAGUAAUCACAGCCGAGUCAAUGACCAGUCCAAAUCAGUUCCCUUCCUACUAGUUCAGGAAUGACAAGUCCAGCUUAUAUAUUUAGCCCAAAUAACUAAUCAAAUAGAAAGGCUGAGCUUAGAGGCAGUACACUACAAAAUAAGUACCCAAUGUCUUAGAGACAAACAAUCAUCACAAACUAGGAAAGACCGUCUCCCCAGUAACAAAUUCACCUUCUGAAGUUGGAGAACUUGCGAAAACUAGCCACCACAAAAUAGUAGCAAGUAUCUAAAUUAUUUCCAGAGAGAUCUAACUGCUUCAAUUCACACCAACUUGUAUAAUUUAUCUCUAAACAGUCAAAAUAGUGUUAAAAGAAUCUUUUAUUGAUGAUGUGAUUAUAUUUGUUAAUUUACCUUGAGCGGGUAAAGUGACAUAGAGGUCACAUUCACCAAUAGACAAAACUUGAAGAGCAGGCAAUGCUCCAAUGUUAUGGAAAAAGUUUAUUAGGAGAGAAGUACGAUCUAGAUACAAUUCUUCAAGGGUGCUAGAAUUGAAGAAAGUCCCUGUAAAAAAGAAACAAAAAGAAAAAAGAUAUGAUGAAAAUGGUGGUGGUACAUAAUAGGCAUUCCAUUCAAUAUUAUUAAUUAAGAUUUUAAGAAACUAAACUAUGAUUAACCUUGAUUUAAAUUAGUAUCCUUGAGAGAAAGGGUCUUCAGGGAUGGCAAUGACUGCAGGAAGUCCGGCUUCCUUAAACCUAUGAUGUGUACAAUUGAAAACAGGCAAUCAAGAAAGUAGUGAAAUUAAGUGCUAUCUUGAUUGAGUUUUUAAACCUAUGAUAAAGAACUGAUGUUGAAUAGUGAGAUGAAUUUUGGAUAGAAACAACAAAUUGCCUGAAAAAUCCAGAGAUUUCACAACUUUACCAUAGACAGUCGUCGAUCCUAGCAACAUAUCGCCUGAUAAAUUUAAAGACUUGAGAUAAGAAAAUCCACGCAGAUGUGAUAAAAUGUUGUCGUUGAAUAUAUUAUAGCUCAGGUCUAGAUUCUCGAGUUUCCUCAAAUGAUAUAUGAUCUCAAAACCUGCAAGAGAAACUAAAGAUAAUUAGAAUUGAUGAGAUGCUGUUGUUCAAUUGAUAUAUGAUUCUCAAAUUAUACAUACAUAUACACACACACACACACACACACACACAUAUAUAUAUAUAUAUAUAUAUAUAUAUAUAUAUAUAUAUAUAUAUAUAUAUAUAUAUAUAUAAUUGAUAUUUAUAAAAGCAUUAACUGUAGAGGAAUAUUUGGUACUUUGUUUCCCAAUAAAAAAUAGAUUUUUCUGCAAAGUAGCACCAAAAAAAAAACUGUUCAAAACUUAUAUAAGAAAUUAUACAGUUAGCGAGUCACAGAUGAUGAAUCUUAAAAAAAAUUGGCAAUAAUAACAGUACUCUAUUGCUAUUAAUUAACUUAAAUAUUCAAAACUUAAAAAUAGUUUUUAAAUUUAUCCAUGCCAAUUUAUCUUAAGAGAGUCGCAAUCUGUGACUAGUUAAAUUAUAUUGUUUCUGUAAAUAAAUUUUGAAUUGUGUUAUUUUUUGUUCUAGGUGCUAUUUUGCAAAAAAAAAAAAAACCUCCAAAUAAAAUAAUAAGAUUAACGUUUAAGUUGUCUAUUGUUCUUGGAUUUGUAGGUAUAACAACAGAAGAUAGCAAUCAAAAGCGAUGGUGACAUGGUAGAGCUUUGAGUUAUUGCUGUGUUCUAAUGAUGAAGAUGUAGGAAAACGAUCUCCCUUCUGCUGUCUGGAGCUGGGCUUCCUCUCCCUGUAAGAACAAUCAACAUCUUAUCUGCGUUGUUGUUAGUGGCCACUUCAUCGACCCAUUAGUGGGUGGAUUUUAAGCUUAAAAAGGAUUUUUUUUAUAAAAAAAAAAAGGGAAGAGAGAGGGGGGGCGCAUCAUCACGUGAAAGCAAGGAGCUUGCCACCCAUUAUAGAGUGUGGGGCACUCUUGCAUCUAAGAAUAAAUGAUCCUGAGGUUGUUCUGGUGAUGGGUAUUGGCCAUUACAUAAAGCUUCGACAAGCCCUUUUAGCUGCCUGUUAUUAGAAUUUGUAUAAUGAGCAUUCAAACUUAAACUUCUUUAAAUGGGAUGAAAACGAGUGAAAAUCAAGAAGUUGGAGGUGUUCAUCUCUAAUGCAUAGCUAAAGAUCCUUUGUAAGAAAAUACAGCUAAAGACAGUGUGUGUGUGUGUACCAGAGAAAUUGUCGAUAAUAGCCAUCAUUUUCUUUGUCUCUUGUGUCAUAUCUUCCAAAAAUCUUAAAGUAAUUGAUGAAAAAGUGGAUACACCUCUUUGUCUUCUUUAUAGCACUGCUGGCCACUGUGAGUUAAAGCAUUAAAAGGUCGUGAACGCGGAUGCUUGACGAGCGAGUGUUUACUUGUUAAUUUUUUUAGAAGGAAUCUGGAAAAGAAUAAAGUCAUCUAUUUCACUUUGGGACAACAUUCCUCACCUCUCCCCGCCCUCCCUCCCUCCCUCUUCCGCCUCUCGGAAACCGCCGCAUCCAAUAAGGCUUCAGAUUUCUGCCAGGUGCUUCCUUUUCUAUCAUGCUUUUGUUUUUAAAAUUUAUGGGUGUUUUCAUUUAUUUUAUUGUAAUUAUUAUUCAGAGACAGAAAUCCAUUUUAAUAAGUAAAUUAAAAAAAACAAAUAAGCGAUCCGAUGAAAUCUCUGCUAGUGAACGCAAUUCGAUUUUAAUAUGUAAAUUAAAAAAGUAUAUAAUCGGAUCCGAUGAAAUCGCUGCUCGUGAACGCAAUUCAAAGAAACGCACAAUCAGCCGAUUCUAAUAUUUUCUUUUUCAACCCCACCCUAAUUUACAUGAUAUUAUCCGAUUUUUCUCACAGUUAUUGUUGUAAUAAUCAAGCCCUGAAUUCUUGAACCCAAAUUUAUUUUAUUUUAUUUUUUAGUUUUAUUUUUAAGUGGAGAAUAGAAAUCAAUUCAAAUCUUUUAGGCUCGAUCGAUAAUUUGUUAAUUAGUUUAUGCAGCAGCUGGAGUGGAAGAGAUAUUACUGCCGGAAUGGCCGAAAAAUGAGCUGUUUGGUUGAUUCUUCUUUUUUGGAAUUUACUGAAUUCUUCAAAAUUAUUGUGUUUUUAACAACAAUACGAUAUCCUUGGGUUUCAUGCUCGCUCACACAUGGAAAAAAGAAAGAAAGAACAGAACUUUAAAUUUUAUAAUUUGGUCAAGUUAAUGCUCGUCGUUUUCUUCAUUUUCCUAGCUUAAAACAUCCUAGACAAUCUCUUUGGGAUGGGUUAUUGUUUGUGGCCUCUUCAUGUUCUAUUUGCUGGGGUAUUUAGAGUACUGCUGAUUGAAAAGCCUUGUUUUAUUGCACGUUAGAAAAGUUAAUACAUACAUAAAUAACAAGAACAGGGGCCGGGGGGGGGGGUGUUGGGGUUUGACGGUAUGUAUUUGCUUGCGAGUAAAAAUUGGUAAGCACUUGAAAAAGGUCCUGUGCUGAAUCUAAAUUGGUAAGAUGUUAUAUACUGAUAUCUAGAAAGAUAACUUAAUCUAUCUAUUGAAGUAAAGCAUUUAAAUACGUAUACAAUGUUUUUGGAAUAUUAAAUAUCUAUUUGAUCAGAAUCUGUGAACCUCUAAAACCACAAUGAAUACAAAUGCAAGUUUGUCAUUGUAAACAUUGCAUCGAUGAUGUAUCACAAGUGUUGCUAGAAAACAUCAAGUUAAAAUUGAAGCACCAUGAGUUUCUCUAUGGCUUGGUUUACCAACACUCACCAUCUGUUGGUGCGGCAAGUUAUGAACUAGCUGGCUAGUUUUUUGCUUCCUUGGUUUUAGAAGCACCAUGAAGAUUCAGGUCCAAAUCUUGCUUAUAAUACCCGAAUACCCAAGAUCCUAGCACCUUGCCUUGAAUGGUCGUGUAUAUUUGUUAUGGCUGUUCAGAUUUUAUGCAUCCAUAUUUGGGAGAAUUCUUUAAUAAAGUACAUGCUAUUAGAUGGAAGUUCUCUUUAAAUCUAUUCAAGUCUGAAUAAACUGAUAUUCCAAUUUUCAUGACUUUGAUGUGCUCUUACUCUUCUGCUGUUCCUGACUUUCUUUUUAAGGUCUAUUCUAACGUGCAAUAUUAUUUAUUUAUUUAUUUAUUGUCAUGAUAGAAGUGAUUUUUUUUGGUUGGCCAAAACCCCUUGGAUGCCAAUAAUUGGAGGUCCACUGCCCCAGGCGGAGAACAUGUCAUUGACACGGGUGAUUGGAGAAUUCAAUUGCAGCCUGACUCACGGAAAAGAAUAGUCGACAAAAUGUAAGUACGUGUUUCCUAAUAUGUGCAAGUGCUGCAAAAUAGUAAAUUUUUUAUUUAUAUGAAAGAAAAGUAGAAGGGCAAAAGGUUAAUUAAAAUUAGCUGGACUGCCAUGAGGCAACCUCAAGUAUCACACACCUCUUUUUUUUGUUUUUCAUCUUUUCGCUUGUUUCUCACAAGAAGCAAACUUGAGGGAACGUAAAGUGCUGGGAAGUGAUUUUUGUUGGAACUUCUUGUGUAACAUCUUCUUUUGACGAUGACCUCUUGGAUGGCUGCAUGAAGCUUGUUCCGCUUUAAAUUUCAAGGUUAAUCUAUUGCUAUGAGCAUUGGUGUUUCAAUUUCAACCUUGAGUUGCAACUGAACUUAAAUGAAUAGUGUUGGAUUUGGGCCUUCUAUUUGCUUUAACUUCUACAGGAUUGAAAUGAUAGUGAUCUUAAAGUAGAAAAGCAGCAGACAAAAAUCAAUUAGCCACAAUAGUGUAUGGUUUCCUAGUUUCUCAGUAUAAAGUUGAAUGUUUUGGUGAUAUCUCCACAUCCAAAAUCAUAUAGACAGCUACUGUUGGCACUUGCAGUAGCCAAUGAGCACUGUAGAGUAUAUAUAUUGCAGCGUGAGAUAAGGUUAACUCAUUGCAUUUUCAUAAAUUAAAGGGAUUUCUCUUCUUUUCUUUGUCAAUUACAGUGCAUGUAUAAAAGUUUUCUACAGUGCACUGUAGAGUAAAUGCUAUUGUAAUGUUUUCACAGAGUUCCCCUGGUUUGCAACUAAUGCACUUAUAUAUCUUGGAGCAUAGCCAUAGCCAUAAAUGAAAGGUUCUUCUGGUUCAAGAAAAUUAACCAUGAAGCUCGUAACUAGAAUUUUAGACAGAAGGUUGGCCAAGUAAACUCUUACCUCUGGAAUAAUACGGGGAAACGAAGUAAAAAUAGAUGUCUGUAUUUUGAUGCCAUUUAUUACUUUACUAACACUCGGCUAUAUCAUUAUUUGUUUUUACUUUUUGCUAAUGAUUUUGUUGUAUACAUUUCUGAUAUUAGUGUGGUGUAUGAGUUCACAGUUUUUUCUCACUACUGCUAACUUCUCUAUACCUGCCUUGUCAUUAAAAAUUAAAUGCAAUGUUUUACAUGUGCAGAAUGGAGACAUUAAAGAGGCAUCUUCCGUUUUCUGGUCAGGAGGGAUUACAAGAACUCAAGAAAAUUGCCGUACGGUUUGAGGAAAAGAUUUAUACUGCCGCCACCAAUCAGGUAUUCGGCUAAUGCUAGGUUCAAUAAUUUUGAUAUUCUCUGGACAUGAAUAUACACAUGCAUAAGUUUGUGGAUUUAUGCAUGUACACGUGUGUGUAGUGUGUCCACACUUCCUCACUGGUCAUUCUGUAGAAGUUCUUAUCUUUCCGUUAAUUCUCUUGACAAGUGUUUUAUUUAGAGUGACCAAGGUCCUUUUCAAGUACAAGGGAAGUGUGCAAAAAGCAAAUAACGAAUCAAUACAUAAAUAAUUAAAUAAAAAGAGGAGACACAGAAGUAUAUCCUCACAGAAGAUGCAAAUACAGAAAGCCUAGCAUAUUAGAAAGAGCAUAUAUCUCUUUUCCCCCUUCUCUUGUAACAUGGACUGCUCAGAGAUCUAAUGUUUUGUUAUUGAUAUCUGAUUUCAGUCUGAUUAUCUGCGUAAAAUAUCUCUGAAGAUGCUUACAAUGGAGACCAAGUCUCAAAAUACCAUACCCACUGGCAAUGGUAACAAACCCCUGGAUCCAGGAGGUAAUAAUGCAGCCAAGCAUUGAAUUUCUAAACAUCCUUACCUUUUGUUUUAUAUUUUGCAUUAUUAUCAAACUCUUUUACAUUUUAUUGCUGCAUCCUUACUCUUUUACCAUUAGGGAAAUAAUUUCUAAAAAUUACAGAUUAUUUUUGCCCCCCCCCCCCCCCCCCCCCCCCCGCCAGCCCCAAAAUUGUCAAAUGGCACUUUUAUGCUUUGAGUCAAAACCACCUUAAUUAUUUCCCUCAUAACUUUAUGUGUGAACUGUCAUUGUUUCAUUUGUUUUUCUUGUUCAAUGCCUUCUUUUUUUCCUUUGACAUGGUUAUCCUUUUUGCCUUUUAUCUUGAACAGCAUCUCAUAGUAUGCCGCCUCAAGUUCACAACCAAGGGCAGUCGCUCCCUAUCUCAUUGUCCAGUAAUCAGCCUCAAGCACGUCAGCAGUUAUCACAAAACAUGCAGAAUAGUAUGUCAUCUAAUGGAGUUCAAAGUUCUGCUGGUUUACAAUCAGCAAUGCCUUCUGUCUCCAGUUUAACCCAGACUAUCGCAAACACUGUUGGACAGAAUGCUAACAUGCAGAGUAUCUCUGGUGUUUCACAGAACCCAGUUGGGAAUUUAAUGGGACAAGGGAUUCCCUCCAAUAUGUUUGUCAAUUCUCAGAGACAAAUGCCAGGCAGGCAACAGGUUGUUCCUCCACAGCAACAGCAGCAGUCCCAAAAUCCUCAGCAGUAUCUUUAUCAGCAGCAGAUACAACAACAGCUUUUAAAGCAGAAGCUUCAACAGGGAAAUCAUCCACACUCACUUGUGCAAUCUCACAUCCACCACCAGCAGCAGCAGCAAAACUUGUUACAGCCAAAUCAGUUGCAAUCUGGUUUGCAAACAUCAACUGUUAUGCAGCCUUCAAUGAUGCAAACCGUCUCUGGCCUUCAACAGAACCAACCAUCUUCUGUUCAACAGUCAACACAACCAAUGCACCAGCAACAUCCACAAUCAGUCCUUAGGCAGCAGCAGCAACAACCUCAACAGUCUGCUGGUAUUCAUCAGCAGCAAACACCAAUGAUGCAGCAGCCACUAUUGCCUCCACAACAGCAGCUAAUGGGGCAACAAUCAAAUACCACUAACAUGUCGCAAAAUCAGUUAAUUGGACAGCAAAACAUUGUUGGGGACUUGCAGCAGCAGCAGCAGAGAUUGCUAGGGCAGCAGAAUAACCUUCAAAAUCUGCAGCAGCAGCAGCAGCAGUUAAUGGCUCAACAAAAUAACCUCUCAAGUAUGCAUCAGCAACAGUUGGGCCCUCAAAGUAAUGUCACUGGUUUACAGCAACAGCAGUUGCUUGGAGCUCAGCCUGGUAACUCAAGCAUGCAAUCUAAUCAGCACUCUCUACACAUGCUGCAACAGCCCAAGGUUACGCUGCAGCAGCAAGCACAACAAAGUGGAAGUGCUUUGUUGCCGAAUCAAGGGCAGCAGUCACACUCACAGCUGCCACAGCAGCAAUUGAUGGCACAGAUUCAAUCACAGCCUGGACAGCUGCAACAGCAAUCAAAUCCAUUACAACGUGAUCUGCAGCAAAGGCUUCAAGCAUCAGGCUCCUUGCUUCAACAGCCGAAUGUGAUUGAUCAGCAAAAGCAGUUAUAUCAACCUCAAAGAGCCCUUCCAGAAACGUCCUCAAGUAAGUUUUUGUCAUCCUUGCAGCUUUCUAGCCUUGCUCCAACUUUAAUUUUGCAGCUUUGUGCUUUCAUGUUAGAUUAUAACAUAUUUAUUUAAAUUUCUUGAAAAUACAAUAAUGGUUCAAGUCAGUAAUGCUCUUUUUGGUAGCUUUAUGAGCUACGGCUGCCACUUAUGGCAUCAGAAAUGCCACUGCUAUUGGAGCCAUUGUAAUCACACAUACAUUUGUUACGACAUCAUGCCAUCCAGUGCAUUGCACCAACUAUUCACCUCUCAUAAUGGUUCAAGUCAGCAAUGCUCUUUUGGUAGCUUUAUGUUCUACUGAUGCCACUGCUAUUGAAACCAUUGCAAUCACACUCGUUUGUUACCACAUCAUGCCCUCCAGCUCAUCGCACCAAUUGUUCACCUCUCAUUUUGAAUUUAACAGACAUGAAUUUUAAAAAUAUAUGUAUAACUGGACAAUGCAUUUGACACUAGGGUAACUAAUCAUCAGCCAAUUGAUUUUUAUGGGAAGAAAGAAAUUAGCAAGUGGACUAACUCUGAGGCACUUAAGGUUUGGUGUGCUGAUAAAUCAUUGAGCCUUUUUUUUUAAUAUAUAAUGAUCACUUGUUGGGGGGGGGGGGGGGGGGGAAGCAUUUUAAAGGGUCUCUCUGUCUAUUUGAAUGAUUACAUAACGUUGAGAUGGAGUUCCUAGUACUCCAAGUCCAAAAAGGACUUGUAUUCCUAUGUAAGAAAAUACCAAUGGUCCUAUCUGGGAUAGGGAAAACCUAUUAAAGCUCCUUAUUCUUUAGGAACAAUAAAAUACUAAAUAGAAAUAAAACCAAGACCUACAAUAUUCCAUAAUUUUCAGCAAGUGUGAAAAUUACAGAAAUACCCUUGUGUGCAGAAAACAUUCAUAAAAUACAUGAAUUCUAAUCUUUUGUUGGCUGUAUCAAAAUUUUUGUAGCAUCCCUAGAUUCUACAGCAGAGAUUGGACAUGCAAAUGGUGCUGAUUGGCAAGAGGAGAUCUACCAAAAGGUAAUUUCUGUAGUUUACUGUUCAUUAGAUGAAGUUCAUGUAUGUCAUUGUCUUGCAAGAUUUCAAUGGAAAAGGUCUCCUGGAAUUUGGUACAAGGGAGUUUUAUUCAGCUAUGGUUGUGAUUAGUUAGGAAGCAUUGUAAGUUCCAUGAUUGCAGCAACUAAGAAACGAUAAAUUACUGAUAAGAUGAUUAAAGGUAAAUAAUCAGAUUUCUAGGUCAAGAGGGUUAUUUUCUUGGUACUGACACGACAAUUUUUUCUAUUGCAAAUCUCUCCCUUUCAAUUUUUUCCCUGUAUUUCCAUACAUUUAUUGUGUGGUGAAUUAUUAUUUUAUUAUUUCCAAUAAGUCCAAUUGACAAUACUUCUUACUGUAAUAGACAGACUUGAAAACAAGAGUGAACUGUUUCUGAAUAGUCAUCGUUAUAUUUGGUUAAGUGAACAGUUAUUUUCAGGAUUACAAUCAAAUUUGUUCUGAAACAUGUGACAAUGGAAGAAAGGAAAAUAAGUGGACCUAAUCCAUUGAAUCAUGACCAUGUCCAGUAUUGUUGAAUUUUAUAGAAAACGAGGUUGAAAUUCUGAAUCGUUUAAUGGCUGUAGUUGCAAUUCAUAACUGCAUAUUUGAUGAGGUCAAUUUUUUUGUGCCUGGGAGGGUACUAAAACGGGAAUAGGAGUGGUUGUUGAUAAUUAGGAUAUAAGGGUUAUAAAUCUAAAGUUAUAAGGCUAAGAAGUGUUUACCAAAGUCGUGACAUCCAUUGACUUGAGUUAGAACAAUAGAAAACAAUGGUGAGUAGUUUGCCGUGAGACAAAGUAACUGAACUUGACCAACCCCUGAAUCUUGUCUGAAGGGGUAACUACACAAUCCUUUGCAUGCAAUCAAUAACGAUAUUCUCUUUUGAGUUUUCGGCAUUGAUUCCACUUUGCUAUUUUUAUCUCAAACAAUAUAUGCUGUCCUCUGCCAUUUUAUUUAUUUAUUUAUUUAUCAAUUCUCUCAAGUUUGCUUAUGUUUCUUUCUGACUCUGGCACGUGAAGAAAUCAAGCAUAUGAUUGAUAAUGUCUUGCUGGUUAUAUGUACUUCCUAGAUCAAAGUUAUGAAGGAAACGUAUUUGCCUGAAAUAAAUGAAAUGUACCAGAGAAUUGCUACCAAGUUACAGCAGGUAAAUUGUCUUUGUAAUUUUUUCCGAUUUAUUUGCCCACACAUAUUCAUAAACCCCCACAGUUGAGCUUUUGUAUUAAUUUGUUUUCCCCAUCAGCAUUGCUUGUCACUGUAUCAUCUGCACUAAUUACCUCCCCCACCCCCAACCACCCCACAACCAUGCAUUGACACAGAAGAAUUGGAAUAGAAACAUUUUUUUCACUUAUGUUUUACUAGUUUUGCUAGAAAGGAUCAAUGCAAUUUUUAAUUCUCGUGUAUGUUAACUUUGCUUUCCAGCAUGACCCUCUUCCGCAACAACCGAAGUCAGAACAGCUUGAAAAGCUGAAGGUAUUCAAGGUCAUGUUGGAGCGCUUGAUAACAUUCUUACAGGUCUCUAAAAACAACAUCACACCUAAUUUCAAGGAGAAAUUGGGUUUCUAUGAGAAGCAGAUUGUAGGUUUUCUAAACCCAAGCAGAUACAGGAAGCCUAUUCCUAAUCUACAGCAAGGACAACCUCCCCAACCUCGUAUUCAACCUAUGCAGCAACCCCAAUCUCAAGUUCCUCAAUUGCAGUCCCAUGAAAAUCAACUGAUUCCCCAGUUGCAAUCAAUGAAUACGCAAGGUUCUGUACCACAGAUGCAGCAGAACAAUAUGUCAAGCUUGCUGCAUAAUUCCCUUUCAACUUUAUCUGGGGAUUCGACGUCACAAUCAAACAUGAUGAAUCCAAUACAACCAGGCUCCAAUUUAGAUUCUGGACAAGGAAAUGCACUGAGCUCAUUGCAGCAGACACCUGUAGGAUCUGUACAACAGAAUCUCGUGAGCAUUUCCCAACCAACCAAAGUUAACACAUUGUCAACACAAAGUGGGGGGAGUAUGCUGCAGCCAAAUAUUCCCCUUCAGUCGAAUUCCAAUAUGAUUCAACACCAGCAUCUAAAACAGCAGCAGCAGCAGCAGCAUGAACAACAGAUGCUACAAACACAACAGCUUAAACGAUUCCAGCAACACCAGAAUUUAAUGCAGAAUCAACAGAUGCAGCAGCAGCAAUUACACCAGCAAGCUCCGUCUCCUAUGCCAGGAGAUUCUGACAAACCAGUUUCUGGUAUUUCCUCACUCUUAGAUACUGGAAAUAUUGUACACCAACCAUCUGUUGCACAAGCACUGGCUCCAUCCCUUGCAAUUGGCACUCCUGGGAUAUCUGCAUCACCUUUGCUUGCAGAGUUUACCAGUCCUGAUGGUGCUCAUGGCGGUGCUUUGACAACUGUUUCUGGCAAGUCAAAUGUUACAGAGCAAUCACUUGAGUGCUUGAUUAAAGCGGUUAGUGAUGCUCUCCUUUUGGUUUUACUCCACCCCACCCUUAUUUUGGAGGUUUCUGAAAAAGAAAGAAACUUCUUUGUGAAUGAGAUGGUGAUGCUGCAAUUUUUUUUCCCAGGUGAAAUCUCUGUCUCCCAAAGCACUUAGUGCAUCUGUCGGUGACAUUGGCUCCGUUGUCAGUAUGAUUGACAGAAUUGCUGGUUCUGCAGCUGGUAAUGGAUCUAGAGCUGCAGCUGGUGAGGAUUUGGUAGCAAUGACAGGAUGUCAUCUUCUUUCGUUUUUGUCUUUUUUAUUUUUCACGUGUUUCUCACAAGAUGGGAACUCGAGGGAAUAAAAAGUGCUGGGAAGUAAUUUUUGUUGGAACGUCUUGUGUAACAUCUUCUUUCGAUGAUGACCUUUUGGAUGGCUGCAUGAAGCUUGUUCCGCUUUAAAUUUCAAGGUUAAUCUAUUUCAAUUUGAAACUUGAGUUGCAACUGAACUUAAAUGAAAAGUGUUGGAUUUGGGCCUCUAUUUGUUUUAACUUGUACAGGGUUGAAGUGAUAGUGAUCUUAAAAGUACAAAAGCAGCAGACAAAAAUCAAUUAGCCACAAUAUAUAGUGUAUGGUUUCCUACUUUCUCAGUAUAAAGUUGAAUGUUUUGGUGAUAUAAUCUCUACAUCCAAAAUCAUAUAGACAGCUACUGCUGGCACUUGCAGUAGCCAAUGUUAACCAAAAUCAUAUAAUCUUAAAGUUGAAUGUUGUAUUUUCAUAAAUUAAAGGGAUUUCUCUUCUUUUCUUUGUCAAUUACAGUGCAUCAUAAUAAGUUUUCUUACUCAGUAAAUGCUAUUGUAAUUUUUUCACAGAGACUCCCCUGUUUUGCAACUAAUUCACUUCUGAAUAAAUCUGGGAAACAGAAAGGCAAUCAACAAAGAGUAAGGCAUCUUCUGAAGAAACAAAGAAAUUUAAUACCAUAAACUAAGCAGCACGUAGAAGGCAAAAACUGAGCACAAAUUUUCAGGAAGGGACAAACGAAAAAAACCAAAAAGAAAGCAAAGAAAAAUACAGACUCAAAUUCACAACACCCAUUUUCUUUCCAUUGGAACACUUUAAAUAGUUUAUUAAAUUUAUAAUGAUCUGAUUUCUACGCAUAUAAAAAAAUCAACUAAAUGAUCAAUUCUCUAUAAUUUCGGCAUUACUAAAAACAUCCAAACUAAUAAACAAUUAGUUAUUUUACUCAUUUUAAUAAACAUUUUAGUUAUGAAUUCACCAAACAUUUUGAACAAUUCAUAUUGAUGAAUUAACAUUUAAAUUUUAGAUUUUUUGAUUUAUUAUUUCCUUCGUGAGUUACUUCUAAAGUAUGCUAUAUAUCUUUAAGCAUUUUUAUAGAAUAUAAUUCUAUCAAAUUCACUUUUACCCAAUGCAUAAUAUAAAGUAUUCAUGGCUUUAACAUCCAUAAAAAAUAACUUUUUAUCAUUGUCCGUAUAUUCCCUUUUAGUUUUAGAAAUCUCAAUACCAUUUUUAAUUUGAUAGGUCUAGGAGAUCUAUUUUGUAUGGAUAGCCACAAAUUAAAAUCAAUAAAUUGAUAAUAAAUUAUCAUUAAACAAUUUAUUACUUGCUCUUUGGUAAUAAGAAUGUGAUUGUAAUAUUAUUUUGUAUGGAUAGUUUUAUCUAUCUAUUAUCUCAAUAACAAGAUUAACUUUGCAAUUAUAUAUCACACUUAUAUAAUCUCAAAUAAUAUUAAUUAAAAUGAAUCACAAAAAUUUAACACAGUAAUUCUGCAAAAAAAAUAAAAACAAUUUAAUAAACAAUUUAACUUUGCAAUUAUGUUUUUAUUUGUUUGUUUUUCUAUGAGACACAAUGGAAUUUUCAAUAGAAACUACAACAAUACAAAUAAUUACAAAUAUUUUUCUUUCAACAUCAACAUAAAAAAACAUUAUGCACUUUUCGAUACUUACGUAAUUCUAGGAUUAAAGAAACAAUAACAUCUAAGGGGGGUGAAUUGGGUGUUGCACUAAUUAUAUCAAAUAAUGGUGUUGCACUAAUUAUAUCAAAUAAUGCAAUAAUUAACAAUAUAAUUAAAGUGUUUAAAGUAAAUAGAUAAGGAAAUAGAUAUUACAAACUCGGUUUUUAAUGUGAUUCGGUAAGCCUACAUCUACACCUCAAGUACUAACCGUACUUGAGUAUUGUACUCUUUUACCAAUCCAAGUGAAAUAUACAAAUGCCCUUGAUAAAUCCACACCGAGAAAUUAUACCACUUGAAGUUUUUUCUCUUGGUGACAAUACAUCACUAAUGCUAGGAGUUUAUCCAAACUCACAAAUGUUUACAAUUAUAAUUUGUUUGCAACAAGAUUCACUCUCUCAUAAAGUAAAUUGUACAAUUGAAAACUAUAAUCUUUAUAACUCACUCGAUAGCACUCAAGAUGAUUGAAAGUGUGUAAAUAUAAUGAGUGUGAGACAUUAUACUCAUGUGUUAGAAUAUAAAGAUUUAAUUUAGCACAACUUAAAAGCAUGUUAUGAUUGAUGAUUUCUAAUUGAUUUUUUUUUAAAAUAACUUCUAUGUUAUAUAUGUUUGGAAUCUCUCUUUUAUUUGUUAUAUAUAUAUAUAUAAACUAAUUGUUUAUAGUUGUUGAGAUGUCUCUAACAGCUAAAGUAAUCUAUAUGCAACUUAAACAAAAGAAUUCCAAUUAAAUGGAAUUGCACUUAACAUGUAUUAUUUCAAAUGCAACAAUUGCAUAGAUAACAGACAACAAGGAAUUUAACAGAAGAUAUAUACACUUUACUUUUCCUACUAAAAUUAAACUAUUGGAAUUUAACAUAGUCAUAAUCAAUUUGUUCUUGUGAGAUUAUCUAUUACAUGUAUAACAAAUAUAUUAGAAAAUAAAUUGUUUUAAGAUUGUUAGAACACCUUAAAUAGUUCAUAAAAUUAUUGUUCCAUUUUACUAUAAUAAUCAAGUUUCCACAUAAUAUAAAUCAUGCAUAUAAAUUAAUAAUCAAAAUAAAAAUUAAAUUAAGAUAACAAUCAAUUUUUUAACUUUAAAAUAAUUUAUCAUCUAUUUUCUAAUACUAAUAGUAUGAUUGUAAUAUUAUUUUUUAAUUUAUUUAAUAAUUUAAUUUUGAUAGCACAACCAAAAAUAAAUAAUGAACCAAAAUUUAUAUGAUAUUUUUUAUAAAAAAUUUGAUAAAAAAAAUAUAAAAACAAAAAUAAUGUCUCAAUUAGAAUAAUUUUUUCAUUAAUGAGAAGGCCCACCACAGACCAAGAGGACAGCUUCAAUGAAGCCAAUGCAGGUGAUUACCCGUCGGCUAACAUCUCCUCGCGCGCCUAGCACCAGCUAAACCGCCUCAAUCUGAACAUGCACCAGACAAAGUCUAUGAAAAGACGCCAGGGAGCCUCAGCAGCCGAGAAGAAAGCACGGGAACACCCACCGCGCGAGAAGAAACGCGAAAAACAGGAGACGGAGCGCGGUAAAGACUGAAGCCACAGGAUUCACAUACAGUGAAGCACUCUUAGUUUUAUAUAUAUAUAAUUCUUUUAGUUUGUUAGUUAUGAACAGUGAAGCAGCACAAGAAUACAAUUCUCCUGUUUGUUUGCUGGAAAAUAGUUUUUUUUAGAAAGUGAAUUAUUUUCCGAUGUUUGGUAGUGUAAUGGAAAAUAAGUUAGAAAACAUUUUUCAGUGUUUGGUUAUGUCAUGGAAAAUGAGUUGGAAAAUAACUUAUUAAUAUUUUAUUUUUUUCAAUUUUAUUAAAAUAAUAAAGAAUAAAUCUUACAAAUUAAAAAGUUGAAUGAAAAUAAAAUUGAAAAAAAAUAUAAUUUCAUAAAUUAUCUUAAAUAAAAUAAAUAAUAAUCAAAAUAAUAAAAAUCAAAUCUAAAAAAUAAAAAAUUUGAUCGCUUCAUUAAUUUCUCGUUAGGAAAAUGUUGAGCUUCUCAGCAAUAUUUCCUUACCUUGUGCCGCUAACUUGACGGUAAAAUGUGAUUAAAGGAUCAAUUAAUUAUUUAAAUCAACUUGAGGGAUUAAUCUGUUUGUUUAACAAAAAUACAGACACUAGUUAAAUAGAAUUUAACUCAAAUUUUAAUCAUCAUAUGCGUGCGUGUGCGUGUGCGCACGCGUGCGAGCGAGGGUUUACUCGUUAAUUUUUUUAGAAGGAAUCUGGAAAAGAAUAAAGUCAUCUAUUUCACUUUGGUCCAACAUCCCUCAAAGGCGCAGCUGUGCAUCUAGUUAGGAAGAACAUUUUAUAACUCACCUCAAGGUCGAGCAUGGUCAGGGUUAUUGUGUUGUCUAUUCCGAGGAAGAUGUGGCGUUCAAUCCAUGUGAAUCGCACGACUUGUCCAUAUCUUUCUUAUUGAUUACAAAUAGCAUUGAGAAUUAAAGAAUAUUAUCUUAAUAAGUUCCAAUUUAUUCUACAAAACUAUAUAUAAAGAUGUGACAAAAAGAUGUAUACAAAUUAGUUAUUUAUUGUUUGUAAGUAUUAUUGUAUUGCAAAGACAAAAAUAAGAUGCAACUUAUGGCGUGGUCGUCCAACCUGGUUCUGGUUUUGAUCCUGUUCAAAAUCUAUUUUGUUGAAUUGUUGAUCUACUUGUGAGUUAUUGGGUUAACUAGAUCAAUUUUUUAAACAAAACAAUGCCAUUUUAAAAAAAAAAUUGGUUCUGACAUAGAAAUAUAAUAUUAGAAACUUAAACCUUAUUGAUUAGCAAAAACUCAAUGGGAAAUUUAGUUUUGAAAUAGAUUGUUGUAAAAUCAAAUAUGAAUUGAUAACCAGAAAGUUUGCUUAAAAUUGCAAUAACCUUAUAGAAGAAAGCAAACAUAAAUAGAAUUAUUAAAUUCAAUGGAGUUCAUAUAACCAGGAUCACGAGUUUAGCGAGUUAAGCCAUGAAACCCUAAUCGAUCAAAUAUGUCGCCGUUUCAAUUAAAAAAAAUACAUCUUAAAAAGAAUUAAGCUAAACCACGUUUCUACCUAUUAUCUGGGUUGUCUUUAGACUUGUCAAGUCGACUGAGCCAUAUUAGGACAACUUCCAUAUAAUUAAAUUUGAAACUCGAGCUAGAUAAGAAAUCAGGUCAGGAAAUUUUAAUAUUGAUUUGUUGAAUCGGAUUUAAUAACAAUGCCAAAGAUCUGAAUAUUUAUUUUUUACUCAAUUUUUUUUAGGUCCUGUUUGUUUGAUGGAAACAGUUUUUUUUUAGAAAGUGAAUUCCUGUAAAGUGAAUUAUUUUCUGAUGUUUGGUAGUGUGAUGGAAAAUAAAUUAGAAAAUAUUUUCCAGUGUUUGGUUAUGUUAUGAAAAAUGAGUUGAAAAAUAGCUUAUUAAUAUUUUAUUUUUUUUCAAGUUUAUUAAAAAAACGAGGAAUAAAUCUUACAAAUUAAAAAGUUGAAUGAGAAUGAAAUUGAAAAAAAUAAUCUAAUUUUAUAAAUUAUUUCAAAUAAAAUAAAUAAUAAUCAAAAUAAUAGAGAUCAAAUCUAACAAAUAAAAAAAUUGAAAGAUGAUGAAAUUAAAAUAAUAAUAAUUACAAUUUCAUAAAUUAUUUCAAAUAAAAUAAAUAACAAUUAAAAGAAUAAGGACCAAAUUUGAUAGAUAAAAAAUUUCAAUUAAAAAAAUGAUAAGACAAAAGCAAAUAACAAUCAUAAAAAUAAGGACCACAGUUAAUAUAAAAAUCAAAUUAAAUCAAAUUUUAAGGAAGGAAAUUAAAAAAAAAGAUUCAAACAAAAUAUAUAUCAAUUAAAAGUUUGAAGACUAAAUUUGAUAUAAUCAGCAAAUAAUAUGAUAUUUCUAAAUUUUUCACAACUUCUGGAAAAUGUUUUCCGUCCAAAAUAAAAGGAAAAUACUUUCCUGAAAAUCGAGUUAAAUUUUUCUUUGACUGUAAAGUGUUUUCCAUUGACCAACUUUUUUAAUGACAAACAAACACAUGAAUGUUUGGAAAGUGGUUUCUAGAAAAUUAUUUUCCAGGCAAACAAACACCCCCUUAAUUCAAUCACUAAAGAGUUAUCCAAGAAUAAUUAUUCUCCACUAGCAGUUGUUGCAUACUAAAUUUUUUUUGUCAAAACAUACAUGAUAGGUGGCUUCAAUAUCAAUCCACCAUUUUUUAGGAUUUUCCAUGAAGUUUACUUCUAAUAUAACUACAACAAGCUUAGUAGCUUUCUCAUCAACAUUCUCAAUCAUAUGCUAAGAAAUCAUGGUUUUGUUGAGCUUUGUUAUCAUCAUAGGCUUGAUGAUGGAAGGAUUAUUGCUUCAUCAUGCUUUAUAUUUAAGUUCACGCCACUCAAAUUAUUUUGGUUUUUUCCCCACAUGAAGAAUGUUUAGGAAUCGGGUUUGCCAUCUAAACCACAAAGAUUACUAGGUUAACAAGUACAUCGAAAUCAUUAACAAUAGUUUUAUCCAUCUAUUAUCUCAAUAAUAAAAUUAACUUUGCAAUUAUAUAUCACGCUUAUAUAAUCUCAAAUAAUAUUAAUUAAAAUGAAUCACAAAAAUUUAACACACUAAUUGUGCAAAAAAACAAUUUAAUAAACAAUUUAACUUUGCAAUUGUGUAUUUAUUUAUUUGUUUUUCUAUAAGACACAAUGUAAUUUUCAAUAGAAACUAUAACAAUACAAAUAAUUAUAAAUAUUUGUCUUUUGACAUCAACAUAAGAAAACAUUAUGCACUUUUUUAAAGUUACGAUAAAAACAAAUCUGAUUGAUACUUAUGAUAUUCUAGGAUUAAAGCAAUAAUAACAUCUAAUAGAGAUAAAUUAGGUGUCAAACUAAUUAUGUCAAAUAAUACAAAUAAACAUGCUAAACACAUAUAAUAUAAUAAUCAACAAUAUAAUUAAAAUGCUUAAAAUAAAUAGAUAAGAAAAGAGAGAUUACAAACUCGGUUUUUAACAUGGUUCAGUAAGUCUACAACCACAUCUCAAGUACUAAUCGUAAUUGAGUAUUGUAUUCUUUUACUAACCAAUAAUAUAUUAUUUCACCAGUAAUUAUUAUCCAAUAUGCAACUUUUUUUUCCAAUCUUCUGUUUUUUUUUUCCAUAUCAAUCCAACAAUAAAGAAAAUAACAUGUAACAUAAAAUUUCUUUCCCCGUAGAAUCAAUGCAACAAGUAUACAGAUACCACACAACAAACAAUUUAACAAGUCAUGUAAUUUAACAGAAGAUAUAUUUACUUUGCUUUUCCUACUAAAUUUAAACAACUUUUUUGUAAUCUAUGUCAACAUAUAAAACAUAUAUAUAAAUCAAUAAAAAAAAUAAAAAAUAGGUAGAGGUAAUGAUUAAUUUUUUAGCUUUAAAAUUUUUUAUCAUCGCCUCUUUAUGCUAGUAAUGUAAUUGCAAUAUUAUUUUAAAUUAAUUUAAUAUUUUAUUUUUGAUAACAUAACCAAAAAUAAACAGCGAACCAGAAUUUAUAUAGAGUUUCCUAUAAAAAUUUUGAUAAAAAAAAAUAUAAUAGAAAUAAGUUUAUAAAAACAAAAACAAUGUCUCAGUUAGAAUAAUUUUUUCAUUAAUGAGAAGGCCUGCCACAGACCAAGAGGAGAGCUUCAAUGAAGCCAUCCCAGCCGAUGCAGGUGAUUACUCAUCGGCUGACAUCUCCUCGCAUGCCUAGCACCAGCCAAACCGCCUCAAUCUGACAUGCACCAGACAAAGUCGAUGAAAAGACGCCAGGGAGCCUCAGCAGGCGAGAAGAAAGCGCGGGAACACCCACCGCGCGAGAAGAAACACGAAAAACAGAGACGGAGCGCGGUAAAGAUUGUGAAGCCACAGGAUUCACACAUAGUGCACCGUGUUUUAAUGAGUUAUAUGUAUAUAUAUAUAUAUAAUUAUUUUAGUUUAGUUUUAGUUUGUUAGUUAUGAACAGUGAAGCAGCACCAGAAUACAAUUCUUUUAGUUUGUUAGCGAAUUUGGAAAGAAUAAAGUCAUCUGUCAAGCUCUGUUCACUUUGGUCCGACAUUCUUCACCUCUCCCCACCUGAGCUCUCUCUCUUUCCCUCCUCCGCUCUAGGAAGCCGCCACCACCUCAACCAAUAAGGCUUCAAAUCUCCACCAGGUGCUUCCUUUUCUAUCAUGUUUUUUAUUUUUAAAAUUUACAUCUGUGUUUUCAUUUAUUUAACUGAAAUUCUUAUCCAGAGAGAUAAAUUCGAUUUUAAUAAGUAAAUUAAAAAGAUAUAUAAUCGGAUCGAUGAAAUCGUUGUUCGUGAACGCAACUCGAAGAAAGGCGUAAUCAGCCGAUUCUACUGUGGGUGGAGCAUUUAGUAUGGUCAGGGUUAUUGUGUUGUUUAUUCAAAGAAAGACAUGCCUGUAAAUUUGUUAAGUUGAUUCUUAUCAGUCUGCUCUUUAGAGUUAAUGAUAACAUGAAAUAUUCAUUGUUAAUGCUCGUUGUUUUCUUCGUCUUUUUCCUAGACUAAAACAUCCUAGACAGUCUCUUUGGGAUGGGUUAGUGUUUCUGGCCUCUUCAUCUUCAAUUUGUGCUGUGGUGAAAGGCCUCGUUUUAUGACUUUGUUUUGUAUUCUUCUUAUUUCUUUAUUCUUUUGGGGAUGUGGUGUUUUCCUCUUUCUAUUACACUAUUUACUCCCUACAAUAUUUAUUUUUUCAGAGAAGUAAAUAUAUGCAUAAAUAACAAAAACAGGAGGGGAAGGGGAAUGGGGUUUGAUAGUAAGUAUUUGCUUAGAAGGGAAUGCUUCUUCGGUUUAGAAGCACCAUGAAGAUUCUUUGCUUUGAAUGGCCGAAUACCCAGGAUCCUAGCACCUAGGCCUGAAUGUUUGUGUAUAUUUGUUAUGCAUCCAUAUUUGGCUGAAUUCUUUAAUAAAGUACAUGAUAUUAGACGGAAGUUCUUUUUAAAUCUAUUCAAGUCUGAAUAAACUGAUAUUCCAUUUUUCAUGUUCUUGAUGUGCUUUUGCUCUUCUUGUCGUUCCUGACUUUCUUUUAAGGGUCUAUUCUAACAUGCAAUAUGAUUUUUUUUUUCUUUUUGGUUGGCCAACUGUCCUAGGCGGAGAACCUAUCAUAGACACGGGUGAUUGGAGAAUUCAAUUGCAGCCUGACUCAUGGAAAAGAAUAAGCGACAAAAUGUAUGUGCAAGUGCUGCAAAAUAGUAAAUUUUUUUAUUUAUAUGAAAGAAAAGGAGAAUGGCAAAGGGUUAAUUAAAAUCAACAAGAUAGCCAUGAGGCAACCUCAAGUAUCACACACCUUUUUUUUUUUUCAUCUUUUAAUGUGUUUCUCACGAGAAGAAAACUUGAGGGAACAUAAAGUGAUGGGAAGUAAUUUUUGUUGGAAUUUCUUGUGUAAUCUCUUCUUUUGAUGAUGACCUCUUGGAUGGCUGCAUGAAGCUUGUUCCGCUUUUAAUUUCAAUUUAAAACUCGAGUUGCAAUUGAACUUAAAUGAAUGGUGUUGGAUUUAGGCCUUCUAUUUGUUUUAACUUCUACAGGGUUGAAAUGAUAGUGAUCUUAAAGUUGAAAAGCAACAGACAAAAAUCAAUUAGCCACAGUGGUGCAUGGUUUCGUAGUUUCUCAGCAUAAAGUUGAAUGUUUUGUUGACCUCUCUACAUCCAAAAUCAUAUAGACAGCUACUUCUGGCACUUGCAUUGGUCAAUGAAUACUGUAAAGUAUAUAUUGCAGUGUGAGAUAAGGUUAACUCGUUGCAUUUUCAUAUAUUGAAAAGAUUUGUCUUCUUUUCUUUGUCAAUUACAGCAAAUGUGUAGAAGUUACUCAGAGUAAAUGCUAUUGUAAUGUUUUCACAUACUCCCCUGCUUUGCAACUAAGUCACUAAUAUAUGAAGCUCGUAGCUAGAAUUUUUAGAUAGAAGGGUGGCCAAGUAAACUCCUAUAAUAUGUACCUCUGGAAUAAUACAGGGAAAAGAUGUCUAUGUAUUUUGAUGUCUUAUAAUACUUGACCAACUCUUGCUUAUCUUGUUGUUACCCAUUUUUUAGUUCACAUAAAAAUGAGAAAAUACAAAAAACAAAUAUCAAAAGAAAUCCAAAAAAUAAUAGGAGCGAGAAAAGGAUUGCUGGAAUGCCGAAAAAAAAAUGCCAAAAUUGGUUGAGGAGAUUCAAAAAUGCAAAAGGUUGAAAUUUGACAGUGAGAGUCCUGUUGAUGAGGAAAAUUCAAUUUGAGAAAGAAAAGUCCAAAAUCAGAUGUUUAUGGACUCAAUUAAAUUUUAUCCAAGGUUUAAUUGAAUUUAUAGAGGGUUUGAUUGCAAGAAAAUUGAUUUUGUAAGUCAAUUUAGGCUUUUAUCGGAAGAAAUUAAAGUUCUGGGGUCCAAUUAUAAUUUUAAAGAGUUGAUUUGGUCAAAUCAGGGGCUUAAUUGCAUAAUUAUUGAAGUUUGAUGGCCAAUUAGGGACUUAAUUGAAAUAAUUUGAGACCAAGGAUCAAACCAGAAAAGGCGCUAACAUUAAGGGAUCCAAUUACAAUUUUGUCAGGGGGGUUUGAUUAUAAAACAGCGAAAACUUCAAGGGCCAAAUUAGAAGAACCCAAGCGGCGCCGUUUCCACCAUUAAUGGUCUUCAAACAGCUGUGAAUCGGUGACGAUAAUGGAAGGAGACGUUAGCAGCAAUUAUGGAAAAUAUUCUCAAUUCAAUGGGGCUGGUAUCGCGGCUGACAUCCCUCGUCACCGUGAUGGGCGCCGGCUUACCAAUAUUGCUGGCGUCCUCUGGCUAUAAAAGCCAGAGGAAGAGCUGCACCAAAAAUAAAAGGAGGUGAGAGAGAGGAGAGGCUACAGUGAAGAAAAAAAAAGGGGAGUGAGACAGUUUAUGAGAACGUAAGAAAAGUGAGAGGGUGGAGAAAUAGCGAGCAAGCAUAAGGGAGAGAAGAGGAAGGAGAGAAAGAAGCAAACCGAACGGGAACAGAGGACACGGUGAAGCAGAGAACCCAGCACCACCAUCGUCUUCGUCUUCUCAAAAUCAGGUAUGUUCGAUGCCCUUCUCCGUUUCCUUGCAAAAUGAGAUGAUGCAUGUUAGUAUGUAAAAUACAGAAAGAAAAUAUAAGGAAACCGACACCAGAAAUCGCCAGUUACAAUGCUCUGUUUUGUUUUCCUUUUUCAUUCUCGCACUGCAACAAAGAUGGUUAACAGAGCGAAGGUAAUUUAAUUACCUUCGCCCUGUUCAUACAAGCCUAAAUAUAUUAUGGUGCCAUUAGAUAAAAAUAUGCCUUGCAGUCUAGAUGGUCAGCUUACCUGGCUCUCAUCCGAGAGACCCGGUUUCAAGUCCCAACAAGGGAAUUCCUUUUUGAAGGUGGUCACUGGCAUGGGCCAGUGACCAUGCUGGGCUAGCUGAAUCCAGCCCAGCUACGCAGGUUGGCUGGGGUCCAGCCCAGCCAUAUGGGCCGGGUUGGGCCCAGCAAUAAAAAAUAAAAGAAUAAAAAUAAAUAAAAAUUCAAAAAAAUUAUUUAAAUAUCUGUGAUUUUCCGUCAAUUUUUACUGCAUUUUAAUUAAUACGGUUUGUAUUUUUAUACUGUAAAGAUACAAAUCCGGUAUUAAAAUACCAUAUUUUGGUCCAAACAUUAAAAAAGAAGUUUUGUUUUCAUACAUACGGCUAAGUCUCUCAAAAAUAAAAAAUCAUAUUGUAUUUUCAUACAACAAAGAAAAUUUCAAAAAAUAUGUAUUAGCAUGCAUUUUGGCUUUAAUAACCAGUUUAUUAAAGUCACGAGAACUAGGCCAAUAUUUCAAAAAUUCUAAAAAAUUUAUUUUGUUUUCUUUUAAUAUCGGGGGCCGGGUUAUGAUCUUAUACGUAAGACGUGUUCCAGAUAUUAAAUUUUCUUUGUUGGCAUUAGACCGGUUAGGUUUUACCCGAUAAGAUAAGGAUCUCUUUACCGAAGAGAACUUUUCUUAAACCAUAAACGGACCAACAAAUAGAAAGCACAACAUGACCUUAGAUUUUAUCAGACAAUAAAACAAUGCAGCUUACCUUAGGUAGGGCGUAUUUGGGGUGCUAAUACCUUCCCUUUACGCAACCAAUCCUCGUACCCGAUCUCUGAGACCAGUUAGGGUUCCUAGUGACCAAAAUACUAGGUGACGACUUUCAUUCUAUUUUUUCACUGAUAAAAGACAAGAAUACCUUGUCUCCACACAUUUGCCACAUUUUUAGAUAAGAUAAGAUAGAAUUCGAGGGUGGAUGUUUUCGCCGCGACGCCGCACACGUGCGACAUAUCUCAUUAUUUGUUUUUACUUUUUGCUAAUGAUUCCACACAUUUCUGAAAUUGGUGUGGUUUAUGAGUUCAGGGUUCUUGCUUGCUGCUGCUAACUUCUCUAUACUUGCCUGGUCAUUAAAAAUGAAACGUAAUGAUUUGCAUGUGCAGAAUGGAGACAUUAAAGAGGGAUCUUCUGUUUUCUAGUCAGAAGGGAUUACAAGAACUCAAGAAAUAUGCCAUACGUUUUGAGGAAAAGAUUUAUAUUACCGCCACGAAUCAGGGUUCAAUAAUUAUGAUAUUCUCUUGACAUGAAUAUACACAUGCAUUUAUGCAUGUACAAAUGUGUGUGUAGUGUGCCUCCACUUCCUCACCGUGCAUUCUGUAUGCAAGGCUGAUUGGGAGUUCGCAUGUUUUUGUUAAUUCUCUUGACAAGUGUUUUAUCUAGAGUGACCAAGUUCAAGUACAAGGGAAGUGUGCAAAAAGAAAAUAGCAAAUCAAUACAUAAAUAAUUAAAUAAAAAGAGAGGAAACAGAAGUAUAUCCUCACAAACGAUGAAAUGAUAGAGCAUAUAUCCAUUUUCCUCCUCUUGUAACAUGGAUUGCUCUGAGAUCUAAUGUUUUGUUAUUAAUAUAUGAUUUCAGUAUGAUUAUCUGCGUAAAAUAUCUCUGGAGAUGCUUUCAAUGGAGAUCAGGUCUCAAAAUACCAUGCCCACUGCCCCCAUGGAUCCAGCAGGUUAUAAUGCAGCCGAGCAUUGAAUUUGUAAACAUCUUACCUUUUGUUUUGUUUGUCGCAUUGUAAUCAAACUCUUUUACAUUUUAUUGCGGCAUAUUGCUAUGUGUUUAGCAUGCUUUAAUCAAAAAGUUGAGUAAUUGAUGAAUGUUAGGCAAGAAUAUUACAGAUUGUUUUUGUUUUCUGCCUCCUCCUUUUCUUUCCUCCACCUUGAAAAUUGUCAUAUUAUUUUUGUUUUCAGUCGCCUCUUCUUCCCCCAUCCCUGAAAAUUGUCAGAGGACAUUUUUAUGCUUUGAAUCAAAUCCAUCCUAAUUUUUUCGCUCAUAACUUUAUGUGUGAACUGCAUAUGUUUCAUUUGUCUUCCUUGUUCAGUGCCUUCUUUUUUUCUGUGACAUGGUUUUCCCUUUUGCCUUUUAUCUUGAACAGCAUCCCAUAGUAUGCGCCCUGAAGUUCAGAAUCAAGGGCUGUUUCUCCCUAUCCUAUUGUCCACUGAUCAGUCUCAAGCAUGUCAGCAGUUGGUAUCACAGAACAUGCAGAAUUGCAUGGCAUCUAAUGGAGUUCAAAGUUAUGCUGGUUUACAAGCGGCACUGCCUCCUGUCUCUGGUGUAACCCUGACUAACCCCAACACUGUUGUCCAGAAUCCUAACAUGCAGAGUAUCCCUGGUGUUUCACAGAACUCAGUGGGGAAUUCAAUGGGACAAGGGAUUCCCUACACUAUGUUUGCCAAUUCUCAGAGACAAAUGCCAGGUAAUGCUCUUUUUGGUAGCUUUAUGUGCCACUGCUUCCCUUUAUGGCAUUAGAAAUGCCACUGCUAUUGGAACUAUUGCAAUCACACAUGCAUUUGUAACCACACGAUGCCCUACAGUGCGGUGCACCAACUGUUCACCUCUCAUAAUGGUUCAAGUCAGCAAUGCUCUUUUAGGUAGCUUUAUGUGCCACUGCUGCCACUUGUGGCAUUAGUAAUGCCAUUGCUAUUGAAACCAUUGCAAUCACACACGUAUUUGUUACCACAUCAUACCCUCCAGUGCAUUGCACCAGCUAUUCGCCCUCUCAUUCUGCAUUUAUAUGAUCACAUAACAUUUAUAUGAAGUUCUUAAUACAAAAAGGACUUGUAUUCCUAUAUAGGAAAAUACUAAUAGUCCUAUCUAGAAUAGAAAAAACCUAAUGAAGCUCGCUAUACUUUGGGAAUAAUUAAAUACUAAAUGGAAAAUAAAACUGAGACUCGUAAUAUUUCAUAAUUUUCAGCAAGCGUUAAAAUUAUAGAAAUACCCUUGUAUAUGGAAAACACACAAAAAUACAUGAAUUCUAAUAUUUUGUUGUCCGCAUUGAAAUUUUUGUAGCAUCCCUAUAUUCUACAGCACAGACUGGACAUGCAAAAGGCGCUGAUUGGCAAGAGGAGAUCUAUCAGAAGGUAAUUUCUGUGAUUUACUGUUCAUUAGAUGGAGUUCAUGUUUGCCAUAGUCUUGCAAGAUUUCAAUGGAAAAAGGUCUCAAGAAAAUAAGUGGGACUUAUUCCAUUGAAUCAUGACCACAUCCAGUAUUGUUGAAUUUUACAGAAAAUGAGGUUGAAAUUCUGAAUGUCUCAAGUCAUAGCUGCAUGUUUAAUAAGGAGAUUUUUUUUUUGUGCUUAGGAGAGUUUUAAAACGGGAAUAAGAAUGGUUGUUGAUAAGGACAAUUUUUUUUGUGCUGAGGAGACCAAUAUUUGCUGAGCAAUUCUAUAAUGAAAAGUUGGCGACUGAUGUUUUAAAAAUUGGAGUUAAGGAAUGGCUUAGAGUGCAUGGAGAUCAUGUUAAAAGUGAAGCUGUAGAGAAGGCAAUCACUCAAAUUAUGAUGGGUGAAGAAGCAGAGGAAAUGAGUAGCAGAGCAAAGAAACGGCCAGGAAGGCUGUUGAAGAAGGUGGAUCUUCUUGCUCCGAUUUCAAUGCUUUGAUUGAAUAACUGAGGUGGGGUCGCCCUUGAAACAAAGACAUAGAACAUUUUGUUUAUACUUUAGUAGUGGUUGUGGCAAUUUAUUUUCGGACAAGUCUUGAGAGUUGAAAGAGUAAUCACACCCGAGUCAAUGACCAAUCCAAAUCAGUUUCCUUCCUAAUGAUUCAGGAAUGAGAAGUCCAGCUUAUAUAUUUAACCCAAAUAACUAAUCAAAUAGAAAGGCUGAGCUUAGAGAUAGUACACUACAUAUUGCCAAUAACUAGAUAAACAAUCAUCACAAACUAGGAACGACCGUCUCCCCAAUAACAAAUUCACCUUCUGAAGUUAGAGAACUUGCGAAAACUAGCCACCACAAAAUAGUAGCAAGUAUCUAUGCAGUCUUCGAUGAAGUACAACCACCUGCGUCGCCAAUAUGGAUUGAUGUAGAGAACUGCUGCAAUCGUCAUCACCACAACUGUGUAACAUACACCGAAACUGAUGUAGAAAAACUCCAUAUCUAUGAAACCAUCAUCUCCUUGUUCAUCAUUAGGCACUGGCUGUGACACCACUGCCUUCUCACUACAAUUGUUUGGCAAUGGAGGUCCACACAAGAAAGGAUUUCCUUCGUAACAGCUUUCAUCGAAGGUCCCAAACUGAUAUAUUCUCUCGGGUGUCUUGCCUGACAAGUUAUUGUGCGCCACACUAAAAACUUCCAGUGUGGUAACUUCAGUAAAUUGUGGAGGGAUGGCACCAUUCAAGUUGUUGUAAGAAAGAUCCAAACUCUCAAUAUGCAUUAGGUUUGAGAAUGUUGCAGGGAUAGAUCCAGUGAGAUUGUUGUGUGAUAAGUUUACUGACAGUAUCUUACUUAAGUUUCCAAAUUCUGGUGGGAUUGCUCCGAUGAAGUUGUUAUUGGAGAGAUCAAUACCAAACAUGUAGUUGAGAACUUUCCCCUUGUACCCAUAAUACAUAUUUUUAGUUGUAAAUUCUGUCACUUCUUCUGUAAAGUUAAACAAAAAAAAAUUUCUCAAGUUGUCCACACUAUCCACUAGUGGUGGGCCCAUUAUUUCAUAAUAAGCUUUUUCUAUGGACUCUGAUAUAAAACCAUAUGCGACUUCCAAUAUCGCUUUCUUGUCACUUUUCUUGAAAGUAAGAUUGCCUAAACAGGAGGGUAGUGGACCAGAGAGCUGGUUGUGUGAAACAUCCAAAAUGCUUAAUUGUUCUAACAAGCAUAACUGAAUAGGGAGCUCACCAUCAAAGUGAUUAGCCCUCAGAAGAAGAACACUCAAUGAUGAAAGAUUGCCAAUCCAAUUUGGAAUGGAGCCGGUGAAGCUGUUUUCUCGAAGAUCCAUCGUAACCAGGUAAGAGCUGUUAAAAAAUGCAUAUGUUAAUGGACCGCUCAGUCUAUUUUUCGAUAGAUGCACAUGGGUUAUUUGUGGUGGACUAAAACAAGAUGGUAUAUAUCCAGACAAGUUGUUCUCAGAAAGGUCCAAAUAUUCAAGCUGGUCAAACUUACAAAAAUCUCUUGGGAUCGGACCCUUAAAAUGGUUUCCGGACAAAUCAAUUACUCCAAGGAUCGAAAAAUUAACGAAGCUCCUUGGAAGCAUGCCCGAAAAUUGAUUGUUACUCAAAUCUAAUACAUUCCAUACAUUCCACCUAUAUAAUGGAAAAUCUGAUAUCUGACCCCAAAAGUUGUUACCAUUUAGGUAAAGAAAAUUCAGGCGAGAAGAAUUGAACACCGAGGUCGGUAUUUUCCCACCCAAAUUGUUGUUUGACAGCUUGAGAACCCAUAUUGUUGUUAGUUGUUCUAGUUUUACUGUAGACAAUUGAUUGUUGGAUAAAUCUAAAAAUGAAAGAGAGCUAAUAUUUCCUAAACAGGAAGGAAUACAACCUGUGAAUCCAUUCUUAGCCAUCCUUAAGGUGUGUAGAUUUGGAAAGAUCAAACAAAUAUCUUUUGGAAUUUGACCGUUCAUGUUGUUGUUGGAUAUAUCUAAAUUGGUCAUAUUCGGAUGGAGGUGAUCUUGCAACUGCAAAGCACCAAUAAAGGAGUUGUCGCUCAGAUAUAGUUGUUCCAAUCGUGUAUUGUUCUUAAGCAACCACGAUGGAAACAUUCCAGUGAUGUUGUUGUGGGAGAGAUCAAGGGCUCUUAAGUCUAAUUGGUAAUAGAGGAAGUCGGGAAUUACAUUGAGUGCUUCCGAUGUUGGACUACUUGACAAGCGGAAAAAGACUAGUUGGAACUUUGGAAUCAAAUUAUCAAAGGCAGCAGGUUCUGUUACUAGCUUGUUGUUCUCACUGGAGAAGAACUUGAGGCUUGAGUGGUUCAUAAAAGGCUUUAUUGAAAUGGGAACUUCAAAGAGGUUAUUUGAUAGUGAGAGGAAUUCAAGGGAUAUGAGGUUGGUAAGAGGACCGAAAGCAAUAUUUCCAGUAAACUGGUUUUCAGAAACAUCUAAUAGUUGUAAAGAUGACAUGUUCCCCAAACAAUCUGGGAGUGAACCUCCUAAAUUAUUUCUAGAGAGAUGUAACUGCUUCAGAUUCUUCAAUUCACACCAACCUGUACAAUUUAUCUUGAAAUAGUCAAAAUAGUGUUGGAAGAAUCUUUUGUUGAUGAUGUAAUUAUAGGCGGAUGGAGAGUUGUUAAUUUACCUUGAGCAGGUAGGGUGCCAUGGAGGUCACAUUCACCAACAGACAAAACUUUAAGAGCAGGCAAUGCUCCAAUGUUCUGGAGAAAGUUUAUUGGGAGAGAAGUAUUAUCUAGAUGCAAUUCUUCAAGGGUGCUCGAAUUGAACAAAGUCCCUAUGAAAAAGAAAGAAGAAGAGAUAUGAUGAAAAUAGUGGUGGUACAGAAUAUAUAGCCAUUCCAUUCAAUAUUAUUAAUUAAGAUUUUAAGAAACUAAACUAUUAACCUUGACUUAAAUUAGUAUCCUUGAGAGAAAGGGUCUUCAGGGAUGGCAAUGAACACAAUGACUGUAGGAAGUCCAGCUUCCUUGAACCUAUGAUGUGUAGAAUUGAAAACAGGCAAUCAAGUAAGUAGUGAAAUUAAGUGUUAUCUUGAUCGAGUUCUUAAAGCUAUGAUAAAGAACUGGUACUUUUGUAGUGAGAUGAUUUUUUGAUAGAAACAACAAAUUGCCCAAAUAAUAGAAGAUGCCAAGAGAUAUUCACAACUUUACCAUUGACAGCCGUCGAUCCUAGCAACAUAUUGCCUGAUAAAUUUAAAGACUUGAGGGAUGAAAGUCCACUCGGAUGUGAUAAAAUGCUGUCGUUGAAUAUAUUAUAGCUCAGGUCCAGGUUCUCGAGUUUCCCCAAAUGUGAUGAUAUGAUCUCAAAACCUGCAAGGAGUUGUUUCUAAGAGUAAGUCAUAAUUAUGAGCUCACGAUAUGCAUAAUAUAUAGAAACUAAAGAUAAUUAGAAUUGAUGAGAUGUUGUUCAAUUGAUAUAUGAUUCUCAAAUUAUACAUAAAAAGAAUGAUAUAUGAACGCAUAUUUAAUUAUAUAAUAGAUUAAGAAAUAAUUUAUGGAUAAGAUCAAAGCUCCAUAGAUAUUAAUCUUCAUAGAUGAAAUUAAAGCGCAAUCAAACAUGAUGAAAUGCUAUCGUUGAUUUUUAAAUAUAUAUAAAGUCCUCAAUUUUCUUGAUAAACAGAAUGCAACUUACUAUUGAUAGAUCCUGUCAGCUGAUUGUUUGACAGAUCCAAAGACUUGAGAGAUGAAAACCCAGUUAGAGAUGGAAAAAUGCUAUCGUUGUAUUGAUUCCGUCUUAGAUGAAGGUUCUCAAGCUUUUUCAACCUUGAUGACAAGACUUUGAGACCUGCAUGAUGUUCCUCAAAAGCAUAGAAAUGAUACAUGAACGCAUAUUUAAUUAUAAAAUAGGUUGUGCACGCUUCUAAGAUUAAGAUACAAUUUUUAAAUAUCAUUCUAAUUUUGAUCAUUGGAAAAAAAAAAACAAUUUACGGUUAUAAAGUCGCUAAAGAUGGAAGCUAAGUUAUGAUAGACUUACAAAACAAAAUAAAGAAACUUAUAAUUAAGAUCUCAUCGGUAAUUAAAACAAGAAUAAUAAUCGAUCCAUGUAAGUUCAAAUAUUGCCUAAUUUUGAAAAACUAAUUAAUUAGUUAUGAUAGUUUCAAAAACUAACUGCCUCUGUAAGAUGCUAAAUGCCUCUCUCGUUGGCUGUCUAGUGAUUUGUAUUGGAUAGUUUUUUUUUGAAUUGAUGUUAAGAUCCAAGUUUUAAUAAUUACAAUUUUCUUAAUUAUAUAUAAUAUUAUAGGAGAGAGCUUCUUAUUAUGUUAUUCAAAACCCAUUCAAACUCAAAUUCAUAAAAAAAAAUACUUAGAGUUGUGUUCGACUAAGGAUCUCAAGACAGAAAAAACAUAUAUAAAAAUAUAUUUAUUUAAAAAGAUAAAUAUAAAAUAUAUAUUUAUAGGAGAGUUUUGAAGUGAACUUCUGAUUGCUAAUUUAAUCUAAAUAUUACAACACUUUUGGCAUAAAAGGGCCAAAAUAAGAAUAAAAUAUAUGCCUCUUUACGUAGAUAUAAAGUUCUCAUUUUUGUUGAUAAAGAAACAAUAUAAUUAAGAGAAUGUCAUGUGAAGCAUUUAGGUAGAAACUGUGUAUUAUACCUGAUCCUGUCAACUCAUUGUACGACAGAUCCAAAGACUUGAGGGAUGAAAAUCCAGUAAGAGAUGGAAAAAUGCUAUCGUUGCAAUGAUUCCAACUUAGAAGAAGGUUCUCCAGCUUUUUCAACCUUGAGGACAAGACUUUGAGACCUAAAUAGCAGCUACCUCCUGAUCAUUUAAAUGCGUAGAAAAAAAUGAUAUGAGAAGGAGAAAAGAAAAGGUUUCGAAGCUAAAUAAUUAAAAGGUUACCAUAGAAGCUACCUCCUGAUCCAGCUGUCAACCCAUUCUCUGAUAGAUCCAAAGACUUGAGAGUGGAAAGGUUACCAUUGAAACAUGACAAAAUGCUUUUAUCAUUAUUAAAUCCGUUAUAACUUAGGUCAAGUUUCCUCAGUUUUGAUGAUAGGACUUCGAAGCCUGGAAAGAGCAAGAUAAUUGACAUUAAACACCAACCAACCUUCAUUUAUUUUAUGAUUAUAUUUAAGUGCACAAACAUUGAACUAACCUUCAUUCUCCAAGCAACCAACCAAUCCAUUACCUUCCAAUUCAAGACUUUGCAAUUCUUUAAAAGGCUGAAACAAAGAUGCGUUGAGAACCCAAUCGCCCAAGCUCUCGUCCCUUGAUCCUCUAAGAGAGAGUUGGAUCACUCGCCUUGUAGUGUUAUCACACUCGAUCCUAUGCCACUCACAACAAUUACUACCGUCCACCCAAUCUCUCAAGGAAACGCCAUCUGGGUCGAUCGAAGAUUGGAUCUCCAAGAGACCAAUCCUCUCUUCCUCCAAACACCCAUAACAACGACCAUACCAUUCGCCAACCAAAGUCAAUAAUGCUAGCAACAUCCAACUCCCCAUUCUUUUCAUCAUCAUCUACGUAGAAUAUUGUUGUUUGUUAUGUGUCUUUGGGCAACCAUAGAGGUCCUAUUUAUACUACAAUUUUGGCCAUUUCCAUGAUUUUAUCUGCAUAUCUUAUGCAGGUUCUAUGUUUUGAGAUUUGAAUAUUAUUUUAUUUCCUUUUGGAAUAUUCUUGGAUUCGAAUAUUAUUUUAUUUUACUGUUUAGCACUUAGUCUAUUUGCAUUUAAUUAUAUUUUGGUUACUAAUUAUCCAAUUUUAAAAAAAUAAAAAAUAAAAAUUGUUGCAACAUUUCAAUUUUUUUAUCGACAUUCAUGUGUGAUUUCACGUAAGAUCUUUUUAAAUUUAUAAUUGUACUUUUCUCGUUAUAAUUUAGAAUUAUUUAGGAGCCUACUUGCAUGGUGUCAUCACUAUUAUAUAUAAUUAAAUACAUAAAUUAUCAAUAAUAAUAAAUUCGGAAUAAUUAUAAAUCUUAUCCCUGUGGAUUGUGUGGCUACAGUAUGAUAUACAAAAACUUCAAAUAUAUAUAAAUAAAAGAAUGCUAAAAGUGACAUUCUCUUGGGUGACCACCACAAGCCCAUCUAAAACACACAAGCCAUAUAAAAAUCACACGACAGCCAAUUACCUUAUCUUGUGAGAAAAAAGAUUAAAAAAAAAAAAAGCAUUUUCUUGGGUGUGCAAUGACUGCCAAUCUUUCUCGUUAUGACAUUCAAUGCUCUGUAAGAAGUUGCAUGAUGCUCUUCUCAUGGGGAGCAAAAAUCAGUAGCCUCCCAUGGAAUCCUCAUAAACCUUUCUCUAUGCUCUUCUAAGAUAUUAAAAAUGUCAAACAUACAUAAAUAAUAAGAAAAACAAUAAAAAAAGAAAGCUAUACAAAUAGAGCUUCCAACAAAAAGACUAGGAAGUUGUUUACUGAAAAUUGAGAUUCAUAAUUUGUUUUGAUUUGUUUUGAUUUGUUUUGAGUUAUUAUGGUCUCAUGACCCGGGUCACAGAUUUAAAGGUUAAUCUAGAUUGACCCGGGUCGAUUAAUCCAAUAUGUUGUUGUUUCGAUAUACUUUUUUUAAAAAAAUAUGUCAUCUUGAUUUUUUUCAAGUGAAACUAUAUUUUUACCAGUCGUCCAGACAAUCUUUGAGCCCAUCGAAUCGAUCGGGUUAUAUCAAUUUAACUCUUAUUUUUUUAUUUAUAUUUGAAAUUUAAAUUGCAUAAUUUUUUACUUAUUUUUUUAUAUAGGUGGUUAUGAGUUACAAAAAUUAAGCAAUUUCGAGUAUAUUGACAUGAGAAUUAAUGGUUUCGAUAACAAUAUUCUAUCAUUUGUAGAGGGAUUUUCAUCUUUUAAAUCACUAUAUUUAGAUUAUAAUAGACUGGAAGGGUUAAUAGAUUUAAAAUGUUAGUUUUUUUAUAUACUUAUUUUUUCUCUAUUAAAUUUAAUUUCAAAAGAACACAAUUUUCGAUAACAGUAUUCUAUCAUGCAAUUUUUGUUUUGUUUCAAAAGAACACAAUCGCCCAAGCGGAAAUCCCUUGCAUAGAAAAGAGAGAGUUGGAUCACUCGCCUUGUACGUAGUGUUAUCACACUCGAUCCUAGGCCACUCACAACAAUUACUACUGUCCACCCAAUCUCUCAAGAAAAAGCCAUCUGGGUCGAUCAAAGCUUUGAUCUCCAAGAGACCAAUCCUCUCUUCCUCCAAACACCCAUAACAACGACCAUGCCAUUCGCCAACCAAAGUCAAUAAUGCUAGCAACAUCCAACCCCCCAUUCUUUUCAUCAUCAUCUACGUAAAAUAUUGUUGUUUGUUAUGUGCUUUUGGGCAACCAUAGAGGUCCUAUUUAGACUACAAUUUUGGCCAUUUCCAUGAUUUUAUCUGCAUAUCUUAUGCAGGUUCUAUGUUUUGAGAUUUGAAUAUUAUUUUAUUUCUUUUUGGAAUAUUCUUGGAUUUGAAUAUUAUUAUUAUUUUAUUGUUUAGCACUUAGUCUAUUUGUAUUUAAUUAUAUUUUGGUUACUAAUUAUCCAAUUUAUAAAAAAAAAUAAAAAAUAAAAUAAUUGUUGCAGUACUUCAGCAUUGUUAUCGACAUUCGUGUGUGAUUCCGUAUAAGAUCUUUUUAAUUUAAUUGUACUUCUCUCGUCAUAAUUUAGAAUCAUUUAGAACCCUAUUUGUGUUAUGACUAUCAUAUAUAUAAUUAAAUACAUAAAUUAUCAAUAAUAGUAAACUCAGAAUAAUUAUAAAUCUUAUCCCAGUGGAUUGUGUGGCUACAGUAUUUUAUACUUCAAAAUAUAUAUAUAUAUAUAAAAGUUAGAGCUGCUUUUGUUUUUAUGUUCGGAAAGGUAUUCUUGACUUGUUUUUAUUACAUUUCAAUAUUAUUAUUUUUUUUCAAUCGAGUCAAAGAUAUACCAUUUAUAUUAGAAUGAGAAGACUAAUCAAUUUCUCUAGUUUUCUCCCUAUUUAUAAAAUACAUCUGGUUUUUGAAGUCCAGAUUUUAGGAUAAAAGGAAUUUAUUUCUUGAAAUUAAUGCAUUAAACAAUAUAAAGAUAUUUUUUAAAAAUUAAAAUAGUAGUAAAAGUAAAUUUAGUUUUUGAUUGAAGUGUAAACUAGUGGUAAAUGAACAAAAAAAAAAAACUUUCUUGAUUAUCUAAUGGAAACUCCGCCUAAUAUAUAUAUAAUAGCAAUCAUUUUCUUAUCUCUUGUAUCAUUCAUAUCUUCCACAAAUCUUAAGUAAUUGAUGAGAAAGUGGAUAUUGCCAAGAAAGGUCGUGAACGCGGAUGCUUGACUUGCUGCGUGGCAUUUUGAUUUUUAAACACAACACUACUUUCUUUGUGGAAAUAACGCUACUUUGCAUGAAGAUGAUGGAUAUAGAAGACUUGCUACUUGUUUUAUGGAAAUAACGUAUGGAAAAUUAUGCUUUAAUUUUAAUGAUGAUAGCAAAAUCAAACAGUAUUGUUGAUAAAAUGAGCCAUAAAUAAUAUUAUUUCUAUUGUCAUGACAAUAAGUUUUUUUUUUUUUUUUUCUAAAGAGUCUAUUUUUCCUCUAGGAGAGGCCGCGAGACGUCCUCUUCCAACCAUCAUGCAUUUUUUCUACGAGAUGGGUUCAUGGAAAUACUUUGGUUUAAUUGGGAAUGCUGUUAUUGAUUGAAAUAUUUUUAAUUAAAAUAAAUUUGAUUAUUUGAUUGGAAAAAAAAUAUUGUAACCAAGUAAUUUAUUUAUUUAUUUUAAUGAAAUAUAAAAUAGUUUUAAAUCUUGUGGUAUAUUUCUUGUCUUUAAGAGCUAUGAACUUAUAUCUCAAAACUUGAAAACUAAUAUAAAGAUAUUAAGUGAUCAUUGAGUGUGUGUGUGUGUAUAAUCCUUUUCAAAACAAAAAGGAUUUUGAUGGAGAUUAGGACAUUGCAACAAAUUAUCCACCACUAGAUGGGUCAAUGAUACCAUUGUCAUCAUGCAAUUUUUCCCACGAGAUGGGGCCGUACGCUUGGGGCUCUAAAAGCUAUGGUUUUAAUUUCAUUAUGUCACAUCUAGAAUGGCAGGUAUAUUUUAUUUCAAUUUAAACAAUGGAAUAAAUUAGAAGAUAUUUCAUCUCGCUUAAAAUCUUAUCUUCUUAUAUGAUUUCACCUAAAUUCUGGCUGGAAUGUUUAAGUUAUAUUCUAGCUAUUCUGUUAUGGCCAAAUGAUAUUUUGUUUUACUUUUAUAAAAAAUUAAAAUAUAGUUUAGUUUUUGUAUUUAUUUUCUGGUUAUAUUUAAUUUGUCAUCAAUAUUCAUAACGUAAAUUGCUAUGCAUUUCGAAUCUUGAAAGGAUUGAAAGAUGGAAAACAGAAAAGAAAGAGAGACCCCCAGUUCAAAAGAAAAAGAAAAAAAAACAAUAGUAAAAGAAAGAGAAGAGAACAAAAGUGAAGCAGUUUUUACUAACUAUAUAAAUUUUAUAAUUAUUAAUAUUAAAUUCAAAAUAUGUACAUAAUGCAAAUAUGUAAACAUAUCAUGUGGUUUAAAGAAAUGAUUUUUAUAAAGAUAUAUGUCUUAACAAUAUUAAUCAACUCUUAAUAUUUUUCAUUUUAUAAAUAUUAAAAGUAAAUAUUAAAACCUAUUAUAUUAAUUUGUGAAGGUAUUUACUCGGAUGCGAAUUAUAUUUCUAAUUUUUUAUUAAAAAAAAAUUCUACAUACUACAACUAGCCUAAGAAAGUCAUUUUCAUCUAAAAAAAAGUAGAAAAAAUUGAAUUGCAUAAAAGCAUCACUAUAAAUGUUAUACUCCGAAAAUAUCUUCUUUCCUUGAUAAAAUUCCCUAAACUACUGUAUGUCUCUAACAGUGAAAAUAUCACUAUAAUUUACAGUCACCUUAUUUAAUCGAAAGAAAACUUUAAAGAUGCACCUCCAUCUAGUGUAUUUAAAAAGAUUUAACAAAUUACUUUACACGUGCUAUGCUACAAGUUACAUAUUUUUUCAAUGUAAACAAAAAUUAUAUAGGUAUUUUUAACAUUUUUCUAUUAAAAAAAACUAAAACAUAUAAAAAUUAACCAAUUUAUAAUUAAUUAAUUAAUUGAGAAUUUGAGCUCCUUAGAAAAGUUGUUUAUGGACUUUUGUUUUCCGGAGAAAGCUCCUUUAAAACCCUUGAGCACCACCUUCUUUAAAACUUCUAUCUUUGCCAUAACUGAGGGGCUCUGUAUUUUUUUUAAGGUGAAUUAACAAGUUACAACUCAACUCUGUAUUUUUUUUUUUAGUUUAAUGUGGGUGUCUGGGUCAACUUACGCGUACCUCGACUAAUUCCACGGGCCCUGAAAUUAAUGACCAUAUAAACCUACAGUGGCCAUCAUAUGAACAAUCACAGGACUAGGGCUCGAACUUGAGACAAAAAAAAAAAGCAAAUUUUUUAAUCUUAAAUUCUUACCACUGGAUCACUAUCUAAAUUGUUACCUUGUAUCUAAUCUAGAUGUGUCUGUGACUGUGCUUGAUGUUCUCAUAACCAUUAAGAUGGUUCGAACCCAAAUAAAUAGAAACAAAUUUAUUUUCUGUUAUUCUCCGAAUUCCUAGAUAGAAUUUGCUUGGAAAUGAUGAGCUACCACUCCCUUUUGACUUUGCUGGCCUCCCAAAUAAAUAAAGAAUUCCGCUUGAUAGAAUUUUCUUGGAAAUGAUGAGAAUAUUUUAUAAUUUUCUGGUUGACGCCAGCUGUCAACAACUGUCUUACAUUCCCUUGGCAUCGUGUUCCAUGCCCUUGCAAAAUAUUAAAGGCUCCAAUGCCUCUCUCGCAAUAAGAUUAUUUUUUUUAUUUGUCCCCGAAUACAUGUGUCAUUUAUCGAAAUAAUUAAUUUAAUCACACACAUAAAAAAAAAAAAAAAUUUAAAUAGGCGGCUUUAGAAUCAGCAAGCAGUGAAUCACACGGGAAGAUUGAAAGAAUAAUUAAAGUGAUUUUACUAACAUUGUAAAAAAAAUUGAAUUGCAUAAGAGUAAUUAACCGACAGGUUGACCCAAAGUCAAAGUCUUCUGUGGAAAAACAUGAAUAGAAGAUUGAUGGGCGUUGCGUGAUAGCAAAAGAUUUGAGAUCUGCACAGCAGGUUUUGAAUUCGAGUCAGGGCGUGCAUCUCUUGUAAAAGCUUGGGAUAGCCGGGAUUUUACUGUCUCAUCUGGGCCCAUAAAGUGCGCUUUCCAAGGAAAUGAGGUUCCCUCGAAUCCAUAAAAAAAAAAAAAGUAAUACCAUUGCUAUCAAGCGUUUUUUCUACGAGAUGGUCCGUUCCCCCAUUUCCCCUCAAGCUUGAGAAGGGAUGAUAUAUAUAUGCUUUAAUUUCAACUUGUAUAAAAAAUAAAUCUUAAUGUAGUGUGUUAGAAUGCAACCACCGAUUCAUUAUUUUUAAUGGCUGGUCAUUUAAACUUGGGUGUUUUUUCGGUAUUAAUAUAUAUAUUCCUCAAUUAUCAUAAAAAAAUUAAGAAAAAACUAAUAAUAAGAUUAAAAAUAAAUGUUUUAUUUAUCGAAAUAAUUAUUAAAAGUAAGGUAUACUCAAGGUAUAUGUGGGACGAUAAAAAAAUAACAAAAAAAUCAAUUUACAAAAAAAAUCAUAGAUUUAGUUUUCCUAAAUUUUAAAUGUAGUGCAACAUUAGCCUUUCAAGAAAUAGAUAAUCUUCCUCUUUGAAGGAAUUAAUUAGUGGGUUGGAAAAAUGUCGUCUUUUGCUCUAAUAUUUUCUUCGCUUUCUCUAUAGUUUUACCAUACACUAAUAUUGUCAGAAAAUGAUACAUACUUCUUGUGUUAUCCUUCAAGAAUUCAAUUGAAAAGGAGGGUUGUAAAAAAUUUAAUUUUUAUAAACAUACCCUUAACUUAAUUUGGAUGUGGAUAAUUGUUUGCAAUAUAUUUACAUCCAAUAUAAACAAUUCAUCAAUGAUCAAGUAGGCAGUGGUUAGCUAAAAUAUUGAAAAUACUUACUCUCUUUGUUUUUUAGUCAUGCAGUUCCACUAUUGUAUGUUAUUUUUGUUUAGCUAAAAAUAUCAAAAAAUAUUAAUUUGGAGUAAAAAAAAAAAAAAAAUUUAAUUUUUUUAAAAAUAUUUUUGAAACAUAAAAACAAACAGUGCUAAAAGACAUAGAAACAGUUACCCAAAUCAAUUUAUUUUUUUAAAAAAUAAAAAUAGAAUACUAUACAAAUGGAGCUUCCAACAAAAAGAUAUGGGAAGUUCGAGGGAAAAAAUGAUUAGUUAAUUCAAAACACCAGGAGUAAGUAAUAAUUACAAAACACGAUACCGAAACCAAAUUGAAAAGUGAGCAAAAUACAAAACUGGUUACAUGUAUCGAAAGGAACUGGAACCAAUUUCUCCACCACUGGAUGUCCCUUUUGUUCAGUCUAUGUUUGGUGCAAUCACCUAAAGCUAGAAACAAAAACAGCGCCUUAGUCUAUGUUUGGUGCAUUUUUUCCACGAGAUGGGUUCGUGGAAAAACUUUGGUUUAAUUGGGAAUGCUGUUAUUGGUUAGAAACUUUUUAAUUAAAAUAAAUUUGAUUAUUUGAUUGGAAAAAUCCUUAAAUGUUAUUAACACAUGAAAUCAAUUUAUUCUCUUAAGAAAAAAAUAGUUUUACAUCUUGUGGUAUAUAUGUCAAGCAUUUUUUUUCCCUCAAGAUGGGUUCGACAGACAAUCACCAUCAUGCAUUUAUGAGUCCAUGAGACCAUUGUCAUCUGCACAUUGGUCCCCUAUAGCGUUGCUUUUCCUCAAGACCAUUUCCAUCAUGCAUUUAUGAGUUAGUGAGACCAUUUCCAACUGCACAUUGGUCCCUGAAACCGUUGCCAUCAUGCAUUUUUCCUCGAUGAGAGGUCGUGAGACGUCCACUUCCAACCAUCAUGCAUUUUUUUCACGAGAUGAGGCCGUACGUUUGGGGCUCUAAAAGCUAUAUAUAUUAGAAAUAUUAUUUGAAAAUAAAUUAUUUUUUAUUUUUAAAAAUAAAAUUCUUCUAUACAAAAGAUUUUUAUAAGUAUAAUUUAAUUUAUUCAGUUUUUUAAAUAAAGUUAAUCUAUCGCAAGAGUACACGAAAUAAGUAUUUUUCCGUCAUGCAUUUUUUUUCCUCAAGACCAUUUCCAUCAUGCAUUUAUGAGUCUGGGAGACCAUUUCCAUCAUGCAUUUAUGAGUUGCUGAGACCAUUUCCAUCUGCACAUUAGUCUCUGAGACCGUUGCCAUCAUGCAUUUUUCCUCGAGGAGAGGCCGUGAGACUUCCUCUUCCAACCAUCAUGCAUUUUUUCCACGAGAUGGGUUCGUGGAAAAACUUUGGUUUAAUUAGGAAUGCUGUUAUUGAUUGGAAACUUUUUAAUUAAAAUAAAUUUGAUUAUUUGAUUGGAAAAAUCCUUAAAUGUUAUUAACACAUGAAAUCAACUUAUUCUCUUAAGAAAAAAACAGUUUUAAAUCUUGUUGCCGUCAUGCAUUUUUUUUUCCUCAAGAUGGGUUCGACAGACAAUCACCAUCAUGCAUUUAUAAGUCCAUGAGACCAUUGUCAUCUGCACUUUGGUCCCCUAUAGCGUUGCUUUUCCUCAAGACCAUUUCCAUCAUGCAUUUAUGAGUCCAGGAGACCAUUUCCAACUGCACAUUGGUCCCUGAGACCGUUGCCAUCAUGCAUUUUUUCCACGAGAUGGGUUCGUGGAAAUAAUUUGGUUUAAUUGGGAAUGCUUUACUGUAUUUGUUUUCUGGUUAUAUUUAAUUUUUCAUCAAUAUUCCUAAGCACGUAUUUUGAAUCAUGAAAAGCACGUGGAAAAGAGAGGGAUGGUGAAAAUGACAUGUAAAGGGACUGUUUGGCAGUGCGCAUAGAAAAGGGAAAGUGUCAUUGCCAUUUUGAGUGGUGUGUUUGCAUUUGAUUUGUUAAUUUCGAGUUUUGUCAAAGAGUGAUUACUAGUCAUCAAGCAUUUUAUUAAUUUAAUUUAUCCUGUCAAGUGAAGGGCCAAACCUGUCAUUCAUUGCCAGUCACAGUCACAAGUCUUGGUCUUACCAUUUUACUAUCUAUUAAUUAAUUAAUUGUUUGAUUAAUCAACGAAACUGUGCGUUUCUCUUGUGAUUUCUCGAAGACGGCCAUGAAUAUAUAUAUAUAUAUAUACAACUUUUCAAAACAAAAAGGAUUUUGAUGGAGAGGACAUUGAAACAAAUUAUCCUCGUGAUACCAUUGUCAUCAUUCAAUUUUUUCCACGAGAUCAGGCCGUAUGCUUGGGGCUCUAAAAGAUAUUAUUUCUAAUUUUAUUAUAUCACAUCUAGAAUAACAAGUAUAUUUUAUUUCAAUUUAAAAAAUAGAAUAAAUUAAAAGAUAUUUCAUUUUUAAAAUUUUAUUUUGUUUUAUGAAUUUCACCUAAAUUCUGACUAGAAUAUUUUGAUUAUAUUCCAGCCAUUUUAUUAUGAUAAAAUAAUAUUUUGUUUUGCUUUUAUAAAAAAAAUAUAAUCUAAUUUUACAGUAUCAAUCAUAUCUUUCAAUUCGACUGCUGGAUUGGACUAAAAUUUUACGAGGAAUCUCCUAACAUAUAUUUAUAUCGCAAAUUAAAAUUUUAAGGCAAUCAGAGUUUAGAAAAAUUUUGCGAAAUUACCGAUGAUAUUUUCAUAAUUUUAUUUAAAUUCAUAAUUUUGUUAGGAAAUAUUAUUUUUUGUUUCUUUUUUAGAUUGAAUUAUUUCUAAAGUACUUCUUGUCAUUGUCAUGACAAUAAAUCUUCUUCUUUUUCUUUUUAAAAAGUCUAUUUUUUGUAACACAACCAACAUGUAAGAUGGAUGGGAAUUUGCAGUGUGAGAUGGGUUUGUGAGACUUUGGCCAUCUCCAAUUUUUUCCACGCCAUUGAGAUGGUCUAUAAGACCAUUGCCCCGUAAGCAUUUAUGAGUUCGUGAGACCAUUUCCAUUUGCACAUUGGUCCCUGAGACCGUUGCCAUCAUGCAUUUUUUACACGAGAUGGGUUCGUGGAAAUACUUUGGUUCAAUUGGGAAUGUUGUUAUUGAUUGGAAACUUUUUAAUUAAAAUAAAUUUGAUUAUUUGAUUGGAAGAAAUCCUUAAAUGUUAUUAACAAUAGAAAUCAAUUUAUUUUCUUAAGAAAAAAAUAUUGUAACCAUAUAAGUAAUUUAUUUAUUUAUUUUAAUGAAAAAUAAAAUAGUUUUAAAUCUUGUGGUAUAUUUCUUGUCUUUAAGAGCUAUGAACUUAUAUCUCAAAACUUGAAAACUAAUAUAAAGAUAUUAAGUGAUCAUUAAGCGUGUGUGUGUGUAUAAUGCUUUUCAAAACAAGAAGGAUUUUGAUGGAGAGGACAUUGCAACAAAUUAUCCACCACGAGAUGGGGCUGUACGCUUGGGGCUCUAAAAAACUAUGGUUUUUAAUUUUAUUAUGUCACAUCUAGAAUGGCAGGUAUAUUUUAUUUCAAUUUAAACAAUGAAAUAAAUUAGAAGAUAUUUCAUCUCGUUUAGAAUGUUAUCUCAUUUCAUGAAUUUCACCUAAAUUCUGGCCGGAAUAUUUUGGUUCUAUUCCAGCCAUUCUAUUAUGAUCAAAUAAUGUUUUGUUUUGCUUUUAUAAAAAAAAAAUAUAUAGUUUAGUUUUAUGGUAUUAAUUAUAUCUCUCAAUGCAAUUAUUGGAUUAGACUAAAAUUUUACAAGGAAUCUCUUAACAUAUAUUUAUAUCGCAAGUUAAAAUUUUAGAACAAUUAGAGUUUAAAAAGACUUUGUGAGAUUGCCGAUGACAUUUUUAUAAUUUUAUUUAAAUUCAUAAUUUUGUUUCAUAAGGUCAUUUUUUGUGUCUUUUUUUAGAUUGAUUUUUUUUUUUCAAUUUCAUAAUUCAACAAUAGAUUUAUUAAAAAUUAAGAUUCAUAAUUUGUUUUUAUUUGGGAUUAUUAUGGUCUCAUAAUCUGGGUUACGGAUUUAAAAGAUUAACCUAGAUUAACCUGGUUCGAUCUAAUAUGUUGUUGUUUCAAUAUUUUUAACAAAUAUAAUUUUAAUUGAUAUUUAAAAAUAAACUAACUUGAAAUUAUAUAAUUUAAAUUUCAAAUAUAAGUAAAAAUAAAGAGUUAAAUCAAUAUGACCCAAUUGAUUUGAUGAGUCCAAAAUAUAUAUAAAACAAUCCAAACGACACGUCAAAAUACUCAAAAAUCAAAAUAUAUUGUUACAAUUAAAAAAAUAAAACACCAAUUAAAAUGGAAUUGACGACCUUGCUUGAUAUAAGCCUAAACUCCUCGCUGCCAUUUGCAAGAGAUAGUUACUUAUACCAGUAGCAAUUUAAUAAUGAUUGGUCAAAUUUUAUAUUAAGAUGGGGCUAUUAAUUCAAAUGUUGAUGGCGUUAGUAGCAAUGAUUUUCUUGGAAGCAUGGUUGCCUCUUGGCUGCUUGAAAAUAUAUGGUUUUUUUAAUGUCGCAUGUGUGCUGCGUCAUGAAAAAAAAAUUCACUCUCAAAUCCUAAAUAUUGGUAUCCUGGAAAAAUUGGGAAAAAUAAGGAGACAAGAAAUUCUUGUCUUUUAUUAGUGGAAAAAUAAAAUGGGAGUCGCCACUUAGUAUUUUAAUCACUAGGAACCCUGAUUGGUCUCAGAGAUUGGGUACGGAGACUGGUUGCGUAAAGGGAAGGUAUUAGCACCCCAAAUACGCCCUACCUAAGGUAAGUUGCAUUGUUUUAUUGUUUGAUAAAAUCUAAGGUCUUGUCGUGUUUUCUAGUUAUUGGUCCGUCUAUGAUUUAAGAAAAGUCUUCAUCGAUAAAGAGAUCCUUAUCUUUUCGGGUAAAACCUAACCGUUCUAACGUAAACAAAAGAAUUUAAUAUCCGGAAUACAUCUUACGUAUAAGGUCGUAACCCCAGAUACUAAAAGAAAAUUUUUUUUUUGGAAUUUUUUAAAUAUUGGCCUAGUUCUUGUGACUUUAAUAAACUGGUUUUUAAAACCAAAAUGCAUGUUAAUACAUAUUUUUGUUGUAUGAAAAUAUGAUAUGAUUUUUUUCUUUGAGAUACUUGGCCGUAUGCAUGAAAAUAAUUUUUUUUUUAAUUUUUCAAUGUUUUGACGAAAACUAGGUAUUUUAAUACCAGAUUUGUAUCUUUACAGUAUAAAAAUACAAACCAAUACUAAGAAAAAUUUAGUAGAAAAAUAUAUGGGAAAAUUAUAGAUUUUUUGAAAUGAUUAUUUUUGAAGAAUUGUUUUUUACUGGGCCGGACCCGACCCAACCAUUUUGGGCGGGCCGGCACUGUCCGGGCUGGAAAACUAAAACAAACAAUGGAGAGACUCUCCACUGUUCACAUGCAACGUGAACAGUGGAGCGGCCUGGAGAAGACAAAGAAGAAGAGGAGGAAGAGGAAGAAGCAGACCUGCGGCCUAGCGGUGCUGCUAGUGGCGGUGGACGGUGUUGCGGUUGCGGAGUGUUAGAAAUAAUGUUCAGGACUGCUGAGCUGGAAUUUUAUUCUUUCUUAAUUUUUGAUUUAGUCAAUUCUGUUCCUAUUCUCUUGUUCUUGUUGCUACUUCGCAGCUCUGUUAUUUCCAUUAUCAAUUGAUCAUGGCUUGAAUGUAGUACCAUGAUCGUAGGAGUUUGUUAUGUAUCAGCUCUAUAAAUUGAGCUGCAGUUAUGAAUAAAGUAUUCAAGCUUUUCAUUCAUCAAUCUCUUCUUAAACACAAGCAUUAUCCUUUGUUAUUUUUGUUGUUCAGAAUCACUGCAACAACGACAAUUGGUAUCAGAGCAUCUUGAUUUAAAGGGAUCUGUGUUGUAACCCAUGGAGACAGAAGUAAGAUUCUCAUCAAUUGCUCCACCAGUGUUCAAUGGUGACAAUUACCAGUUUUGGGCAGUACGGAUGGAGACAUACUUAGAGGCUCUGGAUUUGUGGGAGGCAGUGAAAGAAGAUUAUGAAAUCCCUGCACUUCCAAAUAAUCCCACCAUGGCGCAGGUCAAAUCACAGAAGGAGAAGAAGACAAAAAAAUCAAAGGCAAAGGCGUGCUUGUUUGCUGCAGUAGCAUCCACCAUUUUCACUCGAAUCAUGUCUCUGAAAACAGCAAAGGAGAUAUGGGAGUUUAUCAAGACUGAGUAUGAAGGGGAUGAAAGAAUUCAAGGUAUGCAAGUGUUGAACUUGAUGCGUGAUUUCGAGUUGCAGAAGAUGAAGAAAACUGAAUCCAUCAAAGAGUACUCUGACAGGCUGCUUAAUAUUGCAAGCCGAAUCAGUUUACUUGGCUCGUCCCUGCCUGAGUCAAGAAUUGUUCAAAAAAUUCUUGUAACAAUUCCUGAAAUCUUUGAGGCUACAAUUACAUCCUUGGAAAAUACCAAGGAUAUGUCAAAAAUUACUUUGACAGAAAUGCUAAAUGCAUUACAAGCUCAGGAGCAAAGGAGGAUCAUGAGACAAGAAGAUGAGAUUGAAGGAGCUCUAUUCGUCAAGCAUAGAGAAAAAGGAAAGAAUUACAAGAAGAAUGGAAGCAGUCAAGCAUCAUCAGGUGAUUCCAGGAAUUUCAACAGGAGCAACACUGGAAACAAAAAAGGACCUUUUCCUCCAUGCCAGCAUUGUAAAAGGAGAUCACAUCCACAUUUUAAGUGUUGGAGAAGACCAGAAGCUAAGUGCAACAAAUGCAAUCAAAUGGGCCACGAGGCUGUCAUCUGCAAAAACAAAAUUCAACAGCAUGGUGAAGAAGCUCAAAUUGCUGAUCAAGAAGAAGAAGAUCAAUUGUUUGUGGCCACUUGCAUUUCCAGAAAUGACUCAAGUGAAAGCUGGCUCAUUGAUAGUGGUUGCACCAACCACAUGACACAUGACAGAAACAUAUUCAAGGAGCUGAAACAAACAACUUCAAAGGUUCGAAUUGGAAAUGGAGAAUACCUUGCUGUUGAAGGAAAGGGAACCGUGGCAAUCUUGACUUGCUCAGGUACUAAGUUCAUCUCUGAUGUAUUGUAUGUCCCUGGUAUAAAUCAAAAUUUAUUCAGUGUUGGUCAGCUUAUUGAGAAGGGUUAUAAAGUAGUGUUUGAAAACAAUUGCUGCUUGAUCAAAGAUGUGAAUGGUCAUGAUAUUUUCAAAAUAAUCAUGAAAGGGAAGAGUUUUGCUUUAAAUCCAUUAGAGGAGGAGCAUAUUGCUUUCCCAAUUAAAGAAAAUAUCACAGAUAUUUGGCACAAGAGGCUCGGGCACUAUCAUCAUAGAGGGCUGAUGCUUAUGAAAUCCAAGAUGAUGGCUAAGGAUUUCCCAGCACUUGAUGAUCACAUAUCCAGCUGCAGAACUUGUCACACUGGCAAGCUAAACAGGAAGCCCUUUCCAGAAGCCACAUGGAGAGCAACAAGGAAGCUGCAAUUGAUUCAUACUGACAUUGCAGGACCAUAAAGGACACCCUCUCUAAAUGGGAGUCUGUAUUAUGCUGUCUUCAUUGACGAUUACAGCCGAAUGUGCUGGAUUUUCUUCUUGAAGCACAAGUCAGAGGUAGCACAGGUGUUCUGGAAUUUCAAGGCCAAAGUUGAAAAUGAAAGUGGCUGCAAAAUUCAAGCCCUCAGAUCAGACAAUGGCAAGGAAUACACUUCCAAUGCCUUCAACAUUUUUUGUGAGGAGGCAGGCAUUCAUCAUCAGCUAACAACUCCGUAUACUCCUCAACAAAACGGAGUUAGUGAGAGGCGAAACAAGUUCAUAUUGGAAAUGACAAGAUGCUUGCUACAUGAGAAGAAUUUACCAAAGAAAUUCUGGGCAGAGGCUGCAAACACUGCUGUGUUCUUGCAAAACCGACUGCAUACAAGAGCCUUGAAGGAUCAAACACCCUUUGAGGCAUGGUAUGGUUACAAACCAUCUCUGAAUUUUCUUAAGGUAUUUGGAUGUUUGUGCUUCACCCUUGUUCCACAGGUCAAGAGGGAUAAACUUGACAAGAAAGCACUUCCAGGCAUUUUUGUUGGCUACAGCUUAGUUUCAAAGGCUUAUAAGAUUUUCCAACCACAAACUGGAAAAAUCAUUAUAAGCAGAGAUGUCCAAUUCCUGGAAGAUGAAGAAUGGGACUGGAACGAUGCAAUCAAAGAAGAUUCAACCUCUCCAAAAGGCAAUUAUCUUGUUUCAGACACAGAUGAUCAAAGCAUGGAAGAUUGGGACAUCAACAUGACAGAUGACACUCCUGUUACAGGCACACGGUCACUCCUUGAUGUGUAUCAAAGGCGCAACAUUGCUGUGUGUGAACCAGCAGACUUUGAAGAAGCCAAGCUAGAUCAAAAUUGGCUUGCUGCGAUGAAGGAGAAGCUUCUCAUGAUCAAGAGAAACAACACGUGGGAGUUGGUUGACAGACCUCAAAACAGAAAUGUAAUCGGUGUAAAAUGGGUGUAUCGAACAAAACUCAACGCUGAUGGCUCAAUCAAUAAGCUCAAAGCCAGGCUAGUGGUGAAGGGUUAUGCACAAAUCUUUGGCGUGGACUACUCAGACACGUUUGCACCGGUAGCAAGACUUGACACUAUCAGGCUGCUACUUGCCAUUGCAGCACAACUGAAUUGGAAGGUGUAUCAAAUGGACGUCAAGUCAGCAUUUUUAAAUGGUGUUUUGCAGGAGGAGAUCUAUACUGAGCAACCAGAAGGCUUUGCAAAUGAAGGAGAGGAGGACAAAGUCUGUCUUCUUAAGAAGGCACUAUAUGGAUUGAAGCAAGCUCCAAGAGCUUGGUACAGCCGAAUCGAUGAACAUUUGCAGCACUUGGGAUUCACUAAAAGCCUCUCUGAAUCGACUCUUUACAUCAAGCAAAAUGGUGAUAACAUCCUUAUCAUCUCACUUUACGUUGAUGAUUUGCUUGUAACAGGAAAUAACAACAAUAAUGUGGAGAUAUUCAAGCAAGAGAUGAUGAGUGUAUUUGAGAUGACAAAUUUGGGUUUGAUGUCCUUUUUUCUUGGAAUGGAAGUUAAGCAAGUUGAACAUGAAGUGUUCAUAUGUCAGAAGAAGUAUGCCAAAGAAAUCCUCAAAAAGUUCAAACUUGAAGAUUGCAAAGCAGUAAGCACUCCUAUGAAUCAAAAGGAGAAGCUAUGUAAAGAAGAUGGAGCCGAGAAGGUUGAUCAAGCACAAUUCAGAAAAAUUGUUGGAUGCUUGAUGUAUCUCACUGCAACUAGGCCUGAUAUUUUGAAUGCUGUGAGUAUCUUGUCUAGAUUCAUGCAUUGUGCUAGUGAAUUGCAUUUCAAGGCUGCUAAAAGAGUGAUAAGAUAUGUCAAAGGAACCUGCAAUUUUGGCAUAAGAUACACAAGAAGUAGAGAGUUCAAACUGGUCGGGUACUCUGACAGUGAUUGGGGAGGCUCAAUUGAUGACUUGAAGAGCACAUCAGGCUACUGUUUCUCUUUAGGUUCUGGUGUGUUUUCAUGGAAUUCAAAAAAGCAAGAAACCGUAGCCCAAUCCACUGCUGAAGCUGAGUUUGUGGCUGCAACAGCUGCUGUCAAUCAAGCUUUGUGGCUGAGGAAAAUUUUAUCUGAUCUUAACCUGGAGCAAAAGGAAAGCACAGAAAUUCUAGUUGACAAUCAAGCUGCCAUUUCCAUCUCUAAUAAUCCUGUGUUUCACGGGAAAACCAAGCACUUCAACAUCAAAUUAUUCUUUUUGAGAGAGGUGCAGAAAGAUGGGAGUAUCAUUCUUAUUUACUGCAAAACUGAAGAACAAGCAGCUGAUAUUUUCACCAAACCACUGCCAGUCAACAAAUUCGAAUUUCUGAGAACAAAGUUGGGAGUUUGCAGCUCCUAAACAAGGAGGAGUGUUAGAAAUAAUGUUCAGGACUGCUGAGCUGGAAUUUUAUUCUUUCUUAAUUUUUGAUUUAGUCAAUUUUGUUCCUAUUCUCUUGUUCUUGCUGCUACUUCGCAGCUCUGUUAUUUCCAUUAUCAAUUGAUCAUGGCUUGAAUGUAGGACCAUGAUCGUAGGAGUUUGUUAUGUAUCAGCUCUAUAAAUUGAGCUACAGUUAUGAAUAAAGUAUUCAAGCUUUUCAUUCAUCAAUCUCUUCUUAAACACAAGCAUUAUCCUUUGUUAUUUUUGUUGUUCAGAAUCACUGCAACAACGACACGGACCGUGGCGCUGACUGGCGGGUGGUUCUUCUUUCUUUCUCUGCGUUUCCCUUCUGCUUUUUUUCUAUUCUGCUCUGUUCUUCCUCUUGUUCCCUGUUUUAUUCUUUCUCUCCCUCUCUGGUCCUCUCAAACGUCCCUUGGAGCUGCUGCCUGAAGAUGAAGACGAAGUUGAGGGUGAUCAGUGCUCUGAUCGGGCGACGUUUCUUUCUUUCUUCUGCUACUGUUUUCGUUUCUGAUUCUCCUCGUUCAAUUCUUAUUUGCACUCUUCUUCUUCUUCGUCUCUGGUUUUUGAAAUGACGAAGACGAUGGCAACGCUGGUUCUAAUCUCAACGAUUUCCUCUUCUUACAUUCUUUCCUUUUGCUCGUUUCUGUCUCCCUCUCGUGCUGCUCCCCACUUUCUCUCUUGUCCUGCUCGCUCUCCCUCCCUGUCUCCUCUUCUUUUUUUUUUGUUGUCCGUCUCUCCUCUAGCUUUUUAUAGCCAGAGGAUGCAUGCUUUUCGGGAUUUAUUGCAGGAAGGUUGUAACGGCCGGCGUGCAUCAUGGUGGAGAGGGAUAUCAGCCGUGAGACGUGCUCCCCUGAUUGAAGCAGCUCCACCACUAACGUCUUCACUUCCUUUUACUGUAGAAACCGUUGUUGAUGAAGAAGGUAAUGAACAGUUGUCAAGGAAAUGGUACCGUUUUAAAAUUCAAAAUGAAUAUUUCCGAUUUGGUCAUUGGAUUUUUUGCAAUUUUGUAAUCAAGCCCCCGAAUAAAUUGUAAUUGGAUCUCUGGAUUUUAGCCCCAUUUACAAGACAAUCUUUGGUUCUGGAUUCAUGCGAUUUGACUCUCAAUUGAUCAAUAAACUUCUAAUUUCUUUAAUUUAGCCCCUGACUUGGUCAAUUGCAGCCCUUAUAUUUACACGCCUUUUCCGGUUUGAUCCUUGGUUUCGGAUUUUUUCAAUCAAGUCCCUAAUUGCCCAUAAAACUUUAAUAAUUAUGCAAUUAAGCCCCUGAUUUGACCAAAUCAACUCUUCAAAAUUAUAAUUGGACCUUAGAACUUUAAUUUCUUCGAAUAAAAGCCUAAAUAGACAUAAAACUCAAUUUUUCUUUCAAUCAAACCCUCCAUAAAUUCAAUUAAACCUUUAAUAAAAUUUAAUUGAGUCCAUAAACAUCUGAUUUUAGAUAUAUUUUUUUAAAAUUGAAUUUUCUUUGUCAACAGGGCUCUCAUUAGUCAACGAUAUACUGUCAAAUUUCAAUCUUUAUAUUUUUUAACCUCCUCAACCAAUUUUUGGCCAUUUUGAGCAGUCCGACAGCUUUCACUGUGACAUAUAUAUUUUUUUAUUUAUAUUAUUUAAUUAAUUUAUUAUUAUUUAUUUAUUUAAUUUUUUUCAACUCUUACUUUUUGUAUUUUCUUCUUUUUUGUGUGGGGUCCCAAAAAUGGAUAACAACACUUAAGUUCAAAUCUAUUAAUAAAAAUAUAGUUUUAUUGACUUUUUUAUAUACUUUUAUUAGAGAAAUCAAUGUAAACAAAUUUAUGGACAAACAUUAGUUUAUCAAGUACUUAAAUAGAAAAAUAAAAUCAAUUAGAGUACUUGAAUAAAAAAAAUAUAAAUUAUAAGCAUUUUAUAUAUCUUUAUUGUUCAUAAAUUAAAAAUAAAAUAAAAUCAAUCCAGACUAAUCUAAAAAGAGUUAACUAUGACAUCAUCAUUUUGAUAGUAAAACUAAUGAAGAUAUUUUAUUGAUUAAAUUCCGUGAAUAUAAGUAUUCAAAUUGAAAAAAAAAAACAUUGAUACAAGAUUUUAAAUAAAAAAAUUAUAAAAUACAUAUAAUUUGUACUUCUCAUUGUCUCUUUUGCAUUGCUAACACUUAACAAAUUGAAUAUAUAAUUCUCAUGUCAAUAACGUCAGAAUAAAUUUAGCUACAUGACAUAAUAAUACCUGUUUAUUUUUGUAUUUUAAAAAUAUUUUAAAAACAUUAAAUUGUUUUAAAUAGAUAACUUUUGAAUCAUCAAGUAGUGAAACACAGGAAAAGCGAAGAAAGUGAAGAAUAAUCAAAGUGGUGCGUGUCCACAUCAAUUUUUGUCCAUGUUUUUGGUAUUAAUCUCUUCAUCUAUUUACAGCUGGAGAAAAGAACAUCACCUACUACUUUUCUUGUCUCUUCUUACUUGGAAGAUCAGGUAUGUGAAUCUUUGAGUGCCACUUAUUUUAGUACAUAGACUUAGUUAUUUGACCACAACUUCACCACAAGUUAAAUUGUUUUAAUUAAAAAAAUUUAUAUAAAGAUUUCUUCAAUAAAUUUUUUAUUUAAAAAAUUUCUAAGUGAAAAUUAAAAAACUUAUACACAAAUAUAGUUAAAUAAAUCAAGAAUUAUGUGUGUUAAUAAGUGAAAAAAACCAUAAAUGAUGACUCAAAAUAAAAACUGAAAAAAUCAACUGAUAAAUGUAGAUCAAAAUAUUUAAUUUCACAAGACGUGAUAUUAAUGCAGUUGUGUUUUCUAAAAUUUUUAAUUAAAAUAAUUUUUUAAUUUGAUCAAACGAUAAUAAAAAUAGACACACAUAUUAUAAAUUGAUUGAAUAAAAUAAAAAAUAAUAAUAAUAUGCUAGGCUUUAUAUAUUGGAAAUAUUAUUUAAAAAUAAUUUUUUUUAUUUUAAAAAAUAAAAUUUAUCUAUUAAAAAAAUUUAUAUAUUAAAUUCAAAAUAAAUAAACUUUAAAAUAAUUUGCAAGGCUGCACAUAACCCCUUUAAAAGGAAAGUGAUAUAACAAACGUGGAACAAUUUUUAUUAACUAAAUAAACUUAAUAACUAUUAAUAUUAAAUUCGAAAUAUAUAUUAAAACCUAUUAUAUUAAUUUUUGAAUUUAUCAAUUCAGAUGUGAAUUAUAUUUCUAAAAUGUUAUAAGAAAUUUCUAUAUACGACAACUAGCUUAAGAAAGUGAUGUUCAUCAAAACCAUAGAGUACAGAAAAAGAAUUGAAUUGCAUAAAAUUAAGUAAUUAACGGAAACUUAUAUUCCUUCUUAAAACGUUGACCCCAAGUCAAGUUUAUUUAUUAUUAUUUUUUUUGAAAAAAACAUGAAUAAAAGUUAAUGCUAGGCACAUGGGAUAUAGAAGACUUGCAACUUUCUUUAUAGAAAUUACGUGUGUAAAAUUUAGGCCUUGAAAAAAAAUUAAAAAUAAAAUACUAUUAAUCGUGUUGAUAAAAAUUAAUAUAGAGACUUUAUUGAUAAAAAUUCAUAAGAGCAAGUAUUCAAAUUACAAAAAAUAAAAAUAUUUCUUCAAAUUUUCAAUAAAAUUUAUUUCUUGAAAUUAAUGCAUUAAACAAAAUUAAAAUAGUAGUAAAAGUAAAUUUAGUUUUUGAUUGAAGUGUAAACUAGUGGUAAAUGAACAAAAAGAAACUUUAUUGAUUUCUCCAAAAACAAUAUAUAUAUUAUUGAAUAUCUAAUGGAAAGGAUUAUGAAACUCCGCCUAAUAUAUAUAUAUAUAUAACAGAGAAAUUGUCGAUAAUAGCUAUGAUCUAAGUAACUGGACCACGACGAAGACAUAUACAAGAAACAAAAAAAAGAUACUUCACUAACAAUUGGGGUUCUUCAUAAGCUUCAAUAGAAUUGAUAGAGGGUCGAAACAAAAAAGAGAUGAAGAGAGAGGAGGGAAUGGAAAGAAGGGAAAAGAGAACUCUUGCGAUCUGUUGAAUAAGACUCAGUAUAUAUAUAUAUAUAUAAAAUAAAAAAAACUCAAGUUAGCGCAUCAAAUCUUCGACUUGGAUUAUGAGAUCGGGAUAAGAAAACUUAAUAUUUAAAAAUAAAAUUAAAGAAAAAAACUAUAAAAACAUAUAUGGUUUAACAAUAUUAAUCAAUUAUUAAAAUCUUUCAUUUUAUAUAUAUUAAAAAUAAAUAUUAAUAACUAUUAUAUCAAUUUGUGAAUGUUUCAAUUAGGAUGCGAAUAAAUGUUUUAUAUAUGACAUUUUUCUUAAGAAACCAAAGUUAUUAAGCAUGUUUAGAUUUAAUUACCAAAUGAGAGUGAGGGUUGAGGUUAUAGAUUGACCUAAUUAAUACUCAGAUCAAGAUUUAGGUCCUAGAUCGGACAAAUUAGCUUAUUGACUAGUGUUAAUAAAAAAUUGUAUCAUUUUAUGAUUUUUGUUAUAGAAAAAAUCAAAAUGGUGUUGUUAAAAAAAGUAAAACUAGGUUUUAACUGAGUUGACUAGGUUGUGGGUUGAUUUAUCUGGUCAACUAGGCUCAAUUGAGUCAACUCUCACUUGGUUUUUUCUAAACCUAAAUAGGGUUAGGUUCCAGAUUAAAAUGUAAGGCUUGAAUUAAAUUUAAUAACAUUGAUUAAAACCACAAUGUAGGAAAAAAAAUUGAAUUCAUAAAAGUAAUUAACCGAAAACUUGAAUUCCUUCUUAUAAAGUUGAACCCAUGUCGGUUUUUUUAAAGGAAAAGUAUGAAUCAAAGGUUAACGCUAGGCUGCUCACUUUGCAUCACAAUGACAGAUAUGGAAGGCUUGCUACUUUCUUUAUGGAAAUAACGUGUGGAAAAUCAUGCAUUAAUUUUGAUGUUGAUGGCAAAAUCAAACAAUAUCGUUGAUAAAAUGAAUGACAAAUGAUAUUAUUUUUAAAAUACUUCUUGUCAUUGUCAUGACAACAAGUCUUCUUUUUUUUCUUUCUAAAGUACUUGUCAGUCUAUUUUUAUGUAACCCAAUCAACAAGUAAGAUGGAUAGAAAUUUGCAGUGUAAAAUGGGUCUGUGAGACUAUGUAUCGCCAUCUGCAUUUUUCCACGAUCUAGGCCAGUGGGAUGGUACAUGAGACCAUUGCUAUCAAGCGUUUUUUCUACGAGAUGGGUCCAUGAGACCAUUGCCCUGUAAGCUUGGGAAUGGAUAAUUAAUAUGCUUUAAUGUCUAUUUAGUUUGCAAAAAAAAUAAUUAAAUGCUUAUGAAUAAAAAAUAAAUCUCAAGUGUUAAAAUGCAACCACCGAUUAAUUAAUGGACAAUGGACCUUAGAUUAAUACAUGACGCAACUUUCAAUGGAAUUAUAUUUGUGGAGGUAUUUACUCGGAUGCGAAUUAUAUUUCUAUUUUUUUAUUUAAAAAAAUUCUAUACUACAACGAGCUUAAGAAAGUCAUGUUCAGGGGCGGAGCUAUAAUUAUUUGUUAGGAAGAUCAAAAUUAAUAUAAUAAGAUAUAAAAUUUAUUUUAAUUUAUUAUACAUGAGUUCUAAAACAAAACCUGUAUAAUUUAGUUUUAUUCAAAUAACUUACUACAAACAUAUAAUAACCUUUGUGAAGUAUAUUGGGACUGCUCAACCAUAACUUUAACAUUACACAUUGGAGUUGGUUCACUAGGCUGUGAGUUAUCAAUAUUUUUUAUUUUUCUUUUUCAAAAAAAAAUCAAUUCUUCUUAUUUUGUUCAUGGUUCAACCUAAAAUCAAAACAUAUAUCGUAAGAAAAAAUUGAUAAUUUAGUGACUCUGCUAAAAAUAAAACAUAAAACAAAUCCAAGCAUAAUCAAAACAAAACCAAUAAAAUAUAUCUAAUUAAUUAGAAAAAAAAUCAUUAUAAUAAGAAUUCAAAAAAAAAUGGUAAAACUAGCAGAUCUGAGAAAAAAAAAGAGCAAAAAUGAUAGAAAUAUAAAAAAAAUCUCAUCAAAUUAUUAACAAACAUCUCAAAACAAAACAAAUAUAGAUUUUAAAUUUAAGUUACUUUGUUUUGUUUGAUGAAAGAUAAAUUAAUUGGUGGCUCUGCUUCAAUCUUUUUGUAGAAACAUUUUGCUCACAAUUUGUAUUUUUAUUUCUUUGUUUGAUCGGCUGCAGGAUUUAUAUUAGGGUAAAUUAAUGGUUUUGUUUUUUAUUUCACAAAGUAAUGCCUUAAUAUUGUUUUCUUCCAUCUAGGUCAAGAGUAAAUUAAAAGGAAAUCAAAAGUAAAGUCAAUAAUAACCCAAAGUAAUGCCUUAAUUAUUUGAUGUCACAAAGUAAUGCUUUAAUAACCCAAUAAUAAAAAAACAAAAUGUCUUGAGGGGGGCUCGGGCCCCUGCUUGCCCCCUACUUCCACCCUUGGUCAUGUUCAUCGAAAAAAAAAAUUAUAUUUACUCGGAUGUGUUUUUUCUACGAGAUGGGUCCAUGAGAACAUUUCCAUCUGCAUAUUGGUUCUUGAGACCGUUACCAUCAGGGGCGGAGACAGAGGGGCUGGCAGGGGCCCCGGCCCCGGCAAGGAAAAAGUUUUUCCAGCCCCUCCCUUAACAAUAUUUAUAUUUUUAGUUUAAAUAAUAAAACAAUUAAUAUUUUGAUCCCCUUUAAUUUUAUUUUCUGGUUCUGCCCCUGGUUGCCAUCAUGCAUUUUUCCUCGAGGAGAGGCCAUGAGACGUCCUCUUCCAACCAUCAUGCAUUUUUUCCACGAGAUGGGUUCGUGGAGAAACUUUGGUUUAAUUGGGAAUGCUGUUAUUGAUUGGAAACUUUUUAAUUAAAAUAAAUUUGAUUAUUUGAUUGGAAAAAAUCCUUAAAUGUUAUUAACACAAGAAAUGAAUUUAUUUUCUUAAGAAAAAAAUAUUGUAACCAUAUAAGUAAUUUAUUUAUUUAUUUUAAUGAAAUAUAAAAUAGUUUUAAAUCUUGUGGUAUAUUUCUUGUCUUUAAGAGCUAUGAACUUAUAUCGCAAACCUUGAAAACUAAUAUAAAGAUAUUAAGUGAUCAUUAAGUGUGUGUGUAUGUAUAUAAUCUUUUUCAAAACAAAAAGGAUUUUGAUGGAGAUCAGGACAUUGCAACAAAUUAUCCACCACGAGAUGGGUCACUGAUACCAUUGUCAUCAUGCAAUUUUUUCCCACGAGAUGGGGCCGUACGCUUGGGGCUCUAAAACGCUAUGGUUUUUAAUUUCAUUAUGUCACAUCUAGAAUGGCAGGUAUAUUUUAUUUCAAUUUAAACAAUGGAAUAAAUUAGAAGAUAUUUCAUCUCGUUUGGAAUCUUAUCUCAUUUCAUGAAUUUCACCUAAAUUCUGGCCGGAAUAUUUUGGUUCUAUUCCAGCCAUUCUAUUAUGAUCAAAUAAUGUUUUGUUUUGCUUUUAUAAAAAAAAAAAUAUAGUCUAGUUUUACGGUAUCAAUUAUAUCUCUCAAUUCAACUGUUGAAUUAUACUAAAAUUUUACAAGGAAUCUCCUAACAUAUAUUUAUAUCGCAAGUUAAAAUUUUAGAACAAUUAGAGUUUAGAAAGACUUUGUGAGAUUGCCGAUGACAUUUUCAUAAUUUUAUUUAAAUUCAUAAUUUGGUUUCGUAAGGUCAUUUUUUGUGUCUUCUUUUAGAUUGUUUUGUUUUUCCAAUUUCAUAAUUCAACAAUAAGUUUAUUAAAAAUUGAGAUUCAUAAUUUGUUUUUAUUUUGGAUUAUUAUGGUCUCAUAAUCUGGGUCACGGAUUUAAAAGAUUAACUUAGAUUAACCCGAGUCUAUCCAAUAUGUCGUUGUCUCAAUAUUUUUAACAAACAUAAUUUUAAUUGACAUUUAAAAAUAAACUAACUUAAAAUUAUACAAUUUAAAUUUCAAAUAUAAGUAAAAAUAAAGAGUUAAAUCGAUAUGACCCAUUUGAUUUGAUGAGUCCAAAGUAUAUAUAGAACAAUCCAAAAUGACACAUCAAAAUACUCAAAAACAAAAAUAUAUUGUUACAAUUAAAAAAAUAAAACACCAAUUAAAAUGGAAUUAACAUCCUUGCUUCAUAGAAGCCUAAACUCCUCGCUACCAUUUGCAAGAGAUAGUUAUACCAAUAGCAAUUUAGUAAUGUUGGUCAGAAUUUAAUAUCCUUCUCGAUAAGAAGAUCCUUAUCUUAUCGGAUAAAACCUAAUUGUUCUAACGUCAACAAAAGAAUUUAAUAUUCGGAAUACAUCUUACGUAUAAGGUCGUAACCCAAAUACUAAAAGAAAAAAAAUAAUAUUUUUGGAAUUUUUGAAAUAUUGGUCUAGUUCUCGUGACUUUAAUAAACUGGUUAUUAAAACCAAAAUGCAUGUUAAUACAUAUUUUUGAAUUUUUGUUGUAUGAAAAUAUGAUAUGAUUUUUUUUCUUUGAGAUACUUGGCCAUAUGCAUGAAAAUAAAAACAUGUUUUUUUUUUAAUUUUUCAAUGUUUCGACGAAAACUGGGUAUUUUAAUUCCAGAUUUGUAUCUUUACAGUAUAAAAAUACAAAUCAAUACUAAGAAAAAAUCAAUAGAAAAAUACGCGGUAAAAUCACAGAUUUUUUAAAAUGAUUUUUUUUUGACCGGGUAGGCGUUGUUCGGGUCAGAAAACUAAAACAAACAGUGGAGAGACUCUCUGCUGUUCACAUGCAACGUGAACAGUGGAGCGGCCUGGAGAAGACUAAGAAGAGGAGGAGGAAGAGGAAGAAGCAGACCUGCAGCCUAGCGGUGCUGCCAGUGGCGGUGGACGGUGUUGCGGUUGCGGACCGUGGUGCUGACUGGUUGGUGGUUCUUCUUUCUUUCUCUGCGUUUCCCUUCUGCUUUUUUUCUGUUCUACUCUAUUCUUCCUCUUGUUCCCUGUUUUAUUCUCUCUCCCUCUCUGGUCCUCUCAAACGUCCCCUGGAGCUGCUGCCUGAAGAUGAAGAUGAAGUUGAGGGUGAUCAGUGCUCUGAUCGAGCAACGUUUCUUUCUUUCCUUCUGCUACUGUUUUCGUUUCUGAUUCUCCUUUUUGUUCAAUUCUUAUUUGCACUCUUCUUCUUCUUCGUCGUCUCUGGUUUUUGAAAUGACGAAGACGAUGGCAACGCUGGUUCUGGUCUCAACGAUUUCCUCUCCUUACAUUCUUUCCUUCUGCUCAUUUCCGUCUCCCUCUCGUGCUACUCCCCACUUUCUCUCUUGUCCUGCUGGCUCUCCCUCCUUGUCUCCUCCUUUUUUUUUUUCCUGUCCGUCUCUCCUCUGGCUUUAUAUAGCGAGAGGAUGCAUGCUUUUCGGGAUUUAUUGCAGGAAGGUUGUAACAGCCGGAGUGUAUCAUGGUGGAGAAGGAUAUCAGCCGUGAGACAUGCUCCCCUGAUUGAAGCAGCUCCACCGCUAACAUCUUCACUACCUUUUACUGUAGAAACCGUUGUUGAUGAAGAAGGUAAUGAACAGUUGUCAAGGAAAUGGUACCGUUUUAAAAUUCAAAAUGAAUAUUUCCGAUUUGGUCAUUGGAUUUUUUGCAAUUUUGUAAUCAAGCCCCCGAAUAAAUUGUAAAUGGAUCUCUGGAUUUUAGCCCCAUUUACAAGACAAUUUUUUGUUCUGGAUUCAUGCAAUUUGACCCUCAAUUGAUCAAUAAACUUCUAAUUUCUUCAAUUUAACCCCUGAGUUGGUCAAUUGCAGCCUCUCUAUUUACGUGUCUUUUCCGAUUUGGUCCUUGGUUUCGUAUUUUUUCAAUCAAGUCCCUAAUUGCCCAUAAAACUUUAAUAAUUAUGCAAUUAAGCUCCUGAUUUGACCAAAUCAACUCUUCAAAAUUAUAAUUGUACCCUAGAACUUUAAUUUCUUCCAAUAAAAGCCUAAAUCGACAUAAAACUUAAUUUUUCUUUCAAUCAAACCCUCCAUAAAUUCAAUUAAACCCUCAAUAAAAUUUAAUUUAGUCCAUAAACAUCUGAUUUUGGAUAUAUUUUUUUUAAAAAUGAAUUUUCUUUGUCAACAGGGCUCUCAUUAGUCAACGAUAUACUAUCAAAUUUCAAUCUUUGUAUUUUUUAACCUCCUCAACCAAUUUUUAGCUAUUUUGGGCGGUCCAACAGCUUUCUCACUACGACAUAUAUUUUUAUUUAUUUAUUUAUUAUUAUUAUUUAUUUACUUUUUUUCGACUCUUACUUUUUGUAUUUUCUUCUUUUUUGUGUGAGGUCCUAAAAAUGGGUAACAAUACUUAAGUUCAAAUCUAUUAAUAAAAUAUAGUUUUAUUGAAUUUUUUUAUAUACUUUUAUUAGAGAAAUCAAUGUAAACAAAUUUACGGAAAAACAUUAGUUUAUCAAGUACUUAAAUAGAAAAAUAAAAUCAAUUAGAGUACUUGAAUAAAAAAAAUAUAAAUUAUAAGCAUUUUAUAUAUCUUUAUCGUUCAUACAUUAAGAUAUUUUAUUGAUUAAAUUUUGUGAAUAUAAGUAUUCAAAUUGAAAAAAAAAACAUUGAUGCAAGCUUUUAAAUAAAAAAAAUUAUAAAAUACAUAUAAUUUGCACUUCUCAUUGUCUCUUUCGCAUUGCUAACACUUAACAAAUUGAAUAUAUAAUUCUCGUGUGAAUAACGUCAGAAUAAAUUUAGUUAUAUGACAUUAUAAUACCUUUUUAUUUUUAUAUUUUAAAAAUAUUUUAAAAAAAUUAAAUUGUUUUAAAUAGAUAACUUUUGAAUCAUCAAGUAGUGAAACACAAGAAAAGCGAAGAAAGUGAAGAAUAAUCAAAGUGGUGCGGGUCCACAUCAAUUUUUGUCCAUGUUUUUGGUAUUAAUCUCUUCAUCUAUUUACAGCCGGAGAAAAGAACAUCACCUACUACUUUUCUUGUCUCUUCUUGCUUGGAAGAUAAGGCAUGUGAACCUUUGAGUGCCACUCAUUUUAGUACAUAGACUUGGUUAUUUGACCACAGCUUCACCACAAGUUAAAUUGUUUUAAUUAAAAAAAAUUAUAUAUAGAUUUCUUCAAUAAAUUUUUUAUUUAAAAUUUUUUUAAGUGAAAAUUGAAAAACUUAUACACAAAUAUUGUUAAAUAAAUCAAGAAUUUUGUGUAUUAAUAAGUGAAAAAAACCAUAAAUGAUGACUUAAAAUAAAAACUGGAAAAAUCAAUAAACAAAUGUAGAUCAAAAUAUUUAAUUUCACAAAACGUGAUAUUACAGUUGUGUUUUCUAAAUUUUCUAAUUAAAAUAAUUUUUUAAUUCGAUCAAACGAUAAUAAAAAUAGACACACAUAUUAUAAAUUGAUUGAAUAAAAUAAAAAAUAAUAAUAAUAUGUCAGGCUUCAUAUAUUGGAAAUAUUUUUUGAAAAUAUUUUUUUUAUUUUUAAAAAUAUAGUUUAUCUAUUAAAAAAAUUAUAUAUUAAAUUCAAAAUAAAUAAACUUUAAAAUAAUUUGCAAGGCUGCACAUAAGCCCUUUAAAAGGAAAGUGAUAUAACAAAAGUGGAACAAUUUUUAUUAACUAAAUAAACUCUAUAACUAUUAAUAUUAAAUUCAAAAUAUAUAUUAAAAAUAAAUAUUAAAACCUAUUAUAUUAAUUUGUGAAUUUAUCAAUUGAGAUGUGAAUUAUAUUUCUAAAAUGUUAUAAGAAAUUUCUAUAUACUACAACUAGCUUAAGAAAAUCAAGUUCAUCGAAACCGUAGAGUACAGAAAAAAAAUGAAUUGCAUGAUUAACCAAAACUUAUAUUUCUUCUUAAAACGUUGACCCCAAGUCAAGUUUUUUUUUUUUUUUGAAAAAAACAUGAAUACAAGGUUAAUGCUAGGCACAUGACGAUGAUGGAUAUACAAGACCUGCUCCUUUCUUUAUGGAAAUUACGUGUGGAAAAUUUAGGCCUUGAAAAAAAUUAAAAAAAAAAUACUAUUAAUCAUGUUAUUUGCAUUAUGGCAAAUAUAGAGACUUGAUUGAUAAAAAUUUAUAAGAGCAAGUAUUCAAAUUUUAAAAUAAAUAAAUAAAUCAAUUCAAGUUUUUAAUUAGAAAAAACAAGAUACAAAUACUCUGUGUAAGUGCCACUAACUCUUUGUAUUUUCUAACUAUUAAAGAAUUGAAUAUAUAAUACACGGGUGAUAAACAUCAAAAUAAAUCCAAUUGUAUAAUUUACUAAGAUUUUAAAAACUAACACUACAUAGAAAAAAAAAUCUUAAAAUAAAUAACAGAAAACUUGUAUUCCUUCGAGGGGUGUUUGAGAGUGUGGUAGCGGUUGCUUUUCAAAGUUUUUUCCCUUAAAAAUGCAUCAAAAUAAAUUUUUUUGAUUUUUUAAAAAUUAUUUUUAACAUCAUUAUAUCAAAAUGAUCUAAAAAUAUUAAAAAUAUAUUAAUUUAAAGCAAAAAAUAUAAAAAAAAUUAAAAAAUUUUAAUAAUACUUUUAAAAUACUAAAACAAACAAGAUAUUAAAAAAUAUACUACAAGUCAAAGUCUUUUUGAAAAAAAACAUUAAUAAAAGGUUAAUGGCAGGUAGCUUAUUUUCUGCCCUAAUAAAGCUCAAGGUCUGUUCAGAAAACUAAGUACGUAGGCAUACACCCAAUCCAAGCACCAUCAAAUCAUUUUUUAUACAUAGGGAUAGGAACGCUAGCUUCACAUGAUAGAUAAAAAAAAUUAAAAGAUAAUAAAAUUAAAAAAAUAAUUAUAAUCUUAUAUAUUAUUUUAAAUAAAAUAAAUAUUGAUUAAAAAAACCAAAUAUAAUAAAUUAAAAUAUUUAAUUUAAAAAAGAUAAGAGAAAAGUAAAUGAGAAUUAAAGUUGAUAUAAAAAUUAAAUUAUAAAAUAUAAAAUUCAAAAAAAAAAUAAAACCAAUUUUUUUUUUCUAAAAGAUAAUAUUCAGAUUAAAAGCAUUAUAAAAAGAAUAGCUCCUUGUUUCUUCCUUGUUUCAAUUUCAAGAUAUUAAGAUUAAAACCCAAUCGUAUAGCUGGUUGGGUUGAGAAGAAAGGUUUGCUUUUGUAUUACAAAUUAUUUAGAUUAGUUUUUUUUUAAAAUUAAUCAAAUUAGUAUCAUUUUGGUUCUCCAUCGAAGAAAAUAGAAAACAUAUUUAGUAAUAAGGUGUUGUUUAAUUCCUUAUAUUAUUAAUAUAAUCAUGGCAUCAUCACUGUAACAAUAAGUCCUCUUACUUGUAUUUUCACCGUCCCAACCUCUUUACAUGGCGUCACCGUAGCAAUUAUAUAUCUCUUGAUCAAUCAUAAUUAAAUUACUGUAAUAAUAUCUUUUUUUAUUCUUUUAUAUGAAGUCUUAAUUUAUUUUUUUAUAUAGGUAGUUAUGAAUUACAGAAAUUGAACAAUUUAGAGAUCUUUGACUUAGAAUCUAAUUGUUUCGAUAACAGUAUUAUAUUAUAGAGGGAUUUUUAUCCCUUAAAUUAUUAUAUUUAGAUUAAAAAAUAAAAACUAAUUAGGAGUCAAUUAAAUAAAUAAAUAAAAACCCUCAAAAGAUAAAAGAAGAAAACAUAAAAAGUACACUACCCAACCAAUAAUUGACCUGAAUCACAUGUUGUCCACUGCCAGAACUUAUUAGCAAUCUGCUUACAACAGCAAAUUGAUCAAUAAGAAAGACUUAAAUUCCAAAUUUAAAAACCAACUCAAUUGAGAUCCUUAUUAUUCAUUCAAUUAGUUGCUUCUUGCUAACUCUUUUAUUUCCUUUAUAAUUUUAAUUCAUUUUAAUAUAAUUUCUUGAUUGUGGCAAGCUUCCUUUAUCUCAAGAACUUGGAAUACUUGGAUUUCCCAAGAAAAAAUUAACUUAAGACUUUAGUUAAUGCUAUGAACACGAGUAAAUGAUAUGCUAAAGAAAAAACCAUGUAUUUAAGAACCAUUGCUAAGCUACAGGUUCAGGAGCCAUAAACCACUCACAUUUAGUGGGGUUGAUCUCAAAUUCAGACAAAUCUACUUGUCCAGUUCGGAGAACCUUCAAACAAAAAGAAGAAUGAAACCUUGUAAAAUUGGCUAUCAUCAAAAGGACAAGAAACAGUACAAGAAGGAUCAGCCUCGCAUUUCUUGCAUAAGUAAAAGAAUCCACUUGUUAAUGGAAAGGAGGACUCUGCAACAAGUCUAAAAUAUCCUCUGGAGUUCAGUGACCCUACAACCUUAUAUUUACCUCAGAAUGCACCCACGUAAAGCACACAGGAAAUCCCAACACAUAAGACAACAAAAGAAAACAUAUAAUUAGCAGAAAAAAAAAGGUUGUACAAUUCUUUCAUAGCUUACAGUACGUAUAGAAUAAGCAUUAUCAAAUCAGGCUAACAUACCUCAGGUAAGUGAGAUGUUAAUCCUUCUUCAAGCGGCAAUGUCUCAAUCAAUGACAUUAUCAAAUCAGGCUUCAGUAUAUCCCCUAAUCCCAAGCCUAGGACAACAAAAGAAAACAUCAUGAAAAAAAAUGAUUUUACAGUAAUGCACCCAGUGCCAGAGCAUAUAAUUAGCAGAAAUAAAGGUUGUACAAUUCUUUCACAGCUUACAAUACGUAUAGAAUAGGCAUUAAUAAUUACCUUCAUCUGGAUCGGCCAAACUACCUGCAACAUCUAUCAUCACAUCACGGCGCGGGCCACCCUAAGUACAGCAAACAAGGAUAUGGUCAAUUGCACUAUCUGAGCAUAACACAGAUAUUACUCAGGAUUCUUUGCAAGUCUUCCAAUUUCACUGGUUCUGAUGAAGAGUUUACAUCAUUCAUUACUUCUGCACCAAGGUCUGGGACAACUAAGUUUCCAGUCCUGAGAGCUAUGAGCAAAAAUCUCAUCAGAAUAAAAGAAAAUGGCAACGUAAUACUGGGCCAUUUCUUUUUUGUAAUAAAAGUGCUCCUUAACCUUUUUGAAGUUAUUUUACAAUGAAUUACAAGCAUUAAACUUGUAUAUACAUGGACAAACACCAAGUUAUGAUUCUAAAUUUCCAUAUAAAAGAUGCCCCAAGUUUUAAAAUUUACCCCGAGGGCAAGUCUGUGCAAGAGCAUAAGGGGAUGAAGGAUUUGACAUGGACUAAGGUGGGUGAGAUGUUUUUGUCAAGAAAUGAUUUUGGAAAAUUUCUUGAUAUUUCUUGAAUAAAUAAGAUAGGAGUCUUCAUCAAGGCAAGAACAUAGGCUCUCCAAGAUAAUUGACCAGAAGGAGAGAAGGGAGGCUCAUCCUGCUCCACAGACUCUUAGUCUCAAAGAACAAAAAAUUACUUGGCUCUAUAUCCUUACUCUUACUUGCUAUAUCAACUCUUAGAGUUGAAGUAUCUGAAAGGGUUUAUUUUUAGUAUUUGAAUAAGUCCAUGAGUCCCUAGUCUUCAGGAAGAUAUACAUGGUCAAGAUUAAAUUAAGGAUUUUAGUUGCUUAUUUUUCGUUAUUUCAUGUGCCACGUUACUGUGAACGUGAGCUAUUUUUCAGUCUUAUUAUUAUUCCUGUAAGGCUAUUUAUUAGCCAUUUCCAUUCAGUAAAAGCAAUUCAUUCAAUUCAAAUACUGUGCACUUUUGUUCUUAUUCUUUACAAUUGGUAUCAGAGCUAUUACAUCUGACCUGUUACGAAGAAAUAGAUACAAAAGGAAGACAUAUUUUUGAGUGACUUCAAACUUAGAGUGAGUGAGUGCUUGAGUGCUUUUAAACACAGAGUGAGUGAGUUUGAGUGUUUUUUAAACACAGAGUGAGAAAGAGAGUUCUUGAGGGUCAAUUUCAACAAUGGCAGCAGAGUCCAGCAAUUUUGUAUCACCUUGCAUCCCGAAAUUUGAUGGAGACUACGAGCAUUGGAACAUGCUAAUGGAGAAUCUCUUGCAUUCCAAAGAGUAUUGGAACGUUAUUGAGACAGGAUAUGUCGAGCCUGCAUCAGGGGAAAUUCUGAAUAAUGCACAGAAAAAGACAUUGGAGGAGACAAAGCUGAAAGAUUUAAAGGUUAAAAAUUACCUUUUUCAGUCCAUCGACAAAUCCAUUCUGAAGACUAUUACUCAAAAAGACACAGCAAAACAGUUGUGGGAUUCCAUGAAGAUCAAAUACCAAGGAAAUACAAGGGUUCGGCGUGCUCAACUUCAAAUCUUUCGCAGGAAUUUUGAAGUGCUGGAAAUGAAACAAGGAGAAACUGUCACAAGUUAUUUUGGAAGAGUUAUGCUGGUGGCAAAUGACAUGCGAAAUCUGGGAGAAAGCAUACCUGAUGAGAAGAUUGUAGAGAAGAUUUUACGCACACUUACUGAGAAGUACAAUUACAUAGUGUGCUCCAUUGAGGAGUCUAAAGAUAUUAAUCAUCUUUCAGUUGAUGAGCUGUAGAGUUCAUUACUUGUUCAUGAACAGAAAUUCAAAAGGCAUGACACAGAUGAUCAUGCCCUGAGAAUCUAUGAUGACAGAUUCUGUGGCAGAGGUCGUGGCAGAAACAAUUACAGAAGCCGAGGCCGUGGGGGCAGAACACAAACAUUCAAUAGAGACAUGGUGGAAUGUUUCAGGUGUCACAAACUUGGACACUUCCAAUACGAGUGUCCAACCAUGAACAAGGCAGCUAAUUAUGUGGAGCUAGAUGAUGAAGAUGAGAUGCUGCUAAUGUCCUAUGUUACAUUAGCUAAGACAACACGGAAUGAUGCAUGGUUCCUGGAUUCAGGAUGUUCUAAUCAUAUGUGUGGUUAUAGAGGUAUGUUCUCCUACUUGGAUGAAAAUUUUCAGCAUUCAGUCAAACUUGGAAACAAUAGCAGAAUGGCAGUAGUUAGCAAAGGCAGAGUAAAAUUACUAAUCAAUGGUAUUAAGCAUGUUGUUAAUGAUGUCUAUUAUGUACCAGAGCUUAAAAAUAAUUUACUGAGCAUAGGUCAACUACAAGAAAGGGGCUUAGCAAUUUUAAUUAAGAAUGGAGUUUGUAAGAUUUACCAUCCUGAGAAGGGUUUGAUCAUUCAAACCAAGAUGAGUGCAAAUUGGAUGUUCAUCCUACUUGCACAGACUCAAGCUCCCGUACAUGCACAGACUCAGAAUCAAGAGAAUUGUCUUCUCACCGGUUCUCAAAAUCCCUCAGUGCUAUGGCACAGACGGUUCGGUCACUUAAGCUACAAAGGCUUAAGAACCUUACAAUGGAGACAUAUGGUACAUGGACUGCCCACCUUCUCGACUCCCACCAUCACCUGCACAGAUUGCCUCAAUGGCAAGCAACACAGAGAGGUCAUGCCCAAACACAGCAAAUGGAGAGCAAAUCAGAAAUUGGAAUUAAUUCAUGCAGACAUUUGCGGUCCUAUUUCCCCCGAAUCCAAUAGUGGCAAAAGGUACAUAUUAUGUUUCAUUGAUGAUUUCAGCCGAAACUAUGGGCAUUUCUUUUAGCUACAAAAUCCGAAGCUUUCAUUUAUUUUAAGAAAUUCAAAGCUAUGGUGGAAAAAGAAACCCUAUUGCAUGUGAAGUGUCUAAGGACUGACAGGGGAGGAGAAUUUACCUCAAGUGAAUUCAACGAAUUCUGCAGCCAACAAGGUAUCAAACGGCAGCUCACCACGGCGUACACUCCACAGCAAAAUGGAGUUGCAGAGAGAAAAAAUCGAACCGUGAUGAACAUGGUCCGAUCAAUCCUCUCUGGUAAAGGGAUUCCAAAACCCUUCUGGCCAAAGGUAGUGAACUGGGCCUUCUAUGUGCUCAAUCGGUGCCCAACUUAUGCUUUGACAGACAUCACUCCUCAUGAGGCAUGGAGCGGAACUAAACCAUCAGUAGACCAUUUCAGGGUCUUUGGGUGCUUGGCCCAUGUUCACGUUCCAGAUGUGAAACGGAGUAAGCUUGAUAACAAAAGCUUUGUGUGUGUACUGUUGGGUAUGAGUGAGGAGUCAAAGGGGUACAAGUUGUUUGAUCCUUUAAACAAAAAAAUCGUGGUUAGCAAAGAUGUGAUCUUUGAGGAGGACAAACAGUGGGAUUGGGAUGUUGCUUAUGAAGAACAAAUCUUGACAGAUUUGGUUUGGGGUGACAGAGAAGGAACACGUGAAGAUGGUGAUAAUAGUGAUGACAAUCACGGGGAUGAGAGUGGUGAACGUGAGGCUGAAAUCAAUGGGGAAGAAGGGGAAGAAAACGAAGAACACAGACACAUUGUCUGUGAAGAUGAUGAAAAUGCUGAGAGAGAAGAAGAAGAAGCUGAGUUAAAUGAUCUUACGGUGUGUAUGCUGCCAGUUGGAAGAAUAGGUGAGCAGGUCAAUCCUACGGCAUGAACGCGGCCAAGUGAACAAAGGGAGAUGACAGAUGGCAAAAUAGAUGUUAAUCCAACGGUGAGAAUUCAGUCUGACAGGGAGAGUGAUUAGAUGACAUGUGGCGUACAUCCAACGGCACAAAACAUGGCAGACGGAGAGAAUGAGCUGCUGACAAGUGGAGACAAUCCAACGACUGACAUGCAAUCUGACGGGGAGAGUGGCCUGCUGACAAGUGGAAGAAGAGAAAGGGGUCCUCCGGUGUGGAUGCAAGAUUAUGUUACAGGGGAGGAUUUAUCUGAAUAUGAGUCCAAUAUGGCACUAAUUAUGUCUUCUGAUCCCAUUUAUUUUGAAGAUGCUGUGAAAGUUAACACUGGAGACUUGCUAUGGACAGUGAAAUUAAUGCAAUAGAGAAGAACAAUACCUGGACGCUCAACGAGUUGCCGGAGGGAGCAAAAAAAAUUGGAGUCAAAUGGGUCUACAAAACAAAGUACAACGAACAUGGGGAUGUUGAUAAAUACAAGGCAAGGCUAGUUGCCAAAGGGUACUCGCAACAACACGGAAUUGACUAUACAGAAGUCUUUGCACCAGUGGCAAGGAUGGAUACAGUAAGGAUGAUUAUUGCUCUCGCCGCUCAAAAAAACUGGAUUGUUUAUCAGUUGGAUGUCAAAUCGGCUUUUCUGCAUGGGGAAUUGCAUGAAGAUGUUUAUGUUGAUCAACCAAAAGGGUAUGAAAAGAAGGCUAGCGAACAUCUAGUUUACAAGCUGCAUAAAGCGUUGUACGGGUUAAAACAAGCUCCAAGAGCUUGGUUCAGUCGAAUCGAGGGUCAUUUUUUCAAUGAAGGCUUUCUACGGUGUGAAAGUGAGCAAACUUUAUUCACAAAGAGAAGCAGGGAAGGAAAGAUUAUCAUUGUAAGUGUUUACGUUGAUGAUCUAAUAUUUACUGGCGAUGAUACACAUAUGUUGUCUGAAUUCAAAAACUCCAUGAUGAGGGAGUUUGACAUGUCAGAUUUGGGGAAGAUGCGGUAUUUCUUGGGAAUCAAAGUAUUACAGCAUUCAGGUGGCACCUACAUAUGUCAGAAGAAAUAUGCACUAGAGGUGUUGAAGAGGUUUGGUAUGAUGGAAUGCAAUGCGGUGAAAAAUCCAAUAGUUCCCGGAUGCAGAGUCAACAAAGAUGAAGGCGAAGCUAAAGUAGAUGAAACAUAUUAUAAGCAGUUAGUGGGCAGCCUAAUGUAUCUCAUAGCAACAAGACCAGACAUGAUGUUUGUUACUUGUCUCAUCAGCAGAUACAUGGCCAAACCUACGGAACUUCAUCUACAAGUAGCAAAAAGGGCACUUAGAUAUCUAAGAGGGACAAUAAAUUUUGGAAUUUAUUACAAGAAAGGGGGAAGUGAUGAACUACUCUCAUUUACGGAUAGUGAUUAUGCUGGAGAUAUGGAGGAUAGAAAGAGUACAAGUGGAUAUGUUUUUUUGUUAAGCUCAGGAGCAGUCUCAUGGAGUUCGAAGAAGCAACCAAUAGUGACUCUUUCUACAACUGAAGCAGAAUUUGUAGCAGCCGCAAUGUGUGUAUGUCAAGCUCUUUGGAUAAAAAGAGUCUUGAAGGAAUUGGGACACUCAAAUAAUGAGUGCACACAAGUGAAAUGUGAUAACAGCUCAACUAUUAAAUUGUCCAAAAAUCCAGUGAUGCAUGGACGCAGUAAGCAUAUCGAUGUAAGAUAUCACUUUCUGAGAAAUCUUACUAAAGAAGGUACAAUUGCAUUAGUUCAUUACGGAAGUCAGGAUCAGGUGGCAGAUUUAAUGACCAAGCCUUUAAAGCUUGAUGCAUUUCUGAAACUAAGAACACUGUUGGGAGUCCAAGAAAUUACUGAUGUAAACUAACUGCAUACUGCAGUAAGUUUAAGGGAAGGAAUGAAAGGGUUUAUUUUUAGUAUUUGAAUAAGUCCACGAGUCCCUAGUCUUCAGGAAGAUAUACAUGGUCAAGAUUAAAUUAAGGAUUUUAGUUGCUUAUUUUUCGUUAUUUCAUGUGCCACGUUACUGUGAACGUGAGCUAUUUUUCAGUCUUAUUAUUAUUCCUGUAAGGCUAUUUAUUAGCCAUUUCCAUUCAGUAAAAGCAAUUCAUUCAAUUCAAAUACUGUGCACUUUUGUUCUUAUUCUUUACAGUAUCAUCUUUGAGUAUGCUUAUUUGUUAUAAUAAAUAUACCUUGAUGAGAUAUUAUCUUUAAGCAUGUCUUCAAAAACUUGGAAAGGAGUAGAAGCAUCAGGCUCUUCUUCAUCAAGGAACUCUGCCAGGCAAUAAGAUAAAGUAGCGACGUUGCUGAUGGAAAAACUUCACUCUUGAAUGAGUGCUGAAGUUAUAAGCCAGGUCAUUAGUUUGAAGGAGUAAAACUGGUUAGUAAAAUUUUAGGAAAACCAAUUCACACAUACGGAGUGUGUAACUAAAAUAAAUAAACAGGAAGUAGAAAACAGGAAAUCCAAUUAGUCUAAUAUGAUAUUUCUGUGAAAUAGAGGUUUUCUUUAUGAAAUUGUGGAGAUGAGAGGAGAUAAAUGCAGAUGCAAGAUAAAAAAAAACAAUAAAAAAAAACACAAAAGUAGCAUGGCUAGCAAAGGACUCAAAACACAAAAGUAUUUACCAAAUGGACGAUUAAUAUAAUAGUUGAUAGAGCUACACAAUUGUGAAUCAUCUUUAGCUUUUGGCUCCUGCAAACAUGUUACACAAUUUUCCAAAAUCAUGCAACUAACAGCCGAGUCAAUGUUACACAUAAGAGAGUGAAAAACACAGAAAAUGAACCUGACCUGCAUCCAAAUGAAAAACUUUCAAUCAUCUGUAUUGAAUUUCAAGAUGUAAACUCUUCCCAAAGCUUGAUUAACCUGAAUAACCCAAAGAAUUAUGAAUCUAUGAUAUUACAAUCAAUUAUUAGAGUCAAAUAUCUCCCAUCUAAGAAAAAACUAAGAGAGAAAAGUGUACCUUCUCAAAAACAGCCUCUUCAGAAAAAAAAAUCUGAUCCUGUCAAUCAACACGUCAAGAAAAAGCUACCAAGUUCUUACCUCAAAAGAAUAUUAACAAAACAAACAACAGAAAAAGAAAUAAAAACCAAUGUUGGAAGAGAGAAACAAAAUCCCCAGGCUAAAAAACAUAAUAAUAACUAGGACACAUCUUCCACAGCAUUCAAAUUCCUAUCAAGCCACUGGAAAUGAAGCAAACCCUCGUCACCCUGGAACAAUUCAAAAAUUUCGACUUCAAACAGGAAACAAGAUGCUAGAAACACUCUAUCUAGUACUUAAGAUAAACCAAAACAACAGAAGUAACUAAAAAUCUUUACACAGGUACGAACUCUGUAUAACACAAAAAAACCAAAAGACACCAGUUUACCCUUCCAAUGCGAACAAGUCCUUUUCGAGAAUCAGGAACAAACUUUUUUCCAUCAAAAACCAUUUUACCAGCACGAAACUCCAACAUAAUUUCCUACCAACAAAACAACCACAACAUCAUAACAUAACCCCAUCAAGAAAAACAUACUUAUACAUCCAAAAAAGCAAUUACAGGCUCUAAUUAAUAAGAUACAAGAUUUUAAGCAAAACCCACAAUUUUAAAAGUGAUUUUAUUUACCUGCAUUGCUGAAAUAUCUACAGCUGAUGAAGAACCCAUUUUUCGCAUACUUCCUCUAAAGCUUCCUUUUUUCCAACACUGCAAAAAAAAAAAAAGAAGAACAAAUCAAAUACCCAAAUCAGAAACAAUAACAGAAAAAAAAUAAAAGAAAAUCCAAUGCUGGAAGUUGUAAUCAGGAGGAGAACCAUACAAUUUCUGAUGGAAUGACAUUUUAUCAAGAAUUGAACUAGGCAUUCAGUUAAUUAAAUAGGUUGUAAACUUGUAAUCAGGUGAGAGUAGUGUCAACAUGUUUAGUUUUCCUCUCGGAAGUGUCAUUCUGCACAAAUCAGUGUUUUAAAAAUAUUAAAAAAAAAAUUUAAUUUGUUUUUAAAUUUGUUUUUUAGUGGUUUUCAUUUAUUUUCGUGUAUUAAUAUUAAAAAUAAUUUUUAAAAAAUAAAAAAUAUAUUAUUUCAAUUUAUUUUAAAAUAAAAAAAAAACUUAAAAAAAAUACUGUUAACACAGUAUUAAACAAACUCGAAUCCUAUAACCAGAUGAACAACGUUAAGAUAUUUGUUUUUUGUUUUUUGUUUUUUUUGAUAAUGAGGAUGUCCUAAACAAUCUUGCCUAAUGAUUGUUAAGAAAUGAAAGAGGCAAUGCAUGGCUAAACCAAUGGAAGCUAAAAAGCUAAUGAUGCCCCUAGCUAGUAAGCAAUUGUUGCCGCAAUGACAUAUGCCUCAUUAGAGAUAGAUUUGAAUUUACAUAUUAUUAUUAUCAUAUAUUUUGUAUUCUCGUUUAAAAAAAUAAAUAUUUUCCUUAUAUGGAGUAGAGUGUUUUUAAUUUUAUCAUGUAAAAUUUAUAUAUAUUUUAAAAAUUAAUACAAUAUACAGUUAAACAUCUAUAAAUUAAUAUCAUUGAGACCAUGAAAUUUAUUAAUUAAUCAAGAUAUUAUUUAGUAAAUAAAUUUAUACACUUAUCCAUUAAUCACAAAAAAAUUUCUUUUUCAAAAACAUUGAACUCAAUACAUGCAUUGUGUAUUCUGAUUAUAUGAAUAUUAUCUAAUUAUCAAAUUAUGAAUUAUCAUAGUUCUAUAUAUUUAUUUAAAUAAAACAAGUUUAAGAAUUAAUGUAAUCGAUCUUAUUAAUUAAUAAAAGUCAUGUAUGUAUCUAUUUUUGCAAAUUGGAUGCAUACUUAAUUAAUAUUAAGUCAAGAACAAAACCAAAAAAAGGAAUAUACAAGUGAGCCAAACAACAAUAUUAAAAACGAAUAAGAGGUUGAAUUAAUAUUCAUUAACUAAUAAUAAAAUUAAGAAGAUGAUACCAAAGGACACAAAAUCACAAAAAUUCGUGAAACUACAUAAGGCGGUUUGUUCAAUACCAAGAAAUUAAAUAUUUAAAAAAAAACUAAAUGAAUUGUUUAAAAAGUUAAAAGAAAAUAAAUGCACUUUUGUCCACGUCAACAACAACUAUAACAAAAUGCUGGGCUGUAGAAGAUUUUCCACAGCAACCUGAAAAAAUCAUAUAUGCUCAAGUAACUAUUUGGUAGAGCGUAUUUGGAGUGCUAAUAUCUUUUCUUUAUGGAAUCAGUCCUCGUACUCGAUCUCUGAAACCAGUUAAGGUUCUUAGUGACCAAAAUACUAGGUAGCGACUCUCAUUCCAUUUUUCCACUAAUAAAAGACAAGAAUUCCUUGUCUCCCCAUAGAUGCCUGAUAGAUAAUACAUUUUGAGAGUGGAUAUUUUCACCGCAACAUCGUAUACGUGCGACAUUAUGUAUACAGGUAUUUCACGAGAUGAUGCGGAGUGUUAAAUAUAAGCUUUGUGUUUAAAUCUGUUUUUUUAUGUAAUAUCUUUUGUUUUAUAUGUAAUUUGUAUUAUAUGUAGAUUUUAAUAUAUGAAUCCUAAAGAUAUUUGCUUUUGGUAUUUAUACAUUUAGAAUGUAUGAGUAAGGAACUAAUAUUAGUAAACUAUUUGAAAAGAAUACUUAAUAAUUAUAAUUAUGCAUGUUUAAAAGAUGGAUGCAUGUUAACGUAAUAAUUAGUUCAAUAUGAAUCCUUUGAGUUUAUAUUUGUAUGCAGUUAAUGUUUUAUUUUAAGAGAAUAUAAUUGCUAUGUUUUAUUUUUUUAUGAUGUAAGGUUGAGAAAGCACAACAAAGUAUUGCUAUGUGAAAUAUUGUAUGAUGAGAUGGGAUAUGAUCCAGGAUGGUUGAAUUGAAAUAGAAGAUUGAGUAUUGUGAUUGAAUGAAGUCUAGUCGAUAACUUGGUAACAUAAAAAAACAAAAGAAACUCUGCCGAAUUUUCUGUAGAAAAUUAGAUUUAUAUAAUAACUAUUACUUUGAUGAUAUAACUUUGAGAGUGAUACAUCAAAUGUGAGAUAUGUUAGACAAUAACCGCAAGACAAUAACGGUUCAAGACGUAGACAAUAACAAUUCAAAUUUCGGUAGUCCUCAUAUGAAUACCAUAUAUAUAUAUAUAUAACUUUACUCUGUUUUUCAGUUGCAUGAUAUUGUUAUUUUAUCCCGAUUGAGGGGGUGUUAUAAUUAUGGUCUUAUGAUCCGAGUCACUGAUUUAAAAGGUUAACCUAGAUUGACCCGGGUCGAUCCAAUAUGUUGUUAUCUCAAUAUUUUUUAAAAAAAUAUUAUCUUGAAUUUUUUGAAGUAAAACUAUAUGUUUAUCAGUCGUCCAGACUAUCUUUGGACUCAUUGAAUCGAUUGGGUCAUAUCGAUUCAACUCUUUUUUUUUAGUUAUAUUUGAAAUUUAAAUUGUAUAAUUUCAAAUUGGUUUGUUUUUAAAUGUCAAUUAAUAUAUAUAUAUAUAUAUAUAUAUAUAACAAUCCAAAAUGACAGGUUAAAAUACUAAAAAACCAAAACAUAUUGUUACAAUUAAAAAAAUAAAAUACCAAUUAAAACGGAAUUAAUUGACAACUUGCUUGGUAGAAGCAUGAAACUCCUCGCUGACAUUUGCAAGAGAUAGUUACUUAUACCAGUAGCAAUUUAGUAAUGAUUGAUCAGCAUUUAUAGUAAGAUGGGGCUAUUAAUUCAAAUGUUGAUGGCAUUAGUAACAAUGAUUUUCUUGGAAGGAUUGCUUCCUCUUGGUUGCUUGAAAAUAUACGGUUUUUUUUUAGUUCAAAUCUAUUAAUAUAAAUAUAGUUUUAUUGAAUAUUUUUUAUAUAAUCUUAUUAGAGAAAUCAAUGUAAACAAAUUUAUGGACAAACACUAGAUUAUCAAGUAUUUAAAUAGAAAAAUAAAACAUUGAUACAAGCUUUUAAAUAAAAAACAUUUAUAAUAAAUAUAAUUUGUACUUGUCAUUAUCUCUUUUUCAUUGCUAACACUUAACGAAUUGAAUAUAUAAUUCUCAUGUGAAUAACGUCAAAAUAAAUUUAGUUGCAUGACAUAAUAAUACCUAUUUGUUUUUUGUAUUUUAAAAAUAUUUAAAAAAAUUAAAUUUUUUUAAAUAAAUAACUUUUGAAUCAUCAAGUAGUGAAACACAGGAAAAGUGAAGAAAGUGAAGAAUAAUCAAAGUGGUGUGGGUCCACAUCAACUUUUGUCCAUGUUUUUGGUAUUAAUCUCUUCAUCCAUUUACAGCCGGAGAAAAGAGCAUCACUCAGUGCUUUCCUUGUCUCUUCUUGCUUAGAAGAUAAGGUAUGAGAACCUUCGAGUGCCACUCAUUUUAGUACAUAGACUAGAUAUUUGACCAUAACUUAACUGUUAGUUAAUUGUUUUUUCAAUUAAAAAAAUUUAUAUAUAGAUUUCUUCAACGUAUUGUUUAUUUAAAAAAUCUUAAGUGAAAAUUAAGAAAUUUAUACACAAAUAUAGUCAAAUAAAUUGAGAAUUAUAUGUGUUAAUAAGUGAAAAAAAAACCAUAAACGAUGACUCAAAAUAAAAACUGGAAAAAUUGAGAGACAGGUGCUGAUCAAGAUAUUUAAUUUCACAAGACGUGACAUUUAUGCAGUUGUGUUUUUAAAAUUUUCUAAUUAAAAUAAUUUUUUAUUCAAUCAAACGAUAAUAAAAACAGACACACAUUAUAAAUUGAUUGAAUAAAAUAAAAGGAGAAAAAAUAAUAUGCAAGCCUACACAUAUUAAAAAUAUUAUUUGAAAAUACAUUUAUUUUUAUUUUCAAAAAUAAAAUUCAUCUAUACAAAAGAUUUUUAAAAAAUAUAGAUUAAUCACAAAAACCUCCUCAAAAAUUAAAUGCAUAAUUAAAAAAUAAUUAUCAUUUCAAAUAGGCUUUCUAAAUAAUAUAAAAGAGAGAAGGGAUAUAAAUAUAAAUAUAAAUAAGAUUAAGAUUAAGAUUAAUUUAAAAAAAUACAAACAAAAAAAAAGAAAAUAUUUUUUCUUAAACAAAAAAAAGUGAACAAUGUCGUUCACAGUAAAACUUGUGGGGUGAACUCGAACUCAACCGAGUUUAAUAUUUUUCCUCUUAAAUUUAUAACAAACCUAAAAAAAGUAAACAAUGUCGUCCAUUGUAAAACAUGAGGAGGUGAAUAGUGCAACUACACAGUGUUCACCUUAUAUAUUUUUCCUCUUAAAUUUAUACCAAAACCGUAAUAAAAAAAGGUGACCAAUGUUGUCCAUAGUAAAACGUGAGGGGGUGAACAACGCAUCUUCAUAGUGUUCACCCCGCACACCUUAGCUUAUUUAGGGUGAACCUGAAUCAUGAACUCAAUCGGGUUUAAUAUUUUCCCCUCUUAAAUUUAUAGCAAACCUAAAAAAAAGGUAAACAAUAUAGUCUAUAAUAAAAUAUGAGGGGAUGAACAAUACAGAUGCACAAUGUUCACCUCACAUAUUUUUUUCCUUAAAUUUAUAGCAAAACCUAAUAAAACAAAUAGUGAAUAGUAUAUUCAUUGUAAAACGUGAGAGGGUGAACAAUGUGGCUAUAUAAUAUUCACCCCACAUGCUUUAGAUUAAACGUGAGAUGGUUAUUUUUUAAAAUAAAAAAAAAUUAAUAAGCAGGCUAUUACAAUGCGCUUUUUAAUGAUGACGAUAUUUGUAGCAAAAAUUUCAAAGGAUUUAAUACAAAUCCAAGCCAAAAUAUUUCACUAGAUUACUAUUUUACGAUCUUCUUAAAACUUGGGUUCGAGCUUGUCAUGUUGAAUCAUCUCUUCUAGAAUCCUUUUUACCGUCUAAUGACUGCCGCUUAUGUUUGUGCAAUUUCUUGUUUACUAGUAAAAUUGUACAGACGUGGGCUUGAAGCUGUUAACUUUCCCUGGACUGGUUAUGUAAUAUAUUUAUAGGUCUAACUGUAUACUAUCACUUGGUCCAAGAGGCAAUAUUGCAAGAUUCCAACGAAAUCUACUGUAAUCUACUGUCCUGGGACAAGAGUUCCAAAAACAUCUACUCCAAAUUUUGUUCUUUUUGAAUCUUUAGUUAUUUUUAUUUUUUCUCAUCAUUUUUUAAAAUAAAAAAUAUAAAUAAAUUACUACAAAAUGAAUAAAACAAAACCAGAAUAAAAAAGUAACAUUAAACAGCAGCCAUUUCAUCAGCUUUAAUUUUAGUAUAACACAAUAAUAUGAACCAACCUUGAUUCUCGAAGGCACCCAACUAAUUCAUUAGCCUUCAAAUUGCCAUCACCUAAUUUCACGAUCCAUGACCGACAUAUAAACAAGGGUCCUCUCCAAGUUCCCAUACAUAUACGAAUCCAAAUAUACAUAGAAACUUAUCUUUUAAAUAAGUCAAUUAGAGUUCAACACAAUAUUAAUAACAAAAUUAAUUAAAUAAGUCAAUCAGAGUUCAACAUAACAUUAAUAACAAAAUUAACUUCAUAAUAUAAUUUGAUUGUCUUAAUACAAAAAUUAAUACAAAGUUCGUAGUUGUGGAGCACUAUCUAGACAUAAAAAAAAUCAUAACAAAAACAACAAGGGAGGGGGUUUGAUAGUAUGUAAUACAACAACUAGAAAUAUAUAUAUAAUUAUGGCUUUAGGUUUUUAUAAAAACGUUUUUUAAAUAGAUCAUAUAAGAACAACGGAGGAGGGGGUUUAACGGUAUGUAUUUGCCUGCUAGUAAAAAUUGGUUAGCACCUAAACAAGGUCCUGUGCUAAAUCUAAAUUGGUAAGAUGUGAUAUGCUAAUAUCUAGAAAGAUAACUUAAUCUAUCCAUUGAAGUAAAGCAUUUAAAUGCGUAUACAAUGUUUUUGGAACAUUAAAUAUCUAUUUGAUCAGAAUCUGAUGGGGCAAUAGGUGAUGCAGGCAUAAACUAGAAAGACAACAAACAAACACAAAGAAAAAAGAUUUGUUAAGCAAACAGGGUUGCAAACUUAAACACUAAAUUCGCAAUUUAUUAUUCUGAAAAAAGUCUAAUGAUGUUUGCCUCUCAAAGAGGUUUCUAAAACAUUUAAAUAUGCUAAAAAACCUAUCUCUAUUGGAAAAAAAAAAUUCAGAAUCCAAAAGAAUAAACAAAAACUACAUAAAAUCUGAAAUAAAACAAUAAAUAUGAAAAAAAUCAAGGAAAAAUAGCUAAAUUGGCUCAAAACAGGAUCUUAUGAACCUAAUUUCAGGGGAUCCGAACAUCAAAUGAUCAACAAAGUAUGUUUCCAAUUGAGAUGGGCCUUAGAAAUCUCCUAUAAAAAUUGAGAUCUAAGCAAAUUAAGUGAUAUUUGUUUGAGACUUCGCUAACUACAUAUAAAGGAAUUAAAAAUAAAUUAUGAUGAUCAAUUCAAAAUCAACAAAAUAUUAAAGUGAAAUUGGAAGCAAAAACAGGGCAAAAAUCAUUAAAUCAAAAGAAGAAAAAAUUAGAAGAUAGAAUUUAUUUAUUUUUUUUAAAAAAGGGGGGAGGAUAUGAAUAGUGAAGUAGGAGGGAAAAACCUAAUUUUUUUAGUAUAAUAAAUAAUUUUUAAUUAAAUUAAAAUCUUCAUCUCAUACAAUUAGACCCAAAAAGAGUUAAAUAAAAAAGGGAAGAAAAUUUCUAAAGAUAUAAGGACCAAUUUAAAAAAAUAAAAGGAAAAAAAAAUGAAAAAACACCAAAUCAAGAAACGAAAAAAUAUAAGGACCAAUUUAAAAAAACAAUAAAAAAUAUAAAGAGUGAAGGAGGUAGAGAAACAUAAGUUUUUUAGUAUAGUAGUUUAUUUCUAGUUAAAUUAAAAACUUUAUCUCAUAUAAUUAGGCCAAAAACAAUUUUUUAAAAAAAAUAAGGACUAAUUUGUAAAAAAAGAAGAGAAAAAAACAGAAUCAAAUCAAAAGGGAAAAAAAACUAAUUUAAAAAUAAAAAUAAAAUGCUUCAUUAUUCAUGUAAAAACAAAACAUCAUUAUAGUAUCCAACUAGACAAGUGACCUACACUACGGGCUAUCCUAAUUUUUUUAAAGCAAAAUUUUUUUUUAGCAUUAUUAGAUGUGAGAAAAUAUUUUUUAAAAAACAUACAUGUGUACAAGAUAGGAGAGAUUUGGUUUGAGAAUGCAUGCUAAAAAUCUAAACAUGAACUAAAACAAAGUGGAAUUAAAAAAAAAAAAAAAACUUAAAAGAGAUCAGUGAUUCAUUAUAGACUGUGAGGUAAAACACUGUAGAUUAGCAUAAUAUAUUUAUUUUUUGACCUUCUCUACGUAAAAUAAUUGCCUUGCUAACAGGGUAAAGUUGUUAUUUUCAAUGGAUCUAAAGGUUAUUUGUAAAUUGAUUGGGAAUAAUUUAGUAGGUUAGCUAUUUUAUUUGCGUAGUAAAAUGACGUCAAUACCCUUGAGAGUUCAAAAAUAUUGACCUUGACAAAGGCAUUUUUUAGUCUUUUCCAUGUUUUGUAUACUGUAAAAUGACAAAGUUAACCUUAGAAUAAAAAAAUCUAAAGCUGGUCUGGGAUAGCAUUUUCAUCUUUGCAAUAUAGCUUUUUUGUAAUAUUUAGAUGCUCUUAUGAGCUAUUUAGCAAUUUAAAGUAUUGAAAUAUUAAUAAAUCAAUAAACAAAGGCUGACAUGUGUGUAGCACGUGUCAACACGUGAUAGUCCACCACGUCAUUUGGGAGGCGUGUGAUAGUCCAACAUGUAAUAUGGAGGUGUAGUUGAUGACGUGGCGUGUCGUCAUAUUUGUAGUGGUUUAAUGGUGAUAAAAAAAUUUUCCCGUCCCCCUCUUUUCUCUCUCUAAGGCUUUAGUAUUCACGCCGAUGCUUUAAAAUUUCACUUGUAUCCUUUGGAUUGUAUUUAUAUUAAGUUUGAUUCUUAUUAUUUUAAUUUCUAUUUAUUUUGAUUUUAGUGUUUUUUAAAGAAAAAAAUUUCAAUUUCAUUCCUCAACAUUUUAUUUCAUUUAAUUUUUAUAUUAAACUUGGUCCUCAUUCUUUUAAUUACUAUUUUCUAUCCUUUACUUAAUUUUUUUAAUUUUAUUUCUUAUUAUUUUAUUUUAUUUUAUUUUGUUUGCAAUUGCAGUUCUUUUUUUUUUUUAUCCCUAGUAAGCAAUUGUUGCCGCAAUGACAUAUGCCUAGCAAGAGGAAAAAAAAAAAAAAAAAGAGACGCUUGAAGGUUAGAGAAGGCACCUCUGAGUGGAAGGAGGCUGAGGUGCGCUAUUUUUGAAGUAUGUGAAAAUCAUAUGUUUCAAUGCUACUUCUUGCAAGAGUCUCCUUAACCAACCUAGAGUGUUAUAUUAGACUGCUAACGUAUUUUAUAAAAAUAUUGAUAAAAAUAUUUUUGGAUAAUUUUUUUUAUUUUAUUUGAAUUUAUUUCUUAAAUAAUUUAAAUUAAUAAGAUAAUUACAUAAAAGAUAAUGUUAGUCAAGUUAUCUUUUUACCAACCAUAAAAAGAUUUUUACUAAUCCAAGCCAACAAAAUAACAAUUACAUGUAUAAAUUGUCAUAUGUUGGAAAAAGGAGUUAGCUCAUAUUUUAGGGAUUAUAUUAAAGUGUUAGCAUCUUGCCUGGUUAGAAAUAGAAUUGAAUUUACAUAUUAGUAUUAUCAUAUAUUUUGUAUUGUCGUUUAAAAAAAUAAAUAUUUUCCUUAUAUGGAGUUAAGUGUUUUUAUUUUUAUCAUGUAAAAUUUAUAUAUUUUUUAAAAUUAAUUUUUCUAAUCAUCAAAUUAUUUUUAUUUUUUAAAAUUUAUAUAUUUUUUAAAAUUAUUUCUUAAAAAUAAAUUUAUUUUUCUAAAAAAUUGAACUUAAUACAUGCAUAUUAUCUAAUCAUCAAAUUAUGAACUAUCAUAAUUCUAUAUAUUUAUUUAAAUAAAACAAGUUCAAGAAUUAAUGUAGAUCAAUCUUAUUGAUUAAUAAAAUUCAUGUAUGUAUCUAUUUUUGCAAAUUGGAUGCAUACUUAAUUAAUAUUAAAUCAAGCAAAAAAUCUAUAAAAAGAAUAUACAAGUGAGCCAAACAACAAUAUUAAAAACGAACAAGAGGUCGAAUUAAUAUCCAUUAACUAAUAGUAAAAUUAAGAAGAUGAUACCAAAGGACACAAAAUCACAAAAAAGCAUUUAACAUUCAGAGAAAGAAGCCUGCAACACCCAUUAAGGAAAAGAGAGAAGGGAAAGAAAUGUAGAUUAAUUGAUACAGAGGAUCACCUUGUUCCAGACCAGCGCGAGACUGUAGAAGAAUCCAGACGAACCAAGAGCAAAAAAUGCAGGAGAGAUAAUCAUGAGAGAAACAAAUUCAUAUAUCCACGAAUACGUACAACAUUUGAAACCUAUAAUGCAAGAAUAGCUGCAGAUGUACAUUAAUAUUUUUAAUUUAAAGAAUCAAUUAAUUAUUUAAAAAACUUGAGGGAUUAAUUUGUUUGUUUCACAUAAAACAGACACUAAUUAUAUAAAGUUUUACUCAAAAAACAGACACUAAUAAUCAUAUGCGUGAGUGUUUACUUGUAAAUAUUUUGGAAGGAACUGGUUUAUGUUUUGCGCAUCAUGAAAAAAUCAUAUAUGCUUAAGUAACUAUUUGGCAUCAAUCUAGUAAAUUAAUCUUAAAUUCCUUUUAUCCAACUCUUGCCGUUUUAAAAUUAAUCAAUGUAAAAGUUAACCAAACAUGAUAAAAUCAAUAUAAUGGGUUUACGAAUACAUAUUAAAUUAAUCUUGGUUUUAUAGCUUAAUUUUCUAAACUCACUACUCAAAUAAUGAACUACAUCUAGUUUUAAUUUUUUUUAUUUAAUAUUAUAAUAACAAUACCAUUUCAAAAUUAACCAAAUAUAUAUAUAUAUAUAUAUAUAUAUAUAUAUAUAUAUAUAUAUAUAAUAGAGUUUAAAAACAAAUGAACAAUAUGAUAUUGUUCCAUUUUACUAUAAUGAUGAAGUUUUCACAAAAUAUAAAACUUAAAUUAAAUUAAGGCAACAAUCAAUUCUUUAGCUUUAAAACGAUUUAUUAUUUGCUUUCUAGUGGUAGUAGUAGGAUGAUUGGAAUAAUUUUUUUUCCAUUAACAAUAGAAUUGAGAAGGCCCGCCACAGACCAAGAGGACAGCUUCAAUGAAGCCAUCCCAGCCGAUGCAGGUGAUUACCCGUCGGCUGACAUCUCCUCGCGCGCAUAGCACCAGCCAAACCACCUCAAUCUGAAAAUGCACCAGACAAAGUCAAUGGAAAGACGCCAGGGAGCCUCAGCAGCCGAGAAGAAAGCGAGGGAACACCCACCGCGCGAGAAACACGAAAAACAUAGAGGGAGCGCGGUAAAGACUGUGAAGCCACAGAAUUCACACAUUGUGCACCGUGUUUUAAUGAGCACUCUUAGUUUAUUUUAUAUAUAAUUCUUUUAGUUUUAGUUUUAGUUUGUUGUGUUAUGAACAGUAAAGCAGCACAAGAAUACGUCUGCGUCAAGCUCUGUUCACUUUGGUCCGACAUUCCUCACCUCUCCCCACCUUAGCUCUCUCUCUUUCCCUCCUCUGCUUUUAGAAACCGCCGCUGCCACCUCAACCAAUAAGGCUUCAAAUCUCACCCAGGUGCUUCCUUUUCUAUUAUGUUUUUGUUUUUUAAAAAAGAUUUACGUCCGCGUUUUCAUUUAUUUAAUUGAAGUUACUAUCCAAAGAGAGAAAUUCGAUUUUAAUAAGUAAAUUAAAAAGAUAUAUAAUCGGAUCCAAUGAAAUCGCUGCUCGUGAACGCAACUCGAAGAAAGGCGCAAUCAGUCGAUUCUACUGUGGGUGGAGCAUUUAGUAUGGUCAGGGUUAUUGUGUUGUCUAUUCAAAGAAAGAUGUGCCUGUAAAUUUAUUAAGUUGAUUCUUAUCAGUCUGCUCUUUAGAGUUGAUGAUAACAUGAAAUAUUCAUUGUUGAUGCUUGUCGUUUUCUUCUUCAUUUUCCUAGCUUAAAACAUCCUAGACAAUCUCUUUGGGAUGGUUUAGUGUUUCUGGCCUCUUCAUCUUCUAUUUGUGCUGUGGUAUUUAGUUUGCUGAUAUUCAUUGGGGAUUGAAAGGCCUCGUUUUAUGACUUUGUUUUCUUCUUAUUUCUUUAUUCUUUUGGGGAUGUGAUAUUUUCCUCUUUCUAUUUACACUAUUGGCUCCCUACAAUAUUUUUUCCUUCAGAGAAGUAAAUAUAUACAUAAAUAACAAGAACAGGAGGGGAAGGGGAGGGGGGUUUGACAAUAAGUAUUUGCUUAGAAGGGAAUGCUUCUUUGGUUUAGAAGCACCAUGAAGAUUCAGGCCCAUAUUUGGCUGGUUUCUUUAAUAAAGUACAUGAUAUUCCAUUUUUCAUGUCCUUGAUGUGCUUUUACUCUUCUUGCCGUUCCUGACUUUCUUUUUAGGGUAUAUUCUAACAUGCAAUAUGUUUUUUUUUUGUUGGCCCACUGUCCCAGGCGGAGAACCUGUCAUGGACAUGGGUGAUUGCAGAAUUCAAUUGCAGCCUGACUCACGGAAAAGAAUAGUCAAAAAUUUUUUUUAUUUAUAUGAAAGAAAAGGAGAAGGGCAGAAGGUUAAUUAAAAUCAGCAGGAUUGCCAUGAGGCAACCUCAAGUAUCACGCACCUCUUUUUUUUUUCAUCUUUUCAUGUGUUUCUCACAAGAAGCAAACUUGAGGGAACAUAAAGUGCUGGGAAGUAAUUUUUGUUGGAAUUUCUUGUCUAAUCUCUUCUUUUGAUGAUGACCUCUUGGAUGGCUGCAUGAAGCUUGUUCCGCUUUAAAUUUCAAGGUUAAUCUAUUGCUAUGAGCAUACGUGUUUCAAUUUAAAACUCGAGUUGCAACUGAACUUAAAUAAAUGGUGUUGGAUUUGUGCUUUCUAUUUGUUUUAACUUCUACAGGGUUGAAAUGAUAGUGAUCUUAAACUAGAAAAGCAGCAGACAAAAAUCAAUUAGCCACAAUGGUGUAUGGUUUCUCAGCAUAAAGUUGAAAUGAUAGUGAUCUUAAACUAGAAAAGCAGCAGACAAAAAUCAAUUAGCCACAAUGGUGUAUGGUUUCUCAGCAUAAAGUUGAAUGUUUUGUUGACCUCUUUACAUCCAAAAUCAUAUAGACAGCUACUGCUAGCACUUGCAGUGGUCAAUGAAUACUGUAGAGUAUAUAUUGCAGUGUGAGAUAAGGUUAACUCAUUGCAUUUUCAGAUAUUGAAAGGAUUUCUCUUCUUUUCUUUGUCAAUUACAGGACAUGCAUCGAAGUGUUCUUACUGAGAGUAAAUGCUAUUGUAAUGUUUUCACAGAGACUCCCCUGCUUUGCAACUAAGUCACUAAUAUAUCUUGGAACAUAGCCAUAAAUGAAAGGUUCUUCCAGAUCAAGAAAAUUAACCAUGAAGCUCGUAGCUAGAAUUUUUAGACAGAAAGGUGGCCAAGUACGCUGUACCUCUGGAAUAAUACAGGGAAAGGAUGUCUAUGUAUUUUGAUGUCUUAUAUUACUUGACCAACUCUUGCUUAUCUCAUUAUUUGUUUUUACUUUUUGCUAAUGAUUCCACACAUUUCUGAUAUUGGUGUGGUUUAUGAGUUUAGGGUUCUCGUUGCUGCUAACUUCUCUAUACUUUGCCUGGUCAUUAAAAAUCAAACGUAAUGAUUUGCAUAUGCAGAAUGGAGACAUUAAAAAGACAUCUUCUAUUUUCUGGUGAGGAGGGAUUUCAGGAACUCAAGAAAUUUUCCAUACGUUUUGAGGAAAAGAUUUAUACUACCGCUAACAAUCAGGUAUUUGCCUAAUGCGAGGUUCAAUAAUUAUGAUAUUAUCUAGACAUGAAUAUACACACGCAUUUAUGCUUGUACAAAUGUGUGUGUAGUGUGCCUACACUUCCUCACCGUUCAUUCUGUAUGCAAGGUUGAUUGGGAGUUCACAUCAUUUUGUUAAUUCUCUUGACAAGUGUUUUAUUUAGAGUGACCAAGUUCAAGUACAAGGGAAGAAUGCAAAAAGCAAAUAACGAAUCAAUACAUAAAUAAUUAAAUAAAAAGAGAGGUAACAGAAGUAUAUCCUCAUAGAAGAUGAAAUGAUAGAGUAUAUAUCUAUUUUCCUCCUCUGGUAACAUGGAUUGCUCUGAGAUCUACUGUUUUGUUAUUAAUAUCUGAUUUCAAUCUGAUUAUUUGCAUAAAAUAUCUCUGGAGAUGCUUUCGAUGGAGACCAGGUCUCAAAAUGCCAUGCUCACUACACCUAUGGAUCCAGCAGGUAAUAAUGCAGCCGAGCAUUGAAUUUCUAAAUAUCUUACCUUUUGUUUUUCUUCUCGCAUUGCUAUCAAACUCUUUUACAUUUUAUUGCUGCAUAUUGCUAUGUAUAUCGCCUUGCUGGAAAAAUCUCAUGAUCACCUCCACGAUGAUAAUUUUGUAAUGCAUGUGAAGUGUUUCAUCCUUAACUUGUUAAGGAACAAGGACUGUGAUGCAUGGUAUUUUAUAUUUUAUGAUUGAGAUGGUAGAUUUUAAAGAUUUUCAUGUUAAGGAGAUAAGACGUCACUUUCUUGCUUUUCUUCCGAGAGAGUAUUUGAUCCUUUUUUCAUAUAAAAUAAUGCUGGCAUGCAUUGAAUUUCCAAACAUCUUACCUUUUGUUUUGUUUGUCGCAUUGUUAUCAAACUCUUUUACAUUUUGUUGCGGCAUAUUGCUAUGUGUAUGGCAUGCUUUAAUCAAAAAGUUGAGUAAUUGAUGAAUGUUAGGCAAGAAAAUUACAGAUUAUUUUUAUUUUCUACCUCCUCCUUCUCUUUCCCCCACCCCGAAAAUGGUCAUAUUAUUUUUUUUUUCAGCCACCUCUUCUUCCCCCAACCUUGAAAAUUGUUUAUAUUUGCUUUGGAAGCAUGGCAAACUUCACUGCCUCUCAGCUUAAGGAGAUUGCAGCAGGUCUCGAAGCUUCUGGGCAUCAGUUUAUUUGGGUAGUUAGAAGAAACAAAAAGAGUCAAGAAGACAAGGAAGAUUGUUUACCUCAAGGAUUUGAGGAAAGAAUGGAAGGCAAAAGGCUAUUAUCAGAGGAUGGGCACUCCAAGUUUUGAUUCUUGAUCAUGAAGCAAAAGGUGCAUUUGUGACUCAUUGAGGAUGGAACUCAACUCUUAAAGGCGUAAGGCAAAUAUUUGAUGAGCAAUUCUAUAAUGAAAAGUUGGUGACUGAUGUUUUAAAAACUGGAGUUAAGGAAUGGCUUAGAGUGCAUGGAGAUCAUGUUAAAAGUGAAGCUGUAGAGAACGCAAUCACUCAAAUUAUGAUGGGUGAAGAAGCAGAGGAAAUGAGGAGCAGAGCAAAGAAGCUUUCAGUGCUUUGAUUUAAUAACUGCAAAAAAUGAAAGGUUGUUGAAGAUGGUGGAUCUUCUUGCUCCGAUUUCAAUGCUUUGAUUGAAUAACUGAGGUGGGGUAGCCUUUGAAACAGAGGCAUAGAAUAUAUAUAUAUAUAUAUUUUAGCUUUUUUAGUUUAACGUGGGUGUUCGGGCCAGCUUGCGCGCACCUCGACUAAUCCCACGGGCCCUGAAGUUAACGACCAUGUAAGUCUCCAGUGGCCAUCAUAUGAGCAACCACAGGGCUCGAACCUGAGACCACAGAGGGAGCAAACCUUUUAGUCCCAAGCUCUUACCACUGGGCCACCACCUAGAUGGUUAAGGCAUAGAAUAUUUUGUUUCUACUUAGUAGUGGUUUUGGUAAUUUAUUUUCAGACAAGUCUUGAGAGUUGAAAGAGUAAUCACAGCCGAGUCAAUGACCAAUCCAAAUAAGUUCCCUUCCUAAUGGUUCAGGAAUGACAAGUCCAGCAUAUAUAUUUAGCCCAAAUAACUUUUCAAAUAAAAUGGCUGAGCUUAGAGACAGUACACUACAAAUUAAGCACCCAUUAGCUAGACAUACAGGACAAACAAUCAUCACAAACUAGAAACGACUGUCUUCCCAGUAACAAACUCACCUUCUCAAGUUGGAGAACUUGCGAAAACUAGCUACUACAAUAUAGUAGCAAGUAUCUAUGCAGUCUUCGAUGAAGUACGACCACCUGCGUCGCCAAUAUGGAUUGAUGUAAAGAACUGCUACAAUCAUAAUCACCACGACUGUGUAACUUACACCGAAAUUGAUGUAGAAAAACUCCAUGUCUAUGAAACCAUCAUCUCCUUGUUCAUCAUUAGGCACUGGUUGUGAUGGCAUUGGCUGUGAUGGCACUGGCUGUGAUGGCACUGCUUCUUCACUACAAUUGUUUUGCAAUGGAGGUCCACACAAGAAAGGAUUUCCUUCGUAACAGCUUUCAUCGAAGGUCCCAAACUGAUAUUUUCUCUCGGGUGUCUUACAUGACAAGUUAUUGUACGCCACACUAAAAACUUCCAGUGUGGUAAUUUCAGUAAGUUGUGGAGGGAUGACACCAUUCAAGUUGUUGUAAGAAAGAUCCAAACUCUCAAUCUGUUUUAGGUUUGAGAAUGUUGCUGGGAUAGAUCCAGUGAGAUUGUUGUGUGAUAAGUUUAAUGACAAUAUCUUACUUAAGUUUCCAAAUUCCGGUGGGAUUGCUCCUACGAAGUUGUUAUUGGAGAGAUCAAUACCAGACAUGUAGUUGAGAGUCUUCCCCUUGUAACCAUAAUACAUAUUUUUAGUUGUAAAUUCUAUCACUUCUUCUGUAAAGUUAAGCAGAAAACCCUUUCUCAAGUUGUACAUACUCUCCACUAGUGGUGGACCCAUUGUUUCAUAAUAAGCUUUUUCUAUGGACCUUGAUAGAACACCAGCUCCGAGAUCCGUGAAUGCUUUCUGGGAACUUUCCUUGAAAGUAAGAUUGCCCAAACAGGAGGGUAGUGGACUAGAGAGCUGGUUUUGUGAAACAUCCAAAAUGCUUAAAUGUUCUAACAAGCAUAAUUGAACAGGGAGCUCACCAUCAAAGUGAUUAGCCCUCAGAAGAAGAACACUCAAUGAUGAAAGAUUGCCAAUCCAAUUUGGAAUGGAGCCGGUGAAGCUGUUAUCUUGAAGAUCCAUCGUAACUAAGAAAGAGCUGUUAUAAAAUCUAUAUGUUAAUGGACCGCUCAAUCUAUUUUCGGAUAGAUGCAUAUGGAUUAGAGUUGAUGGACUGAAACAAGAUGGUAUAUAUCCAGACAAGUUGUUCUCUGAAAGGUUCAAAUAUUCAAGUUGAUCAAGCUUACAAAAGUCUCUUGGGAUCGGACCCUUAAAAUGGUUUUUGGACAAAUCAAUUGCUGCAAGAAUCGUAGAAUUAAGAAAGCUCCUUGGAAGCAUGCCUGAAAAUUGAUUGUUACUCAAAUCCAAUACAAUCCACAUUUUCCACCUAUAUAAUGAAAAAUCUGAUAUCUGACCCCAAAAGUUGUUACCACCUAGAUAGAGAUAUUCUAAGGUAGAAGAAUUGAACAACGAGGUCGGUAAUUGCCCACCCAAAUUGUUGUUUGACAGCUUGAGAAACCAUAUUGUUGUUAGUUGUUCUAGUUUUACUGUGGACAAUUGAUUGUUGGAUAAAUCUAAAAUUCCCAAAGAGCUAAUAUUUCCUAAACAAGAAGGAAUACAACCUGUGAAUCCAUUCUUAGCCAUCCUUAAGCUCUUCAGAUUUUGAAAGAUCAAACAAAUAUCCUUUGGAAUUUGACCGCUCAUGUUGUUGUUGGAUAUAUCUAAUUCGGUCAUAUUUAGAUAUGGGUGAUUUGGCAACUGCAAAGUACCAACAAAGGAGUUCUCACUCAAAUAUAGUUGCUCCAAUCGUGUAUUGUUCUUAAGCAACCACGAUGGAAACAUUCCGGUGAUGUUGUUGUGGGAGAGAUCAAGGACUCUUAAGUCGUAUUGGUAAUAGAGGAAGUUGGGAAUCUCUACAUUGACUGCUUCUAUUGUUUUUGACAAACUAAAAAAGACUAGUUGGAACUUUGGAAUCAAAUGAUCAAAGGCAGCAGGUUCUGUUACUAGUCUAUUGUUCUCAUUGCAGAAGAACUUGAGGCUUGAGUGGUUCAUAAAAGGCUUCAUUGAAAUGGGAACUUCAAAGAGGUUAUUUGAUAGUGAGAGGAAUUCAAGAGAUGUGAGGUUGGUAAGAGGACCAGAGGCAAUAUUUCCAGUAAACUGGUUUUUAGAAACAUCUAAUAGUUGUAGAGAUGACAAGUUUCCUAAACAAUCUGGGAGUGAACCUUCUAAAUUAUUUCCAAAGAGAUCUAACUGCUUCAGAUUCUUCAAUUCACACCAACCUGUAUAAUUUAUCUCGAAACAGUCAAAAUAGCUAAAUAAUUAAAAGAUUACCAUAGAAGAGGAUGGAGUGUUGUUAAUUUACCUUGAGCGGGUAGGGUGCCAUGGAGGUCACAUCCACCAACAGACAAAACCUUAAGAGCAGGCAAUGCUCCAAUGUUCUGGAGAAAGUUUACUGGGAGAGAAGUACGAUCUAGAUUCAAUUCUUCAAGAGUGCUAGAAUUGAAGAAAGUCCCUGUGAAAAAGAAAGAAGAAGAGAUAUGAAGAAAAUAAUGGUGGUACAGAAUAGCCAUUCCAUUCAAUAUUAUUAAUUAAUAUUUUAAGAAACUAAACUAUGAUUAACCUUGACUUAAAUUAGUAUCCUUGAGAGAAAGGGUCUUCAGGGAUGGCAAUGACUGCAGGAAGUCCAGCUUCCUUAAACCUAUGAUGUGUAGAAUUGAAAACAGGCAAUCAAGUAAGUAGUGAAAUUAAGCGUUAUCUUGAUCGAGUUUUUAAACCUAUGAUAAAAAACUGAUAUUGAAUAUACUUUUAUAAUGAUAUGAUUUUUGGAUAGAAACAACAAAUUGCCUGAAAAAUCCAGAGAUUUCAAAAGGUAUUGUUAAAAAAUGAAGUAAAUAAUAUUCACAACUUUACCAUUGACAGUCGUCGAUCCUAGCAACAUAUUGCCUGAUAAAUUUAAAGACUUGAGAUAAGAAAAUCCACGCAGAUGUGAUAAAAUGCUGUCGUUGAAUAUAUUAUAGCUCAAGUCCAGGUUCUCGAGUUUCCCUAAAUGUGAUGAUAUGAUCUCAAAACCUGCAAGAGUAAGUCAUCAUGAGCUCACGAUAUGCAUAAUAUAUAGAAACUAAAGAUAAUUAGAAUUGAUGAGAUGCUGUUGUUCAAUUGAUAUAUGAUUCUCAAAUUAUACAUAAAAAUAAUGAUACAUGAACGCAUAUGUCAUUAUAUAACAGGUUGUGCACACUUCAAAGAUUAAGAAACAAUUUUUAAUCAUUCUAAUUUUGAUCUUAUUGGAAAAAAAAAAAAAAUUUAUGGAUAUAAAGUCGUUAAAGAUGGAAACUAAGUCAAACAUGAUAAAUGCUAUCAUUAAAUUGAUCAUUACAUAGAUAUAAAGUACUUAUUUUUUAUGAUAAUGCAUGUAACGAGUAUUAUUGAUUAUUGUUCUUGUUUUAAUUACCGAUGAGAAAUUUUGAACAAUCAUUUGAUUUUAUUAGUUUUGAAUAAUAUAAUAUUUUUGAAGAUUAUAAAAUGUUAUGUAUUUUUAAAUAACUUGUUUUUUUGAUAUGUUUGUUAUGAGGCUUAGCGUAGGUGGGGUGUCCUUUCGAUACAGCUCCUGCGUUGCCAGUAAUAAACUUGAGACUCGAGUGGUGACAAAAUUGAUCUUUACAUGGAUAUAAAGUUCUCAUUUUUGUUGAUAAAGAAACAAUAUAAUUAAGAGAAUGUCAUGUGAAGCAUUUAGGUAGAAACUGUGUAUUAUACCUGAUCCUGUCAGCUGAUUGCCUGAUAGAUCCAAAGACUUGAGGGAUGAAAAUCCAGUUAGAGAUGGAAAAAUGCUGCUGUUCAACUUAUUAAACGAUAGAUCCAAAGACUUGAUCAGGGAUGAAAGCCCACUCAGAAUUGAUAAGAUGCUGCUGUUCAAUUGAUUGAAACUCAGGUCAAGGUUCUCUAACUUUCCCAGCCUCAUCGGUUGGAGUUGAAAACCUACAAGAUAUACAUAAAAAAAAAUAUACAGUGCAUAGAUUAAGGAAGAAGAUAGAUUGCAAGUAUCCAUUCUAUACAUGUAAUUUUUAAUCAUCCUAGUUUUGAUCAAGUUGUGUCUUAUUAGAAAAACAAUUUAUGGAUAAGAUCAAAGCCCCAUAGAUAUAAAUCUUCAUUGAUGAAAGCUAGCGCAAUCAAACAUGAUGAAAUGCUAUCGUUGAUUAAUUAUUAAAUAAAUAUAAAGUCCUCAAUUUUCUUGAUAAAGAAACCGUAUAAAAGAAUGUCACGUAAAGCAGUUAGGUAGAAAUUAUAUAUAACUUACUAUUGAUACCAGCAGAUCCUGUCAACUCAUUAUAUGAUAGAUCCAAAGACUUGAGAGAUGAAAAUCCAGUUAGAGAUAGAAAAAUGCUAUCGUUGUAUUGAUUCCCACUCAGAUAUAGUUUCUCCAGCUUUUUCAACCUUGAUGACAAGACUUUGAAACCUGCAUGAUUUUUCUCAAAAAACAUAGAAAUGAUAUGAGAAGGAGAAAAGAAAAGGUUUUGAAGCUAAAUAAUUAUAAGGUUACCAUAGAAGCUACCUCCUGAUCCAGCUGUCAACCCAUUGUCUGAUAGAUCUAAAGACUUGAGAGCGGAAAGCCCAUUGAAACAUGACAAAAUGCUUUUAUCAUUAUUAAAUCGGUUUUCACUUAGGUCAAGUUUCCUCAGUUUUGAUGAUAGGACUCCGAAGCCUGGAAGAGAAACAUCAAAGCAAGAUAAUUGACAUUAAACACCAACCAACCAACCUUCAUUUAUUUUAUUAUUAUAAUUAAGUGCACAAACAUUGAACUAACCUUCAUUCUCCAAGCAACCAACCAAUCCAUUAUAUCCCAAAUCAAGACUUUGCAAUUCUUUGAAAGGCUGAAACAAAGAUGCGUUGAGAACCCAAUCGCCCAAGCUCUCAUCCCUUUCUCCACUAAGAGAGAGUUGGAUCACUCGCCUUGUAGUGUGAUCACACUCGAUCUCAGGCCACUCACAACAAUUACUACUGUCCACCCAAUGUCUCAAGGAAAUGCCAUCUGGGUCGAUCAAAGAUUGGAUCUCCAAGAGACCAAUUCUCUCUUCCUCCAAACACCCAUAACAACGACCAGACCAUUCGCCAACCAAAGUGAAUAAUGCUAGCAACAUCCAAGCCCCCAUUCUUUUCAACAUCAUCGUAGAUAAUUCUAUGAACUACUACGUAGAAUAUUAUUGUUUGUUAUGUGCCUUUGGGCAACCAUAGAGGUCCUAUUUAUACUACACUGGCCAUUUCCAUGACUUUGAGAUGUUUUCUUUAUUUAAUUUCCACGACUUUAUCUGCAUAUCUUGUGCAGGUUCCGUGUUUUGAGAUUUGAAUAUUAUUUUAUUUCUUUUUGGAAUGUUCUUGGAUUUAAAUAUUAUUUUAUUUUAUUAUUUAGCACUUAUUCUAUUUGCAUUUAAUUAUAUUUUGGUUACUAAUUAUUCAAUUUAUAAAAAAAAUAAAAUAAAAAAAUUGUUGCAGUACUUCAACAUCGACAUUCGUGUGUGAUUCCACAUAAGAUCUUUUCAACUUUAUAAUUGUACUUCUCUCGUUAAAUACAUAAAUUAUCAAUAAUAAUAAACUCGAAAUAAUUAUAAAUCUUAUCCCUGUGGAUUGUGUGGGUACAGUAUUAUAUACAAAAACUUCAAAUACAUAAUAUAUAUAAGUCAGAAAUAUUUUUGUUUUUAUGGACUUGUUUUUAUUACAUUUCAAUAUUAAAUAUAUUUUUUUCAAUCGAGUCAAAGAUAUACCAUUUAUAUUAGAAUGAGAAGACUAAUCAAUUUCUCUAAUUUCUCUAGUUUUCUCCCUAAUUAUAAAAUACAUCUGGUUUUUCAAGUCCAGAUUUUAAGAUAAAAGGAAUUUAUUUCUUGAAAGUAAUGCAUUAAACAAUAUAAAAAAAAUUUAAAAAAUUUAAAAUAGUAGUAAAAGUAGUUUUUGAUUGAAGUGUAAACUAGUGGUAAAUGAACAAAAAGAAACUUUAUUGAUUAUCUAAUGAGUUACUUCUCCAGAAAGAAUAUAUACAAUAUUAUUGAUUAUCUAAUGGAAACUCCGCCUAACACACACACACACACACACACACACACACACACAUAUAUAUAUAUAUAUAUAUAUAUAUAUAUAUAUAUAUAAGUUAGAGACACUUUUUGUUUUUAUGUUCGGAAAAGUGUUCUUUACUUGUUUUUAUUACAUUUCAAUAUUAAAUAUAUUUUUUUCAAUCGAGUCAAAGAUAUACCAUUUAUAUUAGAUUGAGAAGACUAAUCAAUUUCUCUAGUUUUCUCCCUAAUGUAUAAAUUUCUCUAGUUUUCUCCCUAAUUAUAAAAUACAUCUGGUUUUUCAAGUCCAGAUUUUAGGAUAAAAAGAAUUUAUUUCUUGAAAUUAAUGCAUAAAACAAUAUAAAAAUAUUUUUAAUAAAUUAAAAUAGUAGUAAAAGUAAAUUUAGUUUUUGAUUGAAGUGUAAACUAGUGGUAAAUGAACAAAAAGAAACUUUAUUGAUUAUCUAAUGAGUUACUUCUCCAAAAAGAAUAUAUAUAUUAUUGAAUAUCUAAUGGAAAGGAUUCAUGAAACUCCGCCAUAUAUAUAUAUAAAAGAGAAAUUGUCGAUAAUAGCAAUCAUUUUCUUAUCUCUUGUAUCAUUCAUAUCUUCCACAAAUCUUAAGUAAUUGAUGAGACAGUGGAUAUUGCCAAGAAAGGUCGUGAACGCGGAUGCUUGACGAUUAUGAUUUUUAAACACAACCAUAUAGUGAUUUCCUUAUGCAUACUGGUGAUCCUCCAGAAUCUUGUAGGAACACCACAAGCCAAUCUAAAAGAAUGCUAAAAGUCAAAACACACAAGCCAUAUAAAAAUCACACGACAGCCAAUUACCUUAUCUUUUGAAAGAAAGAUAAUAAUAAUAAUAAUAAUAAUAAUAAUAAUAAUAAAAGCAUUCUCCUGGGUGUGCAAUGACCGCCAAUCUUUCUCAUUAUGACAUUCAAUGCUCAGUUAGAAGUUGCACGAUGCUCUUCUCAUGGGGAGCAAAAAUCAGUAGCCUCCCAUGGAAUCCUCAUAAACCUUUCUCUAUGCUCUUCUAAGAUAUUAAAAAUGUCAAACAUACAUCAAUAAUAAAAAGACAUUAAAAAUGUCAAACAUACAUCUAAGAUAUUACGCAAAACGAGGUUUUUUUCUGCAAAAAAAUAAAAAUAGAAUGUUAUACAAAUGGAGCUUCCAACAAAAAAGAUAUGGGAAGUUCGAGGAAAAAAAUGAUUAGUUAAUUCAAAACACCAGCAGUAAGUAAUAAUUACAAAACACGAUACCGAAACCAAAUUGAAAAGUGAGCAAGAAUACAAAAAUGGUUACAUGUAUCAAAAGGAACUGGUACCAAUUUCUCCACCACUGUAUGUCCCUUUUGUUCAGUCUAUGUUUGGUGCAAUCACCUAAAGCUAGAAACAAAAACAGCGCCUUACUCUACAAGUAGCUCAUCAAAGUAUAUGUUGUAAAUUGCAAACACGUGCUAACAAUAAAUUGUGGCCAGAGGAUUUGCUUCGAUCCCAGAGGCCAUUGAGGAUAUUCGUCAAGGAAAGGCUCAUGCACCCUCUUGAUUUGAUGAUUCUUUGCAUUUAGUUAUUGUUGUUGAUGAUGAACAAAUUAAGAGAAAAUGAGGGGGGCCUUAUAAUGGCAGCGUCAAAGGCAACACCAGAAGCUAUGGCAUUUAUUGUCAAGCAUGGGACUGGUAUAGUGUGUGUGAGCUUCCAUUAAUGGUAACUCAUAAGGAGAAUGAGGAAAACUGUGCACUGCAUUUACUGUAUCAGUGGUACGUCAUUAACUUCUCCAUUUAUAUUAUCUAAUGGAUAUGAUCUUUUCAAGAAACCUUUAUCUUGGUUUGAUUUUAAAGUGCUAAUUUAAUUGCGGAUUCUGUCCCAGAUGAGGUCCGGUUUCCUGAAAUCAAAGAUGUCUACACUGUCCCGUGGACUUAUAGUUCAGUUGCUCAAUCAGAACUGAUGACAUCUGCACAUUCGGCGACUCCAGCAUUAAUUGUGGCCUUGACAGAUUGUGAGAGGCCAGAUGGGAUGGAUUAGAUGCGUCUGAGUUUGUUGGAGAGGAAGACUUGCAGAAUAAUUUUGAGGGAGUGGGUGGCAGUUCGAUGGAGCGGUUCCUGUUGGUGCAACGCCGAACACAUGCCACGCAGGAUAUAUAGAAAUGCUAGUCAGCUUAUGAAAUCCGAGGUUGAUACGAUACUUAUCUUCAUAGAUUGUGAAUGUUGUUCUUUUUUCUACAAACGAUCCGUUAUGCAAAGCAAAUUCCAAGACCAGAAAAAUAAUGUUUAGAGUUAAAAGACAAUGUCUUAGCAGCAAGGACCUAUUCCAUCAGGAGAUAUGUGAAUUCUCAAGCCUUUGCAAUGCUUUUAAAUUAAUGAAGGAUCAAAAUGAAAAUGUUAUAUUCAUAACUAUACUGCAAUUUUGCCCAUAAUUCUUCUUUAAUUCUGUCCAGAAUCUUGGAUUAUGCUCCAGGGACCAAUCUGGAAUUUUAGUAGAUUUUUAAGGGUCAAAUUGUAAUUUUAUCAAAUUGAAGGACCAAAAUAAAAAUGUCAUAGAUUCAUAACUAUACUGGAAUUUUGCUUGUAAUUCAUCUUUAGUUCUGUCCAGAAUCUAGGAUUAUGCUUCAGGGAUCAAUCUGUAAUUUUUUCAAAGUUUGGGGAUUAACUUAAAUUUUCACAAAUUGAGGGACCAAAUUGAAAUUUUAUUAUCUUCAACCUCAAACCCAGAUUUUUCAUAGAUCACCUACUGAUAUAUCAAGAUUUCGAACUCAAAUUCAUCAUUUAAACAAACUAUAACUCAAAAUCAUCAUUUUUACCUAAAAUUUUCAAAAAUCAACUAAAUAACUCAUUACCCAUAACAGUCAUUCCGCUAAAUUAUUUCUACUUCUGCUUCUUCUUCUUCUUUUUUAUAAUACUCGAGUAUUAUUAUAGAAAGAUGCUUGAGCCAAAAUUAGAGGCUAUCUAGCAUAAAAGAAAAACAGAGGUAUAUACAGGACAGAGAGGAAGUAAUAACAUUAUAUAUAUAUAUAUAUAUAUAUAUAAAACUUGAGUUAACCCGUCAAGUCUAUGACCUGGAUUAUGAGAUCGGGAUAAGCAAACUCAAUAUUAAAAAAUAAAAUUGAAAAAAAAACAAUAAAAACAUAUAUGGUUUAACAAUAUUAAUCAAUUAUUAAAAUAUUUCAUUUUAUAUAUAUUAAAAAUAUAUAUUAAUAACUAUUAUAUCAGUUUGUGAAUGUUUCAAUUUGGAUGCAAAUAGAUGUUUAAUUAUCUAUGACAUUUUUUUUAAGAAACCAAAGUUAUUAAAUAUGGUUAGAUUUAAUACCUAGAUAAGGGUUUAGGUCAUAGAUUGGCUUAAUACUCGGAUCAAGAUUUGAAUUAUAGAUCGAACAAGUUAGCUUAUUGAUUGAUGUUAAUAAAAAAUUGUAUCAUUUUAAGAUUAUUUUUUAGUAAAAACCAAAAUCAAGUAGUUAAAAAAAGUGAAAGUAGUUUUUGAUAGGGUUGACUAGGUUGUAAGUUGAUUUAUCUAGUCGAUUAGGCUUGAUUGAGUCAACUCUCACUUGGUUUUUUUUAAAUCUAAAUCGGGUCAGGUUCCAGAUUAAAAUGUUAGGCUUGAAUUAAAUUUAAUAACGCUGAUUAAAAUCACAUUGUAGAAAAAAAAUGAAUUGCAUAAAAGUAAUUAACCAAAAACUUGUAUUCCUUCUUAUAAAGUUGAACCCAUGUCAGUUUCUUUUUUGGAAAAAUAUAAAUCAAAGGUUAACGCUACUUUCAUGACGAUGACGGAUAAAGAAGACUUGCUCCUUUCUUUAUGGAAAUAACGUGUGGAAAAUCAUGCCUUAAUUUUGAUGGUGAUGGCCAAAUCAAACAGUAUCGUUGAUAAAAUGAACCACAAAUGAUAUUAUUUCUACAAGACUUCUUGUCAUUGUCAUGACAAUAAGUCUUCUCCUUUUUCUUUCUAAAGAGUCUAUUUUUUGUAACACAAUCAACAAGUAAGAUGGAUAGAAAUUUGCAGUGUGAGAUGGGUCUGUGAGACUAUAUAUUGCCAUUUGUAUUUUUUUCAUGAUAAAGGCUAAUUGGAUGGUCCUAUCAAGCGUUUUUUUUACGAGAUGGGUCCAUAAAAACAUUUCCAUCUACACAUUGAUCCCUGAAACCUUUGCCAUAAUGCAUUUUUUCCACGAGAUGGGUUCGUGGAAAUACUUUGGUUUAAUAGGGAAUGCUGUUAUUGAUUGGAAACUUUUUAAUUAAAAUAAAUUUGAUUAUUUGAUUGGAAGAAAUCCUUAAAUGUUAUUAACACAAAGAAAUCAAUUUAUUUUCUUAAGAAAAAAAUAUUGUAACCAUAUAAGUAAUUUAUUUAUUUAUUUUAAUGAAAUAUAAAAUAGUUUUAAAUCUUGUGGUAUAUUUCUUGUCUUUAAGAGCUAUGAACUUAUAUCUCAAAACUUGAAAACUAAUAUAAAGAUAUUAAGUGAUCAUUGAGUGUAUGUGUGUGUGUAUAAUCUUUUUCAAAACAAAAAGGAUUUUGAUGGAGAGGACAUUGCAGCAAAUUAUCCACGAGAUGGGUCGGUGAUACCAUUGUCAUCAUGUAAUUUUUCCCACGAGAUGGGGCCGUACGCUUGGGGCUCUAAAAGCUAUGGUUUUUAAUUUCAUUAUGUUACAUAUCUAGAAUGGGAGGUAUAUUUUAUUUCAAUUCUAAAAAUGAAAUAAAUUAGAAGAUAUUUCAUCUUGUUUAGAAUAUUAUCUCCUUACAUGCAUGAAUUUCACAUAAAUUUUGACCAGAAUAUUUCGGUUCUAUUCCGGCCAUUCUAUUAUGUCCAAAUAAUGUUUUGUUUUGCUUUUAUAUAUAUAAAAAAUAUAAUUUAUUUUUAUGAUAUCAAUUAUACAUUUCAAUUCGACUAUUGGAUUAAACUGAAAUUUUAUAAUCUCCUAAUAUGUAUUAUAUCACAAGUUAAAAUUUUAGAUCAAUCAGAGUUUAGAAAGACUUUGUGAAAUUACUGUUGAUAUAUUUUCAUAAUUUUAUUUAAAUUCAUAAUUUUAUUUUGAAAUGUUUUAUUUUUUGUGGUUUUUUAGAUUGAUUUUUUUUCAUUUUAUAAUUUAACAAUAAAUUUAUUAAAAAUUAAAAUUCAUAAUUUAUUUUUAUUUAUUUUAUUUAAAAUUAUUAUAUUAUCAUUACUCAGAUCACGAAAAAAAAACCUUUGCUUUAAUUGGGAAUGCUGUUACAAGUAAUUGGACUCCGUGGGAUGGGAGACCGUUGCCAUCAUGCAUGUUUUUUCCACGGCAUGGGUCCGUAAAGUCCUCUAUAAAAGCUUAAACCUCCUUACUAUCCUCUAUAUCAAUUGAUCAGCAUUUAUAAGAUGGGGCUGUCUGUUCCUUCUGAUGUUGAUGGUUUUAGUAAUGAUGGUUUCUUGCAAGGAUGGCUGCCUCUUGGAGUAUAUUGACUUGAGAAUUAAUUGUUUUGAUAACAGUAUUUUAUUAUUUGUGGAGUUAUUUCUAUUUUUUAAAUUAUUAUAUUUAGAUUAUAAUAGAGUGAAAGAGUUAAUAGGUUUAAGAGAUUAGGAAAAAGCUACUAUUAAUUAUAGUUAGGGACCAAACUGGAAUUUUUGCACAUUUUUAAGGGUCAAAUUGUAAUUUUAUUAAAUUGAUGAAGGACCAAAAUGAAAAUAUCAUAUUUAUAACUAUACUGUAAUUUUGCCCAUAUUUCUUCUGUAAUUUUGCCUAGAAUCUCGGAUUAUGCUCUAGGGACCAAUCUGUAAUUUUUUUCAAAGUUUGGGGAUUAAACUGAAAUUUUCAUAAAUUGAGGUACCAAACUGAAAUUUUUUCAUCUUCAACAUCAAACCCAGAUUUUUCACAAAUCACCUAUUGAUAUAUCAAGAUUUUUAACUAGAUGAGGGUUUAGGUCAUAGAUUGGCCUAAUACUCGGAUCAAGAUUUGAGUCAAGUUAGCUUAUUGACUAGUGUUAAUAAAAAAUUAUAUUAUUUUAAGAUUUAAUUUAAUUAAAUAGAUCCAACUACCAUGCAAUUCCACAAUUAAUUUAUUUUAUUAUGAUUUAGUGUUAUGUUAACCAGGCAACAUUUAAUUACCAUGAUAUAAAAUACAAAAAUAGUGGGAACAUAAAAAAACAUGCUUUUAUAUAUUUUUUAUUUUAAAAGUAUAAAUUUUACUUUAAGACUAUUGUAAAAAGAUAUUUAUUUUAAAUUUAUUUAUAUUUUUAUAAUUCAAAAAUUAAAAAUAAAACAGAAUUAAUCCAUACUCAUCUAAAAACAAUUAACUCUAACAUCAUUAUUUUAUAACAAAACUAGCAAAGAUAAUUUAUUAAUCACUAAGUUUUCUGGUUAUAAAUACAUUAGUAAGUGUCUUUGUCUCUUUUGUAUUUCUAACUAUUAACGAAUUGAAAGAAUAAAUUUAGAAUCACCAAUUAAGCAGUGAAUCACACGGGAAGAUUGAAAGAAUAAUUAAAGUGAUUAUACUAACCGACAAGUCGACCCCAAGUCAAAGUCUUCUGUGGAAAAACAUGAAUAAAAGGUGGACGCUGGGCAGCUCACUUUCCAUGAAGAUGAUGGAUACAGAGCCCUCCCUUCUAUCUUUAUGGAAAUCACGUCUAGAAAAUCAUGCUUUAAUUUUAAGCUUGAGAGGGGAUGAUAUAUAUAUAUAUAUAUAUAUAUAUAUAUAUAUAUAUAUAUAUAUAUAUAUAUAUAUGCUUUAAUUUCAACUUGUAUAAAAAAUAAAUCUUAAUGACUGGUGAUUUAAACUUGGGUGUUUUUUCGGUAUUAAUAUAUAUAUUCCUCAAUUAUCAUAAAGAAUUAAGAAAAAACUAAUAAUAAGAUUAAAAUAAAUGUUUUAUAUAUCGAAAUAAUUAAAAGUAAGGUUUACUUAAGGUAUAUAUGGGAUUAAUUUAAAAUAACAAUAAAAUCAAUUUAUUAAAAAAAAUCAUAAAUUUAGUUUUCCUAAAUUUUAAAUGUAGUGUGAAUGCAUUCCGCAAGAAAAAAACAGUGCAAAAUUAGCCUUUCAAGAAAUAGAGAAUCUUCCUCUUUGAAGGAAUUAAUUAGUGGGUUGGAAAAAUGUCGUCUUCUGCUCUAAUAUUUUCUUCACUUUCUCUAUAGUUUUACCUUACACCAAUAUUGUCAGAAAAUGAUACAAUAUACUUCUUGUGUUAUCCUUCAAGAUUUCAAUUGAAAAUUAAGGAGGGUCGUAAAAAAUUUAAUUUUUAUAAACAUAUCCUUAACUCUGUAUCUUCUCUAGAUAUGUCUGUGACUGAGCUCCAUAAAGAAUUCCUAUUUAACAUUAAUCUGUCCAUCAAGUUUUUGAUCCCCGAUUAAGGCCAUCUUGAUAAAUGAGAUUUUACUCUGUAAUUUUAAUGUAUAGCUGUCAAUGACCUGAAACAUGCAAAUUAAAAUUCAAAGUGUGAGCAUUGAAUUUCUUGUCAGUUUACACCCUUCUGUGGUGUUUCCUCUUUCCAUUGAUUGAAGAGCGUCCAAGAGGAAAAACUGAAAAGGCAAAAGUUCUAUUGUACAGUGAAAAAGAGCAUGAGAAAUACACAGAAGCAGAGAUGCAUGAAUCCUUCUCCACUAGCAGCUCUCGUCCAUAGGAUCAUUGUGGUUUCAAGAUUGAUGCCCAAUCAUUUCCCUCUUUGUUCGAUUCCUCAGACCUUUUGGAAACUGUACAUUCCGGGGGAAAGUCUGUGCAAGGGCAAAAGGCGACGGUGGACUUGACAAAGGGCUGAGGGGUGGGUGAGAUGUUAUGUCAAGAAAUGAUUUUGGAAAAUUUCUUCAUAUGUGUUGAAUAACUAAGAUAAGAUAGGAGUCUUGAACAAGGCAAAAGCAUAGGCUCUCCAAGACGAUUGACCAGAAGGAGAGAAGGAAGGCUCUAUAUCCUUAGCACGUCAAACACUCCUUUGCACAUUAGAGAAAUUGUCGAGUUAUUCCUGCUUCUUCUUCUUCUUCCUUUUUUUUUUUUUUAUUUAUAAUAGUCCAGUAUUAUUAUAGAAAGGUGCUCGAGCCAAAAUUAGAGACUAGCUAGCAUAAAAGAAAAACAUAGGACAAUAUAUACAAGACAGGGGAGGAAGUAAUAACAUAACAUAAUAUAUAUAUAUAUAUAUAUAUAUAUAUAUAUAUAUAUAUAUAUAUAUAUAUAUAUUAAAAAAAACUUGAGUUAACGCAUCAACUCAACGACCCGAAUCAUGAGAUCAGGAUAAGCAAACUCAAUAUUAAAAGAUGAAAUUUAAAAAAAAAACCUUAAAAACAUAUAUGGUUUAACAAUAUUAAUUAAUUAUUAAAAUCUUUCAUUUUAUAUAUAUUAAAAAUAAAUAUUAAUAACUAUUAUAUCAAUUUGUGAAUGUUUCAAUUUGAAUGCGAACAAAUGUUUUAUAUAUGACAUUUUUCUUAAGAAUGUCUCUUUCAUUAAAACCAAAAUUAUUUAACAUGAUUAGAUUUAAUACCCUGAGAGUUUAGGUCAUAGAUUGGCCUAAUACUCGGAUAAGAUUGAGAUCAUAUAUCAGACAAGUUAGCUUAUGUUGAAUGGUGUUAAUCUAAAAUUGUAUUAUUUUAAGAUUUUUUUUAGAAAAAAUCAAAAUUGCGUAGUUAAAAAAAAUAAAACUAGUUUUUGACUGAAUUAACUAGGUUGUGGGUUGAUUUAUUUAGUCGAUUAGGCUUGGUUGGGUCAGCUCUCACUUAGUUUUUUCUAAACCUGAAUUGGGUUAGGUUCCAGAUUAAAAUGUUAGGCUUGAAUUAAAUUUAAUAAUGCUGAUUAAAACCACAUUGUAGAAAAAAAAUUAAAUUGCAUAAAAGUAAUUAACCGAAAACUUGUAUUCCUUCUUGUAAAGCUGAACCCGUGUCAGUUUUAUUGAAGGAAAACUAUGAACCAAAGGUUAAUGCUACUUUCAUGACGAGAAGACUUGCUACUUUCUUUAUGGAAAUAACGUGUGGAAAAUCAUGCCUUAAUUUUGAUGGCGAUGGUAAAAUCAAAGAGUAUCGUUGAUAAUUAAAUGCUUAUGCAUAAAAAAUAAAUCUCAAGUGUUAGAAUGCAACCACUGAUUAAUUAAUGGACAACGGACCUUGGAUUAAUACAUGACGCAACUUUCAAUGGAAUUAUAUUUGUGGAGGUAUUUACUCGGAUGUGAAUUAUAUUUUUAUUUUUUUAUUUUAAAAAAAAUUCUAUAUACUACAACUAGCUUAAGAAAGUCAAAAAAAUUUAAGUGAAAAAAAAUAUAUAUAUAUUUAUAUACACUCACGCACACACAAAAAUAUAGUCAAAUAAAUCAAGAACUAUGUGUGUUAAUAAGUGGAAAAAAAAACCUUAAACGAUAACUCAAAAUAAAAACUAGAAAAAUCAAGAGACAAGUGUAUAUCAAGAUAUUUAAUUUCACAUGACGUGACAUUUUUUUUUUUGGAUUCGACGAAACCUCACCCCUCCGAAAAGCACACUUUGUGGGCCCAGGUGAGGGAGUAAAACCCCGGCUGUCCCAGGCUCUUACAAAAGGUGCACGCCCUGACUCGAACUCGAGACCUGCUGUGCAGAUCUCAAACCCUUUGCCAUCACGCUACGCCCCUUGGGGACAACGUGACAUUUACGCAGUAUUGUUUUCUAAAUUUUCUAAUUAAAAUAAUUUUUUAUUUGAUCAAACGAUAAUAUAAACAGACACACACAUUCUAAAUUGAUUGAAUAAAAAAAAAAUAUAUGCAAAGCUGUAUAUAUUAAAAAUAUUAUUUGAAAAUAAUUUGUUUUUCAAAAAUAAAGUUCAUCUAUGUAAAAGAUUUUAAAAAAAUAUAGAUUAAUCAAAAAAACCUCUUUAAAAAUUAAAUUCAUGAUUAAAAAAUAAUCAUCAUUUCAAAUAGGCUUUUUAAAUAACUAAAAAGAGAGAAGGGAUAUUAAUAUAAAUAUAAAUAUAACUAAAAUUAAGAUUAUUUUAAAAAAAUAGAUAAAAAAAAUUUUAAGCGAAAAAAAGUGAACAGACACGGUGAACUUAACUCAUAAACUCAACUGAAUUUAAUAUUUUUUUCGUUAAAUUUAUUAUAAAUAUAAAAAAAAACAAAAUUAAUAUCAUUCACGGUAAAACAUAAAUAAAAAACAGUACAACCGCAUAGUAUUCACCUCAGGCAUUUUCUUUUAAAUUUAUAGCCAAACCUUAAAAAUAAACUUUUGUGCUCAGUAUCUUUUUAAGGUGAAUUAACAAGUUUCAACUCAUCUCUGUAUCUUCUCUAGAUACAGAGAAUUCCUAUUUAACAUUAAUCUGUCCAUCAAGUUUUUGAUUCCCAAUUAAGACCAUCUUGAUAAAUGAGAAUUUACUCCGUAAUUUUAUUGUAUAGCUGUCAAUGACCUGAAACAUGCAAAUUAAAAUUCAAAGUGUGAGCAUUCAAUUUCUUGUCAGUUUACACCUUUCUGUGGUGUUCCCUCUUUCCAUUGAUUGAAGAGCGUCUAAGAGGAAAAACUGAAAAGGCAAAAGUUAUGUUGUACAGUGAAAAAGAGCAUGAUCAGAAAUACACAAAAACAGAGAUGAAUGAAUCCUUCUCCACUAGCGCUCUCGUCCAUCGGAUCAUUGUGGUUUCAAGACCGAUGCCCAAUCAUUGCCCUCUUUGUUCGAUUCCUCAGACCUUUUGGAAACUGUACAUUCCGGGGGAAAGUCUGUGCAAGGGCAAAAGGGGACGGUGGACUUGACAAAGGGCUGAGGGGUGGGUGAGAUGUUAUGUCAAGAAAUGAUUUUGGAAAAUUUCUUCAUAUGUGUUGAAUAACUAAGAUAAGAUAGGAGUCUUGAACAAGGCAAGAACAUAGGCUCUCCAAGACAAUUGACCAGAAGGAGAGAAGGAAGGCUCUAUAUCCUUAGCACGUCAAACACUCCUUUGCACAUUAGGGAAAUUGUCGAGUUAUUUCUGCUUCUGCUUCUGCUUCUUCUUCUUUUUAUAAUAGUCGAGUAUUAUUAUAGAAAGGUGCUAGAGCCAAAAUUAGAGGCUAGCUAGCAUAAAAGAAAAACAAUGAUUAAUUGCAAGAGAUGGUUACUUAUACCAGUAGCAAUUUAGUAAUGAUUAAUUAGCAUUUAUAUUAAGAUGUGGCUAUUAAUUCAAAUGUUAACAAUGAUUUUCUUGGAAGGAUGAUUGCCUCUUGGUUACUUUAAAAUAUACGGUUUUUUUAGUUCAAAUCUAUUAAUAAAAAUAUAGUUUUAUUGAAUUUUUUUAUAUACUUUUAUUAGAGAAAUUAAUUUAAACACAUUUAUAUACAGACACUAGUUUAUCAAGUACUUCAAUAGAAAAAUAAAAUCAAUUAGAGUACUUAAAUAAAAAAAAAUAUAAAUUAUAAGCAUUUUACAUAUCUUUAUUGUUUAUAAAUUAAAAAUAAAAUAAUAUCAAUCCAGACUAAUCUAAAAAAAAAUUAACUAUGACAUCAUCAUUCUAAUAAUAAAACUAAUAAAGAUGUUUUAUUGAUUAAAUUUCGUGAUACAGGGUUGAAACAAAAAAGAGAUGAAGAGAGAGGAGGGAAUGGAAAGAAGGGAAAAAAGAACUCAUGCGAUCUGUUGUUUGUAAGUUUUUUACAUAAUAUAUAGGAAGGUAUUUUAAUUAUUUUGUUCAAAUUAAAAAUUUUCAUUGACUAAAAAGCGUAAUUAUCUAAAACAUAAAAGCAAAGUAAAAAACUCAAAUGCUUCAUUAAAAAACUCAAUUGAUUCGGUGCUUUAUUAGUUUCUAUAGUAUGGUGUCUUAUGCAUUUUGUUCUAAUCAUAUAUGGGAAAGUGUUUGGUUGAUUAACGUAUAUCAUGACUUUGUAUGGGUCCUACCACAAACUCUCUCUUUUGAAAUAUUAAUUAAGAAAAAGCUAUAAUUUAUAGUUUUUUUAAAUUUAUUUUUUCAAAUUACAAUCAUAUAAACUACUAUAAUAUCAAAUACAUAUUUGAAUAAGACUCAGUAAAAAUUUUCUUCUUCUAAAUACAAAGUGGAAAUGAGUUACUUUCUCCAAAAAGAAUAUAUACAAUAUUAUCGAUUAUCUAAUGCAAACUCCGUCUAACAUACACAGAGAAAGAGAGAGAACCUUAACUAUGUUUAUUUUAUGCACUUUAAUUAAAAAUAAAUUUUGGAUUGUACGAGAGACUUUAAUUAAAUUUCAAUAUUAAAUUUAUGCACUUUAAUUAACAUACACAGAUCAACUAUUAAUAUAUCAAGACUUUUAACUCAAAUUCAUUAUUUAAACAAACCAUAACUUAAAAUUAUUAUCUUUAUCUAAAAUCUUUAAAAAUCAAUGAAAUAACUCAUUAUUCAUAAUAAUUAACCUGCUAAGUUAUUUCUGCUUCUUCCUUUUUAUAAUAGUCGAGAAUUAUAUAUUAUAGAAAGGUGCUAGAGUUAAAAUUAGAGGCUAGCUAGCAUAAAAGAAAAACAGAGGUAUAUACAAGACAGGGGAGGAAGUGUGCGUGCGUGCGUGUGUGUGUGUGUGUGUGUGAUCCCUUCUCAAGCUUAAAAGUAAAGCAUGAUUUUCUAGACGUGAUUUCCAUAAAGAUAGAAGGGAGGGCUCUGUAUCCAUCAUCUUCAAGGAAAGUGAGCUGGCCAUCGUCAACCAUUUAUUUAUGUUUUCAACCAUUUAUUUAUGUUUUUCCACAAAAGACUUUGACUUGGGGUCAACUUGUCGGUUAAUUACUUUUAUGCAAUUCAAUUUUUUAAAAAUAUAUAUAUAUAUGCUUUAAUUUCAACUUAAGUUAUAUACGGGACGAUAAAAAAAUAACAAUAAAAUCAAUUUAUAAAAAAAAUCAUAGAUUUAGUUUUCCUAAAUUUUAAAUGUAGUGUGAAAGCAUUCCGCAAGAAAAAAACAGUGCAAAAUUAGCCAUGACAAUAAGUCUUUUUCUUUCUAAAGAGUUUAUUUUUUGUAACACAAUCAAUAAGUAAGAUGGAUGGGAAUUUGCAGUGUGAGAUGGGUUUGUGAGACUAUAUAUUGCCAUCAGCAUUUUUUCCAUGAUAUAGGCUUGUAGGAUGGUCCAUGAGACCAUUGCUAUAUAUCAAGCGUUUUUUCUACGAGAUGGGUCCAUGAGACCAUUACCUCGUAAGCUUGGGAAUGGAUAACAUGAUUUAAUGUUUAUUUAGUUUAAAAAAAAAUUAAAUGCUUAUGCAUAAAAAAUAAAUCUCAAGUGUUAGAAUGCAACCACUGAUUAAUUAAUGGAUAAUGAACCUUGGAUUAAUACAUGACGCAACUUUCAAUGGAAUUAUAUUUGUGGAGGUAUUUACUCGGAUGUGAAUUAUAUAUAUAUAUAUAUAUAUAUAUAUAUAUAUAUAUAUAUAUAUAUAUAUAUAUAGGGGCACACACAAAUAUAGUCAAAUAAAUCAAGAAUUAUAUGUGUUAAUAAGUGAAAAAAAAAAUAUUAAACUAUAACUCAAAAUAAAAACUAGAAAAACCAAGAGACAAAUGUAUAUAAAGAUAUUUAAUUUCACAAGACGUGAUAUUUACGCAGUAUUGUUUUCUAAAUUUUCUAAUUAAAAUAAUUUUUUAUUCGAUCAAACGAUAAUAAAAAUAGACACAUACAUUAUAAAUUGAUUGAAUAAAAUAAAAGGAGAAAAAAUAAUAUGCAAGGCUGUACAUAUUAGAAAUAUUAUUUGAAAAUAAAUUUCUUUUUAUUUUCAAAAAUAAAGUUCAUCCAUGUAAAAUAUUUUUAAAAAAUAUAGAUUAAUCAAAAAAAUCUCUUUAAAAAUUAAAUGCAUGAUUAAAAAAUAAUCAUCAUUUUAAAUAGGCUUUUUAAAUAACUAAAAAGAGAGAAGGGAUAUUAAUAUAAACAUAAAUAUAACUAAAAUUAAGAUUAUUUAAAAAAAAUAGAUAAAAAAAUUUUAAGCAAAAAAAAGUGAACAGACAACUUAUAAACUCAACUGGAUUUAAUAUUUUUCCUGUUAAAUUUAUUAUAAAUAUAAAAAAACAAAAUUAAUAUCAUUCAUGGUAAAACAUAAAUAAAUAAAUAAAUAAAACAGUACAACCGCAUGUUAUUCACCUCAGGCAUUUUCUUUUAAAUUUAUAGCCGAACCUUAAAAACAAACUUUUGUGCUCUGUAUGUUUUUAAGGUGAAUUAACAAUUUUCAACUCAACUCGGUACCUUCUCUAGAUAGAUCUGUGACUAUGCCUUGGAUUUUCUCAAAACUACUAAGUGUGUGCUUGAGAGGGUGAUUAUAGUUGUUUUUUAAAGUGUUUUUCACUCAGAAAAACAUGUCAAUAAUAUUUUUUUAUAUUUUAAAAUUUAUUUUCGAAAUCAGCACAUCAAAAUGAUUUAAAAACAUCAAAAAUAUAUUAAUUUAAAGUAAAAAAAAAAUUCAAAUUUUUGCGGAAGUGCUUUUGAAAAGCACUCCCAAACACUCCCAUGGUUGGAUACCAAGUAAAUAGAGAUAAAUUUAUUUCCUGUUAUUCUCCGAUAGUAUCUUCGUCCCUUGAUAGAACUUUCUUGGAGAUGAUGAGCUACCACUCCCUUUUGACUUUGCUGGCCUCCCAAAUAUAAAUAAAGAAUUCCUCUUGAUAGAAUUUUCUUCGAAAUGAUGAGAAUAUUUUAGAAUAUUCUGGUUGACGCCAGCUGUCAACAACUAUCUUACAUUCCCAACGCAUGCCUUUGCAAGAUGUUAAAGGCUCAUCUAAAAACAAUUAACUCUGAUAUCGUUAUUUUAUAACAAAUUAGCAAAGAUAAUUUAUUAAUCACUAAGUUUUCUGGUUAUAAAUACAUUUGUAAUUGUCUUUAUCUCUUUUGUAUUUCUAACAAUUAACGAAUUGAAUAUAUAAUAAAUACCGACUGAAAGAAUAAAUUUAGUUUAAAUGUGCUAAAGUUUAAAUAGGCGACUUUAGAAUCACCAAGAAGGCAGUGAAUCACACGGGAAGAUUGAAAGAAUAAUUAAAGUGAUUUUACUAACAUUGUAAAAGUAAUUAACCGAAAAGUUGACCCCAAGUCAAAGUCUUCUGUGGAAAAACAUGAAUAAAAGGUUGACGCUGGGCAGCUCACUUUCCAUGAAGAUGAUGGAUACAGAGCCCCCCCUUCUAUCUUCAUGGAAAUCACGUCUAGAAAAUCAAACAUUAUUAUUGCCAUCUGCGUUUUUUCUUAGAGAUGGGUCCGUUCCACCAUUUCCCCUCAAGCUUGAGAUAUAUAUACGUGACACGAUUUAAUUUCAAAUCUUAAUGUAGUGUGUUAGAAUGCAACCACCGAUUGAUUAAAUUUAAUGGCUGGUCAUUUAAACUUGGGUGUUUUUUCGGUAUUAAUAUAUAUAUAUAUAUAUAUAUAUUCCUCAAUUAUCAUAAAAAAUUAAGAAAAAACUAAUAAUAAGAUUAAAAAUAAAUGUUUUAUUUAUCGAAAUAAUUAAAAGUAAGGUUUACUUAAGGUAUAUAUGGGAUGGUAAAAAAAUAACAAUAAAAUCAAUUUAUAAAAAAAAAUCAUAGAUUUAGUUUUCCUAAAUUUUAAAUGUAGUGUUUAUAAUUAAUUAAUUAAUUGAGAAUUUGAGCUCUUCUAAAAGUUGUUUAUGGACUUUUGUUUUCCGGAGAAAACUCCCUUAAAACCUUUGAGCACUUCCUUCUCUAAAAUAUAUGUUUUUGCCAUAACUCAGGGGCUCUGUAUCUUUUAAGGUGAAUUAGGCUUUAUAUCUUUUUAAGGUGAAUUAACAAGUUUCAACUCAUCUCUGUAGAUACAUAGAAUUCCUAUUUAACAUUAAUCUGUCCAUCAAGUUUUUGAUCCCCAAUUAAGACCAUCUUGAUAAAUGAGAUUUUACUCUGUAAUUUUAAUGUAUAGCUGUCAAUGACCUGAAACAUGCAAAUCAAAAUUCAAAGUGUGAGCAUUGAAUUUCUUGUCCGUUUACACCUUUCUGUGGCGUUUCCUCUUUCCAUUGAUUGAAGAGCGUCUAAGAGGAAAAACUGAAAAGGCAAUCACUAGCGGCCCUCGUCCAUCGGAUCAUUGUGGUUUCAAGAUUGAUGCCCAAUCAUUGCCCUCUUUGUUCGAUUCCUCAGACCUUUAGGAAACUGUAUAUGAGAUGUUACAGAGUGACGGAGGACUUGACAAAGGGCUGAGGGGUGGGUGAGAUGUUAUGUCAAGAAAUGAUUUUGGAAAAUUUCUUCAUAUUUGUUGAAUAACUAAGAUAGGAGUCUUGAACAAGGCAAGAACAUAGGCUCUCCAAGACGAUUGACAGAAGGAGAGAAGGAAAGCUCUAUAUCCUUAGCACGUCAAACACUCCUUUGCACAUUAGAGAAAUUGUCGAGUUAUUUCUGCUUCUGCUUCUGCUUCUGCUUCUUCUUCUUUUUAUAAUAGUAGAGUAUUAUUAUAGAAAGGUGCUAGAGCCAAAAUUAGAGGCUAGCUAGCAUAAAAGAAAAAGAAAAACAGAGGACAGUAUAUACAACUAUACAAGACAGGGGGAGGAAGUAAUAACAUAAUAUUAAUAACUAUAUAUAUAUUAAAAAAACUCGAGUUAACCCAUCAAGUUUACGACCCGGAUUAUGAGAUCGGGAUAAGCAAACUCAAUGUUAAGAAAUGAAAUUAAAGAAAAAAACCAUAAAAACAUAUAUGGCGUAGUGUCUUAUCGAUUAAGUUUGAUUGGGUCAACUCUCACUUGGUUUUUUCUAAACCUAAAUUGGGUUAGAUUCUAGAUUAAAAUAUUAGGCUUGAAUUAAAUUUAAUAACACUGAUUAAAACCACAUUGUAGAAAAAAAAAAUGAAUCGCGUAAAAGUAAUUAACCGAAAACUUGUAUUUCUUCUUAUAAAGUUGAACUCAUGUCAGUUGUUUUUUAAGGAAAAAUAUGAAUCAAAGGUUAAAGCUAGGCAGCUCACUUUGCACGACAAUGACGGAUAUAGAAGACAUAACGUGUGGAAAAAUCAUGCCUUAAUUUUGAUGGUGAUGGCAAAAUCAAACAGUAUCGUUGAUAAAAUGAACCACAAAUAAUAUUAUUUCUAAAACACUUCUUGUCAUUGUGAUGACAAUAAGUCUUCUUCUUUGCAGUGUGAGAUGGGUUUGCAUUUUUAUUUUCCACGAUAAUUAAUUAAUUAAUUGAGAAGUUGAGCUCCUUAAGAAAAGUUGUUUAUGGACCUUUGUUUUCCGGAGAAAACUCCCUUAAAACCCUUGAGCACCACCUUCUCUAAAACAUCUAUCUUUGCCAUAACUGAGAGGCUCUGUAUCUUUUUAAGGUGAAUUAACAAGUUACAACUCAACUCUGUAUCUUUUUUAGAUAUGUAUGUGACUGUACCUUGAUGUUCUCACAACCAUUAAGAUGGAGACAAAUUUUCUUUUCUGUUAUUCUCCGAAAAUAUCUUCGUUCCUUGAUAGAAUUUUCUUGGAAAUGAUGAGCUUCCACUCCCUUUUGACUUUGCUGGCCUCCGAAAUAAUUAAAGAAUUCCUCUUGAUAGAAUUUCCUUGGAAAUGAUGAGAAUAUCUCACAUUCCCUUGGCAUCGUGUUCCAUGCCUUUGCAAAUUAUUAAAGGCUCCAAUGCAUGUGUCCUUUUAUUCAUGUUUUUCCACAAAAGACUUUUGACUUGGGGUCAACUUGUCGGUUAGUAAAAUCACUUUAAUUAUUCUUUCAAUCUUCCCGUGUGAUUCACUGCUUAAUUGGUGAUUCUAAAUUUAUUCUUUCAAUUCGUUAAUAGUUAGAAAUACAAAAGAGACAAAGACAAUUACUAAUGUAUUUAUAACCAGAAAACUUAGUGAUUAAUAAAUUAUCUUUGCUAGUUUUGUUAUAAAAUAAUGAUGUUAGAGUUAAUUGUUUUUAGAUGAGUUUGGAUUAAUUCUGUUAAUUUUAUUUUUAAUUUUUGAACUAUAAAAAUAUAGAUAAAUUUAAAAUAAAUAUCUUUUUACAAUAGUUUUUUAGUAAAAUUAGAGUAAAAUUUGUACUUUUAAAAUAAAAAUAUAUAAAAACAUGUAUUUUAUGUUCCCAUUAUUUUUGUAUUUUAUAUCAUGGUAAUUAAAUGUUGCCCGGUUAACAUAACACUAAAUCAUAAUAAAAAAAUAAUAAUUAUGGAAUGGCAUGGUAGUUGGAUCUAAUUUUUUUAUGGAAUGGCAUGGUAGUUGGAUCAUAAUAAGAGUAUUCAAAUUAAGAAUAUUUAAAUGAGUGUUAAUUGGGUUUAAAAGACUUACAAGCAAAAUAUAAGUUGUUUGUUAGAAUUCUUAUGGAUCCGAUAGAAAAUUAAUACUUCAUUCAUAUACAUUACAUGAGCAUAUAUAUAUUUCUUUUAUCAACAUAAUGAUAUGUUUAUUUAUGUAACAGGUCCAUCAAAUAUCCAUGGAGAUCAUUAGUUUAGGGCUCUACUUUGUCAAGCUUAUGUAAAUAUUUAACUUAAGCAAAAGGGAAUUAACGCAUUUAUGUAGUAUGCUUUUGUAUAAACCUUGAUGUAUUUAUAAAAGUUCAGCUUAGCAUGUAGUACUUUAGUUAUCUUGUAAUUAACCCUUCUGAAAUAUUUAAAAACACUUAUUAUGUUGUAAAUGCUUUAUUUACAUGUUAGUAUUCCUUUUUCUUUUAAUUUUAUGAUAUGAUAUAUGGGCUAUGUUCAUAUUGAACUUGCUCAUAGGAUAUAUAUAAAUAUAUAUUGUGUGGAUUAUAUGAGGUGUUGAAUUAUGAUGAUUAAUAUAAGGUUCGGAAUUAUGGGACCUUGUGAUGAUGGAUUGAUUGUGUAAAUUAAUAGUAGUCGAUAACUUGGGAUGUUCUAAAUACAAACAAAACUCUGCUGAAUUUUUGGUAGAUUUAAAAAAAAAAAUUACCCUCAAAUUAAAAGCAUAUGUUGAGAUCUUUUAACAUUGAUCAAGUCGUAUAGUUGGUUCUGUUACAUGUUAGGUAUACAAUGUCUCUGUGAUAUGGACAUAAUGAUUUUUGAUGUGUCAAAUUCUUACUAUUUCACUCUUAAGAGUAGAAAGAUCUACUUCGUUGGACAACCACCAAGGCUUAACAACAAUAAUGAGAAAAUAAGCAUGUGAAAGGAAAAAGACUUAAUCUUAUAAGCCCAAAUGAUUUUGAGAAUCAGGUUCAUGAAGAGUUUGUUGCAUUUGCUUUAGUGGCUAAGAAAGUUUUAGAGAAAGCACUCGAAGAAAUAAGUGUAGUUUUGAAAGAAUUUCAAGAUGUUUUUCCUCUCAAAGUUCAUAAUUCCUUACCCCAUUAUACGUGACAUUCAACACGUAAUAUUUUAUCCCUAGUUACCUCUUGGUUUCAAGCAAGAAACACACUUCAAUAUCAUUAUGCGUUACUGUAUUCCUAAUAGAUGCCCUCUUAGCAGACAUACCCAACCCACAACUAUUCCAGAAUAAAAUCUUCAUUGAUAAAUGAUUUUAAACCUUACCAAGUUAUACUGCAAAAUGGAAUUAUUCCCAAAACCCAAAGCAAAUAACAUCCUCUGCGCCUCAUCUUCAACAAUACAUUCUGCUGUUGCAGCAGAACUGUAAGUUAUCAUAUAACGAAGAUUCCCUUUUCUGAUUCUAGAAUCCAGUGAACCUGGUGAUUCCACCUCACGUUCAUCCUCCACCCGCUGAAGACUACCAUUGAAAGAGAAAAGCUCCACCUUUGGGUGUAAACUGGAUUGAUUGCAUCCCAUCUGAAUCACGUGGGCUUAAUGGAAGGAACGAACAAUUGUCGGUUUUAAAAGUUUGGUUUGUAACAAUCAUUGUAAUUCCAAAUUUCCAUACUCCUUCCAUUUAAGCAAUUAAUAAUAACAGAGAAUAUGUAUAAAUCUCAAUGUUGUUUUAAAUUUUAUGUAAGAUAGUACAGUUUCAUUCAAAAAAUGAGAAAGAACAAUAAAAAUCCUCAAAUUCUACCACCUUCAAUUCUCAUUCAUCAACAACAGCAUACAUUCAAACAAGUGAUCAAUAGUGUUGAUGAAAAAUAAAUCAUUAGCGAUCAAGUGACGAGGACUAUAGUAAGAUUGGCGCCAUUGUAAGCUUGACAAGCUUUGCCUACUCUAAUUAACAGCAACGAAAGAUUCAGUGCCUAAUCUCUGGACGGAGAAGGGGACGCCUUUGUUAUGUACAUGGUUGCCCUAAAUGGUUCGAUGAUGCUCAUUUUAAACAUUUUUUGUCAAGGUUGUCAAUUUUGCUCCGUUUAGUGUUUCAUUUUUUUAAUUGAAACGGUAUGUUUUGGUUUCGGAGCAUUUCAGUGUGUUGUUUCAGGAUUAUAUAUAUAUUAACUCAAUUAAACAUAAUUUAAAUUUAAAUUUAAAGAUAAAUUAACUUGAAAUUAUGCAAUUUAAAUUUCAAACACAAGUAAAAAAGUGAGAGACUGAUAUGACUUGAUCGACUAGAUGGGUCCAAAGACAACCUUUACGACUGGUAAGAAUAUAGUUUGACUCAAAAAAAUUUAAGAUGAUAUUUUUUAAAAAAUAUAUUGAGAUGACAACAUAUUAAAUCAACCUGGGUCAACUCGAUCGGAUUAACUUUCUAAAUUCGUAAUCCAGGUUAUGAGACCAUAAUAACCUAAAAUAAAGCAAAUCAAAACAAAUUAUAAAGCUGAAUUCUCAAUAAACAUGUUAUUGAAUGGUUAAAUUGGAAAAAUUUUAAUAUAAAAAAAGACACAAAAAAAUGACCUUCAGAGACUAUUGUCGUCACCAGAAUGUUUUGCCCGCCACACAAGCUUCACAUAUCUUUUGCAACUCAGAUUUGGAAACUUUAGAGUACCUUUUUAUAUACUGUAACUUUUCUAGGAGUGUUUGGAUGAAAGUUUUGGAUUAGUGGGGUAUCUAAUGUUGUUGUCGAGCACUUUAGACUCGCUACUUCUACAACAACAUGGAAUGGUGCAGGGUAAAUUCCAAAGAUUAGCUUGGAGACUAAUCUCUAGUAGUAUUACUCGGGGUAUUUGGUUGUUGAGGAACAAAAUUGUUUGUGAGGAGAGAACUAUAAGUUUGUUUGAUUGUUUCUCUAUCAUCCUUUAUCAGGUUGCUAUUUAGUUGUAUACUCUGUAUUCAAACUUUACUUAUACAGGAAAUGAUCUCUUAAGAUCUUUUGAUGAUAUCAAAUUGUGGUGUAAUAAGAAAUCUUAGGUAGUUUCUUUGUUUUUUUGUUGUAGCAAAUCAGUUUUGUUUUCUUUUUUUCCCCCUUUUUUCUUUUUUUUUUUGUCCUAUGAGACUAUUGUCAUCUGCAUUUUUUCCAUGAUAUAGGCCAGUGGGAUGGUCCAUGAGACCAUUGCUAUCAAGCGUUUUUUGUACGAGAUGGGUCCACGAGACCAUUGCCCUGUAAGCUUGGGAAUGGAUAAUAUGCUUUAAUUUCAAUUUAGUUUACAAAAAAAUUAAAUUAAAUGCUUAAGCAUAAAAAAUAAAUCUCAAGUGUUAGAAUGCAAUUACCGAUUAAUUAAUGGACAACGGACCUUAGAUUAAUUAAUAUAUGAUGCAUCUUUCAAUGGAAAUGUAAAUGCUUUACUAGAAUAUUAUUUUUUUUUGUAUUUGUUUUCUGGUUAUAUUUAAUUUUCAUCAAUAUUCCUAACAUAAAUUGCUACGUAUUUUGAAUCUUGAAGGAUUGAAAGAUAGAAAACAGAAAAGAAAAGGAGACAAGGCAGUUCAAAAGAAGAAGAAAAAAGUACGAUAGUGAAAGAAAGAGAAGAGAAUAAAAGUGGAGCAGUUUUUAUUAACUAUAUAAAUUUUAUAAUUACUAAUAUUAAAUUCAAAAUAUGUACAUAUUACAAAUAUGUAAACAUAUCAUAUGGUUUAAAAGAAAUGGCUUUUAUAAACAUAUAUGGCUUAACAAUAUUAAUCAACUCCUAAUAUUUUCAUUUUAUAUAUAUUAAUUAAAGUAAAUAUUAAAACCUAUUAUAUUAAUCUGUGAAGGUAUUUACUCGGAUGCAAAUUAUAUUUCUAAUUUAUUAUUAAAAAAAAUUCUAUAUACUACAACUAGCUUAAGAAAGUCAUGUUUAUCAGGAUCAUAGAGUAAAAAAAAGAAAAAAUUGAAUUGCAUAAAAGUAUCACUAGCUUAAGAAAGUUAUGUCAUCUGCAUCUUUCCUCGAGGAGAGGCAGUGAGACGUCCUCUUCCAACCAUCAUGCAUUUUUUCCAUGAGAUGGGUUCGUGGAAAAACUUUGGUUUAAUUGGGAAUGCUGUUAUUGAUUGGAAAAUUUUUAAUUAAAAUAAAUUUGAUUUUUUGAUUGGAAAAAAAUCCUUAAAUGACAUUAACACAUGACUCCACUUUAUUUUCUUAAGAAAAAAAAUAUUGUAACCAUAUAAGUUUCAAGUUUAAAGGGUUUUCAUUUGAAGGGGUGUGUUAGAGAAUAAUAUAAAUCAUAUCUUAGAAUCUAACCUAAUAGCUUAAGCUUUUGGGUUGAAUCGGUUCUUUGACAUGGUAGCGGAGCCUUGAUGACCAAGCGAUCACGAGUUCGAAUCUCAUCAUCCCCAUUUAUUAGAUAAAAAUUAAACACAAGGUAAUGUGGAUCUGUACAAGUUUCAAGCCCUUCUAUUGGGUUAAGAUGGUAUCUUGAGGUCUCACCUAACAACUUAAACUAUUGGGUUGAGAUGGUUCUUCGACAGGCUACCAGAUGGUGCGGCGCUACACCUCUGUUCUUGCUUUUCUCUGCUUGUUUUCUCUUCUUUUUUUAUUUCUCUUGUUCCCUUUGUCUCUCUCUGUAUUAUCUAUGUUUGUUCAUUUUUCGUCUAUGUCUUUUUGUAUUAUCUGUCUGUGGUUCUCCCCUUCUAUGUGGCUUUUCUUUGUUUGUCUUGAUUUCUCUGGGUUUGUAUUUGGUUGGUUCAACAACCUACGGUGAGGGGAAGUUGAAUAUUAAAGGCUCCCAUGCCUCUCUAGCAAUAAUAUUAUUUUUUAUUUAUCCCCAAAUACAUGUGUCAUUUAUCAAAAUAAUUAAUUUAAUCACCAAAAAAAAACAAAUAGAUCCAACAACCAUGCCAUUCCACAGUUAAUUUUUUUUAUAUUAUGAUUUAGUGCUAUGUUAACCGGGCAACCUUUAAUUACCAUGAUAUAAAAUAAAAAAAUAAUGGGAACAUAAAAUAAAUGUUUUUAUAUAUUUUUUAUUUUAAAAGGAAAAAUUUUACUCUAAUUUUACUCAAAAACUAUUGCAAAAGGAUAUUUAUUUUAAAUUUAUCUAUAUUUUUAUAGUUCAAAUAUUAAAAAUAAAAUAGAAUUAAUCACUAAGUUUUCUGGUUACAAAUACAUUUGUAAUUGUCUUUAUCUCCCUUGUAUUUCUAACCAUUAACGAAUUGAAUAUAUAAUAAAUACUAAUUAACAAAAGAAUAAAUUUAGCUGUAUAAUGUACUAAAGUUUAAAUAGGUGACUUUAGAAUCACCAAGAAGGCAGUGAAUCACACGGGAAGAUUGAAAGAAUAAUUAAAGUGAUUUUACUAACCGACAAGUUGACCCCAAGUCAAAAGUCUUUUGUGGAAAAACAUGAAUAAAAGGUUGACGUAAGACCAUUGCUAUCAAGCGUUUUUUCUAAGAGAUGGGUCCGUUCCACCAUAUAUAUGCUUUAAUUUCAACCACCAUAAAAAAUAAAUCUUAAUGUAGUGUGUUAGAAUGCAACCACCGAUUGAUUAAUUUUAAUGGCCGGUCAUUUAAACUUGGGUGUUUUUUCAGUAUAUAUAUAUAUAUAUAUUCCUCAAUUAUCAUAAAAAAAUAAGAAAAAACUAAUAAUAAGAUUAAAAAUAAAUGUUUUAUUUAUCGAAAUAAUUAAAAGUAAGGUUUACUGAAGGUAUAUACGGGAUUAAUAAAAAAUAACAAUAAAAUCAAUUUAUAAAAAAAUAAAUCAUAGAUUUAGUUUUCCUAAAUUUUAAAUGUAGUGUGAAUGCAUUCCGCAAGAAAAAAAACAGUGCAAGAUUAGCCUUUCAAGAAAUAGAGAAUCUUCCUCUUUGAAGGAAUUAAUUAGUGGGUUGGAAAAAUGUCGUCUUUUGCUCUAAUAUUUUCUUCACUUGGUCUAUAGUUUUACCUUACACUAAUAUUUUCAAGAUUUCAAUUGAAAAGGAGGGUCGUAAAAAAUUUAAUUUUUAUAAACAUACCCUUAAUUAACUUAAUUUGGAUGUGGAUAAUUGUUUGCAAUAUAUUUACAUCCAAUAUAAACAAUUCAUCAAUGAUCAAGUCGGCCUUGGUUAGCUAAAAUAUUGAAAAUACUUGCUCUCUCCUUUUUUCUUUUUUGGCCAUGCAGUUCCUAUAUAUAUAUAUUAGUUGAAAUUUUAUGAUGUCUAUUAAUCCUUUUAAAUUAAAGUCAAGUUAUUAAUUAUAUCCUAUAGAUUUCUAGAAAAACUAAUUCUCUCAAAUUUCGUACAUUUUACUUACAAACUAUAAAAGGUGAUUGCUACAAACUAAAAUUUCAAACAAGGAAGCUUAAAUCUCUUUUAUCUACAUUUGAAAUUUACAAAAAAUAAAAUUAUAUUGGAUUAAGCCUAAACACUAUAUAAAAUUCUUGAACAACACAUUAAAAACAAAUCAAAGAUACUUUUCAAAAUAUCAAAUCAUUAAAUCUUACAUAUCAAAUAAAUCAAGUUAUCAUAUAUCAAAUUAAAAGGAAGAAUUAAAUGAUUGUUUUAUUUUUUAUAAAAAUAUUUUAAAUAGAAAUUAUAAUGUGGAUCAUAUGGCUCAAUGCAAAUUAAGGUCUCACAUAUAGCCAGCUAUAGCAUGGGAUAGCCAGCGGUCAUUCCAUCAGGAGAUUUGUGAAUUCUGAAGCCUUUGCAAUGUGCAUGGCAUGUGUCCAAGAACCCACCAGGAACUCCAUUUUGACUGGGAAACCUUUGACGAACUGUAUUAUAUGUGAUUUGCUCCUGGUAUUAUAAAUUAGAAAGUGUAAAUUGUAAAUCCCAACCAAUAAGAUAUCUACAUAAGAGUCUGUAAAUGUUACAGAUGAUUUAAGUUUGUUUAGCAAAUUUUUCAAGAACAUGUUUGUCUUUGAUAGCUUAUUGUCAUAGCUGUGAACUCUGAAGAAAAUUGAUGUAAGAAACCAAAGUCCAUUUUGUUCUAGAUUGUAGAUGGAUAUAAGCUUGGUGAUUCCCGAUUCUUUUAUUAAUUUCAUUUUAUACAUUCCCUGUGAUGUGUUCUUAAUUUAUAUACCACACCGAUGUCUGUUAGGUUCUGAUUCAAUCGAAUUGGAGCCGAUCAAAAUUGUAAUGACUCAGUUUCUUUUAUGACCUGGAUUGGGCUUCACAUGCCCUUGAUUAUGCCCAAGAAGAAAACUAAAUAAAUAGUAGAUGAGUAGUGUACUGAAAAUAAAUAUUUUCAGCAUAUUACAUAGAUCUAAAACAAUAGCACACAGGAAUUAAAAAAGAGGAGGGAUCGCUAGGGAUACAAGAUUUGCAGCCAAAACUAUGACCUGACAUGUUCAGGAAACAGAAGGGAACUAUGACCUGACAUGUUCAGGAAACAGAAGGGAGGUGUUUCUUUUAAACACAAGGCAGAUUUUUAUGAUCUUAUUCCUUUUGGUCAUUAAAUUUUCUUAAAAGGAGCUUUGGUUUGAUUCCUACAAGCUGGGGGCAAAUCUUCAGCGUUUCGACAGUCAGCCUCAUGAGCAAAAGAAAGACAAUGUGCGACCACUCCAAGCUUCUCGUUGCUCCCCUGUUCCGAUUAGAAAUGGAGAUUCAAGAAGCUAUGCUACUGUCCUGAGACAAGAGUUCCAACGAAAUCUACUGUAAGUUCCCAAGACACUCUUUUAUAACACUUUGGUCAUUUCCAUGACUUUAUCUGCAUAUCUUGUGCAGGCCAGUUCCAUGUUUUGAGAUUUGAAUAUUAUUUUAUUUUAUUGUUUAGCACUUAGUCUAUUCGCCAGGUUGGGAAAAAUAUUCAAAUUAGUUUUGUUGGCAUGUAACCUCACCAAACAAUUUAAGACUUCACUAAACAAUUUGCGUAGACCGUAUUGACUGGGAGUCAACUAUUGUCGUAGUGCUUUUUUGCACUAUCUGUGUGCGUGAAUGGAAAGAAAAGCAGGGUGGCAACUGGGGUGAGAAAAUGAAUAGAAAACUCCAACAAGGGUGUGAAAAUGAGUUACUUCUCCAAAAAGAAUAUAUAAAUUAUUGAAUAUCUAAUGGAAACUGUCGUGAACGCGGAUGCUUGACUUGCUGUGUACCAUUUUGAUUUUUAAACACAACCAUGCCGUAAUUUCCUGGUGAUUUCCUUAUGCAUACUGGUGGUCUUCCAGAAUCUUUUUCCAAACAAUCCUCGUUAGACCCUGCUCGGGGAUUAACCUGGAGUAAGAUUUGUAUCAUGGUUUUUUAUCAUGUUCCAGGUCAACUUGGAUCAACUAAAUUUUAUGAGUAUGUCAAAACGACAUUGUUUUUUAUAUAUAAACAUAAAUAUGAAUCUUGAGCUCUUUUAUAAUCUUAAGACGAAGUAUAUUAAUAGUUGAACCAUUAUCCACCAAGAUACAAUUCAUCAUCUUUUCAUCGAUAUAUCUUUUAAUAAAAAAAUAUCGUUUAUGGAGUUUUGAUUCAAGCAACAGGUCUUCAUCGUUAAAGAAUAUCUAUGUAGUGUAUACACCUUGAGACAAGUCGAAAGAGUUAGUCAUGACAGGUUUAGUAGGAGUUUUCUUUAUAGUUUUCUCAUUUUUUAUGUUAAAUUAGGAAGAGAUCAAUAAGAAACUGAACUUGAAGAUGGACUAUAUCAUUGUUAACUUCUUGAUCCGAAUACUCCAACAUGAUGGUUAGUGCAAAUUUUUUUUUUUUUAAAAAUAGCAAAAACAAAGUAAUUAAACAAGACAGACUUAGGAUUCCACAGAUAAAUAUAUGGCCAUAUUUGUUUCCCGGAAUUCACUUUCCGGGAAGCCACUUUCCAAACUUUCCUGUGUUUGUCUGCCAUUAGAAAAGUUGGUCAACGGAAAACACUUUCCAGUCAAAGGAAAAUUUAGCUUGGUUUCCAGGAAAGUGUUUUCCUUGAAAAUUUAUGCGGAAAACACUUUCUGAAAGUUGUGAAAAAUUUAAAAAUGUCAUAUUAUUUGCUGAUUAUAUCAAAUUUGGUCCUCAAACUUUUGAUUGCUAUAUAUAUAUAUAUUUUUGUUUUGAAUAUUUAUUUUUCAAUUUCAUCUCUUAAAAUUUAAUUUUUAUAUUAACUUUGGUCCUCAUUUUUAUAAUUGUUAUUUGCUUUUCCCUUAUCAUUUUCUUAUUGAAAUUUUUUAUCUAUCAAAUUUGGUUCUCAUUCUUUUGAUUGUUACUUAUUUUAUUUGAAAUAAUUUAUGAAAUGUUAAUUAUUAUUAUUAUUUUAAUUUCUUCAUCUUUCAUUUUUAUUUUAUUUUUUAGAUUUGAUUUUUAUUAUUUUGAUUAUUAUUAUUUAUUUGAGAUAAUUUAUGAAAUUAUAUUUUUUUUCAAUUUCAUUCUCAUUCAACUUUUUAAUUUGUAAGAUUUGUUCAUCAUUAUUUUAAUAAACUUGAGAAAAUAAAAUAUUAAUAAGUUAUUUUCCAGUUCAUUUUCCAUGACAUAACCAAACACUGAAAAAUAUUUUCCAACUUAUUUUUCAUUACACUACCAAACAUCGAAAAAUAAUUCACUUUCCUGGAAUUCACUUUAAAAAAAAAACUACUUUCCAGCAAGCAAACGGGCCAGUUUCAACACUUCUCUAUUGAAACGUUCAACAAUAAGGCUAAGCUAUGAGGUCAACCCACUAAAAAGCACCCAUUAGCUGGACACAUUCAAGAAAAUUGCCGACAAGUUUCGAACUAACACAAUUUUGGGCCGAGAAUGCAAGAAGCAAACCACUGAUUCCCCCACCAGCAACCACAACAAAUUCAGUGCUCCCAUGCUAAGAUCCUCUGAUGUUGGAGAACUAGCGAAAUUUAAUACAAGGCUUCAACACUCCGAAGCCUGCUAGAGAAAUAUUAAAGCAAAAUAAGUAGUAGCAUUAAACAACAGCCAUUUCAUCAGUUUUAAUUUUAGUAUAACACAAUAAUAUGAACCAACCUUGAUUCUCAAAGGCACCCAACUAAUUCAUAGCCUUCAAAUCAAGACUUUGCAAUUCUUUAAAAGGCAGAAACAAAGAUGCGUUGAGAACCCACUCCCCUAACCCCCAAUCCCCAGCACCCCCAAGAGAGAGUUGGAUCACUCGCCUUUCGGUGGUAUCGCACACGAUCCUAGACCACUCACAACAAUUAUUGCCCAGGUAUUUCAACAGUUAUGGCUUGUGUGGGUUUUGGUUCACGAUGGAGAUGAUGGAUACAAUAAUGUAUUUCGACAACAAAACUUUCAAUGCUUGUGAAUGGCUCUCCAACUAAAGAGUUCUUUAUCGAAAAGGGAUUGCGACAAGGGGACUCUUUAUCAACAUCUCUUUUCAAUAUAGCAACUGAGGGUCUUAGUAGAAUGCUAAGAAGAGAUGUGGUUUGGGACUUAUAAAAGGUAUUUGUUUUGGUCACUUUCAAGUUUGUAGAUGAUACACUCAUCUUCAGUUCAUAUGAUUUUCCAUCUCUUCAAAACAUCAAAAUAACCAUGUGAUGUUUUGAGUUGAUUUCUAGGCUGAAGGUUAAUUUCCACAAGAGCUCAAUCACGAGAACUAUUGUUAUUUCUUCAACUGCUAGCAAUCUAAUAUGUAGUAUGGAGGGGAUGCCAUUUAAGUAUUUGGGCCUGCCUAUUUGUGCAUCUUCAUCUCAUGUGGAAAACUAUUGUUAAUAGAAUCAAUAGCAAGUUGGCACUUACCUAUUGGUGAGAGAGUGUGCUUGCUUAAAUCAAUUAUAAAUAAUCUUCCUAUCUACAACCUUUCUUUAUUUCCUAUCACAUCCAUUGUUGCUACCAAAAUUGAGAAACAUAUCAUAUCUUUCUUUGGUUCUUAGGAGGAAGGAGGGAAAAAACUAUGCAAUGUUAAAUGGGCAUCGGUGGUUCCUCCAAAAAAAAACAAAAAGGGCUGGGUAUAGACUACAUUAUUGAUAAAAAUCAUGGGUUACUAACACUUCCAUAGCAAAGAGAUAUGUAUUUUCCCUAUUAAUUUCUCAAGUUACCAUAAUGAGAGUGUGAUGUGACUCCAAUAAAUGUAGGAUAUGUUAAUUAGGUAUACAAUGUCUAUGUGAUAUGGACAUAAUCAUUUUUGGUAUGUCAAAUUCUUACUAUUUCACUCUUAAGAGUAGAAAGAUCUAGUUAGUUGGACUGCAUUCCGAUCUGCAAUCUUCCUAUAUAUCCCAAUUGUUGUAUUUGCUUUAGUGGCUAAGCAAGUUUUAGAGAAACCACUUGAAGAAGUAAGUGCGGUUUUGAAAGAGUUUCAAGAUGUUUGUAAUAGAUUUGAUCCCUAGUGUUAUAUUGACCUCUUGGUUUCAAGCAAGAAACACACUUCAAUAUCAUUAUGCGUAAUUGUAUUCCUAAUAGAGUUAUGAUGUAAGUUAUGAUGUAACGAAGACUCCCUUUUCUCAUUCUAGAAUCCGGUGAUUCCACCUCACGUUCAUCCUCCACCCGCUGAAGACUUAUACCAUUGAAAGAGAAAAGCUCCAGCUUUGGGUGUAAACUGGAUUGAUUGCAUCCCAUCUGAAUCACGUGGGCUUAAUUAAUGGAAGGAACGAACAAUUGUCGGUUUUAAAAGUUUGGUUUGUAACAAUCAUUGUAAUUUCAAAUCUCCAUACUCCUUCCAUUUAAGCAAGUAAUAAUAACAGAGAAUAUGUAUAAAUCUCAGUGUUGUUUUACAUUUUAUAUAAGAUAUUACAGUUUCAUUCAAAAAAUGAGAAAUAACAUUAAAAAUCCUCAAAUUCUACCACCUUCAAUUCUCAUUCAUCAACAACAGCAUACAUUCAAACAAGUGAUCAAUAGUGAUCAAGUGAUGAGGACUAGAGUAAGAUUCGCACCAUUGUAAGCUUGACAAGCUUCGCCUACUCUAACUGUAACGAAAGAUUCAGUGCCUAAUCUCUGGACGGAGAAGGGGACGCCCUUGUUAUGUACACGGUUGCUCUAAAUGGUUCGAUGAUGCUCAUUUUAAACAUAUCAUGUCAGGUUGUCAAUUUCGUUCUGGUUAGUGUAACGGACCCGACUGUACGACUUGAUCAAUGUUAAAAGAUCCCAAUAUAUUCUCUUAGCCUGAGGAUAAUUUUUUUUUUAAUCUAUCAAAAAUUCAGCAGAGUUUUGUUUGUAUUUAGGACAUCCCAAGUUAUCGACCACUAUCAAUUUACUCAAUCAACCCAUCAUCACAAGGUCCCAUAAAUCCGGACCUUAGAUUAAUCAUCAUAAUUCAACACCUUACCCAAUCCACACAAUAUAUAUCCUACGAGUAAGUUCAAUAUCAACAUAACCCACAUAUCAUAUUAUAAAAUUUAAAAGAAAAGGAAAUACUAACAUGCAAAGAAAGCAUUACAACAUAAUAAGUGUUCUUAACCAUAUCAAAAGGGUUAAUUACAAGAUAACUAAAAUACUACAUGCUAAGCUGAACUUUUAUAAAUACAUCAAGGUUUACACAAAAGUAUACUACAUAAACACGUUAUUUCUCUUUUGUUUAAGUUAAAUAUUUACAUAAGCUUGACAAAGUAGAGUCCUAAAUUAGUGAUCUCUCUGGAUAUUUGAUGGACCUGUUAUAUAAAUAAACAUGUCAUUAUGUUGAUAAAAGAAAUAUAUAUAAGCUCAUGUAAUGUAUCCGAAUGAAGUAUUAAUUUCUAUUGGAUCCAUAAGGAUUCUAACAGACAUCUUAUAUUUUGCUUGUAAAUCUUUUAAACCCAAUUUACACUCAUUUGCAUAUUCUUAAUUUGAAUACUCUUAUUUAUUUGCAUGAACCGGGUGACCUUGCAAAGUCUAUUCUUGUAAUCCAUUUCCCAGCAAUCAUAUCACGAAUACCAUUAGCCGAAGCAAAUCUUGUAAUUCAUCUCCCGGCAAUCAUAUCACGGAUGACAUUAGCCGAAGCUAAUCUUGAGAUUCAUCUCCCUGCACUCCUAUCACGGAUGCCAUUAGCCGAAGCUAAUCUUGCAAUCACGGAUGUCAUUAGCCGAAGCUAAUCUUGUAAUUCAUUUCUCAGCACUCCAAUCACGGAUGCCAUUAGCCGAAGUUAAUCUUGUAAUUCAUUUCCCGGCACUCCUAUCACGGAUGCCAUUAGUUGAAGCUAAUCUUAUAAAUACACUAGACUUUAUUUACAUUGAACACGAUAUUUAUUAUAAUUGCAUUCACUAGAGGAAUUUUAAAUUGUAUAAGUACAAAUAGGAGGGAAAAAUCACGCACCUGCUUCGCCUGUUUCGUGACCUCCUCUAACAGAAGAUCCAAUCCUGGUUGCUCCUCCUGAAUCACAAGGAAGUUUUUGGUUAUGAUUCCUUCAAGCUGAUAUUAUAGAGGCUCCAUAUUCAUUCAUUACUCAUAUGUUACUUUCUAUGCAUGUUCAUUUCCUUAUAAUAACAAACAUACAUAAAUCAAGUAUAUUUUCAAAGUUAGUAUCUCAAUGUGCAAGUGUUCGUAUGACUCAAUUCUUUUAUAUUCUUACAUAUAAUAUUCACGUGAAAGUCUACUAUUACUAUCUAACUUUGAACUGUUACUGUCCAACGGUUGCUGUCCAACAGUUGCUGUUUGAACAGUUGCUGUUUGAACUCUUAUCAGAUUUUUAACUAUAUCUAGAGUUCUAGAACUCCAUUUUAAGUGAGAUUGAUCUUGUUGGAAAGCUAAGACACGAGGCUACAAGUUCUCUAAAGGAAGGAGAACCCAGUUCUGCCUCCAGGAUAGUCAAAAUUGCUCAUCAACCCAUCAAUCCUACUGCUCUACAAAAUCAGUCACGACUCAGUCUUGGUUGGUAACCCAUAACUGGAGUUAUACAUCUCCAAAUUGAGCAAGAUUAAUUUCCUUGGUUAGCUAACAUCCAAAUCUACAAUUUCUAUAAAGGAAUCUGAUCCUAAUUCCCUCAUCCUCCUACCCGAAAUCUCACCAAAAGUUAGGAGACAAGUUUGUCCAGAUUCGUUUGCCCCUCCCCUUCACACAAUACUUUCAUAAACUACACACCACACACAUGAAUUAACUUAAUCUUAAUAAUAAGUACUUUUUCUCCAAUUCAUGUCUAAGAACCCUAACCUAUGAUUCAAUAUCAAGGCAUCAAUUCAUUAUCGAUUUGAAAUGAAUUUUUUUAAUAUCAUGUUUAGAACACCUUACCCAGUACAAAUUAAGAUUUUGAUCUCCAACCAGUUGAAGAUUUUCAACUCCCUCCUUUCUUUUCUUCUUGUUUAAUUUCUUGGUAAUCCCUUGCUCUCAAGUGUUUAUCCCAUCUAUAAACCCUUAAUCUUGGAUGGGUUCUCGAAAUUUUAGUGUUUCUCUCUUGAUUUCGCAAGAAUGGGUAUAAAACUCCUUAUUUUCUCUCAUUAUCGUUCCUGCAGAUUUUUGGUGAGGAGAGAGUAUUUAUACUCUAUAGUUUCCCUUAUUUGUAUUUAGGCCCCAUUUCCUUUAAAUUUCUGAAUUCUUGUCUUUUAUUUAACCAUACGCAUGAAUUUCUUGACUUUUAUUUCUCAUAUAGUUAGUUUUCAAUUUAAGCAACCUUUAUUUUUUUAUUUUUUUUCUGAGGUUUACAGUUAGUGUUUCAUUAUUUAAUUGAAAUGGUAUGUUUUGGUUUCGGAGCAUUUCGGCGUGCUAUUUCAGGAUUAUACUGUUCAUACUAUUCAUAUAUAUAUAUAUAUAUAUACAUACUCAAUAAACAUAAUUUUGAUUCAAAUUUAAAGAUAAACUAACUUGAAAUUAUGCAAUUAAAAUUUCAAACACAAGUAAAAAAAGUGAGAGUUGAACCAAUAUGACCCGAUCGACUAGAUAGGCCCAAAGACUACCUGAAUGACUGGUAAGAAUAGAGUUUGACUCAAAAAAAUUUAAGAUGACAUAGUUUUUUAAAAAAUAUUGAGAUGACAACAUAUUAGAUCGACCGGGUUCAACUCAGGUUAACCUUUUAAAUCCGUAAUCCAGGUCAUGAGACUAUAAUAACUCUAAAUAAAACAAAUCAAAACAAAUUAUAAAGCUCAAUUCUUAAUAAACCUAUUAUUUAAUAGUUAAAUUGAAAAAAAAUAAUCUAAAAAAAGGACACAAAAAAAAUGACAUUUCAAAACAAAAUUAUGAAAAUGUCACUAGCAGUCUCGCAAGGCCUUUCUAAACUCCAAUUGCUCUAUAAUUUUAACCUGAGAUAUAACAAUAUGUUAGGAAAAUCUUCAUAAGAUUUCAGUCUGAUCCACCAAUCGAAUUGAAAGAUAUGAUUGAUAUCGUAAAACUAGCUAAUAUUGUUUUAGAAAAAAAAAACAUUAUUUGGCCGGAAUGGAACCGGAACAUUCGAGCCAGAAUUUUGGCGGAAUUUAUGGAACGGGCUAAGACUCUGAGCAAGAUGAAAUUUGUUUCAGUUUGUUUUAUUUUUUAAAUUGGAAAGAGAUAUACCAGUCAUUUUGAAUGGAACAUAACAAAAUUGACAACCUUGUAUCAUGGUUGAUUAGAGUUUUUUUUUUUUUGUCUUUUUUUUCAAAAAUUUUUCCAACAUUGAGUUGAUUGGUAAUCGAGCUUCAUAAUUUAUAUGUUAACAUGCCAAAUUCAUGACCUGAGUCAUGAGACUAUAAUAACCUCAUAAAAGUAUAUUGAACAAAUUACAAAGCAUAAUUCUCAACCACCAGUGUUUAAAAAUGAAAUUGAAAAAAUAACAUAAAAAAUGACUCAAGUCAACUCAAGAACCUGCCAAAUCCGUGAUCCAGGUCACAAGACCUAGAUAACCUCAUAGAAAGCAAACUGAAAAAAUAAUUCGGGUCAACCUAGGUUACCCUGCCAAACACGCAACUCAGGUCAUAAAACUAGGAUAAUGCUAUAUAAAGCAAAUAGCAACAAAUUUUAAAGCAUAAAUCUCAAUCAACUUAUUUUAAAGCAUAAAUCCCAAUCAACUUAUUACAAUUCACUCGCAUUGUUCACUUUAGUGAACAGUGCUACAGUGGAGCCAUGCUCCACUGUUGAGGUUUCUCCCAGACGAGAAGCAAUAAAACGUUUAAGGAAAUAAAUGUUGCUUCUCCAAAACCUGCGGUGCCAUAUGGGUCCUACGUGCUGAAAGCACUUUUAUUUUCUUAACCAAACGUUUAUUAGCGUGGCUGCGGGUGAACCUCACCCGCAACCACGUUACCAAACGAGCACUUAGUCUCAAAGAAGAAACAAUUACUUGGUUCUAUAUCCUUAGCACGUCAAACAUGAGGGUAUGAACAGUAACCAUUGUGUCCACUAUAAAAUAUAAGGGGGUGAACAGUGCGGCUACAAAGUAUUCACCCCACACACUUUAUAUUAUAAGUAACUAGUUUUUGUAUUGGCACUCCGCGGCGGGGUGGUUAUUUUUUUAAGUAAAAAAAUAAUAAUAAGCAGGCUCUUACAAUGCACUUUUUAAUAUAAUUUUUUUUCAAUCACAAAUCAAAAUGCCUAUACAUAUAUUUAGUAAUUAGAUCGAUAUUUGAUAAAUAGGUAACUAAGAUUAAGAUAUUUGAUAUCACGACAUGAAUCAUGUGCUUAGUUGUGUUUAACAAUUAUGUUUCCUAGAGUUUUUUUUUAUGAACCAACCAUAUAUUCCGAUAAAAGGUAACAAAAAAUUCAUACCAAUAUUGAAUGAAGAAACUAAAAAAAAAAACCAAUAAAAAAAAGACUGUAUAAAUACACUAAUUUAUUGACCAUAUUGACAAAACAAGUCAAAACUGUAUAAAUACACUAAUUUAUUGACCAUAAGUAAAUGAUUGAGAUAAUAAUACGAAAAGAAAAACUUUUUACCGGACAAUGAUCAAUCCUGGUGAUGUCCAAAGUGUAAAUCAAACAUUUUAUAUCUUGCCAUGAGAAACAAAUAUAUCACAACUUGUUUUUAUUGUAUUCUAUUAUGACUUGUUUUGUGCCUUACAUUAUUUAAUAUAUUAAAAUAAAUUUAAUAAAUUAUACUGAAGCAAGAUCUAAUAUUAGAAAGUUAACGGAAAUAAUAAAUAUAUUUUUAAAUAUAUUUACAGUUCGGUCCCUUAAUUAACUUUUUGUUUGUAAAAUGUGGAGCUGUCAGCAAUAUUUCCUUAGUUUGUGUCGCUAACUGUGAUUAAAGGAUCAAUUAAUUAUUUAUUUAAAUCAACCAGAGGGAUUAAUCUGUUUGUUUAACAAAAAUACAGACACUAAUUAAAUAGAAUUUAACUCAAAUUUUAAUAAUCAAUAUUUUUAGAUGGAAUCUUGGUAGAAAAUUUAAUCAUCAUAUCCUGGGUAUUUUGGAAACAAAAUUGGAAACUUUGAAUGAUUUCACUAUUACUGCUAUAUGGGGUCGUCAUCCUAGGGCUUGGUAUGCAGUUCCCUCAUUAGGCCUUUCGGGGGGAUAUUAUGUAUAUGGAAUCCGAAUCUUUUUUGUGUCUCUAGCUGUUCUGUUGCUAUGAAUGGCUGUAUUUUGCAUAUUGAAGGCACCUUCACUCGGUCCAAUCUAGAUUGCCUAGUCUCUUUUGUAUAUGCUCCGAAUGUUGGGAACCUGAAGAAUGAGCUGUGGACUUAUCUUGUUACAUUCAGGGAUAGUGUUAGCAUGUCGUGGUGUCUUGCAGGUGAUUUUAAUGAAACCUUAUUCCCAUCAGAUAGGAAAGGCGGCUCACAAAUAACAUCUUCCAUGACAAGAUUUCAAAAUUGCAUUGAUGGUUGUAAUCUUAUGGAGCUCCCCUUAAAUGGGAGAAAAUUUACAUGGUCUCGAGGUAAUGCGGCGAGCCGUAUUGAUAGAAUAUUUUUAUUGGGGGAUUGGUUGCAGGCUUUCCCGUCCUCUACUUUAUUCGGUCUCUCAAAAUAUUCAUCUGAUCAUAGGCCUCUGCAUCUGUUGCUAGACUCUACAAAUUGGGGCCCGAAACCUUUUCGCUUCAUGAAUUGCUGGUGGCUUGCGUCUGAUUUCAGGAUUAUGAUUCAGAGCUUUUGGAGAUCACUCACGGUUUCAAAAUCUGGCAUAAGGAAAAUGGUCCCAGCUCUAAAGAUGUUGAAAGAGAGAUGUCGGCAGUGGAGUAAAGCUACUGUGGGAAACAUGAAUAACAGAAUUGAAGAACUGGAACUUGAAGCUGACUCAAUGGAUCAUCAAAAUGAGUGCAGGGUUUUGACUGCUGAUGAACUGAUUAGAAGUAAUUCCAUUGCCUCCCGGCUCAAAAUCCUGUAUAGAGCUCAAGAGUCUGCCUAGCAUUAGAAGUCAAGAAUUCAGUGGUGUAAGCUUGGAGAUAAAAAUACCCGAUUCUUUCAUUUAGCUGCAACAACAAGACAGAAAAAGAAUCAGCUUGCAUGCCUAGAGGUUGAUGGACAGAUCCUAUCUAAACCAAGCGAUGUGAAUCUAGCUGUCUUUCACUUUUUCCGCAACCUAUACUCCCAUCAGAACAGACCUAGAGCUUCAUGUUCAAACCUGGAAUUCUCAAGGCUGAAGCAUUCAUCCUCGGCUGCUCUUGAAUUGCCAUUUUCUGCAGAAGAGAUUACAGCAGCUGUGUGGGAUUGUGAUGGAAAUAAAGCUCCAGGUCCUGAUGGUAUUAACUUCCUUUUCAUCAAGAAAGCAUGGAACAUUAUAGGUGAGGACAUUAUCCAGAUGGUUGAUGAAUUCUAUCGGACUAAUCUCCUUCCUGCAGGUAUCAAUAGCACCUUUGUUACUCUUAUUCCGAAGAUUAAAGGUGCUAACAAGCUAUCAGAUUUCAGACCUAUUAGUUUGGUGGGCAGCCUAUACAAGAUCUUCUCAAAGAUUCUAGCAACUAGGUUGAAACAUGUUAUGCCAGAGGUCAUCUCUCAUCAUCAAAAUGCUUUCAUCAAAGGGAGGCAAAUUUUAGACAGCGUCUUGAUUGCAAAUGAGGUUCUUUCUUUCAUCAAGAAGAAAAAGGGUAAAGCUUAUCUUUUCAAAUUAGAUUUUCAUAAAGCCUUUGAUUCGGUGUUAUGGGAAUAUAUUAAUGAAAUCAUGGCUAGUAUGGGCUUUGACCUGGUUUAUGCAAUGCAUAUCAACGGCAAAAAUGUCUGUGCUUGUUAAUGGGUCUCCCACGGAGGAAUUCUGCUUAGCAAAAGGCCUACGCCAAGGAGACCCUCUCUCUCCGUUUCUCUUCAACAUUGCAGUCCAGGGCUUGAGUUGUAUGUUGCAGCGUGGCUGUGAUUUGGGUUUGACUUCGGGUAUAAACAUCGGCAAUACAGGGCUUGUCAUAUCUCACUUACAGUUUGCGGACGACACCCUUAUGUUCAGUUCAGACUCUUUACAUAGCAUGCAGAACAUUAAACGUAUCCUAUUAUGCUUUGAACUUGUCUCGGGGCUGAAGGUCAAUUUUUAUAAAAGCAGCAUUGUGGGUGUGGGUGUAGCAGCUCAUACAUGUAACUUCACGGCUCAGCUUCUCAGAUGCAAGCAGGAUCAGCUGCCUCUCAUGUAUCUUGGGCUCCCCAUUGGUGGAAACUUGGGCAGAGCUACAAUGUGGAAUCCUAUUUUGCGCAAUAUCAGUUGCCGAUUGGCUUCGUGGAAAGGCAGGUUCUUAUAUAUUGGGGGCUGUUUGUGCUUGAUUAAAUCUGUGCUCAGUAAUCUCCCCAUCUACUACCUAUCUAUGUUCCCCAUGCCUGUUACGGUAGCCUCCAAAAUUGAUCAGAAACUUCGAUCCUUCCUCUGGUCAGGAAAUGAGGAAAGGCACAAAAUAUGCAAUGUCAGCUGGGCCACUGUUACUCUUCCAAAACAUGCGGGGGGUCUUGGGAUUGGUUCCUUAAGGGACAAAAACACAGCUCUGCUAUUUAAAUGGUUAUGGAGGUUUGGGUUAGAGGAAUCAAGUAUGUGGAAGGAUGUGAUCAAAAGCAUCCACAACACCAAUUGCUCUAAACUGCUGCUGCAAGCUCCUAUUCCAGGAGCUGCAACUACAUGGUCCCGGAUUGUUAAUCAUUGUGUGAGAAAUAAUAAGCUGCAGGAUAUUGUGAAUGAGCAAUCUCUGGUUCUUAUCGGAAAUGGCAAGAAGACUAUGUUUUGGCUUGAUUGCUGGCUUAAUAACCACUGUUUAGCAGAGCACUUCCCUACUCUUUUCCAAUUAUCCAAUGACAAAGCUGCCAGCAUUGCUAAGAUGGGAAUAUGGGAAGGGUAUAAGUGGAUUUGGGUUUUUUCCUGGAUACGUCCACUACGGGGGCGAAACAUUGGCUUGCUCGAUCAACUAUAUGCAAUCCUAUCGACAGUAUUGGUAAGCCAUGGCCAUCUUCUUGGUAUGUUCUCUGUUCCAGUUGGUAUUUUAGACUCUAAUAUUGCUGAGUUAAGGGCUAUUGUCAAAGCCAUUGAACUAUCAGCAUCUAAUUGUCUCCUCCACCAUCAACACCUCAUCAUAGAAUCUGACUCUGUCAAUGUUAUUAGCUAGAUGAAUAAGCCUCACAGCCGUCCCUGGAAGCAUCAUAAUUUGUUCUCCUUUGUUAAUAGACUGAAACCAUAUUUUGGUUCAAUCACCUUCUCCCAUAUCUUUCAUGAAAGUAAUUGCAUGACAGAUUGCAUGGCUAAACAAGGAGUGCGGAGAUCAAGUGAAUUUGUUGCCUGGCUUUGACUCCACCAUUUUUCUGUGGCCUUGCUCUUGUGUCUUCUGCCAUUAUGUCUUUGAGUUAUUUCUGUUAUGUUUUGUAGAGGAAUGUUUAGCUUUGAGCUCAUUCGGAUGGAUAUUCUAUGGUUUUCUUUGCUUUUGUUUAUCUUAGUCUGCGCUUUAUCCUAUAUAUGGCUUUUUGCCAUAGUAAGAUAAUGUGUAGCUUCUGUACUACUCCCGCCAGACUUUGGCGUUUAAUAAUAUACGCAUCUUUCAAAAAAAAUCCAUGUGAAUCGCACGACUUGUCCAUAUCUUUCUUAUUGAUUACAAAUAGCAUUGAGAAUUAAAGAAUAUUAUCUUAAUAAGUUCCAAUUUAUUCUACAAAAACUAUAUAUAAAGAUGUAUACAAAUUAGUUAUUUAUUGUUUGUAAGUAUUAUUGUAUUGCAAAGACAAAAAUAAGAUGCAACUUAUGGCGUGGUCGUCCAACCUGGUUCAGGUUUUGAUCCUGUUAAAAAUCUAUUUUGUUGAAUUGUUAUCUACUUGUGAGUUAUUGGGUUAACUAGAUCAAUUUUUUAAACAAAACAAUAUCAUUUAAAAAAAAAAAAUUGGUUCUGACUUAGAAAUAUAAUAUUAGAAACUUAAAUCUUAUUAUUAUAAAAGACUCAAUGGUAAAUUUAGUUUUGAAAUAGAUUUUUGUAAAAUCAAAUAUCAACUAAGCACCUGGAAAUUUAUUUGAAAUUACAAUAACCUUGUAGAAAACAAACAUAAAUAGAAUUAUUAAAUUCAAUGGAGUCCAUGACCUGAAUUACGGGUUCAACGGGUUAAGCCACGAAGCUCUGAUCGAUUUAAAAUAUUGUCGUCUUAAUAUAAAAAAAAAAUACAUCUUAAAAAAAAUAAAUUAAGCUAGACUACGUUUUUACCUAUUAUCUGGGUUGUUUUUAGGUUCAUCAUUUCGACUGAGUUAUAUUAGGACAACUACUACAUAAUUUAAUUUAAAAUUAAAGCUAAACAAGAAAUUAGGUAAAGAGAUUUUAAGAUUGAUUUGUUGGAUUGGAUUUAAUAACAAUACAAAAAAUCUAAAUAUUUCUUUUUUAUUAAAAAAAAAUUCAAUCCAACUCUCAUCGUAACGCAGUAUAGUAAGAUAAAUAGAUAUAAAUAUUUUGAUGGAUACUCGGGAUAAAAGAUUGUUUGAGGACAUUUUGCUAAUUUCUUUUGUUAUCUAAUCAAUCAAGCUCAUAGUGAAUAAGUAUAUUAAUAUAUACAAUUAAAUUAAAUAACAUAUAAGAGAAAAAUGGUCGCAAGCUAAAGCUAAAGUGAUGCGACGUUGAGCCACUAGUCGAUAGUUGUAACGUCAGUUUGUUGGUUCGUCGUUCGUUUCUCGGGCGAGUUUGGUUGUGCUAAACACAAUGAACCAAUAGAGUGCUUUGCUUUCUUACUUGGAGAUUCUGGAGCCUUGGAUUUUUUGAUAUUUAGGUUAUCUGUUUCUAGAAAAGAAAGAAAGAAAUAUUUAUAUUAUCAAUGCAAUGCAAUGAAACGACUAAAUAACAUUUAAUUAUUAUCAUAGCUUUGUCCUCGUACCUAAGGAAGUAUACUACGUCUUUUUCUCCAUUGUUUGAGUUUGAAAUUAUAUCUGUGAACCCAUUAAUUUAUCUAGAAAAAACAUUUAUUGGGUAAUUGGAUCAAUCAUUGAGGUCGUCAUAUCAUAUAUAAACCAAUUAUUUUAAUUAAAACAAUAUCAUUUUAUUUAAAAUUAAAUUUAUAAUACUAACUGAAUCCCUAAAAACACAAUUAGACCAAUCAAGUUUUAGCAAGUUAAUUUUUUUUUUUAAUUUUUUCAUAUUUAACUUGAAAUUCAAUCCAAAUUAAAUUAUAAAUUAUGGGUUUCUUAAAUUAACACAUGUUGGGUCAGGUCUACCAAUUAUGAUUGGAAUCCAGGGUUAAUAUCUAGAAGAAUUUAUUAAAUUUCUGUAUAAUUAGUCAAUCGAUGAGGGAAUUUAGUUUUGAUUGAUGGAGAAAUUAAUUUAAAGAUACCAUGCAAGAUAUAUAUAUAUAUAUAAACAUUUAAAGGGAAACGGACCCACCAUCAAUUAUUGUUAUUCGUUUAAUUAUAAAUAGAAUGAAGAGAAUGAUGCUCGCUGCACUUUUAUCAGCGACUGAUAAACCCCAGAAGGAGAACACUCUACAGAAUUAUUCCAUACUUUUUCGUAAAUUAUAAAUUAAAAAGAAAUUGGUUAUAACAUGGUUAACGAACACAGCACAAAAAUAAACAGGUGUAUUUCUUACAUAAAUUCUUAUUGUUUUGUUUUUCCAUUGGUUUCAUGAAAUUCUCUCAACAAUUGAACAAAAAACACUACAUCAUAGCUCACAAACAUACAUUUUAUAAGUCAAUUAAACCUCUUGUUUUUCUUAUGUGUCUUUUUAUUGUAAUCUCUGCAAGGUGACACCUGACAGAGCAAUCUGUUGAUAGGUCCAAUUCUGCUUUAUGUUGUGUUUCUUGCUGAGCAAAUAAAGGUCAUGGGUUUUCUUUCUUUCUUUUUCCCUUAUAAAAAUGGUCAUGCGGCCACAGACAGUUGCGAAAAAAAAGAAGCACUUAAUUAUCACUUAUUUGGUAAGUAGCGUACUUAUCAGAUGACCCUCAACCAUCAGUACCCAUUAUAAAUUAAUGUCGACAAGAGUAAAAUUAGGAGUUACCGUGACUUUCCAACAUCUAUCAUUAUAAAUUAAGUAUCAACAACGAUUAAGACUAAUUGUUUUACCAAGAUUCUCAACCAUUGUAAAAAUAGAUUUGAAAAAAAAAUCAUAGCAAAAAUUCAAAAAAAUAAAAAUUGCAUUGCUUUCCAUAUAUAUUUUAGUUUUUCUUAUAAUAAUAAUAAUAAUUAUAGUCUCUCGUGUCUCACAACUGUAUGUGUUUUUUCUUGAAUAAGCGCUAAUGUUCUUUGAGGGGUCCAAGCACCAUAUACUGAAAGAAAGAACUAGUUCAAAUUGAAGCACCAUGAGUUUCUCUACGGCUUGGUUCACCACCUGCUGGUGCGGCAAGUUAUGAACUAGCUGGCUAGUUUUUUGCUUCCUUGGUUUUAGAAGCACCAUGUGUUCAAAGAAUAGUCAACAAAGAAAAAGAAAAAGAAAAAGAGAAGGGCAAAAGGUUAAUUAAAAUCAGCAGGACUGCCAUGAGGCAACCUCAAGUAGUGAACUUGAAGGAAUAAAAAGUGCUGGGAAGUAAUUUUUGCUGAAACUUCUUGUGUAACAUCUUCUUUUGAUGAUGACCUCUUGGAUGGCUGCAUGAAGCUUGUUCCGUUUUAAAUUUCAAGGUUAAUCUAUUUCUAUGAGCAUUGGUGUUUCAAUUUCAACCUUAAGUUGCAACUGAACUUAAAUGAAUAGUGUUGGAUUUGGGCCUUCUAUUUGCUUUAACUUCUACAGGAUUGAAAUGAUAGUGAUCUUAAAGUACAAAAGCAGCAGACAAAAAUCAAUUAGCCACAAUAUAUAGUGUAUGGUUUCCUAGUUUCUCAGUAUAAAGUUGAAUGUUUUGGUGAUAUCUCUACAUCCAAAAUCAUAUAGACAGCUACUGCUGGCACUUGCAGUGGUCAAUGAAUACUAUAGAGUACAUAUUGCAGUUUGAGAUAAGGUUAACUCGUUGCAUUUUCAUAUAUUGAAAGGAUUUCUCUUCUUUUCUUUGUCAGUUACAGAACAUGCAUAGAAGUGUUCUUAUUCAGAGUAAAUGCUAUUGUAAUGUUUUCACGGACUCCCUUGCUUUGCAACUAAGUCACUAAUUAUCUUGGAACAUAGCCAUAAAUAAAAGGUUCUUCCAGUUCAAGAAAAUUAACCAUGAAGCUAGUAGCUAGAAUUUUUAGACAGAAUGGUGGCCAAGUAAACUCCUAUACUCUGUACCUCUGGAAUAAUGCAGGGAAAGGAUGUCUAUGUAUUUUGAUGUCUUAUAUUACUUGACCAACUCUUGCUUAUCUCAUUAUUUGUUUUUACUUUUUGCUAAUGAUUCCACACAUUUUUGAUAUUGGUGUGGUUUAUGACUUCAGGGUUCUUACUCGCUACUGCAACUUCUCUAUACUUGCUUGGUCAUUAAAUAUGAAACGUGAUGAUUUGCAUAUGCAGAAUGGAGACAUUAAAGAGGCAUCUUCUGUUUUCUAGUUAGGAGGGAUUACCAGAACUCAAGAAAUUUGUCGUACAUUUUGAGGAAAAGAUUUAUACCACCGCUACCAAUCAGGUAUUUGCCUAAUGCGAGGUUCAAUAAUUACGAUAUUAUCUAGACAUGAAUAUACACACGCAUUUAUGCUUGUACAAAUGUGUGUGUAGUGUGCCUACAUUUCCACACCUUUCAUUCUGUAUGCAAGGCUGAUUAAGAGUUCGCAUCUUUUUGUUAAUUCUCUUGACAAGUGUUUUAUUUAGAGUGACCAAGUUCAAGUACAUGGGAAGUGUGCAAAAAGCAAAUAGCGAAUCAAUACAUAAAUAAGUAAAUAAAAAGAGAGGAAACAGAAGUCUAUCCUCACAAAAGAUGAAAUGAUAGAGCAUAUAUCCAUUUUCCUCCUCUUGUAACAUGGAUUGCUCUGAGAUCUAAUGUUUUGUUAUUAAUAUCUUAUUUUAGUCUGAUUAUCUGCAUAAAAUAUCUCUGGUGAUGCUUUUGAUGAAGAUCAGGUCUCAAAAUGCCAUGCCCACUGCCCCCAUGGAUCCAGCAGGUAAUAAUGCAUUCGAGCAUCGAAUUUCUAAACAUCUUACCUUUUGUUUUUCUUCUCGCAUUGUUAUCAAACUUUUUUACAUUUUAUUGUUCCAUAUUGCUAUGUAUAUCGCCUUGCUGGCAAAAUGUCAUGAUCACCUCCACAAUACUAAUUCUGUAAUGCGUGUGAAGUGUUUCAUCCUUAACUUGUUAAUGAACGAGGACUAUGAUGCAUGGCUAUUUUAUAUUUUAUGAUUGAGAUGGUAGAUUUUAAAGAUUUUCCUUUUUAGGAGAUAAGACGUCACUUUCUUGCUUUUCUUCCGAGAGUAUUCGAUCCUUUUUUCGUACAAAAUAAUGAUGCCAUGCAUUGAAUUCCCAAACAUAUUACCUUAUGUUUUGUUUGGUCGCAUUGUUAUCAAACUCUUUUACAUUUUAUUGCGGCAUAUUGCUAUGUGUAUGGCAUGCUUUAAUCAAAAAUUUGAUUAAUUGAUGAAUGUUAGGCAAGAAAAUUACAGAAUAUUUUUGUUUUUUGCCUCCUCCUUUUCUUUCCCCCACUCCGAAAAUUGUCAUAUUAUUUUUGUUUUCAACCGCCUCUUCUUCCCCCAACCCUGAAAAUUGUUUAUAUUUGCUUUGGAAGCAUGGCAAACUUCACUGCCUCUCAGCUUAAGGAGAUUGCAGCAGGUCUCGAAGCUUCUGGGCAUCAAUUUAUCCGGGUAGUUAGAAGAAACAAAAAGAGUCAAGAAGACAAGGAAGAUUGUUUACCCGAAGGAUUUGAGGAAAGAAUGGAAGGCAAAAGGAUGGAUACUCCAAGUUUUGAUUCUUGAUUAUAAAGCAAUAGGUGCAUUUGUGACUCAUUGAGGAUGGAACUCAACUCUUGAAGGCAUAAGGCCAAUAUUUGCUGAGCAAUUCUAUAAUGAAAAGUUGGUGACUGAUGUUUUAAAAGUUGGUGCUGUCGUUGAAUAUAUUAUAGCUGUCAAGGUUCUUGAGUUUUCCCAAAUGUGAUGAUAUGAUCUCAAAACCUGCAAGAGAGUUGUUUGUAAGAGUAAGUCAUGAUGAGCUCACGAUAUGCAAAACAGAUAGAAACAAAAGAUAAUUAGAAUUGAUGAGAUGCUGUUGUUCAAUUGAUGUAUGAUUCUCAAAUUAUACAUACAUAUAUAUAUAUAUAUAUAUAUAUAUAUAUAUAUAUAUAUAUAUAUAUAUAUAUAUAUAUAAUUGAUAUUUAUAAAAGCAUUAACUGUAGCUGAUAUAGUUUUAGAGGAAUAUUUGGUACUUUGUUUCCCAAAAAAAAAAAUAGAUUUUUCUGCGAAGUAGGAAAAAAAAAAAAAAAAACUGUUCAAAACUUAUUCAAGAAAUUAUACAGUUAGCGAGUCACAGAUGAUGAAUCUUAAAAAAAAUUGGCAAUAAUAACAGUACUCUAUUACUAUUAAUUAACUUAAAUAUUCAAAACUUAAAAAUAUUUUUUAAAUUUAUCCAUGCCAAUUUAUCUUAAGAGAGUCGCAAUCUGUGACUAGUUAAAUUAUAUUAUUUCUUUAAAUAAAUUUUGCAUUGUGUUAUUUUUUGUUCUAGGUGCUAUUUUGCAAAAAAAGAAAAGAAAAGAAAGAUUAACGUUUCAGUUAUUCAUUGUUCUUGGAUUUGUAGGUAUAACAACUGAAGAUAGCAAUCAAAAGCGAUGGUGACAUGGUAGAGCUUUGAGUUAUUGCUGUGUUCUAAUGAUGAAGAUGUAGGAAAACGAUCUCCCUUCUGCUGUCUGGAGCUGGGCUUCCUCUCCCUGUAAGAACAAGCAACAUCUUAUCUGCGUUGUUGUUAGUGGCCACUUCAUCGACCCAUUAGUGGGUGGAUUUUAAGCUUAAAAAGGAUUUUUUUUAAAAAAAAAAUAAAGGAAGAAAGAAAGGAGAGGGGGGGCAUCAUCACGUGAAAAGCAAGGAGGUUGCCACCCAUUAUAGAGUGUGGGGCACUCUUGCAUCUAAGAAUAUAUGAUCCUGAGGUUGUUCUGGUGAUGGGUAUUGGCCAUUACAUAAAGCUUCGACAAGCCCUUUUAGCUGCCUGUUAUUAGAAUUUGUAUAAUGAGCAUUCAAACUUAAACUUCUUUAAAUGGGAUGAAAACGAGUGAAAAUCAAGAAGUUGGAGGUGUUCAUCUCUAAUGCAUAGCUGAAGAUCCUUUGUAAGAAAAUACAGCUAAAGACAAAGUGUGUGUGUGUAACAGAGAAAUUGUCGAUAAUAGCAAUCAUGUUCUUUGUCUCUUGUGUCAUAUCUUCCAAAAAUCUUAAAGUAAUUGAUGAAAAAGUGGAUAUACCACUUUGUCUUCUUUAUAGCACUACUGGCCAAUAUGAGUUAAAAGCAUUAAAAGGUCGUGAACGCGGAUGCUUGACGAGCGAGUGUUUACUUGUUAAUUUUUUUAGAAGGAAUCUGGAAAAGAAUAAAGUCAUCUAUUUCACUUUGGGACAACAUUCCUCACCUCUCCCCGCCCGAGCUCUCUCCCUCCCUCCCUCCCUCCCUCGCUCGCUCCCUCUUCCGCCUCUCGGAAACCGCCGCAUCCAUUAAGGCUUCAGAUUUCUGCCAGGUGCUUCCUUUUCUAUCAUGCUUUUGUUUUUAAAAUUUAUGGGUGUUUUCAUUUAUUUUAUUGUAAUUAUUAUUCAGAGACAGAAAUCCAUUUUAAUAAGUAAAUUAAAAAAAAACAAAUAAUCGAUCCGAUGAAAUCUCUGCUAGUGAACGCAAUUCGAUUUUAAUAAGUAAAUUAAAAAAGUAUAUAAUCGGAUCCGAUGAAAUCGCUGCUCGUGAACGCAAUUCAAAGAAACGCACAAUCAGCCGAUUCUAAUAUUUUCUUUUGCAACCCCACCCUAAUUUACAUGAUAUUAUUCGAUUUUUCUCACAGUUAUUGUUGUAAUAAUCAAGCCCUGAAUUCUUGAACCCAAAUUUAUCUUAUUUUAUUUUAUUUUUUAGUUUUAUUUUUAAGUGGAGAAUAGAAAUCAAUUCAAAUCUUUUAGGCUCGAUCGAUAAUUUGUUAAUUAGUUUAUGCAGCAGCUGGAGUGGAAGGGAUAUUACUGCCGGAAUGGCCGAAAAAUGAGCUGUUUGGUUGAUUCUUCUUUUUUGGAAUUUACUGAAUUCUUCAAAAUUAUUGUGUUUUUAACAACAAUACGAUAUCCUUGGGUUUCAUGCUCGCUCACAAAUGGAAAAAAGAAAGAAAGAAAAGAACUUUAAAUUUUAUAAUUUGGUCAUGUUAAUGCUCGUCGUUUUCUUCUUCAUUUUCCUAGCUUAAAACAUCCUAGACAAUCUCUUUGGGAUGGGUUAUUGUUUUUGGCCUCUUCAUCUUCUAUUUGUGCUGUGGUAUUUAGUCUGCUGAUAUUCUUUGGGGAUUAAAAUGCCUCGUUUUAUGACUUUGUUUUGUUUUCUUCUUCUUUCUUUAUUCUUUUGGGGAUGUGGUAUUCUCCUCUUUCUAUUUACACUCUUUGCUCCCUACAACAUUUAUUCUUUCAGAAAAGUAAAUACAUACAUAAAUAACAACAGGAGAGGAGGGGGAGGGGGAGGGGGUUUGACGGUAUGUAUUUGGAUGCAUGAUAUCUAAAUUGGUAAGCACCUGAAAAAGGUCCUGAAUCUAAAUUGGUAAGAUGUGAUAUACUGAUAUCUAGAGAGAUAACUUAAUCUAUCUAUUGAAGUAAAGCAUUUAAAUGCGUAUACAAUGUUUUUGGAUCAUUAAAUAUCUAUUUGAUCAGAAUCUGUGAACCUAAAGCCACAAUGAAUACAAAUGCAAGUUUGUCAUUGUAAACAUUGCAUCGAUGAUGCAUCACAGGUGUUGCUAGAAAACAUCAAGUUAAAAUUGAAGCACCAUGAGUUUCUCUAUGGCUUGGUUUACCAACACUCACCAUCAGUUGGUGCGGCAAGUUAUGAACUAGCUGGCUAGUUUUUCGCUUCCUUGGUUUUAGAAGCACCAUGAAGAUUCAGGCCCAAAUCUUGCUUACAAUACUCAAAUACCCAAGAUCCUAGCACCUUGCCCUGAAUGGUCGUGUAUAUUUGUUAUGGCUGUUCAGAUUUUAUGCAUCCAUGUUUGGUAGAAUUCUUUAAUAAAGUACAUGCUAUUAGAUGGAAGUUCUCUUUAAAUCUAUUCAAGUCUGAAUAAACUGAUAUUCCAAUUUUCAUGACUUUGAUUAGGCGGAGAACUUGUGAUGGACACAGGUGAUUGGAGAACUCAAUUGCAGCCUGGCUCACGGCAAAGAAUAGUCAACAGAAUGUAAGUAUCUGUUUGCUAAUAUGUACAAGUGCUGCAAAAUAGUAAAUCUUGUAUUUAAAUGAAAGAAAAAGAGAAGGGCAAAAGGUUAAUUAAAAUCAGCAGGACUGCCAUGAGGCAACCUCAAGUAUCAUACACUGCUGUUUUUGUCUUUUUCAUUUUUCACGUGUUUCUCACAAGAAGUGAACUUGAGGGAAUAAAAAGUGCUGGGAAGGAAUUUUGGUGGAACUUCUUGUGUAACAUCUUCUUUCAAUGAUGACCUCUUGGAUGGCUGCAUGAAGCUUGUUCCGCUUUAAAUUUCAAGGUUAAUCUAUUGCUAUGAACAUUGGUGUUUCAAUUUCAACCUUGAGUUGCAACUGAACUUAAAUGAAUAGUGUUGGAUUUGGGCCUUCCAUUUGUUUUAACUUCUACAUGGUUGAAAUGAUAGUGAUCUUAAAAUAGAAAAGCAGUUGAAUGUUGAAUGGUGUAUGGUUUCCUAGUUUCUCAGCAUAAAGUUGAAUGUUUUGGUGAUAUCUCUACAUCCAAAAUCAUAUAGACAGCUACUGUUGGCACUUGCAGUAGCCAAUGAGCACUGUAGAGUAUAUAUUCCAGUGUGAGAUAAGGUUAACUCAUUGCAUUUUCAUAAAUUAAAGGGAUUUCUCUUCUUUUCUUUGUCAAUUACGGUGCAUGUAUAAAAGUUUUCUUACUUAGAGUAAAUGCUAUUGUAAUGUUUUCACAGAAUUCCCCUGGUUUGCAACUAAUUCACUUAUAUAUCUUGGAGCAUAGCCAUAGCCAUAGCCGUAAAUGGAAGGUUCUUCUGGUUCAAGAAAAUUAACCAUGAAGCUCGUAAUUAAAAUUUUAGACAGAAGGGUGGCCAAAUGAACUCCUAUACCCUGUACCUCUGGAAUAAUACGGGGAAAGGAAGUAAAAAUAGAUGUCUGUAUUCUGAUGCCAUAUAUUACUUGACCGACACUCGGCUAUAUCAUUAGUUGUUUUUAUUUUUUGCUAAUGAUUCCAUUGAAUACAUUUCUGAUAUUGGUGUGGUGUGUGAGUUCAUGGUUAUUUCUCACUGCUGCUAACUUCUCUAUACCUACCUUGUCAUUAAAAAUUAAACGUAAUGUUUUACAUGUGCAGAAUGGAGAUAUUAAAGAGGCAUCUUCCGUUUUCUGGUCAAGAGGGAUUACAAGAACUCAAGAAAAUUGCUGUACGGUUUGAGGAAAAGGUUUAUACUGCCGCCACCAGUCAGGUAUUCGGCUAAUGCUAGGUUCAAUAAUUUCGAUAUUCUCUAGACAUGAAUAUAAACAUGCAUAAGUUUGUGGAUUUAUGCAUGUACACGUGUGUGUAGUGUGUCCACACUCUCACUGGUCAUUCCGUAGAAGUUCUCAUCUGUUCAUUAAUUCUCUUGACAAGUGUUUUAUUUAGAGUGACCAAGGUUCUUUUCAAGUACAAGGGAAGUGUGCAAAAUGCAAAUAACGAAUCAAUACAUAAAUAAUUAAAUAAAAAGAUAGGAUACAGAAGUAUAUCCUAUAUCCUCACAGAAGACGCAAAUAUAGAAAGCCUAGCAUAUUAGAAAGAGCAUUUAUCCCUUUCCCCCCUUCUCUUGUAACAUGGACUGCUCAGAGAUCUAAUGUUUCCUUAUUGAUAUCUGAUUUCAGUCUGAUUAUCUGCGUAAAAUAUCUCUGAAGAUGCCUCAGAAUACCAUACCCACUGGCAAUGGUAACAAACCCCUGUAUCCAGGGGGGAAGUGUGCAAAAUCCAAGCUUUGAAUUUCUAAACAUCCUUACCUUUUGUUUUAUAUUUCGCAUUGUUAUCAGACCCUUUUACAUUUUAUUGCUGCAUUUUGCUAUGUAUAUACUAAUCCCUGUACUUUUACAUUAUGUUAAUAAACUGGUCCCUUCAUUAGUUUUUUGUUAGUCAAAUGUAGAGUUGUUAGCAAUAUUUCCUCAAUUUGUUCCACUAACUUGACGUUAAAAUGUGACCAAAGAAUCAAUUAAUUAUUUAAAAAACUUGAGGGAUUAAUUUGUUUGUUUCACAAAAAAAUACAGUGGUUAAAUAAAAUUUUACUCAAAUUUUUAUCAUCAUAUUCGUGAGUGUUUACUUGUAAAUAUUUUGGAAUGAACACAGUGGUUAAGUUUAUGUUUUGCGCAGCAUAAAAAAAAUCAUCUAGGCUUAAAUAAUUAUUUGGCAUCAUAAUUAAAACUCUAAUCCAAAUUUCUCUCAUCUGGCUUCUUAUCUAUAUCAAGUUUAAAAUUAACCAAUGUGAAAGUUGCUCUAACAUGAUAUAAUUAAUGUGAUGGGUUCCAAGUCAAUUCAUAUGACCAGUAAAAAAACAUAAUUUAGCUUUAAAAAAAAAAUUCAAGAUGAUACUUGUUUUGAACAUUGAUACGACAUCUUGGAUCGACUCUAGUUUUGUGACGUAACUCUUUAAACCCAUGACUUGAAUAAUGGAUUCUAUCUGGUUUAAUUUUUUAUAAAAAAAAUUAUUUUUUACUUAAUAAUAUGAUAAUAAAAAUAAAAACUCGUAAAAUUGAGCACUAAUCAAAUAUUAAGAUAUUUAUUUGAGACUGCAAUAACAUCAUUGAAAGCAAAUUGAAACAAAAUCAAUUCAAAAUCAAAUAAAUGUUAAACAAAUAUUAAAAGAUGAAACCAGACAAAAGCCAAAAAGGAUUUAAUUGAAAGAAAGAAAAUAUUGGAAUGUAGAGUUUAAAAACUAAGGAAUAAUAUUUAUUAAACUUGAUCCUAAUCUAUCGACUUGACUUCUUACCUAACAUAUAUUUAAAAUUAAUUUGUAAGGGAGUUGUCUGUACAUUACCUAGUUGACUUGACAUGUGCAAAUUAAAGCAACCUGAAUGACCAAUAAAAACAUGGUUUGGAUUUUAAGAAAAAAAAUCAAGAUAUCUUUUUUUUUUAAUAUUGAGACGAAAAUAUAUUAGAUCAACUCAAGCUCCGUGGCUAAACUCGUCAAAUACGCAACCCAGAUCAUGAACUCCACUAGAUUUAAAAACUAUUUUUUUAUAUAAUGAUACAAUAACUAAUAUAAACACUUAUAAAAUUGAGAACUAAACAAAUUUAGUGACGUUUAUUUGAUAUUGUGAUAACUACAUAUAAAGAAAAAAACAAAUUAUGACCAAUUCAAAAUUAACAAAAUAUUAAAGUGAAAUUGAAAGGAAAAAAAGGGCAAAAAUCAUUCAAUCAAAAGAAGAAAAAAUUAGAAGAUAGAAUUUUUUUUUUAAGGGAGGAUAUGAAUAGCAAAAUAGGAGGGAAAACCCUAACUUUUUUUAGUAUAAUAAAUGAUGUUUAAUUUAAUUAAAAUCUUUAUCUCAUACAAUUAGACCUAAAAAGAGAAGAAAAUUUCUAAAGAUUGAUUUGUAAAAAAACAGAAAAAAAAAUCAAAUCAAGAAGCGAAAAAAUACAAGGACCAAUAUACACACACAUAGUGAAAGAGUUAGAAAAGCAUAACUUUUUUAGUAUAGUAGUUUAUUUCUAAUUAAAUUGAAAACUUUAUCUCAUAUAAUUAGGCCAAAAAAGAAUUAAAUAAAAAAAAAAGGAUUAAUUUAUAAAAAGAAAAAGAAAAAUAAAGAAUACAGAACCAAAUCAACAAAGAAAAAAACUAAUUUUUAAAAAAUAAAGUGCUCCACUAUUCAUAUAAAAUAGAACAUCAUUAUAGUAUCCAAUUAGACAGUGACCCAUAUUACUGGCUAUUUUAAUUUUUUUAAAGAAAAAAAAGUUUCAGUAUUUUCAAAUGUGAUAAGUUUUUUUUUUAUAAAAAAAAACAUAUAUGUGUGCAAGGGAAUAGAGAUUUGGUUUGAGAAUACAUGCUAAAAAUCUAAACAUGAACUAAAACAAAGUGGAAUUAAAAAGAGUAAAAAAAAAAAACCUAAAAGAGAUCCAUGAUUCAUUAUAUAUAUAGACUAUGAGGUUACGAGGUAAAAUAUUAUGGAUUAGCAUAAUAUAAUUACUUUUUACCCUUCUCUACACAACAAUUACCUUGCUAAUAGGGGUAAAGUUGUCUUUUUCAAUGAUUUUAAAGGUUAUUUAUAAAUUCACUGGAGAUAAUUUAGUAGGUUUACUCCUUUUUUGCAUAUUAAAACUACAUCAUUGCCUUUGCAAGCCAAAAAAAGAAAAAACAAUUAACCUUUUGUUUAAGAUCUAUUUUGUAUUUUGUAUUUGAUUUAUACAGUAAAAUGACAUUAAUGCCUUAGAGAGUUAAAAAAUCAUCGACUUUAAGUUACUGGGCCUUAAACUUUGUUAUUUAUUUUGGUUUUUUUUUAUAGGGUUAUUUCUAUCUCAUAUCUCAAGUUGCAGAUAAGUUAGGUUGGAUGCAUACUUAAUUAAUUAAUAAAAGUCAUGUAUAUAUUUUUGCAAAUUGGAUGCACACUUAAUUAACAUACUUAUUGAAUAUUAAGUCAGGCAAAAAAUCUAUAAAAAGAAUAUACAAGUGAGCCAAACAACAAUAUUAAGAACGAAUAAGAGGUAGUAAAAGAAGAUGAUACCAAAGGACGCAAAAUCACAAAAAUUCAUGAAACUACAUUAGGCUCUCUACAAGUGAAUUGUUUAAAAAGUUAAAAGAAAAUAAAUGCACUUUUGUCCACAGCAACAACUAAAUGCACUUUUGUUCAAUACCAAGAAAUUAAACAUUUUUUAAAAAAAAAACUAAAUGAAUUGUUUAAAAAGUUAAAAGAAAAUAAAUGCACUUUUGUACACAGCAACAACAACUAUAGCAAAAUGCUGGGCUGUAGAAUCUAGAUGAUUGUCCACAGCAACAUGAAAAAAUCAUAUAUGCUUAAGUAACUAUUUGGCAUCUCAAUCUAGUAAAUUAAUCUUAAAUUUCUUAUAUCCGACUCUUUACCUAUAUUAAAUUUAAAAUUAACCAACAUAAAAAUUGUUUUAAUAUGACUUAAUCGAUAUAGUUGGUUCAAAGUCAAUCCAUAUGACCGAUAAAAAAUGUAAUUUGGCUUAAAAAAUUUCAAAAUAACAUCUUUUUUAUAACAUUGAUACGACAAUAUAUUAGAUUGACCCUGAUUUCAUGACUUAACUCUCUAAACCCACUACCUUAAUAACGGACUCCUUCUAGUUUAAAAACUUUUUUUUAAUUAUUUUUUACUUCAUGAUAUUAUAACAAAAAUAGAUGCUCAUAAAAUUAAGCACCAACCAAAUAUCAAGAUAUUUGUUUGAGAUUACAAUAAUAAAUAUCAUAAAAAGCGAAACCGAAACAAGACCAAAUCAAAAUAAAUCAAAUGUUAAAGGAUUAAACCAGGAAAAAGCCAAAGAGGAUUCAAUUAAAAGAAAGAAAAAAAAAAUAGAAGGUUGAGUUUAAAAACAAAGUAACAAUAUGACAUUGUUAUUAAACUUAAAGGAAAAAAAAACUAAUUUAAAAAAUUAAAGUGUUUCACUAUUCAUGUAAAAAUGAAAUACCAUUAUAGUAUCCAACUAUAUAGGUGACCUGCACUAUGGGUUAUUCUAUUUUUUUAAAAGCAAAAAAAUAAAGUUUCGACAUUGUUAGAUUGUGAGAAAAAAAAAGUUUUAAAAAAUAUCCGUGUACAAAAGAGGAGAGAGAUUUGGUUUGAGAAUGCAUGGUAAAAAUCUAAACAUGAACUAAAAAACAAAGUGGAAUUAUAAAAAUUAAAAAAAAAACUAAAAGAGGUAAAUGAUUCAAGUGAUUCAUUAUAGACUAUAAGGUAAAACACUAUGGAUUACACACAAUAUAUUUACUUUUUUCUCUUCUAUACACAAAAUAAUUGUCUUGCUAAUGGGGAUAAAGUUGUUUUUUUAAAGGGAUCUAAAGGUUAUUUGUAUAUUGAUCGGGGAUAAUUUAGUAGAUUUACUGCUUUUUUUGAACAUUAAAACUACAUCUUUGCCUUUGCAAGCAAAAAAAAAAAAUUGUCCUUUCGUUUAGGUUUAGGGUUUAUUUUAUCUUUCCUAUUUUUUUUCAUAGUAAAAUAACAUCAAUAUCCUUGAUAACAAUACAACAACAAAGGAAAAUACCAAUAUUUAAAAUACAACAACUCUUUUUUUCCCAUCUUCUGUUUUCUUUUUUUCAUAUCAAUACAACAACAAAGAAAAAUACAAAUAUUUAAAAUACAACAUAAAAUUUAUUUUCCUGUAGAAUCAAUGUAACAUUAAAGAGGCAUCUUCCGUUUUCUAGUCAGGAGGGAUUAUAAGAACUCAAGAAAAUUGCCAUAUGACUUGAGGAAAAGAUUUAUACUACCGCCACCAAUCAUGUGUUUGCCUAAUGCGAGGUUCGAUAAUUACGGUAUUCUUUAGACAUGAAUAUACACACGCAUUUAUGCAUGUACAAAUGUGUGUGUAGUGUGCCUACACUUCCUCACCGUUCAUUCUGUAUGCAAGGCUAAUUGGGAGUUCACAUCUUUUUGUUAAUUCUCUUGACAAGUGUUUUAUUGAGAGUGACCAGGUUCAAGUAUUGGGGAAGUGUGCAAAAAGAAAAUAGCAAAUCAAUACAUAAAUAAUUAAAUUAAAAGAGAGGAAACAGAACUAUAUCCUCACAGAAGAUGAAAUGAUAGAGCAUAUAUCCAUUUCCCCCCUUCUCUUGUAACAUGGAUUGCUCUGAGAGCUAAUGUUUUGUUAUUGAUAUCUGAUUUCGGUCUGAUUAUCUGCGUAAAAUAUCUCUGGAGAUUCUUUCGAUGGAAAUCAGGUCUCAAAACGCCAUGCCCACUGCCCCCAUGGACCCAUAAGGUAAUAAUGCAGCCAAGCAUUGAAUUUCUAAACAUCUUACCUUUUGUUUUUCUUUUCGCAUUGUUAUCGAACUCUUUUACAUUUUAUUGCUGCAUAUUGUUAUGUAUUUCGCCUUGCUGGAAAAAUCUCAUGAUCACCUCCACGAUGCUAAUUCUGUAAUGCAUGUGAAGUGUUUCUGAUAAGGUCCCAAUCAAGAGUGAUACACAAUUGCAGAAAUGCUAGGAUUCUCUUAGGGUGAGAAUUUACCACAAUAUUGUUUGGAUAAACAUAAUGCUAUUCUUUUUAUUCUUCUUCAUACAUAUAAAGAACUAAACCAUAACAACUUUCAGCAAAUCCAGCCGAAAUGGAAAUAACAGAUUACAAAACAGAAAUGCAAAUAAUGUGAAAGUGGCUGCUUUAUUUUCUCCCAUUGAAUCGGAAGCAUGAUUCCAAUUGACUUGCUUGUAACUCCCUUUAAUCACGAUAUCUUUUAAUCACGAUAUUUUAAAUUCUUCUUUAUGACACGUGGGGUCCUUCGUGGCAGCAGCUCUCCAAGCUGCGUAUCAUUACCCCCCACAUCAAGUGGAUGCUUGUCCCCAAGGUCCAAGCUUGGGUGGUUCGUUAGCAGUUCAGCCGUUGGUUCCCAGAUGGCAUCAUUUGUAGACAAAUGUUUCCACUUCACCAAACUCUCCUCAAUAAAUCUUGCCCCAUGUGGAAUCCAACGUGUGUCCAGAAUAGCUUCUGGUGUGACCACAAUGGUGCCUUCUUCAUCAAUAGGUGGAAGUUCCAUACUAGUGUCUGCUUUGUCACCCAACUUCCUUUUAAGCAACGACACAUGAAAAACUGAAUGUAAACGUGCCCCCUCCGGAAGCUUGAGUUUGUAGGCCACAUCACCGACUCGCUUUUCAAUUGGGAACGGACCAUAAAACUUGCAAGCAAGUUUUUGAUGAGCUCGUCGAAAAGCAGUCUGUUGGCGAUAAGGUUGUAAUUUGAGAUACACAAGGUCACCUUCUAUGAAUUCGACAUCCCUUCGCCCACGAUCAACCAACUGUUUCAUGCGAUUCCUAGCAUUCGCUAAAUUCUGCUUGAGAUUCCUAAGAAGUGUGUCCCGUACCUGAAGACUGUGAUCAACUUCAUUAACUGGUGAAGAGCCUGUAGCAUAAAGUGGAAAUGUAGGUGGUAAGCGUCCAUAAAGAGCUUGAAAAGGUGUCGUUCCUGUUGAUGAAUGGUAAGCUGUAUUAUACCACAGCUCUGCCCAAGGAAGAAAUUGGCUCAACUGUCGUGGUCUUUGGUGAACAAAACAGCGCAAAUAUUGUUCCACACAAUGAUUAACCACCUCUGAUUGACCAUCCGUUUGAGGAUGAUAUGCUGAGCUCAUCUUAAGCUGAGUACCAGACAUCUUAAAAAAUUCCUGCCAAAACUUACUAAUAAAGACUUUAUCUCUGUCGCUCAUAAUAGAACUAGGCAUGCCAUGUAGCUUCACCACACCAUCUACAAACUUUUCUGCCACCAUCUUUGUUGUGAAAGGAUGUGUUAAGGCCAAGAAGUGAGCAGAUUUGCUUAGAUGGUCCACUACCACUAAAAUGGUAUCGCGACCAUGUGAAGUAGGGAGACCUUCAAUAAAAUCUAUAGUAACGUCAUCCCAUACCUGACACGGAAUAGGAAGAGGUUGCAAGAGCCCAGCUGGUUUGAGAUUAUCAGCUUUAGUUUUCUAGCAUGUCACACAUGUGUGGACAUAUUCUUUGACAGAAUGAUACAUAGAUGGCCAAUAAAACUGCUGAGAUAGACGUUUGAAUGUACCCAAUAUACCAGAAUGGCCGCCCAUCUUUGUAUCAUGAAAUUCCUGUAGUAAUUGUUCUAUCACAGCUGUGUUAGGAGGCACCACAACACGUGUUUUGAAGAAAACUAACCCAUCUCGCCAGGUAUAAGGUUUUCCAGGACUAUUUUGAGCUUGCUGAAUAAUUUGUUCCAUAUAUGGGUGUCCAGUGGAGGCCUUUUUUAUGUCUUCCCAUAAAGUUACUUGUGGCACAGACAACGCAUUAAGAAUAGGGCUUCCAGACACUCUUGAUAAUGCAUCAGCAGCUGAGUUGUCGCGUCUUGGGCGAUAUAUGAUUUCAUAGUCAUAGCCAAGUAAUUUAGCCACCCAACGUUGUUGUUCUGGUGUCCCAAUUCUUUGCUCCAAUAGAUACUUUAGACUGUGCUGGUCCGUUUGAAUGAAGAACUUUUUGCCCAGUAGAUAUGGUCUCCAAGUGCGUAUUGCCUGAAGGAUGGCAAUCAUUUCUUUGGCAUAUGUUGACCAUGAAAGUUUGGCCACUCCGAGUUCUCGGCUGAGGAAAGCAAUGGGUUUACCUUGCUGUGUCAACACUGCACCAAUACCCUCUCCAGAAGCAUCAGUUUCAAUUGUAAAUGAUUCAUUGAAAUUUGGCAUAGCUAAAAUAGGUGUGGUUGUCAUAGCUUGUUUGAGCUGUAGGAAAGUUGCCUCCGCCUCUUGACUCCAUCUGAAUUGCCCUUUCUUCAAGAGAUUGGUUAAUGGCUUUGCCAGCAGACCAUAGUUGCGCACAAAUUUUCGAUAAUAACCUGUAAAGCCUAGAAAACCAGGUAAGUCUGAAAUAGUGCUUGGCCUUGGCCAAUUUACCAUAGCUGUAAUUUUGCUUGAAUUAACCUUGACCCCUUUAUUAGUCACAAUGUGACCGAGGUACUCGAGCUCUGACUGCCCAAAUGUAUAUUUGCCUUUACAAAAUAUGUAUGUUGCCGUAGAAUUUCAAAAACCUUUGUAACAUGUUCAAGAUGCAUGGUCCGGGCUAUAAAUCAAAAUAUCAUUAAAAAAAAAACUAAUAUGAAUUGACGGAGAUGAGGAUGAAAAAUAGAAUUCAUAAUAGCUUGGAAAGUGGAAGGAGCGUUGCAAAGACCAAAGGGCAUGACCAUAUAUUCGUAGUGGCCAUUAUGGGUACGGAACACAGUUUUGUGAGUGUCUUUUGGAUUUACUCGUACUUGAUGGUACCCUGCUCUUAAGUCUAAUUUUGUAAAGAAGGCAGCUCCAUGGAGCUCAUCAAGCAUGUCAUCAAUGGUAGGAAUAGGAAAUCGAUCCUUAAUGGUUACGCUAUUGAGAGCUCUAUAAUCAGUACAAAAACGCCAAGUGCCAUCUUUUUUUUUAACUAACAAAACAGGUGAAGAAAAGGGACUAGUACUUGGUUUUAUAAGUCCCAAUUUAAGCAUGUCUUGAACUUGUUUUUCAAUUUCAGUUUUUUGAAAAUAGGCAUACCUGUAGGGCCUCACAUUAAUAGGCUCAGUAUCUUCUUUAAGAGGAAUGCAAUGAUCAACUUCACGAGCUGGAGGUAACUGUGUGGGCUCAUAAAAAAUGUCCUCAAAGUUGUUGAUGAUUUCCUUCAUAUCUGUUUGCAUAUUGGGUCGUUCCAUCUUUUCUAUGGAUUGACAAUACACUGUAAAAGUGGAACAGCCAUGACGGACAUCUUUAGUAAUUGCUGAUAGUGAAGCAGGUUGUAUAGCUUGGCUAUUAGAACCAUUUAAUGUUUGAGCUUGAUUCUUCCACCAAAAGUCCAUUGUAAAUUUUUUCCAAUUACACACCACUGGUCCGAGUUGUUCAACCCAUUGUACACCAAGAACAAGAUCAAGGCCUGUGAUAGGUAUUGAAUAAAGGGUUAAUGAAAAUGGAAUGUUUUGGAGAAUAACCUGGACUUGUUCAAACCUUCCUUGGCACUUCAUUUGAUUGCCAUCUGCCACCCUUACAGUGAAGGGUCUCAUAGGAAUAACAGGUAAUUGAAGCUCCUCUGCUAUUUUAGAAUUGAUGAAAUUAUGGGUAGACCCACUGUCGAUGAGCACUGUUAGAGUGUGAUUCCCAACUCGUCCUUCAAUCCUCAUGGUUCGUGGUGUGGACCAACCCGUGAGUGCAUGGAGUGAAAUUUCUGGCUCAGUGUUCUCCUCAGCUAUGUCCUCUACUGGAAUGUCAUCAGUAACUUCUUCGCACAUGACUCUGACAGGUUCACUAAGGCUUUCUAGUAAUAACAGUUGCGGUCUUUGGCACUUAUGUCCAGCAGUGAAUUUGUCAUUGCAAUUGAAACAAAGCCCUUGUGCACGCCGUCUCUGCAUUUUAUCCCAUGUUAGUCUUUUUAUCGGAACUGGAAAACUGGAUUUUGGUGGGGGAAAAGUCAAUGGUGUGCGAGUUAAUUGUGUUGGCCGUGUAAAUUUCCCUUGCCGCAUUAUUUGUUCAUCCUUCAUUUUAUCUAAACUGAUAGCCUCUUUCAAAGUCCGUGGUUUGAACAUCCGAAUAGCAUCAGAAAUUUCUACUUUAAGUCCACCCAUGAAUGUUGUAACAACCCCGAUUUUUCUACAUUCUUUUUCGCGAUAUAUUGGAAAUUUUCAGGUAAAUUUUUUUUUUUGUGAUAUACAGGUUCCACCAAAAUUUCUACCAAAAUUUCGGCAGAGUCUCCCCUAUACUGGUAGGUCCCAGGUUAUCGACAUAUACCAUGUUUACACUUCUAAUAUCUCACAUCUCAUAACUCAAAAUCACGACCCAAUCAUCCUGGGUCUCAACCCAACUCAUUAUCAUCAACACAACACAUCUUAUUCAAUAACAUCAUAUAAUAUAGUUCAAAUGAAAGAUUCAAUUUCAACUAUAAAUAUGCAUGGUCAAAUAGGUACUAAGAGUUUAAACCAUUAGAGUAAAGACAUACAUUCAAAUUUACGGAUUAAUAUUACAUCUCAAGUUUUAUAAUUUACAUAGUCAAAAGCAAAAGAUAUCUAAACUAGCAUUACCCUUGACGCGACCCUGAUGGACCUGAAAAUAGAAAUUAACAUGUACACAUAAAUAUAAAAGAUAGUAACAAGCAAUAACAAUGGCAAACAAUAAUCUCUACGGAAUUUCUUUUGAUAUAUAAAAUUAGGCAUAAACCUCUUUUACAACAUAUAUUUUACAUUUAUUACCAAUAUCCAUCUAAUAUCCUAUCUCAUUUACCAAGAAUAAUUCCAUCUUGGAAAUCUCAACACAACUCAACGGUUUGCGAACACCAUCUCUUUAUAAAUCAAUUCUCACUUGAUACCAAGAUAUUCCUCUCUUGGUAUUAUUAGCUUAUCUCAUUCUUUUGGAAUAACUAAUUAAUAUUUUCCCUUUUCUGAAUCUGUUGCUAGAAGGUAAUCACUGAAACUAAUAAAUCUCAUUAGUAUCAUUAGUCUUCAAAUAUUGGGCUAGACUAAUCAAUUUAAGAAAUACUGGCACCGAUGAAACUUCAUCGAUACCAUUAGCAAUCCAAACUUGGAUGGCUAAUCAAUUCCAUUUGAUUCUUCCAUUCGUACCGAACCCCUUUUAUCUUUCUUAUUAACAUCAUAUGCAUUGUAACCACGGUUGCCAAGUAUCAUUUGCACACAAUCUUAGUUAUCGACACUACGGUCACUAAGCAUCCUUCACAAAACCUUGGUCACCUUCAUCACAGUGCCAAGUAUCAAUUUAUGCCCUUAGCCACCAUCAUUAUGGUGUUAAGUAUCAUUGUAAUGUAUCCUUAGCCACCGACACUAUGGUAACCAAUUAUCUAUCAAUUCACCUCCAAUCUCCAAGUCAUUGUGUCUACCCAAUAACCACAUUAAUUAAUUUACUCAAUAUGUUAGUCAUAUAUUAAUUAUUUUACUCAUAACAUUUAGAAUUUACUAUUUCUAACUUCAAUCAAUUAAUUCACAUAAUCUUUUCAAAACUUAACUAUCCGGCUAACUCAUCUCGAUUGCCAAUAAUUCUGGUAAUUUCAUAUAAUUACCCACACUUUUGGUUAACCUCCAUCGGUUACCAAUACAUCUGGUAAUUCCAUACGAAUUACUCAGCCUCCAGCUAACUUCUUUUGUUUGUCAAUUAAUCCUGUAAUUCCAUACGAAUUACCCCAUAUCCAGUUAACCUUCUUGUUAACCAAUAAACCCGGUAAUUCUCUUAAUUGUCCAAGAAAUCUGGCUAACCCAUCUUGGUUGCCAAGGUCAAUCCGGUAAUUCCAUACGAAUUACCCAUCAUCCAGCUAACCUCUCUUGUUAGCCAAUGAAUUCGGUAAUUCCAUACGAAUUACCCAUCAUCCAGCUAACCUCUUUUGUUAGCCAAUCAAUCCGGUAAUUCUAUACGAAUUACCCCAUAUCCAGUUAACCUUCUUGUUAACCAAUAAAGCCGGUAAUUCUCUUAAUUGUCCAAGAAAUCUGGCUAACCCAUCUUGGUUGCCAAGGUCAAUCCGGUAAUUCCAUACGUAUUACCCAGCAUCCGGCUAACCUCUUUUGUUAGCCAAUGAAUCCGGUAAUUCCAUACGAAUUACCCAUCAUCCAGCUAACCUCUUUUGUUAGCCAAUCAAUCCGGUAAUUCCAUACGAAUUACCCAAUAUCCCGGCUAACCUCUUUUGUUAGCCAAAUAAUUUCGGUAAUUUCUCUUAAAUUACCAAUAAUUCUCAUUUGUAAUAAUCACUCAACUUAUUCAUUUGUUUCAUUCUUUUAACAUCAAUUAAACACACAACACAAAUAUUUAAGAAAAACUAAUAAUUACAAAAUAAGGUGAUGAAUCACCUACCUAGAAUAGGUGCACGUGCUGCCACUCCAUGCAAUUGUCCAGUCCCCACAGCUUUCCCCUGUACCACCAGGGAUUCAAUUUUUAUCAACAAUACAACCAACAUCACAUCUUCAUUUAAUUCUCAUUCAACUAGUAUUCUCAAACUAAUCACAAGGAAUUUUCUUUAAGAUCUCAUACUCUUACUCAUUUUAAUGUUUAUAUUUAUUCUUAUAAUUUUGUUAUCAAAACCAUCACUCAACAGCAAUUCCAAGCAACGAUUAAAAAUUGUCUAAUUCCGAUCAAUUAAGCUUAACCAACCCAUAACACUAUCUAGUGUCUUAAUCAUAACUAAAGUUGUAAAACUCAGUUUUGGGCGUGAUUUAUAUCUCUAUGAAAGGCUAAACAUAGAGAUACAAAUUUUAUGAAGAAACCAACUCCAAAUUAUUUUGUUUUAAGGCUUAAAAUCAACAAUCACAAUAGCCCUUCUUUAUGGCUAAAAUUUUGGACAACGAGGAUUUUCAUUCCUUGGAAAUCCUUUUCAACUUCCAACUUAUUUUCAUGCAAAAUCAACAUCAUCCAAGGUCAUUUGGCAUCAUUAAAUCACAAGUUCAAACCAAUUCUAAAGCAAAACAUUCAAACAAUUUCCCUACCUCUACAAUAUAGCAAGAUUAGACCAAAAUAAGGAAACUCAUUCCUUUUGAGAUUUCUCCUAUUAUUAUUAUUAAUACAACAAAAUGAUGAACUAUUCAUUUUCUUUCGCUUUCUCCUCGUGCGAUUAAACAUAUACGGCAAACCUUAACAAUUAAUAUUCUCAGAUCAUUAUCACAACAAUAAUUUCACUCUACUAAUUGGGAUCCAUGACAACCUUCAUUAACUAACCAUUUGCUAAAAACACUUAUGGCUAGCUUUAAAUAUGUUUUAUUUUUUUCAAAUUUUUUUCAUUUCAAUUUCUUCAUGGUUCCACCCCAUUUAUAUCCACACAACCAACAAGUUAGCUUUCUAUUCAAUCAACAUGUUCUAUUCAAUCAACACGUUCAUAUAGCAAUAUUCUUUACUAUUCUUACACAACAAUCAUUCUUCCCCUCAUAUAAAGAAUACACAAUUAAUCUAUAAUAUUACUAAUAACAGGAACAUAUUUUAUCAUUACAUCUUCCAUAAAACCUACACCCACACAAUUCUAAUUUCAUCAAAACAUGUAUUUAAUCAAGCUUACUACAUUUUGCAAAAACUAGCAAUAGAUUCAAAAAGCAAUAAGUCAUCAACCUCUGAUUAUUGUUUCCCACCCAACGGUCAGACUACAUAUCAUAGCGUUGUGCAUAAUAUAUCUCAAAUUCAUAAUGAUCCAACGGUUAAAUCUCCCUAGAUCUGAAGAAAACCGAGCUUACCUGAAAAUGAACGAGCUACUGUUCAACAUGCACGCAACCUUGCCGGAGAAAUAUGUUCCGAUCUCCACUGUCCAGAAUGAAUUUAACAUCUACGCGCACCACAUAUCCAACAAUUAGCAUGAUCCAACGGUGGAAGAGAGAGAAAUCGGCCGGCGACCAAACUGCCCUGCAGGUGCAUUUCCUUUUUGUUUUCCAUGAAAUUCCAGAUGAUGAUUUCUGUCAAAUGGAUUGUGUUCCUUCCAAUCACUCCGGUCAGUUAGUAGAGGAGUGUAAUGAGAACAACACGUCCAAAACGCAGCUUGAUCCAACGGUUGAUUCCCGAGAUAUGACCACCGGAGCAUUAUUGGUUUUCUCCAAAAUUUGCAGCUCUCUCCCCUUAUCCGCUUUUCUCUAUUUUUUUUCUUUUUUUUCUUUCUUUUUUUCUUAACUGGUGGCCUCUUUGCAGAUUUAUAGGCACCUUUUUUUUUCAUAAUUACAAUUUUGUCCCUCUUUCAUGCUUUUAUGUAUUUUAUUUUAUUUUUCAUGUAAACUAUCUCGUUUAUUUCUGUUUAAAUCGCUAGUCUUUACCAAACUCUGAUUGGGAUGAGAUAUUUAACCAAGGUAGGAAAACAUAUUAAUAGGCUUCAUACAAAAUUUCAUCCCGAUCCGACGAUUGGAUUGAGAGCUCUGCUUCCUAAUGUAAAAUUGAUCAGUUCAUAACUUUUCGUAAACAAUCUAGAUUUUUUUUUUGUUCAAUCUUCACAAAAAAAAAAAACAUAUCAAUUAUCAUUCUAAACCUUUAAGGUCAUUUAAUUAUUUUGGAAUGUAUUCAUUUUAGGAUUUCCACCUUUAUUUAUUUAUCGGGCUUAUUAUCGUUUCAAAAUAACAUCACUGAUUUUUAAGCGGUGCUUGCACCUUCAGUCCUACCCUUUUCAUUGUACUAUCAUUUAUUAUAAUGUAUUCUUUAUUACCUCACUUAUUUCCUAAAAAUAUUUUGUCAUUUUUCUCAUUAUUUCAUCCAUCAAAACACGUUACCAGUUUCUCUAUCCUUAUGAAUUCUAAACCAAAAUUCAUUUUAUGAAGGUCAUCUCUUCUAUUAUAUAUCAUUAUUUAUCUAUUAUUUCUAAUCUUGGUUUCCAUCACUCAUUGAAAUAUUACCACUUUCAGUCUUAUGUUUACAUGAGGGUUUAUACAUCUACAUAUUUAAAUUAUAAAUUUCCAGGGUUUCACAAAUGUGCCCACCAGCGCCUUUUGAGUCCAACCAUGAACUCGAUUGCCCAACCUCUCAAAUUCCUUCUGAUAGUCCCUUAAGGAACCCACUUGUCUGACCUUUGAUAAUGCUUCAUCAAAAUCCUCAUAUUCUGUGGGCCCAAACCGUGCCCAAAGCUCUUCUUCAAAUAUCUCCCACGUGACAGUGCGCCCUUCUUCCUUGUGAGCUCGAUGCAACCAUUGCCACCAUUGGUUGGCUUCUCCUUCCAAAUGGAAUGAGGCCAAUGAUACUUUUUGAUUGUCCGCAGUCUCUUGAUAUUCAAAAAAUUGGUCCACCCAAUUGAACCAUUCGGUUGGAUCAUCCCCAGAAUAUCGUGGAAAGUCUAACUUGGCCAUUUUUUAUGAGAAGACGUGGCGUCCACACUCAUUAUCAGUUUUCUUCUUUCCCCCAUCAGUGUCAUCCCGAUAUGUGCGUGAGAAGCCAUCCCGGUCGUUGUUGUGGUAACUUGAAGACGCCUUGGAAGCGAUCAUGACCUCUGAAAGUUUGUUGAUGGUUUCCUCCAGGCUGUGCAAUCUAUUGAUCAUGUAAUCUUCCAGUCGCUGCAUGCCAUCUUGGACUCCACCAAGUCCUGUCUCCAAAAGCUCAAUUCGUUCUUUGUUUGUUGCCAUUGCGUAGGCUCUGAUACCAAUUGAUAAGGUCCCAGUCAAGAGUGAUACACAAUUGCAAAAAUGCUAGGAUUCUCUUAGGGUGAGAAUUUACCACAAUAUUGUUUGGAUAAAAAUAAUGCUAUUCUUUUUAUUCUUCUUCAUACAUAUAAAUAACUAAACCAUAACAACUUUCAGCAAAUCCCGCCGAAAUGGAAAUAACAGAUUACAAAACAGAAAUCCAAAUAAUGUGAAAGUGAUUUCUUUAUUUUCUCCCAUUGAAUCGGAAGCAUGAUUCCAAUUGACUUGCUUGUAACUCCCUUUAAUCACGAUAUCUUUUAAUCACGAUAUUUCAAAUUCUUUUUUAUGACACGUUGGGUCCUUCGUGGCAGCAGCUCUCCAAGCUGCGUAUCAGUUUCAUUCUUAACUUGUUAAGGAACAAGGACUGUGAUGCAUGGCUAUUUUAUAUUUUAUGAUUGAGAUGGUAGAUUUUAAAGAUUUUCCUGUUUAGGAGGUAAGACGUCACUUUCUUGCUUUUCUUCCGAGAGAAAGUAUUUGAUCCUUUCUUCAUAUAUAAUAAUGCUGCCAAGCAUUGAAUUUCUAAACAUCUUACCUUUUUGUUUUGUUUGUCGCAUUGUUAUCAAACUCUUUUGCAUUUAAUUGCAGUAUAUUGCUAUGUGUACGGCAUGCUUUAAUCAAAAAGUUGAGUACUCGAUGAAUGUUAGGCAAGAAAAUUACUGAUUAUUUUUGUUUUCUGCCUCCUCCUUUUCUUUCUCCCAACCUGAAAAUUGUCAUAUUAUUUUUGUUUUCAGCCGCCUCUUCUUCCCCCAACCCUGAAAAUUGUCUGAGGACACUUUUAUGCUUUGAAUCAAAUCCAUCCUAAUUCUUUCGCUCAUAACUUUAUGUGUGAACUGCCGAUGUUUGAUCAUUUGUCUUCCUUGUUCAGUGCCUUCUUUUUUUCUUUGACAUGGUUUCCUUUUUUCCUUUUAUCUUGAACAGCAUCCCAUAGUAUGCCCCCUCAAGUUCAGAAUCAUGGGCUAUUUCUCCCUAUCCUAUUGUCCACUGAUCAAUCUCAAGUACGCUAGCAGUUGUUAUCACAGAACAUGCAGAAUUGCAUGGCAUCUAAUGCAAUUCAAAGUUCUGCUGGUUUACUAGCGGCACUGCCUCUUGUCUCCGGUGUAACCCAGACUAUCCCCAACACUGUUGUCCAGAAUCCUAACAUGCAGAGUAUCCCCGGUGUUUCACAGAACUCAGUGGGGAAUUCAAUGAGACAAGGGAUUCCCUCCACUAUGUUUGCCAAUUCUCAUAAAGAAAUGCCAGGUAAUGCUCUUUUUGGUAGCUUUAUGUCUUCCACUUAUGGCAUUAGAAAUGCCACUGCUAUUGGAACUAUUGCAAUCACACAUGCAUUUGGCAUCACACGAUGCCCUUCAGUGCUCUGCACCAACUUUUCACCUCCCAUAAUGGUUCUAGUCAGUAAUGCUUUUUUAGGUAGCUUUAUGUGCUACUGCUGCCACUUAUGGCAUUAGUAAUGCCACUGCUAUUGAAACCAUUGCAAUCACACACACAUUUGUUACCCACAUCAUACCCUCCAGUGCAUUGCACCAGCUGUUCACCUCUCAUUCUGGAUUUAUAGGGUUUGUCCGUCUGUUUGAAUGAUUACAUAACGUUUAGAUGGAGUUCCUAGUACUCCUAGUUCAAAAAGACUUGUAUUCCUCUGUAGGAAAAUACUAAUAGUCCUAUCUAGAAUAGGAAAACCUAAUGAAGCUCGCUAUACUUUGGGAUAAUAAAAUACUAAAUGGAAAAUAAAAUGAGACUUGCAAUAUUCCAUAAUUUUCAGCAAGCGUGAAAAUUACAGAAAUACCCUUGUAUAUGGAAAACACACAAAAAUACAUGAAUUCUAAUCUUUGUUGCCCGCAUUGAAAUAUUUGUAGCAUCCCUAGAUUCUACAGCACAGACUGGACAUGCAAAAGGCGCUGAUUGACAAGAGUAGAUCUAUCAAAAGGUAAUUUCUGUGAUUUACUGUUCAUUAGAUGGAGUUCAUGUAUGCCAUAGUCUUAAAAAUAAAAGUGCACUAUUUCUGAAUGACUUACAGUUUAUCUUUUGUUAAGUGAAGAGUUAUUUGCACGAUUGCAAUCAACUUGUUGUGAAAAAUUUCCAGUAUUGAAUUUUAUAGAAAAUGAGGUUGAAAUUCUGAAUGUCUCAAGUCAUAACUGCAUAUUUGAUAAGGACAUUUUUCUUGUGCUUAAGUGAGUAUUAAAACGGGAAUAAGAAUGGUUGUUGUUAAGGAUCCAUGGGGUCAUGCAUAGGAUCUAAGGCUAAGAAGCGUCGCUAAAGUUGUGAAAUCCAUUGACUUGAGCUAGAACAGCAGAAAACAAUGAUGUGUAGUUUGCAGGGAGACAGUAACUGAACUUAACCAACCCCUGAAUCUUGUCUAAUGGUGUACUUACACAGUCCUUUGCAUCUUUCCAUUCCAUCAAUAUCGACAUCCUGUUGAGUUUCUAGCAUUAAUUCCACUCUAUUAUUUUUAUCUCAACUAAUUUAUGUUGUCCUCUGCCCUUUUUUUGUUAUUUUAUUUUUAUCAAUUCCCUUAAGUUUGUUUGUUUUACUUUCUUUCUGACUGGCACCUGAAGAGAUCAAGCAUAUGAGCGAUAAUGUUUUGCUGGUUAUUUGUACUUCCUAGAUCAAAGUUAUGAAGGAGACUUAUUUCCCUGAAAUAAAUGAAAUGUAUCAGAGAAUUGCUGCCAAGUUACAGCAGGUAAAUUGUCUCUGAAAUUUCUUCCGGAUUAUCUGUGCAUGCAUGAUUAUCUGCAAUUUCCCCAUGUUGAGUUUUGUAUUAGUUUGUUUUCCUCAUCAGCAUUGCCUGUCACUGUAUCAUCUGCACUAUUCACCUACCCCACCCCCAACCGCCCCCACAACCAUGCAUCGACACAGAAGAAGUGGAAUAGAAACAUUUUGUUUCACUAAUGUUUUGCUACAAAGGAUCAAUGCAAUUUUUAAUUCUCGUGUAUGUUAACUUUGCUUUCUAGCAUGACUCUCAUCCGCAACAACCGAAGUCGGAACAGCUUGAAAAGCUGGAGGUAUUCAAGGCCAUGUUGGAGCGCUUGAUAACAUUCUUACAGGUCUCUAAAAACAAAAUCACACCUAGUUUCAAGGAGAAAUUGGGUUCCAAUGAGAAGCAUAUUGUAAGUUUUCUAAACCCAGGCAGAUCAGGAAGCCAAUUCCUAAUCUACAGCGAGGACAACUUCCCCAGCCUCAUGUGCAACCUAUGCAGCAAUCCCAGUCUCCAGUUCCUCAAUUGCAGUCCCAUGAAAAUCAACUGAAUACCCAGUUGCAAUCAAUAAAUGUGCAAAAUUCUAUACCAACAAUGCAGCAGAACAAUAUGUCAAGCUUGCAGCAUGGUUCUCUUUCAUCUUUAUCUGGGUUUUCUAUGUCACAACCAAUCAUGAUGAUGUGGGACGAGAGAUUUUACGAGAAGAAAAGGGGGUAGAGAGAAUGAUAUUGUAGCAAAAAUAACUAAUCAAAUAGAAAGGCUGAGCUUAGAGACAGCACACUACAAAGGAAGCACCCAAUAGCUAGACAUACAAUCAUAACAAAUUCAUCUUCUAAAGUUGGAGAACUUGCGAAAACUAGCAACCAUAAAAUAGUAACAAGUAUCUAUGCAAUCUUCGAUGAAGUACAACCACCUACGUCGCCAAUAUGGAUUGAUGUAGAGAACUGCUGCAAUCGUCAUCACCACAACUGUGUAACAUACACUGAAACUGAUGUAGAAAAACUCCAUGUCUAUGAAACCAUCAUCUUCUUGUUCAUCAUGAGGCACUGGCUGGGACAACACUACUUCUUCACUACAAUUGUUUCGCAAUGGAGGUCCACACAAGAAAGGAUUUCCUUCGUAACAGCUUUCAUCGAAGGUCCCAAACUGAUAUUUUCUCUCGGGUGUCUUACCUGACAAGUUAUUGUGCUCCACACUAAAAACUUCUAGUGUGGUCAUUUCAGUAAGUUGUGGAGGGAUGUCACCAUUCAAGUUGUUGUAAGAAAGAUCCAAACUCUCAAUCCGCUUCAGGUUUGAGAAUGUUGCAGGGAUAGAUCCAGUGAGAUUGUUGUGUGAUAAGUUUAAUGACAGUAUCUCGCUUAAGUUUCCAAAUUCUGGUGGGAUUGCUCCUACAAAGUUGUUAUUGGAGAGAUCAAUACCAGACAUGUAGAUGAGAAUUUUCCCUUUGUAACCAUAAUACAUAUUUUUAGUUGUAAAUUCUAUCACUUCUUCUGUAAAGUUAGUCCAAUAACCCUUUAAUAAGGUGUAUAUGCUAUCCACUUGUGGUGGACCCAUUAUUUCAUAAUAAGCCUUUUCUAAGAACCCUGGUAGUAAAAGAACAUCGAGAUUCACUAAUGCUUUCUGGGAACUUUCUUUGAAAGUAAGAUUUUCCAAACAGGAGGGUAAUGGACCAGAAAGCUGGUUUUGUGAAACAUCCAAAAUGCUUAAUUGUUUUAAUAAGCAUAACUGAACAGGGAACUCACCAUCAAAGUGAUUAGCUCUCAGAAGAAGAACACUCAAUGAUGAAAGAUUGCCAGCCCAAUUUGGAAUUGAGCCGGUGAAGCUGUUAUCUCUAAGAUCCAUCGUAACCAGGGAAGAGCUAUUAUAAAAUCCAUAUUUUAAUGGACCGCUCAAUCUAUUUUUGGAUAGAUGCACAUGGGUUAUUUGUGGUGAAUUGAAACAAGAUGGAAUAUAUCCAAACAAAUUGUUCUCAGAAAGGUCCAAAUAUUCAAGCUGGUCAAACUUACAAAAAAAGUCUUUUGGGAUAGGACCCUUAAAAUGGUUUUUUGAAAAAUCAAUUGCUCUAAGGUUCGUCGAAUUGACGAACCACCUUGGAAGCAUGCCUGAAAAUUGAUUGUUACUCAAAUCCAAUACAAUCCACGUUUUCCACCCGUUUAAUGGAAAAUCUGAUAUUUGACCCCAAAAGUUGUUAUCACCUAGAUAGAGAUAUUCUGAGGUAGAAGAAUUGAACACGGAGGUUGGUAUUUGCCCACCCAAAUUGUUGUUUGACAGCUUGAGAAACAUUAAUGUUGUUAGUAGUUCUAGUUUUACCGUGGACAAUUGAUUGUUGGAUAAAUCUAAAACUCUCAAAGAGCUAAUAUUUCCUAAACAAGAAGGAAUACAACCCGUGAAUCCAUUCUUAGCCAUCCUUAAUCCCUUCAGAUUUGGAAAGAUCAAACAAAUAUCCUUUGGAAUUUGACCGCUCAUGUUGUUGUUGGAUAUAUCCAAUUCGGUCAUUUUCGGAUAUGGGUGAUCUUGCAACUGCAAAGUACCAACAAAGGAGUUCCCGCUCAGAUAUAGUUGCUCCAAUCGUGUAUUGUUCUUAAGCAACCACGAUGGAAACAUUCCGGUGAUGUUGUUGUGGGAGAGAUCAAGGAAUCUUAAGUGGUAUUGGUAAUAGAGGAAGUUGGGAAUUUCUAUAUUGAGUGCUUCCGUUGUUUUUGUCGAGCUAAAAAAGACUAGUUGGAACUUUGGAAUCAACUGAUCAAAUGCAGCAGGUUCUAUUACUAAUCUGUUGUUCUCAUUGCAGAAGAACUUGAGGCUUGAGUGGUUCAUAAAAGGUUUCAUUGAAGUGGGAACUUCAAAGAGGUUAUUUGAUAGUGAGAGGAAUUCAAGGGAUAUGAGGUUGGUAAGGGGACCGAAGGCAAUAUUUCCAGUAAAUUGGUUUUCAGAAACAUCUAAUAGUUGUAGAGAAGACAAGUUCCCCAAACAAUAUGGGAGUGAACCUCCUAAAUCAUUUUCAGAGAGAUCUAAUUGCUUCAGAUUCUUCAUUUCACACCAACCUGUACAAUUUAUGGAUAUAAAGUCGUUAAAGAUGAAGGCUAAGUCAAACAUGAUAAAAUACUAUCAUUAAAUUGAUCAUUGCAUAGAUAUAAAGUCCUUUUUUAUAUAUAUAUAUAUAUAAUGUAAUGAAUAUUAUUGAUUAUUCAACAUAGUUUUAAAUAAUAUAAUAUUUUUUAAAUUUAUAAUAUUAUAAAUUAUAAAAUUAUUGAUACUUGCAAUGAAGACCAAGUCUCAAAAUACCAUAUCCACUGGCAGUGGUAAUGCAGCGAAGCAUUGAAUUUCUAAACAUCCUUACCUUUUGUUUUAUAUUGCUAUGUAUAUACAAUGCUUUAAUCAAAACCUAUAAUGCAGGAAUAUCUGCAGAUGGCCAUUCCCAAAGGGAAAACUAAUCUUCCCUAGAAUAUUACAAAGUGCCAUUUCUACAGUGAGACACUGAAUAGUGAAAUUAGUGUUUCGUUUUUGUUGUUUUGUUGCUGAUAACUAGAUCUGUUAAAUCUUUUCCCUGUACUUUUACAUUAUGCAGUAAACUGGUCCCUUCAUUAGUUUUUCGUUAGUCAAAUAUUGUAGAGCUGUCAGCAAUAUUUCCUCUGUUUGUUCCACUAACUUGACGGUAAAAUGUGAUUAAAGAAUCAAUUAAUUAUUUAAAAAACGUCGAGGGAUUAAUUUGUUUGUUUCACAAAAAACAGACACUGGUUAUAUAAAAUUAUACUCAAAUUUUUUUCAUCAUAUGCGUGUGUUUACUUGUAAAUAUUUUGGAAGGAACUAGUUUAUGUUUUGCGCAACAUAAAAAAAAUCAUCUAGGCUUAAGAAACUAGCUCGAUCUAGUGGAUUAAUUUUUAAUUUUUUUUAUUUGACUUUUUAUCUAUAUCAAGUUUAACAUGAAAGUUAAUGUCUUUGUUUAAUUCGCAUGAUAACAAUUCUAUGUCUAAGAUCAUUUGGUUGGCAUACAUAUGUAAACCUAGGUGUUGUUAGUUCGAGGGAAGGAAGACACAAUAAAAAAUAAACAAACAUGGAUGAUAUGUCAUUUAUGUUUUACUUUUUUUAAUUAAAAAAACAGGCUUAAUAAAAAAUAUCAAGCGAGGUCAGAUGCGCGAGCCUUGUUUUAUAAUUUUUUAUUCAAAUUUUAAUAAUUGUUUUCAAUUAUUAUGCAUAUGACAUAAAAAUCUGUUCAUGAAAAUUAAAUUCAAAUCACUUUUUUAAUCUUAGAAUUUUUAGAUAUAUUUUUAGCAUAAUUUUAUCAUAUUUAUGAUUUUUUUUAACUUUCAAUCACAUGAAUAUAUUAUUUUGAUACAUUUUUAAUUUGUUGUGACAAUUAUAGAAUAUUCUUUUAAUAGAAACAAUGAUUCUAGUUAAGAAAAAAAUCUUGCAUUCAUCGAGAUAAACAAGAAAUAUGUUAAUAAGAAAAUUUAUCUUGAUGGAGAAAAAUUCAAAACGACUAAAUUUUCAAGUUUAAUAACAAUGCCAAGGAGUUUCCUUAGACUUGGAUAUUUUGUUCUACGUUUAAAGUUUUUUUUAUCUCCAUAACAUAGCAUUAGCAUACAAACUUGUAUAUUUUUAAGACAGCGUUUGGUUACUAUCCGGGACAAUAAAGACAAAGACAGAGGAGACAAGACAUAAAAGAAGAUGGAGAUAGAAUUGUGUUCAGUAGUGAUGUACAAGAUAAAAUAAUUGUCUUUGUAUCAUAUUUAGUUAUGUUGAAUAAGAAAGAAUAAAAUACAUAAAAAACUAUUUUACCUUUAAUAUGUAUUGUUGUCAAACUUCCAUAUUUAAAAAAUAAUUAUUUUUAUUUUUUUACUUUAGUUUAUAUUGAAUGUUGAAAUUAUUAAUAUUAUAAUAACCCUAAUUAUAAAACCAGGACUGAUUUGACAGGUUGGUUUAAGGCGUAGACUUGCCCGAGUUUUAGAAAAAUAGAUUAAUGAUUAACUAGACCUGACCUGGUAAAAAAUAUGAGUCAGGUUAAGAUAAAACACAAGUAAAAAACCCAUUGACUUUUUUGAAAAAGAAAAUUGGUCAAAACAAGGUUUCUUUGACUAUUUUUUUUAAAAAAAAAUUGGGUCAAUCAGGUUGACCUUCCCAACCCAUGACCUACACCUUUCCUUUGGUCAACUCCUAAGUUGAGUUUUAAAACUAUGAUAUUAAUAAUUUUUAUCCAUACUCAGGUCAACCUGUGUUGACCCUCUCGAUCCAUGACCUAGGCCUUACUUCUGUCGACUCCCGAGUCGGGUUUUAAAAUAUGAUAAUAACUAUUUUUAUCCUUACAUUAAUCCGGGUCGACUCUCUUGAUUCGUGACCCGAGUCUUACCCCAAAUUGACUAUCGAAUCAAAUUUUAAAACUAUGAUUAUAACCACCUUUAUUUUAUGUUGACCCGGGUCAAUCCGGGUUGACCCAUAUAACACGUGACUCAAGCCUUAUCCCGAGUCGAUCCCCGAUUUGGGUUUUAAAACUAUAAUAAUAACUAUUUUUAUCAUUACAUUUACCUAGGUCAAUAAUCAACCUCACUUGUGACCCCAAAAUUGCCCGGGUCGACCCUUAAAUCGAGUUUCAAAAUAUGAUAAUAACUAUUUUUAUUUUUAUACUAAUACAGGUCAACUCAACUCGUGACUCGGGCCUCAACCAGUGACCCAGAAUUUACCCCGGAUCGACCUCAAAGUUGGAUUUUAAAACUAUGAAAAUAAUUAUUUUUACCUUUAUAUGUCUUAAUUAGACAAUUUAGAAUUGAGAGUUUUUUAUAAGGAUAUUUUAGAAAUAAAAAAUAAUAAAUAUUGUCUCUAUAAACAUGUCCCUUCUAUACCUCAUAUUUUGAAAAUAUAAAAAUUCACUCUAAAAUUAUUCUAGAGACAAAUUUAUUUUUAUGUAUUUGUCUUUAUCUCUUUAACCAUAUAUAUUUAUAUCUUUAUUGUCUUCAUCCUUUUUAUCACACGACAAUGACCAAACAUUACCUAAAGGAUCUACAACUACUGAUGACAAACUUGGCUUUAUUUCAUCUUUGAUUUCUUCUCAAUGAUAUCUCACCUAUAUGUGUGGAGGCACUAGAUCGUUGAUUGAAAGGUUGACUUUGAAAAAAUAUAUUCAUAAAGUAAUGUUUGAAUCUUGGUGUUUUUUAUUGGCUCAAAAAAAUUACCAACCCACCAAAACCAACAUGUAUGAAACAUUUAGAUUUAAUAUUAUAUGUAUAAUUUAUUAUCAUAAUUGAUAUGCUAUUCAACUCACUAACUUAGUAGGAUGACCUAUAAUACCUGUUGAUCUAGGAUUUUAGCCGAAUCAAGCUUUAAGCCAGAUAUAAUAACUAUGAUUUUAUAAAAUUACUAUGAACUUCCCUUUUAUGUCUUCUUAUUUACUCAUUUGAUUUUAUGAAGUUAAGAUGUUUGCAUUUAUAUCAUGAUUAAACUCUAGGAUAACAUUUAGUUAUUACUUCAGGAUAACAAAAAUAAAGAUAGUAAAGACAAAAUUAUGUUUGGUUGAAAAGACAUAGAUAUAAAAAUAAUUUUUUUCAUGGGAUAAUUUUAGAGUGAAUUUAUGUACUUUCAAAAUAGAAAGUACAAAUAAGAUAUAUCUUCAUAAACAAUAUUUUUUAUUUUUAUUCCUAAAAUAUCAUUGAAAAAACUUUCAAUUCCAAAAUUGUCUAAUUAAAACAUGUAAGAACAAAAAUAGUUAUUAUCACAGUUGUAAAAUCUAACUCGAGGGUCGACCUGGGACAAGGCUUGGGUCAUUGUUUGGGUUGACCAUUGACCCGAGUCAACAAAAAAAUAAAAAUAGUUAUUAUUAUAAUUUUAAAACCUAACUUGGAGGUCGACUCAGGGCAAGACCCGGGUCAUAGGUCAGGAGGGUCAACUCUGGUUGAACUGAGUUAAUGUAAGGAUAAAAGUGGUUAUUGCAAUAGUUUUAAAACUUGACUCAGAGAUCGACCUGAUGUAAGCUCAGGUCUUGGGCUAGGAGGGUUAAUGCAUGGAUAAAAAUAAUUAUUAUCAUGAGUCGAUUUGAGACAAAGCCUAGGUUAUGGGUUGGGAGGGUCAACCCGAGUUGACCCAAUUUUUUUUUUUAAAAGAAUCAACACAACUUUGUUUUGACCAUUUUUUUUUAAAAAAAAAUAGCUGGUUUUGCCCUAUGUUUUAUCCCGAGUCGACCUGUGUUUUAUCCCGAAUCAACUCGGUUUUUUAAUUCACCUAUCUAUUCUUAAACUUAGAUUAAUACAGGCUUAGAGACGACUAGGUCCCGAAUAGAUUCACUAGGUCAGUCUAGGUUUUAUAACUAGGAUUAUUAUAAUAUUAUUAAAAUUAAACUAAAGUAAAAAAAAAUCUAAUUAUUUGUAUAAAUAUGUAAGUUUAACAAUAAUGCAUAUUAAAGGUAAAAUAAUUUUUUUAUUUUUUAUUUUUUUUAUUUAUCAUUAUCAAAUAAGAUAUAGAGACAGUUACUACCAAACACAAUUUUAUUUUCAUCUCCUUUUAUAUCUUGUUUUCAUGGUCUUCUUCCUUUUUAUUCAGGACAGUAACCAAAUAUUACCUAGUUAUAACAUAUAGAAACAUAUAAGUUGUCAAGUUCAAGCCUUUCUCUUAUCGAUUUAAAUAAAUUGAAACACAAUUGCAAGAAGAUUCGAGUGUGUUUGGUAUUGUGAUAGCUUUUGUGGUUGUGAUUUGAAAAAAAAUUGUUUUAUAAAAAAUACUUUUGGUUGAGGUUGGUUUGGUAUUUAUAUAUAUUUGGUUCAAACUGUGGUUGAAAUUGAGGUUGAACAAAAAGUAGUUUAAUGUGUUUGGUUAAGAAUGCUUUUCAAAUUGAGGUUAUAAAAUAAUUAAAAAAAGAUAUUAAUAUUAAUGGUUUUUAAUUUAAAUAUUGUAGAUUUAACUACUGUUAUUACAUCAUGAAAUAAAUAAUACUUUAUAUAAAAUAUUUUUAUUGUUCCAUUAAACUAUCUACAAUUCCAUCACGUACGAAAUCCAUCCGACAAGGACUACAGUUUCCUUGGUUUUUUAAGUGCGCAACAACAUCAUGUAAAAUAUCAUCAAGAACAAAAUUAGGAUUGCGAUCAAAUUCUGUAAAUGUUACGUCAUUAAGCGAUCUCCUUCUAAUUUAUGUAGUGUCAUUGAAUAAUGUUAAACAUUAGUUUUUUUGAAUAAAAUACAAUUAAAAAUAAAAAAAUUGAAUUUUAUUUUAUUUUACUGGGUCGGACCCGGUUCAAUGCAUUUAGCUUUGAACCGGACCCAAUUCGGCCGGAAUAAUAAAACAUUCUCCACUGUUCACGUGAACAGUGGAGAGUGAAGUAAUUCACUCUCACUAGGUGGAGACAACAGAAGAAAAGAAAAGGCAGCUUUGAGCUGCUUUCAAUGACACUGCAUUUUAAACAUAAAUUAUAAUGGAUCCUGUAAACAGUAAAUAAUAUUUUAUUAAUUAUCACAUGAUUGAUUUCUGUGGUUUGUUACAAAAACAGAAGCAACCACAGAAAUAAUCAGGUUCAAAGAAGAAAAGACAUAUGAUUAAAGUGCCACGCAACCUUUUGACAUUAUCAGUAUUUUGAUGUAUUUCCAUUAAUUUAUAAUAUACAAGUAUAUUUCCACGUUUCUUUUAUUUGGAUAGAACAUCUUUCCAAUAGAAUUUGUUUUUAUUAGAAUUCCAUAUUCAUGAUAUUUUUUUAAUAAUAAAAAUAGCAUUGGAUGAGUUUGUAUGUCAAUUGAAACUAAAAAUGUGUUAGAUACGAUCGAUGGAUUGAACAUGAUAAUAUAAAUAUCAAAUAAUGUUUAAUUAGAUUAAAUUGAACUAGAGAAUAUAUGUUUUUAUUCUAUGUUUGGUGCACACAAAAUAAGAUCAAAUAAUUUUAUUUUUAUCAUUGAGAUUUUUUCAAUCAUUUAUUUUAGUCUUUGCAUUUUAUUUUUAUGAUAUUUUAGUCCUUACUAGAAUUUCUUUAUCAUCUAGAACAAUCUAGUUCUUAAAUCAAAAAGGUUUUUGCAAUUAAACUCUUACAUGUAAAUAUUUAUUUUAAUAAAAUUGGUCAAAUUUUGGUUUUCCAAAUUAAAAAAUAAAUAAGUGAUAAAUAAAUAAUAGAUAAUAUAAAAAUUAAGAAAAAAUAAUUUUGUACAAAUUUUUUGUCCUGAGGAAAACUUUGGACAAGACAAUGACAAUGAUCAAUCCUUGUCAUGUCCAAAGUGUAUAUCAAACAUUUCAUAGCUUGCCAUGUGCAACAAAUAUAUCACAACUUGUUUUUAUUGUAUUCUAUUAUGAUCUCUUUUGUGUUUUAUAUUAUUUAAUAUAUUAAAAUAAAUUUAAUAAAUUAUACUGAAGCAAGAUCUAAUAUUAGAAAGUUAACGGAAAUAAUAAAUGUACCUUUGCCCGUCCCUUCAACAAAAUGCUGAGCUGUAUACUAAUUCUCAGAGGCAGUGAUAACUAGUUGUUCUAACUAAUCCCUAUACUUUUAAAUAUGUUUACAAUUCAGUCCCUUCAUUAAUUUUUCGUUAGUAAAAUGUUGAGCUGUCAGCAAUAUUUCCUUAGUUUGUGCCGCUAACUUGACGGUAAAAUGUGAUUAAAGGAUCAAUUAAUUAUUUAAAUCAACUUGAGGGAUUAAUCUGCAUUUGCUUAACAAAACGACAAACACUAGUUAACUCAAAUUUAAGGUAUGUUUGUUUUUAUAUUUCAAAAACGUUUUGAAAAAAUUUGAAAAUUUUUUAUUUUUUUCUUUGCUUCAAAUUAAUAUUUUUUGGUAUUUUUAGAUCAUUUUGAUAUGCUAAUAUUAAAAAUGAUUUUUUUCAAAAAACAUAUUUUAAUAUAUUUCUGAGUGAAAAACAUUUUAAAAAAUAUCUGUAACCACACUCUCAAACAAUCACAUUCCCAUACAGGUUAAUCAUCAUAUGCGUGCAUGCGUGCGUGCAAGUGGGGUUCAAUCCGGGUGCCCUAGCAUUAUAUUAUAAUACUUAUAUAUAUAAGAAACCCUGUAUGGAUUCGUACAACACUGGAAUGCAAUGAUUGAAUGAAAUAUUACAUGGACAUUGGACCUGCUGUGUAAACAUGUUUAGGAUGGAUGCGACGACAUUUCAGAGUUUUUGCUUUCAACUUGGAAACCAAUGUCAUAACCCAAUUCUGGGUUAUUCCCCAAAAAUCAUUUUUUUUUCAAAAUAAAAAUCAAAAUAAUAAUAAUAAAAGCUGGAAACGUGGAGAAGGCAAACCGGGGAAUCAAGUUGUAAUUUUGGAGGAAAUUCAAGGCCUAAUUGUACCCCAUUAUGCCAAAAAAUGGAGGAAAAAAAUGCAAAUUCAAGGUCAAAUUAAAUGACUAUUGGAUGAAUUUGCAUAAAAAUUAAGUCCAAGAACAUAAUUAAAUUUUUAAUAGGCCAAUUUGAUUUAAUCAUGGGCCAAAUUGAAUUUUAAUUAUGUUUAAGAAUUAAUUUGGGUCCAAUUGAAGGAUUUAGUUAAGUGCAAGGACUUAAUUAUACUUUAAAUGGGUAAAAUUAAUUUUAUUUGGGGCUUAAUUGGUGAAAAAUUAAGUUUGGGAGCCUAAUUUGGGCUUAAUUGAGAAGAUUGGAAUUUUAAGAGAUCAAAUUUAAUUUUUUCCAAGUUAAUUGCUUGAAAUCAGGGGCCAAAUUGCAAGAAAAUUGAAGUUUUGGGGUCAAUUAGGGGUUAAAUUGACAAAAUUUGCAGCCAAGGACCAAUAUGCAAAAAGUGCCAAACUAUAGGGCCUAUUGGCAAAAUCCAGGGUGAAAUUGAAGAAAUUGAAAGUUUAAUGGUUGAUUAGGGGUUAAAUUGCAUAAAUCCAAGACUAAAGACUUAUAUGCAAAAGGCGCGUAAAUUUGGGGUUCCAAUUGAAGUUCAGCAAGGGCGUAAUUGCAUUAAAUCAAAAGUUUAUGGUCAAUUAGGAGUUCAAUUAAAACAAAUUGAAAUCUGGAGGACUAAAUUAAAACUUAGUUAAAAUCCCUAAUUCAAACCUAAAACAACAUUGUUUUGAAUAAUAAUAAUAAAAAAAGAAUCAGACAACACGUCGUCUGGUCAUUAUUUAUUGUCUUCUUCUUUUACCCGGUUAAUCAUCAUAUGCGUGCGUGCAAGUCAGGGUUAUUGUGUUGUCUAUUCCGUGUGUAAUGUGGGGUUCAAUCCAUGUGAAUCGCACGACUUGUCCAUAUCUUUCUUAUUGAUUACAAAUAGCAUUGAGAAUUAAAGAAUAUUAUCUUAAUAAGUUCCAAUUUAUUCUACAAAAACUAUAUAUAAAGAUGUGACAAAAUCUUAAGUUCCAUUUUAUUCUACAAAAACUAUAAAGAUGUGACAAAAAGAUGCAGCUUACGGAUCAAGCCUGGUUCAGGUUUUGAUCCUGUUAAAAAUCUAUUUUGUUGAAUUGUUCAUCAACUCGUGAAUUAUUGGGUUAAAUAGAUUAAUUUUUUAAACAAAACAAUGCCAUUUUUUUUAUAUAUAAAAAAUUUGGUUCUGGCGUAUAAAUAUAAUAUUAGAAACUUAAACCUUAUUGAUUAGCAAAAACUCAAAGGGAAAUUUUGAAAUAGAUUUUUGUAAAAUCAAAUAUGAACCAAGUACUAGAAAGUUUGUUUGAAAUAACAAUUACUUUAUAGAAAGCAAAUAUAAAUAUAUUUAUUAAAUUUAAUAAAGUUUAAAAUCAGCAAGUUAAGCUACGAAACCCUGAUCAAUUUAAUAUAAUGCCGUUCAAUACAAAAAAAAAAUACAUCUUAAAAAAAAUUUAAGUUAAAUCAUGUUUCUACCUAUUAUUUAGGUUGUCUUCAGACUUAUAAAGUCGACUAGGUUAUAUUAGAAAAACUUUUAUAUAAUUAAAUUUAAAACUCGAGUUAGGAAAUUUUAAUAUUGAUUUGUUGAAUCGGAUUUAAUAACAAUACCAAAAAUCUAAAAUUUACUUUUUUAAUCAAUUUUUUUUAAUUCAACUCGUAUCAUAACACAGUAUAGUAAAAUAAAUAGAUAUAAAAUAUUUUGAUGGAUCCUCGGGAUAAGAGAUUGUUUUAGGACAUUUUGCUAAUUUCUUUUGUUAUCUAAUCAACAAGCUCAUAGUGAAUAAGUAUAUAAAUAUAUACAAUUAAAUUAAAUAACAUAUAAGAGAAAAAUGGUCGAAAGGUAAAGCUAAAGUGAUGCGACGUUGAGCCACUAGUCGAUAGUUGUAACGUCAGUUUGUUGGUUCGUCGUUCGUUUCUCGGAUUUAUUGAUCUUUAGAUUGUCUGUUUCUAGAAAAGAAAGAAAGAAAUAUUUAUAUUAUCAAUGCAAUGCAAUGCAAUGACUAAUAAGAGCUUGAAAUUAAGAGGUUUGCUUUCUCUAUAGUUUCAGGUUCGAACCCUGUGGUUGCUCAUAUGAUGGCCACUGAAGAUUUACAUGGUCGUUAACUUUAGGGCCCGUGGAAUUAGUCGAGGUGCGCAAAUUAUUAUCAUUUUAUCAAUGUAUACUACAUCUUUUUCUCAAUUGUUUGAGUUUGAAAUUAUAUCUGUGAACCCAUUAAUUUAUCUAGAAAAAAAAAAUUUAGGUAAUUGGAUCAAUCCUUGAUAUCAUAUAGAGAUAAAUUAAUUGUUUUGAUUAAAACAAUAUCAUUUUAUUUAAAAAUAAAUUUAUAAUAUUAAUUGAAUCACUAAAAACACAACUAGACCAAUCAUGUUUUAAAUAUUUUUAAAUAUUUUUAUAUUUAAUUUGAAAUUGAUUUAAAUUAAACUUUAAAUUAUGGGUUUUUCAAACUAACAUGUGUUGGGUUACGUCGAUUGAGUUAGGUAUAACAUAUCUAGAAGAAUUUAUUAAAUUUCUCUAUAAUUAGUCAAUCGAUGAGGGAAUUUAGUUUUAAUUGAUGGAGAAAUUAAUUUAAAGAUACCAUGCAAGAUAUAAAAAAAAACAUUUAAAGAUAUCAAUUAUUGUUUUCCGUUUAAUUAUAAAUAGAAUGAAGAGAGCGAUGCUCGCUGCACUUUUAUAAGCGACUAAAGUAGUUUCCAUCUUAGAUACAGUUAGAAUCUCCCAUAUCUGUCAAAAUGCCAAAAAAGCUAUUCGCAAAGAAACUCUCAAAAACUGACAUUAAUUAAAUAUAGAAUGGCAGUUCCAAUGGAAAGCCUCUACGCUUUCCAAAUCCCAGAAGGAGAACACUCUAAAGAAUUUGGUGUCACUGGCAUCCAUGGCAAGAGGUGGAGGUUCCGAUGUUGUACAAGAAAAACUGAGUUGAUCACCUUAAACCAGUCAUGUUUUCAGUUUGGAUUGAGUUCGCCAAAAAAAAGGGUUCUCAAAAAAGGUGAUGAAGUCACCUUCUCUGUGCUGGACAUGAAGGGAGCUGAGGAUCUGGAAUUGGGAAUUCAAGCUCGGAAAAGAAUCAAGCUAUUCGGCCAAGAUUUUUGGAGUAAUCCUUUGUGAAGAAGAAGAAGAAGAAGAAGAAGAAGCUACUCCUCGCAUAAGUAUAGAUUUUGUGCACCGAAGAUUGUGUCUGUGAGUAAUAGAGCUGGUUGCCUAUGUACAAUUAGUAUGCUUUGGCAGGAACUUCGUGACUGGUCCUUGGAUAGCUGAGAAAGCCAAGUCUAUGGCAACUUCAGGGGAAUCCAGGAGCAGGAAAAAAAUCAAGGUGAAAGGAUAUGAAUUUGCUAGUGCAACUGCUGCAAAGGAUCUAGGAGACAUAAAUUUGCGAACUAGAGAAGAGUUAAUUUUGAGCUCUGCAUUCUUCUUGCAUGUUCAUCUGUUUCCCGUUGUGGUUGAUCUUAGCAGUUCUCAGUAUAGUAAUUUGCAUUUCCUUCUAGAUCAGAUGAUUAAUGGAUUAUCAGGCAUGGACUGCGAUGUAGUCGGUGCUAGGGAAUCAACAAAGUUAACUCAUUGUAUUUUCAUAAAUUAAAGGGAUUUCUCUUCUUUUCUUUGUCAAUUACAGUGCAUGAUGUAUAAAAGUUUUCUUACUCAGAGUAAAUGCUAUUGUAAUGUUUUCACAGAGACUCCUCUAUUUUGCAACUAAUUCACUUAUAUAUCUUGGAAACAGAAAGGCAAUCAACGAAGAGUAAGGCAUCUUCUGAAGAAACAAAGAAAUUUAAUGCCCUAAACUAAGCAGCAGGUAGAAGGCAAAAACUGAGCUCAAAUUUUCAGUAAGGGACAAACGAAAAAAACCAAAAAGAAAGCAGAGAAAAAUACAGACUCAAAUUCACAACACCCAUUUUCUUUCCAUUGGAACACUUUAAAUAGUUUAUUAAAUUUAUAAUGAUCUGAUUUCUACGCAUAUUACAAAAUCAACUUCAUGAUCAAUUCUCUAUAAUUUCGGCAUUACUAAAAACAUCCAAACUAAUAAACUAUUAGUUAUUUUAGCCAUUUUAAUAAACAUUUUAGUUAUGAAUUCACCAAACAUUUUGAACAAUUCAUAUGGAUGAAUUAACAUGUUAAUUUUAGAUUUUUUAACUUAUUAAUUCCUUCAUGAAUUACUUCUAAAGCAUGUUAUAUAUAUCUAAGCACUUUUAUAUAAUAUAAUUCUAUCAAAUUCACUUUUACCCAAUGUAUAAUAUAAACAUCCAUAAAAAAUAACUUAUAUUGUCAAUGCAAUGAAAUGACUAAAUAACAUUUAAUUAUUAUAAUAGCUUUGUCCUCAUACCUAAGGAAGUAUACUACGUCUUUUUCUCGAUUCUUUGAGUUUGAAAUUAUAUCUUUGAACCCAUUAAUUUAUCUAAAAAAAAAUUUAGGUAAUUGGAUCAAUCCUUGAGGUCAUCAUAUCAUAGGGAUAUAAAUCAAUUAUUUUUAUUAAAAAUAAUUUUUUUUUUAAUAUUUUCAUAUUUAACUUGAAAUCGAUUCAAAUUAAAUUUUAAAUUACAGGUUUUUCAAAUUAACAUGUGUUGGGUUAGGUCUAAUAUAUCUAGAAGAAUUUAUUAAAUUUCUCUAUAAUUAGUCAAUCGAUGAGGGAAUUUAGUUUUAACUAGUUACAUGACCCGCGCGAUGCCACGGGUCAAUUUUGUUUUGCAUAAAAAAUAUCAAAAAAAGCUAAGAUCUAAAAGUGUUAGGUCUUUCUAUAAAGUUAUACCCAAAAGUCUUGGGUUUGGCUACAACGCCUGAUCCAAAAAUAAUAUUUAUAAUAUUAAUAAUAACAUUAAACUUGCAUAUAUCCACGAAUAUGUACAAUAUUUGAAACCUAUAAUGCAAGAAUAGCUGCAGAUGUACAAUAUUUUUAAUUUAAAGAAUCAAUUAAUUAUUUAAAAAACUUGAGGGAUUAAUUUGUUUGUUUUACUCAAAUUUUUAUUGUUUACUUGUAAAUAUUUUGAAAGGCACAACAUGAAAAAAUCAUAUAUGCUUAAGCAACUAUUUGGCAUCUUAAACUUAAUCUCGUAAAUUAAUCUUAAAUCCUUUUUAUUUAACUCUUUCCCAGUAUCAAGUUUAAAAUUAAUCAACAUAAAAGUUGUUUUAAUAUAACUUAGUUAAUUUAAUGGGUUCAAAAUUAAUACAUAUGACAUGAGAUCUACCAGCCAUCAUCUGGCCGGAAACGGGCCGCGAUCGUCGACUGCCACCGAAGCUUCAAGUCGUCGAUUCUCGCUCAUCAGCCAUCAACGGCCGUCAAGACCACCACCAUAAGAAUCCUCGACAUCAGAUCUACCAGGAUCGACCAUCGGUUGGCCAGAAAUCGCGCCGGAAAAUCUCCCCGCCGCCAACAGUAGCCGCGCGUGUGCCACACGCGCCGCCAGUGGCAUUUUUGUAAAUUUUGGAGAAACCCGAGGGUAUUUCAGUCUUUUACCUAUACAGUGGCACUCAGGUAAUUUUUCGGGGUUUCUACUGGUAUUUUUGAUAUUUUUUAUAUAUAAAUGCUUGUAAAUUUUCUUGCAUGUUGUAAAAAAUACAAAAACCAAAGUCGACACGUCUCUUUUUUUAAAAGGACCGAUGUCAAAAAUGUAAAUACCAAAUAUGGCAUAUGUCCAUUAUUUUUUUUUGGUGACCCAGACGUAAUUCUCCUUUUUAGGGUUGAAACGUCAUAUUUUAGACAAGUCUCCUAAUUUUUAGGGACUGAUGUCAUUUUUAACGUGUCUCCUAUUUUUAGGGACCGACGUUAACCAUUUAAAAAAACAAAUUACCAAUAAACCCAAAAUAUAAUGGAUUAUAUCCAUUAUUUCUUUUGGUAACUCAGACGAGUCUCCAAUUUUUAGGGACUGAUGUCAUUUUUAACGUGUCUCCUAUUUUUAGGGACCGACGUUAAUCAUUUACAAAAAUUUACAAAUAAGCCCAAAAUAUAAUAGCAUUUGAAUCAAAUAAAAACACACAAGUAAGGGUAACCUUUCUUUUGAAAGGAUGUUUUAAGGGUGGUGUCUACCUUCCCUUAAUCAUAACUAACCCCGUACCCGAAUCUCUGGGACCAGUGUCUAAUUUGGGAUUUCUAGUUCCCUCAAAUUACUAGAUGGCGACUCCAAUAAAAUCUUUGUUUCCCCCAAUCGAGAAAAAAACCCUUUUUGUUAAACAAACAAAAAAAGCGGGAGCCGUCGCCCGACGUCGUGUAUCGACAAAUGUCUGCAAAUCUUGUGGUCAUAUACAGGGUGCCGGUUUUCUUUCCACGAGCCAAAACCAUUGCUCCCUUUGAUACCUUCCACAUACCUCCAGAAAAAAGGAUUGAAUGACCACUAUCAUCAAGUUGUCCGACCGAGAUCAGCUUCUUCUUUAGAUCAGGAACAUGCCUUACAUUUUGCAAGGUCUAUAUAGAUCCAUUCAUUGUCUUGAUUUGUACAUCUCCUAAACCCACAAUAUCCAAUGGUUGUCCAUCGGCCAGAUAGACUACACCGUGAUCUCCAGCAAUAUAGUUUUGCAUCAUUUCAUGGUGUGGUGUACAGUGAAAUGAAGCACCAGAAUCAAGAACCCAAUCAUCAACAGGACUAUGCACAGCAAGAAUCAAAGCAUCUUGCACCUCAUUUGUGGUAGCGUUUGCAGAGUCAGCUUCAGGUUUUUUCGGUUUUGUGCAAUUCCUCAUGAAAUGACCGGGUUUGCCACAAUUCCAACAUUCAACCUGUUUUCUGGGUCCAAACUUGCUUUUACUUCUAUAUCUUGAUUUUGAUCUGCCUCUGGAUAAGCCUCUAUCAUGUCUCCUCCCUCGAGUGUUGAUGUUGAGAGCUGAUCCUGAGCUUGAACUUUCACCCGAGUCUUUCCUUCGCACUUCUUCAGCCAAAAUCAAGUCUCGAAUGUCAUCAUACUUCAGUUUGGAUUUUCCAGCUGAAUUGCUCACGGCUGUCCUCAUGCCUUCCCAACUGCUUGGAAGUGAAGCUAGCAAGAUGAGUGCACGAAUCUCAUCAUCAAACUCAAUCUCAACAGAUGAUAAUUGAUUUGUGAUGGUAUUAAAGUUAUUGAGGUGUUGUGUCACAGAAGUGUUUUCGACCAUCUUCAAGUUGAACAACUUUUUCAUCAGGUGCACUUUAUUAUUUGCUGAUGGCUUCUCAUACAUCCCAGACAAGGCUUCCAUCAAUCUUGCAGUGGAUCUUUCUUUCGUAACAUUGUGAGCAACUCUUCUUGAUAAGGAUAACCGGACAAUGCCCAGAACUUGUCUAUCAAGAAGUAGCCAAUCUUCUUCUUGCAUAUUUUCUGGUUUGCUCCCCAACAAGGGAAGAUGAAGUUUCUUCCCAUAUAGAUAAUCCUCAAUUUGCAUUUUCCAGUAUCCAAAAUCUGUCCCGUCAAAUUUUUCAAUUCCAGCUGCUUUUAUUUCAUCUGCCAUUUUUACUGCUUCUCCGAUUCGAAUUUCCCAAAUCUGACCUUACAGAUGUGUCCGGAACAGCCGAAAACCUUGGAAAUGACACUGAGAUAACCCCAAUCGGACUUCGGAUGGCUCAGAUUUUAGCAAUCAAAGUUUUGGAUUAACGGACGGUGCAGAUGCAGCCGCGUGUCAACCAGAGUACCGCCUGCGUCGCACCGGAUCAAAACCUCAGUAGCGGUUCUGAUGAAGCCACGUGUCAGCAGAUUAGGUCCUGCGUCACACCGUAUCAAAACUCAGUAACGGUUAUGAUGAAGCCACGUGUCAGCAGAUGAUGGCCUGAGUCACACUGGAUCAAUACUCAAUAGUGGUCCUGAUUUAACCACGUGUCAACUGAUUGGAUCUUGCGUCGUACUGGAUCAAAACCCCUCAACGGUUGUGAUGUAGCCACGUGUCAGAAUAUCAGCUUCUGCGACACAUCGGAACAAAACUCAGAGAUGACGUGGCAGGUGACGUGGCAGGUGACGCGGACGGUGACCGUACGGCUGUGCUGACGUGGCGGGUCAGCCCGACCCGUUUUGCAGAAGUCGGGCGAAGAUGGAGCGUGGCGCGCGUACGGCGCGUUGGUGCGCGUGGGCAGUCUGGGCGUCGGCGCGUGUUGGCGCGUGCGGGCAUGCAGGACGUCGGUUCUUCGCCGGGUUUUCAACAGUGGAUUCGUCCGGUUGUCCUCUACACGAUGGUAUGUUCAAAAACACGUUUUGAGAACUUUGAUUUUUGAGUUUGGAUCAAACACCCUCUUUGUCAAGAACAAGCUCUGAUACCAGUUGUUGGGUAAUUCCAGAACUCAAACACACAUCAAUUUACGUGGUUCGGCAACUUGCCUACUCCACGGAGCUACUGGUUUGUAUUAAUCAAGCUUAGAAACAAUACAAACAACAAAACAAGGAGGAGGAGAAAAUCUUCUCUACUCAACUCAAGCUCUCUCUCUCUCACGUUUUUCUCUCUGUGUUUUCACUCUUCUCUGUGUUCUUCACGCUUCAACCCUCCAGCUCUUCACUGAGCAUACAUAUAUAUUAAGCUAGGAGUGAAGGGCAUAAAUCAUGCCAUGAUUUAUGCCCACCGUUUGCCUCCACUUGUGCUAAGUGGAGAUUAGGUAUUCCCACUAAGCACAUAGUGGAGGUGGGACAUUGCUUGUCUCCAAAUAGCUAACAUAACUGAGGUGGGGUCGCCCUUGAAACAUUGGUAGAUGUAAGUGUUGCUCACAUGCAUAGAAUAUUUUUUUUCUACUUAGUAGUGGUUUUGGCAAUUUUUUUCAGACAAGUCUUGAGAGUUGAAAGAGUAAUCACACCCGAGUCAACCAACAAUCCAAAUCAGCUCCCUUCCUAAUGGUUCAGGAAUGAGAAGUCCAGCUUAUAUAUUUGAUAUAGAGACGGUACACUACAAAUUAAGCACCCAAUAACUAGACAAACAAUCAUGAUAAACUAGGAACAAUUGUCUUCCCAGUAACAAAUUCACCUUCUCACGUUGGAGAACUUGCGAAAACUAGCCACCACAAAAUAGUAGCAAGUAUUUAUGCAGUCUUCGAUGAAGUACGACCACCUGCGUCGCCAAUAUGGAUUGAUGUAAAGAACUGCUGCAAUCGUCAUUACCACAACUGUGUAACAUACACCGAAGCUGAUGUAGAAAAACUCCAUGUCUAUGAAACCAUCAUCUCCUUGUUCAUCAUUAGGCACUGGCUGUAACGGCACUGCUUCCUCACUACAAUUGUUUCGCAAUGGAGGUCCACACAAGAAAGGAUUUCCUUCGUAACAGUUUUCAUCAUCAAAGGUCCCAAAUUGAUAUUUUCUCUCGGGUGUCCUACCUGACAAGUUAUUGUACGCCACACUAAAAACUUCCAGUGUGGUAAUUUCAGUAAGUUGUGGAGGGAUGGCACCAUUCAAGUUGUUGUAAGAAAGAUCCAAACUCUCAAUCUGCUUUAGGUUUGAGAAUGUUGCAGGGAUAGAUCCAGUGAGAUUGUUGUGUGAUAAGUUUAAUGACAGUAUCUUACUCAAGUUUCCAAAUUCUGGUGGGAUUGCUCCUACAAAGUUGUUAUUGGAGAGAUCAAUACCAUACAUGUAGCUCAGAACUUUCCCCUUGUAACCAUAAUACAUAUUUUUAGUUGUAAAUUCUAUCACUUCUUCUGUAAAGUUAACCCAAAAAUCCUUUCCCAAGUUGUACAUACUAUCCCCUAGUGGUGGACCCAUUGUUUCAUAAUAAGCUUUUUCUAUGGACCAUGACGGAAAACCAUAUCCGAGAUCCGCGAGCGUUUUCUGGGAACUUUCCUUGAGAGUUAGAUUGCCCAAACAUGAGGGUAGUGGACCAGAGAGCUGGUUUUGUGAAACAUCCAAAAUACUUAAUUGUUCUAACAAGCAUAACUGAACAGCGAGCUCACCAUCAAAGUUAUUAGCCCUCAGAAGAAGAACACUCAAUGAUGAAAGAUUGCCAAUCCAAUUUGGAAUAGAGCCAAUGAAGCUGUUGUCUCGAAGAUCCAUCGUAACUAGGGAAGAGCUGUUAUAAAAACCAUAUGUUAAUGGACCGCUCAAUCUAUUUUUGGAUAGAUGAAUAUGGGUUAUUUGUGGUGGAUUGAAACAAGAUGGCAUAUAUCCAGACAAGUAGUUAUCAGAAAGGUCCAAAAAUUCAAGCCGGUCAAGCUUACAAAAGUCUCUUGGGAUUGGACCCUUAAAAAGGUUUUUGGACAAAUCAAGUACUUCAUCGUACGUAAAAUUAAAAAAGCUUCUUGGAAGCAUGCCUGAAAAUUGAUUGUUACUCAAAUCCAAUACACUCCAUACUUUCCACCCAUAUAAUGGAAAAUCUGAUAUCUGACCCCAAAAGUAGUUACCACCUAGGUAGAGAUAUUGUGAGAUAGAAGAAUUGAACACCGAGGUCGGUAUUUGCCCACCCAAACUAUUGUUUGACAGCUUGAGAACCUGUAUUGUUGUUAAUUGUUCUAGUUUUACUGUAGACAAUUGAUUGUUGGAUAAAUCUAAAAAUGAAAGAGAGCUAAAAUUUCCUAAACAAGAAGGAAUAUAACCUGUGAAUCCAUUGUCAGCCAUCCUUAAGAUCCACAGAUUUGGAAAGAUCAAACAAAUAUCUUUUGGAAUUUGACCAUUUAUGUUGUUGUUGGAUAUAUCUAAUUCGGUCAUAUUCGGAUAUGGGUGAUCUAGCAAUUGCAAAGUACCAACAAAGGAGUUCUCGCUCAGAUAUAGUUGCUCCAUUCGUGUAUUGUUCUUAAGCAACCAUGAUGGAAACAUUCCGAAGAUGUUGUUGUGGGAGAGAUCAAGGGUUCUUAAGUCGUAUUGGUAAUAGAGGAAGUCGAGAAUUUCUACAUUGAGUGCUUCCGAUGUUGGACUACUUGACAAGCGGAAAAAGACUAGUUGGAACUUUGGAAUCAAAUUAUCAAAGGCAGCAGAUUCCGUUACUAGUCUGUUGUUCUCACUGGAGAAGAACUUGAGGCUUGAGUGGUUCAUAAAAGGCUUCAUUGAAAUGGGAACUUCAAAGAGGUUAUUUGAUAGUGAGAGGAAUUCAAGGGAUAUGAGCUUGGUAAGAGGACCAAAUGCAAUAUUUCCAGUAAACUGGUUAUCAGAAACAUCUAAUAGUUGUAGAGAUGACAAGUUCCCCAAACAAUCUGGGAGUGCACCUCCAAAAUUAUUUCUAGCGAGAUCUAACUGCUUCAGAUUCUUCAAUUCACACCAACCUAUACAAUUUAUCUUGAAACAAUCAAAACAAUGUUGAAAGAAUCUUUUAUUGAUGAUGUAAUUAUAGGCGGAUGGAGAGUUGUUAAUUUACCUUGAGCGGGUAGGGUGCCAUGGAGGUCACAUUCAGCAACAGACAAAACUUUAAGAGCAGGCAAUGCUCCAGUGUUCUGGAGAAAGUUUAUUGGGAGAGAAGUAUUAUCUAGAUGCAAUUCUUCAAGGGUGCUAGAAUUGAAGAAAGUCCCUGUGAAAAAGAAAGAAGAAGAGAUAUGAUGAAAAUAGUGGUGGUACAGAAUAGCCAUUCCAUUCAAUAUUAUUAAUUAAGAUUUUAAGAAACUAAACUAUGAUUAACCUUGACUUAAAUUAGUAUCCUUGAGAGAAAGGGUCUUCAGCGAUGGCCAUGAACGCAAUGACUGCAGGAUGUCCAGAUUCCUUAAACCUAUGAUAUUUGGAUAGAAACAACAAAUUGCUUGAAGAAUCUAGAGAUUUCAAAAGGUAUUGUUAAGAAAUGAAGUAAAUAAUAGAAGAUGCCAAGAGAUAUUCAUAACUUUACCAUUGAUAGUCGUCGAUCCUAGCAACAUAUUGCCUGAUAAAUUUAAAGACUUGAGAUGAGAAAGUCCACGCAGAUGUGAUAAAAUGCUGUCAUUGAAUAUAUUAUUAUGGCUCAGGUCCAGGUUCUCGAGUUUCCCCAAAUGUGAUGAUAUGAUCUCAAAACCUGCAAGAGUAAGUCGUUAAAGUCGUUAUAUAAAAUAUAAUUCUAAUUUUGAUCUUAUUGGAAAUAUUACGAAACAAUUUUUAAAUAUCAUUCUAGUUUCGAUCUUAUUGGAGAAAAAAAAACAAUUUAUGGAUAUAAAGUCGAUAAAGAUGGAAGCUAAGUUAUGGAUAGACUUACAAAACAAGAUAAAGAAACUUAUAAUUAAGAUCUCAUCGGUAAUUAAAACAAGAAUAAUAAUCGAUCCUAGAUAGCAACAUAUUGUCCAAAUAUUUCACCAUAAAAUCACCCAUCACCAUUCACCACGACCAUAAGGCAAAAUCCUCCACCACAUAAUAAUAUUUUGAUUAAAAAAAGGUCCAAAAUAAUAUAAAACCAUGAUUAAAAAGGAGAGGAAAUAAUAAAUGGCUACAAACAAGAAUUAAAUAUCAUAUAUGUGGGUUUUAUGUUGUUCUCUUUAUUGAUAAAACAGUCGAGAGUUUUUCUAAUAGAGAAAUUGGCUGUCGAGAGUGAUUUGUAUUGGAUAGUUUUUUUGAUAGUUUUUAUUAAAUAGAUAUAAAGUCCUCAUUUUUGUUGAUAAAGAAACAAUAUAAUUAAGAGAAUGUCAUGUGAAGCAUUUAGGUAGGUAGAAACUGUGUAUUAUACCUGAUCCUGUCAGCUGAUUGCCUGACAGAUACAAAGAUUUUAGGGAUGAAAACCCAGUUAGAGAUGGAAAAAUGCUAUCGUUGCAUUGAAUCUCACUUAGAUGAAGGUUCUCCAGCUUUUUCAACCUUGAUGACAAGUCUUUGAGACCUGCAUGAUGUUCCUCAAUAGCAUAUUGGAAGGAAAUAAACGCAUAGAAAAAAAAUGAUAUGAGAAGGAGAAAAGAAAAGGUUUCAAAGCUAAAUAAUUAAAAGGUUACCAUAGAAGCUACCUCCUAAUCCAGCUGUCAACCCAUCGGUAAUUAAAACAAGAAUAAUAAUCGUUAAAUAUCAUUCUAAUAAUAAUCCAUGGCAAGUUCAAAUCCGUUGGUAACUGAAUUCCUCUAUCUAUUUAGUUAGUAAGAUGCUUAGUUGUCACUAAUUUAGUAAUUAUAAUUUGUUCCUCUGUUUUCUAGCAACUACUUUCCCAAUUUUAUCCAUUCACCACGACCGUAAGGCAAUAUCCUCCACCACAGAAUAAUAUUUUGAUUAAAAAAAGGUACAAAACCCAUUAUUAAAAAGAGAGGAAAUAAUAAAUGGCUACAAACCGAAAACCGGUCCAAUAUGUGGGUUUUAUUUAAAAAGAUAAAUAUAAAAUAUAUAUUUAUAGGAGAGUUUUGAAGUGAACUUCUGAUUACUAAUUUAAUCUAAAUAUUACAACACUUUUGGCAUAAAAGGGCUAAAAUAAGAAUAAAAUAUAUGCCUCUUGGACCUAAUUCCAAGUGCCUCUUUUCUUGAUAUAAAGUCCUCAUUUUUGUUGAUAAAGAAACAAUAUAAUUAAGAGAAUGUCAUGUUAAGCAUUUAGGUAGAAACUGUGUAUUAUACCUGAUCCUGUCAGCUGAUUGCCUGACAGAUACAAAGACUUGAGGGAUGAAAAUCCAGUUAGAGAUGGAAAAAUGCUAUCGUUGUAUUGAUUCUCUCUUAGAAGAAGGUUCUCCAGCUUUUUCAACCUUGAUGACAAGACUUUGAGACCUGCAUGAUGUUCCUCAAUAGCAUAGAAAUGAUAUGAGAAGGAGAAAAGAAAAGGUUUCGAAGCUAAAUAAUUAAAAGGUUACCACAGAAGCUACCUCCUGAUCCAGCUGUCAACCCAUUGAAUGAUAGAUCCAAAGACUUGAGAGUGGAAAGGUUACCAUUGAAACAUGACAAAAUGCUUUUAUCAUUAGUAAAUUUGUUAACACGUAGGUCAAGAUUGCUCAGUUUUGAUGAUAGGACUUCGAAGCCUGGGAAGAGAAUCAUCAAAGCAAGAUAAUUGACAUUAAACACCAACCAACCAACCUUCAUUUAUUUUAUGAUUAUAAUUAAGUGCAGAAACAUUGAACUAACCUUCAUUCUCCAUGCAACCAACCAAUCCAGUACCUCCCAAAUCAAGACCUCGCAAUUCUUUGAAAGGCUGAAACAAAGAUGCGUUGAGAACCCAAUCGCCCAAGUGGAAAUCCCUUGCCCCCCAAAGAGAGAGUUGGAUCACUCGCCUUGUAGUGUUAUCACACUCGAUCCCACGCCACUCACAACAAUUACUAUUGGUGUCCACCCAAUGAUCUCUCCAGGAAACGCCAUGUGGGUUGAUCAAAGAUUGGAUCUCCAAGAGACCAAUCCUCUCCUCCUCCAAACACCCAUAACAACGACCAUGCCAUUCGCCAACCAAAGUGAAUAAUGCUAGCAACAUCCAAGCCCCAAUUCUUUUCAUCAUCAUCUUAGAUAAUUCUAUGAACUGCUACGUAGAAUAUUGUUGUUUGUUAUGUGCCUUUGGGCAACCAUAGAGGUCCUAUUUAUACUACACUCUGGCCAUUUCCAUGACUUUGAGAUGUUUUCUUUAUUUCAUUUCUUUUUGGAAUAUUUUUGGAUUUGAAUAUUAUUCUAUUUUAUUGUCUAGCACUUAGUCUAUUUGCCAGGUUGGGAAAAAUAUUCAAAUUAGUUUUGUUGGCAUGUAAACCUCACCAAAUAAUUUGCGUAGACCGUAUUGACUGGGAGUCAAUUAUUGUCGUAGUGCUUUUAUGCACGAUCUGUGUGCGUGAACGGAAAGAAAAGCAGGGUGUGAAAAGCAUUAAAGGUUGUGAACGCGGAUGCUUGACUUGCUGUGUACCAUUUUGAUUUUUAAACACGGCCAUGCAGUCAUUUCCUGGCGAUUUCCUUAUGCAUACUGGUGGUCUUUCAUAAUCUUUUUCCAAACAAUCCUCGUUAGGCCGGCUCGGGGGUUAACUUAGAGUAAGGCAUCGUUUGACAUUGCGUUUGUAACUGCGUUUUAUUAAAUUUUGAAUUUUUUAUUUUUGCUAAAAUUAAGUGUAGCUUGUACUUUUUGGAUCUUUUUGAUGUGCUGAUGUUAAAAAUAAUUUUUAAAAAAUAAAAAAAUAUCAUUAGCAUGUAUUUCGGCACGAAAAGCUAUUUGAAAAGUACCCGCAACCACACUGCCAAACACGCUCUAAGAUUUGUAUCAUCGUUUUUUAUCAGAUUCAAGAUCAACUUGGAUCAAUCUUAAUUUUAUGCUAUUGUUUUUUAUAUAUAAACAUAAAUAAAAAUCCAGAUCUCUUUUAUAAUCUUAAAGGUAGUAUAUUAAUAGUAGAACCAUUAUCUAUCCAGAUACAAUUCAUCAUCUUUUCAUCGACAUAUCUUUUAAUUAAGAAAAGCUGUUUAUAGAGUUUUAAUCUAAGCAAUAGGUUUUCAUCGUUAAAGGAUACCUAUGUGGUGCUAAGUUCUUCUAAAGUUGGAGAACUUAUGAAAAUUAAUGCAAGGCUUCAACACUCCGAAGCCUGCAAGAGAAAUAUCAAAGCAAAAUAAGUAGCGUUAAACAGCAGCCAUUUCUUCAUUUUUAAUUUUAGUAUAACACAAUAAUAUGAACCAACCUUGAUUCUCAAAGGCACCCAACUAAUUCAUUAGCCUUCAAAUCAAGACUUUGCAAUUCCUUAAAAGGCAGAAACAAAGAUGCGUUGAGAACCCAAUCGCCCAAGCGGAAAUCCCCAGUACCCCUAAGAGAGAGCCGGAUCACUCGUCUUUCGGUGGUAUCACACACGAUCCUAGACCACACACAACAAUUACUGCCCAGGUAUUUCGACAGUUAUGGCUUGUGUGGGUUUUGGUUCACGAUGGAGAUGAUGGAUACAAUGAUGUAUUUCGACAACAAAAUUUUCAGUUCUUGUGAAUGGCUCUCCAACUAAAGAGUUCUUUAUGGAAAAGCGAUUGCGACAAGGGGACUCUUUAUCAACAUCUCUAUUCAACAUAGCAACUGAGGGUCUUGGUAGAAUGCUAAAAUUAAAAGGAGAUGUGAUUUGGGACUUAUAAAAGGUAUUUGUUUUGAUCACUUUCAAGUUUGUAGAUGAUACACUCAUCUUCAGUUCAUAUGAUUAUCCAUCUCUUCAAAAGAUCAAAAGAACUAUGUGAUGUUUUGAGUUGAUUCCUAGGCUGAAGGUUAAUUUCCACAAGAGCUCAAUCACUAGAACUAGAACUAGAAUUGAUGAUGUUGUUAUUUCUUCAACUGCUAGCAAUCUAAUAUGUAGGAUGGAGGGGAUGCCAUUUAAGUAUUUGGGUCUGCCUAUUUAUGCAUCUUCAUCUCAUACAUCCGUUUGGAAAACUAUUGCUUGAUUAACUCAAUUAUAAAUAACCUUUCUUUAUUUCCUAUCCCAUCCACUGUUGCUACCAAAAUUGAGAAACAUAUCAUAUCUUUCUUUGGUUCUCAGGAGGAAGGAGGGAAAAAACUAUGCAAUGUUAAAUGGGCAUCAGUGGUUCCUCCAAAAAAACAAAAAAGGUGGGUAUAGACUGCAUUAUUGAUAAAAAUAAAGCCUUGUUUUUCAAAUGGCUAUGGAGGUUUGGGAGGUCUAAUACAAGACUAUGAAAAGAUGUUAUCUACAACAUCCACAACCAAAAAGCGUAUUUGAACAUGCCUUUAGUUUGUGUUAAUUUAAAGGGUAGUACAUGGUCCAGGAAUGUCGUUACUUUUUAUAAGAACGAGGGACUUCAAAAUAUUGCCAAGAAAGAAGUUUGUGGUUUGGUUGGCAAUGGUAGAGAUAUUAACUUAUGGAAUGAUGUCUGGCUGAUAGAUUCUUGUCUUGCAGUUCAAUUUCCUAGACUUUAUAGUCCACCUGAAGAUCAUGUCUCCCCUGUAGCUACUGCAGCAGUAAAAGCUUCUAUCCAACCAGCCAGUGUGAGGCCUUCCCCUGUUGCUAGCAAUGUAGCUUCUUCAAGUAGCUAAAGUUCUGCUUCAAUAAAUGCCACGACAUCAGCAAUAACUGGUGCUACAACAAUGAGCUUCAACUACCCAAACUUCCCUGGCAAAAUUGCAGAAUGGUGCGUACGAGAUUCUAAUCCCUGAACAUGUUGGGGGCCACGAUAGCCUACAGAGGAACCCAUCCUCAGGCUAUGCCUUUCUUCAAUGGAUCAAUUCUAUUCUUCUUGAAUGUUUCAUCCUUCAUAGCUUCAGCGACAGCAACAACCAUUCAUACAGACACAACAAAGCCAACAGGGUCAUCAAAAUCCAAGUAUUUCUAGUGGCUCCUCGUCAUCCCAGAAGCAUUUGCUGAAUUAGGUGGAAUCAGCAGCGGUCAUCAAGAUCCAACCAUUUACAGAAUCAUCAGCAGAAUCAUUCCCUGCCGAACUAGCAGCGGCAGCUGAUGCAAAAUCAGAAUGUUACUCACAAACACCUCCUCCUUUUGCAAUGUCAUUUGCUCCAUCAACGGAACCACAACUUCCCCAGGUCUUGAUGUUUCAUUGCUGGUACAGAAUCAUGCUCUUCUCCAAAGCCCUCCAGAGGCAGCAAGUCAUGGCUAUCACUUCAUCACUGCGGCCCAAGCAACACAGCAGACGAAUUACCGUGUGCCUGAAGAAGGGAAAAAUGGAGGAAAUGACACUUCAAAUAUGGAAGGAGAGAGAAAGGCCGAUAUGGUUGGAGGACAGACCCCAUUAACUGGUGGGCAGUCAAUUGUGUUCUCUCGGCUAGAUUUUGUGUUCUCUCGGCUAGAUUUAACAGACUCCUCUGUUUCAACAAUGCCUGUGAACAAUGUUGUUGAUAGCUCAGCCCGAACUCUUAACCUUGGGUCCACUCUUGCUCGGACCUCAAGCCCUGUUAUGUCAGCUACUAUUGGCAGUGUAAAUGCACCAAGUAUACAACAACAGAUGCAGUGGAAUCAGCAGCAGCAGCAACGAAGUCAGCAAAUCCUUCAACUUCAGAAGCGUCAACAAUUUGCAGCUGCAGCUUCCACUCGAAGUGAAACACCAACAACUAGUAAUGGAAGUGUUUAUUCGGACCACAUCUCAUCAUCAUCAUCUAUGGGCACCAAGUUACCUAAUGCACUUUUGCAUUUCCUCAAAAUCUUGUUCAAAGCGGCAGUAGCAGCAGCAGUUAACAAAGCAUGCACUGCAACAGGCUCAACUAAUCUACGCUAAUGCUUUUAUGCAAGCUCAAGCUCAAGCUCAAGCUCAACAUGUGGCAAAUUCAACAAGCUUUGCAUCAACAGCUAGUGGGUUUCAUCUGCAAAGACAUCGCAAUGAGCAGCAACCGCAAUGCAUCGGCAACCUCUUCUACAAGGAUGUUGUUGUUAUGUCAUCCGAUCAUGUAAAUUUUUGUGACUCCCAACCUCCUAGCAACCACGAGAGGAUGUUUCCAGUUUUUUUUUUCAACAGCUAAUGCUUAGAUAACAAAAAUAGAGGAAUAACUGAUAGAGCUCCAGCAUUCGAGCAGAGUUUAAUAAAAAAAUAUAAAGUAAGGUUAGAUGCGUGAGCCUUGUUUUGUAAAUUUUUAUUUGAAUUUUAAUAAUUGUUUUUAAUUGUUAUGUAUAUGAAUAAAAAUUUGUUCAUGAAAUUUCAAUUUAAAUCACUUUUUUAAUCUUAGAAUUUUAAAAUAUAUUUUGAGCAUGAUUUUAUUAUAUUUAUGAUUUAUUUUAACUUUCAAUCACACAUAAAAAUAUAAACAUACUAUUUUGAUUUUUUUUUAAUUUGUUCUGACAAUUAUAGAAUAUUCUUUUAAUAUAAAAAAUGAUUCUAGUUAAGAAAAAAACUUGUAUAUUCACCAAGAUAAAACAAGAAAUAUGCUAAUAAAAUUUUUUAUCUUGAUAGAGAAAAAUUCAAAACGACUGUAUUUUCAAGUUUAAUAACAAUGUCAAGGAGUCCCUUAGACUGGGAUAUUUUGUUUUACAUUUAAAGUUUUUUUGAUCUCCAUAGCAUAGCACUAGCAUACAAACUUGUAUAUUUUUAAGGCAGCGUUUAGUUACUAUCCGAGACAGUAGAGACAGAGACAAUGGAGACAGAGGAGACAAUACAUAAAAGAAGAUGGAGAUAGAAUUGUGUUCACUAAUAAUAUAUAAGACAAAGUGAUUGUUUUUGUAUCAUAUUUGAUUAUGAUAGACAAGAAAGAAUAAAAUAUAAAAAAAAUAUUUUACCUUUAAUAUGUAUUGUUGUCAAACUUACAUGUUUUAAAAAAUAAUUAGUUUUAUUUUUUUACUUUAGUUUUAUAUUGAGUAUUGAAAUUAUUAAUAUUAUAAUAACCCUAGUAUUAAAACCAGGAUUAACUUGACAGGUUGACCCGAGGCCUAUACUGGUCUAAGUUUCAGAAAAAUAGAAGAAUGAUUAACUCGACCUAACCUAGUAAAAAACAUGAGUCAACUUAAGAUAAAACACGGGUCAAAACCCAUUAAAUAUUUUGAAAAAGAAAAUUGUUCAAAACAAGGUUUCUUUGACUAUUUGUUUUUAAAAAAAAUUAGGUCGAUCGGGUUAACCUUCUCUUGGAUUAACUCCUGAGUUGAGUUUUAAAACUAUGAUAAUAAUCAUUUUUAUCCAUACAUUAACUCAGGUCAAUCUGUGUUGACCCUCUCGACCCAUGACCUAGGCCUUGCUUCUGUCGACUCCCGAGUCGGAUUUUAAAAUUAUAAUAAUAAUAAUUUUUAUCCUUACAUUAAUUUGGGUCAACUCUCUUAAUUCGUAACCCAAGCAUUGCCCCAAGUUGACUAUCGAAUUAAAUUUUAAAACUAUGAUAAUAACCAUCUUUAUUUUAUGUUGACUCGGGUCAAUCUAGAUUAACUCAUCUAACACAUGACCCAAGUUUUAUCCCGAGUCGAUCCCUGAUUUGGGUUUUAAAACUAUGAUACUAAUUAUUUUUAUCAUUACAUUAACCUAAGUCAAUGAUCAACCCCACUCGUUACCCAAGAAUUGCCCAGGUCGACCCCCAAAUCGAGUUUUAAAAUAUGAUAAUAACUAUUUUUAUUCUUCUACUGACACAGGUCAACUCGACUCAUGACUCAAGCCUCAACCAGUGACCCAGAAUUUGCCCCGGAUCGACCCCCAAGUUGAAUUUUAAAACCAUGAAAAUAAUCAUUUUUACAUUUAUAUGUCUUAGUUGGACAAUUUGAAAUUGAGAGUUUUUUUAUAAAAAUAUUUUAGGAAUAAAAAAUAAUAAAUAUUAUCUCUAGAGACAUGUCUCCUCUAUACCUUACGUUUUGGAAGCACAAAAAUUCACUCCAAAAUUAUUCUAGAAACAAAUUUAUUUUUAUGUAUUUGUCUUUGUCUCUUCAACCAAAUAUAUUUAUAUCUUUAUUGUUUUUAUCCUUUCUAUUAUAGGACAAUGACCAAACAUUACCUAAAGGAUAUACAACUGACAAGGAUGAACUUGGCUUUAUUUCAUCUUUGAUAAUUUCUUCUCGAUGAUAUCUCACCGAUUUGUGGAGGCAAUUGAUCAAAACCUAGUUGAUUCAAAGGUUGACUUUGAAAAAAUAUAUUCAUAGAGUAAUGUUUGAAUCUUGGUGUUUUUUAUUGGCUCAAAAAAAUUACCAACUCACCAAAACCUGUAUGAAACAUUUAGAUUUAAUAUUAUAUGUAUAAUUUAUUAUAAUAAUUGAUAUACUAUUCAACUCAGUAACUUAGUAGGAUGACCUAUAACCUGCUGAUCUAAGAUUUUAGCCGAAUCAAGCUUUAAGCUAGAUAUAAUGACUAUGAUUUUAUAAAAUUACUAUGAACUUCCCUUUUAUGUCUUCUUAUUUACUCAUUUGAUAUUUUUUUUUAUGAAGUUAAGAUGUUCACAUUUAUAUCAUGAUUAAACUCUAGGGUAACAUUUAGUUAUUAUCUUGGGAUAAAAAGAAUAAAGAUAGUAAAGACAAAAAUAUGUUUGGUUGAAAAGAUAUAGAUAUAAAAAUAAUUUUUUUCAUGGGAUAAUUUUAGAGUGAAUUUAUAUAUUUUCAUAACAGAAAAUACAAAUAAGACAUAUCUUCAUAAACAAUAUUAUUUUUUAUUCCUAAAAUAUCAUUGUAAAAAACUUUCAAUUCCAAAAUUGUCCAAUUAAGAUAUGUAAAAAUAAAAAUAGUUAUUAUCGUAGUCUUAAAACCCAACUUGGGGGUUGACUUGUAGAAAGAUAUGUGAUCUUUGUUGACCCAAGUCAAGGUAAAAAUAAAAAUAGCUAUUAUCAUAGUUGUAAAAUCUAACUUGAGGGUCGACCUGGGACAAGGCACGGGUCAUUGUUUGGGUUGACCAUUGACCCAAGUCAACAAAAAAAUAAAAGUGGUUAUUAUUGUAAUUUUAAAACUUAACUUGGAGGUCGACUCAAGGCAAGGCCCGGGUCAUGGGUCAGGAGGGUUAACUCUGGUGGAACCGGGUUAAUGUAAGGAUAAAAGUGGUUAUUACAAUAGUUUUAAAACUCGACUUAGAGAUCGACCUGAGGUAAGCUCAGGUCUUGGGCUAGGAGGGUUAAUGCAUGGAUAAAAAUAAUUAUUAUCAUAAUUUGAAAACUUGAUUCAAGAGUCGACCCGAGACAAAGCCUAGGUUAUGGGUUGGGAGGGUCAACCCGAGUUGACCCAAUUUUUUUUUAAAAAAAAAGAAUCAACACAACCUUGUUUUGACCAAUUUUUUUUAAAAAUAACAGGUUUUGCCCCGUGUUUUAUCCCGAGUCGACCCGUGUUUUAUCCCGAAUCAACUCGGUUUUUUAACUCACCUAUCUUUUCUUAAACUUAAAAUUAAUCCGGGCUUAGAGACAACUAGAUCCCGAAUAGAUUCACUAGGUCAGUCUAGGUUAUAUAACUAGGAUUAUUAUAAUAUUAUUAAUUUCAACACUUAAUAUAAACUAAAGUAAAAAAAAGUUCUAAUUAUUUGUAUAAAUAUGUAAGUUUACCAAUAAUACAUAUUAAAGGUAAAAUAAUUUUUUUAUAUAUUUUUUUUAUCAUUAUCAAAUAAGAUAUAGAGACAGUUACCGCCAAACAUAAUUUUAUUUUCAUCUCCUUUUCUAUCUUUUUUUUCUUUAUUUUCAUGGUCUUCUUUUUUAUUCAUAACAGUAACCAAAUAUUGGCUAGUUAUAACAUAUAGAAACAUACAAGUUGUCAUGUUCAAGCCGUUCUCUUAUCAUUUUAAAUAAAUUGAAACACAAUUGCGAGGAGAAGAGUGUGUUUUGUAUUGUGUUAGCUUUUGUGGUUGUGGUUUGAAAAUUGUUGUUUUAUAAAAAAUACUUUUAGUUGAGGUUGGUUUGAUAUUUAUAUAUGUUUAGUUAAAAUUGUGGUUGAAAUUGAGGUUGAACAAAAAGUAAUUUAAUGUGUUUGGUUAAGAAUGCUUUUCAAAUCGAGGUUAUAAAAUAAUUAAAAAAGAUAUAUAUUAAUAUUGAUAGUUUUUAAUUUAAAUAUUGUAGAUUUAACUACUGCUAUUACAUCAUGAAAUAAAUAAUACUUUAUAUAAAAUAUUUUUUUAUUGUUCCAUUAAACUAUCUACAAUUCCAUCACAUACGAAAUUCAUUCGACAAGGACUACAGUUUUCUUGGUUUCUUAAGCGCACAACAAUAUCAAGUAAAAUAUAAUCAGGAACAAAAUUAGGAUUGCGAUCAAAUUCUGCAAAUGCUAUGUCAUCAAGCAAUCUCCUUAUAAUUUAUGUAGUGUUAUUGAAUAAUGCUAAACACUAGUUUUUCAAAUAAAACAUAAUUAAAAAUAAAAAAAAAUUGAUUUUUUUUUAUUUUACUGGGUCAGACCCGGUUCAAUGCAUUUAGCUUUGAAUCGGACCCAGUCCGGCCAGAAUAGUAGAGACAUUCUAAGCAACUUCAAGUGAGUCUCGUAAACAGUAAAUAACGUACCAAACAAUUAUUUUUAGUAAAGCAGAAGCAACCGAAGAAGAAGAAGAAGACAUGUGAUUACGGUGCCAUGCAGCAUUUUGACAUUAUGAGUAUUUUGAUGUAUAUCCAUUAAUUUAUAAUAUACAAGUAUAUUUCCAUGUUUCUUUUAUUUUGAUAGAACAUUUUUCCAAUAGAAUUUGUUUUUAUUGGAAUUCCAUAUUGAAUGGAUGUCAAUUGAAACUAAAAAUGUGUUAGAUAAGAGCAUACUAAUAUAAAUACCAAAUAAUGUUUAAUUAGAUUGAAUUGAACUAGACACCAUAUGUUUUUAUUCUAUGUUUGGUGCACUAAAGAUAAGAUCAAAUAAUUUUGUUUUUAUCAUUGAGAUAUUUUCAAUCAUUUAUUUUAGUCUUUGCAUUUUAUUUUUAUGAUAUUUUAGUCCUUACUAGAAUUUCUUUGUCAUCUAGAACAAUCUAGUUCUUAAAUCAAAAAGUUUUUGCAAUUAAACUCUUACAUGUACAUAUUUAUUUUAAUAAAAUUGGUCAAAUUUUGGUUUUCCAAAUUAAAAAAUAAAUAAGUGAUAAAUAAAUAAUAGAUAAUAUAAAAAUUAAGAAAAAAUAAUUUUUGUACAAAUUUUUUGUCCAAUCCUUGUCAUGUCCAAAGUGUAUAUCAAACAUUUUAUAGCUUGCCAUGUGCAACAAAUAUAUCACAACUUGUUUUUAUUGUAUUCUAUUAUGAUCUGUUUUGUGCCUUAUAUUAUUUAAUAUAUUAAAAUAAAUUUAAUAAAUUAUACUGAAGCAAGAUCUAAUAUUAGAAAGUUAACGGAAAUAAAUGUACCUUUGCCCGUCCCUUCAACAAAAUGCUGAGCUGUAUACUAAUUCUCAGAGGCAGUGAUAACUAGUUGUUCUAACUAAUCCCUAUACUUUUAAAUAUGUUUACAAUUCAGUCCCUUCAUUAAUUUUUCGUUAGUAAAAUGUUGAGCUGUCAGCAAUAUUUCCUUAGUUUGUGCCGCUAACUUAACGGUAAAAUGUGAUUCAAGGAUCAAUUAAUUAUUUAAAUGAACUUGAGGGAUUAAUCUGUUUGUUUAACAAAAAUACAGACACUAGUUAAAUAGAAUUUAACUCCAAUUUUAAUCAUCAUAUGCGUGCGUGCGAGCGAGCGAGCGAGUGUUUACUCGUUAAUGUUUUUUUAGAAGGAAUCUGGAAAAGAAUAAAGUCAUCCAUUUCACUUUGGUCCAGCAUUCCUCACCUCUCCCCGCCAGAGCUCUCCCUCCCUCCCUCCCUCCCUCCCUCCUCCGCCUCUCGGAAACCGCCGCCGCCAAGAAGGCUUCAGAUUUCUGCCAGGUGCUUCUAUUUCUAUCAUGUUUUUGUUUUUAAAAUUUAUGGGUGUUUUCAUUUAUUCUAUUGGAAUUAUUAUUCAGAGACAGAAAUUCUAUUUUAAUGAGAAAAUUAAAAAAAAUAAUCGAUCCGAUGAAAUCUCUGCUAGUGAACGCAAUUCGAUUUUAAUAAGUAAAUUAAAAAAAUAUAUAAUCGGAUCCGUUGAAAUCGCUGCUCGUGAACGCAAUUCAAAGAAACGCACAAUCAGCCGAUUCUAAUAUUUUCUUUUUCAAUUUUUCCCCUUAAUUUACAUGAUAUUAUCCGAUUUUUCUCACAGUUAUUGUUGUAAUAAUCAAGCCCUGAAUUCUUGAACCCAAAUUUAUUUUAUUUUAUUUUAUUUUAUUUUUUAGUGGAGAAUAGAAAUCAAUUCAAAUCUUUUAGGCUCGAUCGAUAAUUUGUUAAUUAGUUUAUGCAGCAGCUGGAGUGGAAGAGAUUUUUCUGCCGGAAUGGCCGAAAAAUGAGCUGUUUGGUUGAUUCUUCUUUUUUGGAAUUUACUGAAUUCUUCAAAAUUAUUGUGUUCUUAACAACAAUACGAUAUCCUUGGGUUUUAUGCUCGCUCACACAUGGAAAAAAGAAAGAAAGAAAAGGACUUUACAUUUUAUAAUUUGGUCAUGUUAACGCAAAAAAAAUAAAAAUAAUAGUUUAUGAUGACUCAUUGUUUGGUUGAUAACCCUACAUGAUAUAUCUUUCUUUUUAGGACUUCCUAGCUGGUCUUGAGUAUGAGGUGAAAGCUUGAGGAGGGCAGUUGGUCCUAACCAAGGACUGUAUUGUGAUUGAUUGAGUUGAAAGUUAAGAGCAUGUGGAAGUGUAAAACAAAUGACUUUGUUCACUUCACCCCAAAGGCGCACCUGUGCAUCUAGUUAGGAAGAACAUUUUAUAACUUACCUCAAGGUCGAGCAUGGUCAGGGUUAUUGUGUUGUCUAUUCCGAGAAAGAUGUGCCUGCAAAUUUAAUCUUAUUUCAACAAGAGUUGUUAAGUUAAUUCUUAUCAGUCCUCUUUAGAGUUGAUGAUGACAUGAAAUAUUCAUGGUUAAUGCUUGUCGUUUUCUUCUUCAUUUUCCUAGCUUAAAACAUCCUAGAAAUCUAUCUAUUGAAGUAAAGCAUUUAAAUGCGUAUACAAUGUUUUUGGAACUUUAAAUAUCUAUUUGAUCAGAAUCUGUGAACCUAAAACCACAAUGAAUACAAAUGCAAGUUUGUCAUUGUAAACAUUGCAUCAAUGAUGUAUCACGAGUGUUGCUAGAAAACAUCAAGUUAAAAUUGAAGCACCAUGAGUUUCUCCAUGGCUUGGUUUACCAACACUCACCAUCUGAUGGUGUGGCAAGUUAUGAACUAGCUGGCUAGUUUUUUGCUUCCUUGGUUUUAGAAGGACCAUGAAGAUUCAGGCCCAAAUCUUGCUUAUAAUACCUAAAUACCCAAGAUCCUAGCACCUUGCCCUGAAUGGUCGUGUAUAUUUGUUAUGGCUGUUCAGAUUUUAUGCAUCCAUAUUUGGUAGAAUUCUUUAAUAAAGUACAUGCUAUUGGAUGGAAGUUCUUUUUAAAUCUAUUCAAGUCUGAAUAAACUGACAUUCCAAUUUUCAUGACUUUGAUAUGCUCUUACUCUUCUGUUGUUCCUGACUUUCUUUUUAGGGUCUAUUCUAACAUGCAAUAUAAUUAUUAUUUUUUUUUUUGGUGAUUGAAGUGAUUUUUUUGGUUGGCCAAAACCCCAUGGAUGCCAAUAAUUGGAGGCCCACUGCCCCAGGCGGAGAACCUGUUAUGGACACAGGUGAUUGGAGAACUCAAUUGCAGCCUGACUCACGGCAAAGAAUAGUCAACAAAAUGUAAGUCUCUGUUUCCUAAUAUGUGCAAGUGCUGCAAAAUAGUAAAUCUUGUAUUUAAAUGAAAGAAAAAGAGAAGGGAAAAAGGUUAAUUAAAAUCAGCAGGACUGCCAUGAGGCAACCUCAAGUAUCAUACACCUCUGUUUUUGUCUUUUUCAUUUUUCACGUGUUUCUCACAAGAAGUGAACUUGAGGGAAUAAAAAGUGCUGGGAAGUAAUUUUUGUUGGAACUUCUUGUGUAACAUCUUUCGAUGAUGACCUCUAGGAUGGCUGCAUGAAGCUUCUUCCGCUUUAAAUUUCAAGGUUAAUCUAUUGCUAUGAGCAUUGGUGUUUCAAUUUCAACCUUGAGUUGCAACUGAACUUAAAUGAACAGUGUUGGAUUUGAGCCUUCCAUUUGCUUUAACUUCUACAGGGUUGAAAUGAUAGUUAUCUUAAAGUACAAAAGCAGCAGACAAAAAUCAAUUAGUCACAAUAGUGCAUGGUUUCCUAGUUUCUCAGUAUAAAGUGGAAUGUUUUGGUGAUAUCUCUACAUCCAAAUUCAUAUAGACAGCUACUGUUGGCAUUUGCAGUAGCCAAUGAGCACUGUAGAGUAUAUAUUGCAGCGUGAGAUAAGGUUAACUCAUUGCAUUUUCAUAAAUUAAAAGGAUUUCUCUUCUUUUCUUUGUUAAUUGCAGUGCAUGUAUAAAGGUUUUCUUAUUUAGAGUAAAUGCUGUUGUAAUGUUUUCACAGAGUUCCCUUGGUUUGCAGCUAAUUCAUUUAUAUAUCUUGGAGCAUAGCCAUAGCCAUAAAUGGAAGGUUCUUCCAGUUCAAGAAAAUUAACCAUGAAGCUCAUAGCUAGAAUUUUAAACAUAAGGGUGGCCAAGUGAACUCCUAUACCCUGUACCUGUGGAAUAAUACGGGGAAAGGAAGUAAAAAUAGAUGUGUAUUUUGAUGCCAUAUAUUACUUGACCGACACUUGGCUAUAUCAUUAUUUGUUUUUACUUUUUCCUAAUGAUUCCGUUGUAUACAUUUCUGAUAUUGGUGUGGUGUAUGAGUUCACGGUUCUUUCUCACUGCUGCUAACUUCUCUAUACCUGCCUUGUCAUUAAAAAUUAAAUGUAAUGUUUUACAUGUGCAGAAUGGAGACAUUAAAGAGGCAUCUUCCGUUUUCUGGUCAAGAGGGAUUACAAGAACUCAAGAAAAUUGCCGUACGGUUUGAGGAAAAGAUUUAUACUGCCGCCACCAAUCAGGUAUUCGGCUAAUGCUAGGUUCAAUGAUUUCGAUAUUCUCUAGACAUGAAUAUACACAUGCAUAAGUUUGUGGAUUAAUGCAUGUACACGUGUGUGUAGUGUGUCCACACUUCCUUACUGGUCAUUCUGUAGAAGUUCUCAUCUUUUCGUUAUUUCUCUUGACAAGUGUUUUAUUUAGAGUGACCAAGGUCCUUUUCAAGUACAAGGGAAGUGUGCAAAAUGCAAAUAACGAAUCAAUACAUAAAUAAUUAAAUAAAAAGAAAGGACACAGAAGUAUAUCCUCACAGAAGAUGCAAAUACAGAAAGCCUAGCAUAUUAGAAAGAGCAUAUAUCCCUUUUCCCCCUUCUCUUGUAACAUGGACUGCGCAGAGAUCUAAUGUUUUGUUAUUGAUAUCUGAUUUCAGUCUGAUUAUCUGCGUAAAAUAUCUCUGAAGAUGCUUACAAUGGAGACCAAGUCUCAAAAUACCAUACCCACUGGCAAUGGUAACAAAACCCUGGAUCCAGGAGGUAAUAAUGCAGCCAAGCAUUGGAUUUCUAAACAUCCUUACCUUUUGUUUUGUAUUUUGCGUUGUUAUCAAACUCUUUUACAUUUUAUUGCUGCAUUUUGCUAUGUAUAUACCAUGCUUUAAUAAAAGAGUCGAGUAAUUGAUGAAUGUUCAAAAAAAAAUUACAGAUUAUUUUUGUUUUCUGCUCCCCACCCCCCCACAACAAAAAAAAAAAAAAAAGUCAAAUGACACUUAUGCUUUGAGGUAAAACCAUCUUAAUUAUUUCCCUCAUAACUUUACGUGUGAACUGUCAUUGUUUCAUUUGUUUUUCUUGUUCAAUGCCUUCUUUUUUUUUCCUUUGACAUGGUUUUCCUUUUUGCCUUUUAUCUUGAACAGCAUCUCAUAGUAUGCCGCCUCAAGUUCACAACCAAGGGCAGUCGCUCCCUAACUCAUUGUCCUCUAAUCAGUCUCAAGCACGUCAGCAGUUAUCACAGAACAUGCAGAAUAGUAUGUCAUCUAAUGGAGUUCAAAGUUCUGCUGGUUUACAAUCAGCAAUGCCUUCUGUCUCCGGUUUAACCCAGACUAUCCCAAACACUGUUGGACAGAAUGCUAACAUGCAGAGUAUCUCUGGUGUUUCACAGAACCCAGUGGGGAAUUCAAUGGGACAAGGGAUUCCCCCCAAUAUGUUUGUCAAUUCUCAGAGACAAAUGCCAGGCAGGCAACAGGUUGUUCCUCCACAGCAACAGCAGCAGUCCCAAAAUCCUCAGCAGUAUCUUUAUCAGCAGCAGAUGCAACAUCAGCUUUUAAAGCAGAAGCUUCAACAGGGAAAUCAUCCACACUCACUUGUGCAAUCUCACAUCCACCAGCAGCAGCAGCAAAAUUUGUUACAGCCAAAUCAGUUGCAAUCUUCUCAGCAAUCUGGUUUGCAAACAUCAACUGUUAUGCAGCCUUCAAUGAUGCAAACUGUCUCUGGCCUUCAACAGAACCAACCAUCUUCUGUUCAACAGUCAACACAACCAAUGCACCAGCAACAUCCACAAUCAGUCCUUAGGCAGCAGCAGCAACAACCUCAACAGUCUGCUGGUAUUCAUCAGCAGCAAACACCAAUGAUGCAGCAGCCACUAUUGCCUCCACAACAGCAGCUAAUGGGGCAACAAUCAUNNNNNNNNNNNNNNNNNNNNNNNNNNNNNNNNNNNNNNNNNNNNNNNNNNNNNNNNNNNNNNNNNNNNNNNNNNNNNNNNNNNNNNNNNNNNNNNNNNNNACAGCAGCUAAUGGAGCACAUCAAGUACACUAACAUGUCGCAAAAUCAGUUAAUUGGACAACAAAACAUUGUUGGGGACUUGCAGCAGCAGCAGCAGCAGAGAUUGCUAGGGCAGCAGAAUAACCUUCAAAAUCUGCAGCAGCAGCAGCAGUUAAUGGCUCAACAAAAUAACCUCUCAAGCAUGCAUCAGCAACAGUUGGCCCCUCAAAGUAAUGUCACUGGUUUACAGCAACAGCAGUUGCAUGGAGCUCAGCCUGGUAACUCAAGCAUGCAAUCUAAUCAGCACUCUCUACACAUGCUGCAACAGCCCAAGGU